rnacentral:lncRNA from 1 species
ACAAAUAUUAAAAUGCAUAUGAUCGCACAUAGUACUUGGAGCUUAGUAAGAUUUCAUUAAGAGAAGCAAUCAAACCACUUAUCAAUUGUUGCAAUCGUUCUAUAAGCUAAAAUAGCAAUAUAAUACAAGAAAAAGAACAUAUAGAUACUUGGCAAGAGUUCAUUAAGAAGUCGCAUCACAUUCGGGUGAGUUUGCUUCUGAUAUCUUGCUAGCUGGGGCUUUUUCUUGUCUUUCUACGUAUGCCGAGGGAAACCAACCAGCUUGGCCCUUGCAUUCACCUUCCGACCAUCCAGUAGGAGCCACCUUGAGAAGUUAUAACUAAAACAGUGAAUUAAACAACAGUUGACUGUUCAAAGACCUAAGGGGAAAACUAAUUCUUUUACGUAGGAGGAGUGAAUUAGUUGUGAUCACUGAAAUAACAGCAUAACUAUGGAAGCAUAACAAGAUAUAAAUUCACACGUCUAUAAGGGUAAUCUGGGUGGUUUAGAACUGAGCUAGCAACCCUACUAUAUUCUGAUUUGCACUUCAAUGUAAAAGGGAAUAUAUGGUAGGAAGAAAGAAAGCCAACCAUCAUUUGUUAACUCAUUGCUUUUCAAUCAAAAUUUUAAGAACAAAAUGCCAUGUGCUUUGAACAUCAAAUAAGUAUAAGCAUUAGUUCUAAAUUCCACAUAUCAUAAGUUAGAAGGAUAAGUUAAUAGCAUAGUAGAAAAAUCUGUGUUGUUAUUUAGAGGGGAAAGUACCUGGCGAACCACAACAUAAUCAUCAAUUGAAAGACUUAACUCUCCAUUUGCUUGAGCAUCAAAUGGAUGUAUAACCUGCAAGAUAAUGGGAUAAAUAGAACUUGAUCUUAAAAAAAGCAUGAAAAAAAGCAGCAACAGUAGCAGCAGCGUUCAUUGUAACCACUAUGAUCAUGGCCAACAAAGAUAUAUUAGAAAAAAAAUUCCAUUUUUACUACGACAUUAAUAUGUACUAUAUGAUAUCAUGACGAUUGGGUUACCAAGAGCUAUCAAAGUCCAAUAAGUUCUGUAUAACUUUAUGUAGUUAUUCAAAUUAUGGAUCAGAUUUUAAAUCUGAAAUUUUGACUGCUCUCCACAAAACAUGGCCUAUGCACAAGAAAGUCAUAGAUAAUGAGGAUUACAAGUGUCUGACAUCUUUUGAGUGAUGGAUUUAACAUGAGAGCUUAUGGUCAGUCAAUUUCCUCUGCCUAGCAAUAUAAGCUUUCUCGGCCAGAUUUAUCAUCAAAUACAUAGAUUGCCCCAAGUCACAUCCAUAUAAACAUAGUUUUUCUAGGUAAACCAAGCAAGGAGAAUCAUAAUUCAGACAUAAUCAUAAAAAGGCCCAUCUAACUUAAGAGAAAAUCUCAAAAAGAGGGAUGUUGAGCUAUCAGUCUUGUAUCUAUAAGCAAUAUCAAGACUUUACAUCACCUGCUACAUCGUGAGUGGCUACACAACUUUCAGUGGUUUGUCUUUCUUUGGCAUGCCUAACUCAGCUUUGAUGUUGCUGAGAUAUUGAUAGUAGAGACACAUGAGACUUCUAGCUCAUGCAUUCUAUCUAGCUCAUCCGACAGCUAUCUCUUUUUUAAUUCAUUAGUGUUUGCUAAACCUCAUGCUUAAAAGUCAUGUUGUUCUAAACAAAGUUUCCUAAGAAUGACUUCCUCAGCACCACAUUUGGACACUUUUAGAGCAAUUUUAUUUGGGGGAAAAGAAUUUUCAAGGUGUUAACUAAUAAAUUUUAAAAAAUAAUUACAAUUUGUCCUACGAUUAUAUGACAAUUUAUCUGGGAUGCAAGGAUACAGACAGACAUCUUCCACUUUCAAGACUAAUCACUACUUCCGUAGAUGUUUUGCAAUAAUACAAAUACUUGACCAGAUGGUAGUGAUGGUAGAAAAAAAUUUUAUUGCUCCAAAAUUAAAAUAAGAAUGCAAUGUGUUAAGCGAAAGACUAUGCAACAUCAAAUUAAUUGAUAAGUUUGUAAUUCAGUAAAUUAACAACUUUCAUGGUAAAAUACAACAAAUUUCUUUUGAAAAAAAUAAAUCUUAAAAGACAACAUUCAAUUUUGUGCGCAUCUUAUUUCUUAAGAUUUUCCAGGAGGGCAAUAGAGGGACUUUCACCCAUGCAAGAGAGCAGAAGCCUUACUUUCGCUAUAAAGUAGACGUCAUUCUGAUUAAUAUGCGUUUGCAAUUCAGCUCCAUUUGAAUCAGUAUUCUGAUAGACACAUGAGGCAUUUACAUCCAUUUCCAAAGUCACAUGUUGCGAGGAGGACUCAUUUGAUUGCUCCUCUAGGAUCAUCUAAUUCAAGUAGCAAGGGUUGGAAGAGAAUAAAAAGUCACAAUUAUUCUUUUGCAUAAGUGAGACGAAAAUGAUAAAUGCAAUAUUAUCAGCAGUAAACAAGAAGAGAACAUUCCAAGGAAUAGAUAGAUGCGGACAAGCAAGUUAAAAUGCAUAGUUCCAAACCUCCGCAUACAACUUCUCUAAAAUAGCAAUAACGUGUUGAUGAUAUGUUUUCUCAGCAUCUACCUGCAAAGGCCCGAGACCAGGAAAACAACAAUAAAACCACUAGCUAAAGGAGAAAGUAAAGAAAGAAAUACACUUGACAUAAAUCUUGACAAGAAGCACAAUUUAAGACAUAACAAACCCCAAUCAUAUUGUUUAGAACUACCACUCAUUAUUUCGUUAUUGUAGCAUUUCGAACAAGUGUUGACUUAUGUAACACCCCAAAUCUAACACGUGUGGAGCACGUGAAGAAGGAGGUUACUCACAAAUCAAUGAUCUAUACUCAUAAGUUUCAAACUGAAAUACCUCUAAUUCUUAUUCAAAUAAAUCCACAAAUCCAAACGUCAAAUACUAAAUAAUCUCUCUCGAGGACAUAUAAAAAUAAUAACAAAAGUCUCAAACUCCAAAUUACACGUUCAUAAAAAAGUAACUAAAUAGAAACACAAGUCUAUUCCUCCUCUUAUUCAAUCGCAAACGGAAACUGGAAAAAUUACUAACUCCAAAGCUAAGCGCACCUCUCAAAAGAAACUUAAUCUGCAAAAAGUAAUGACGAGGGGUGAGCCGUCAACUCGGUAAGUAAAACCAUUUCUAACAUACUAUGCUUAUCGAUACGAAGAUAUUGCAAGCCUUCUUUUGUUUAAAACAUAUAUCAUAAUCCAUAAAUUUUCAUAAAACGAUAUAUCACAUUAACAUAAGAUAAAUUCUUAAUAAUUCAGAAUAUUCAAAAGAAUAUUUACUUACGAAGCAAAUCAUGUAAUACGUAUACAGAAACAAAAAGGUUAGCUCAUGUCACAUAGUGUCACCUAUAGUCCCGGUGACCCGGCCAGAAACAGAAUCAGAAUAUCGUGUGCACACUCAGAACAUAAACCCAGUACUGGUCCAGACAGAUAUAUCAUAUAUUACGAUUAGAAUUAGAAUAACUAUGGACAAUGAGCCAAAACAUUAGGAAUCUCAUUCAAUCAUCAAUAAUUGAAAUCAAACAUGGGUAAAAACAUUCGUAUCAAAUUUAUAAAAGUUCAUAACAAUAAUUUAGGCUUGCAUAACAUUUAUAAAUAAAAUCAUAAAAGUAGGCAUGUAACAAAAUAACUUACAUAUUCAAAAGCAUUUAUAAAAUACUUUGUUAAAGAGAAUUUAGCUUUAAAACAUUUACAUAAAACUAAUUUUGUUAUCAAAAUCAAUUAAUCCUUUAAGCAGUAUAAAAACAUUUAUACUUAUAAUAAUAAUAUCAAAAUACUUAUACAUAUCCAGUAUGCUAGGAAUGAAGUUACUUACCUCGACAAAUGAACUUGAAUUAACCCACCUCUAAGCUUCUAAGAGCCUCAAUCACCUUCAACUCCUUAAACAAAUACAAGAUAUGACAAUUAAUGACUUAUUCUAAGAAUCUGAUUUUCUAAUUCAUACCUGUACAGGUCUGAUUCUCAGAAUUUUAACUCUUAAUCUAAAACUCAGAAUGAUAUAAUAUUCUAUGGAACUAUUCUGGACAUCCAUGAAUACCCCAUGUAAAAUUUACAAGAGGAUCCGAUAUCAAAAACAUUUUAAAAACUAUUUACUACUCAGCAAACUCGAAACUGUUUUCACAUAAUCUAAACCAAACAGAACGGGUUCCGUAAUUUUUAUAAAAUAAAAUACUAACCAGAAAAUUAUAAAAUUAAAACUGGGAAUCCUAGACACAUAUAUUAACCUACAUAUAAACUUUCAGAAUUUUCCGAGUUCAUUUGAUGGUACAAAUAGUCUUGUGAAUCCGAUCGCAAUGCUGGAAUCGCAGUUUUCCAGUGCGGUGGUUUCUGUUUCGAAAAUACAUAUAAAAUUCAAAACGAAAUCGAAUUCAAUGAAAUAAAAUUUAAUCAAGAAUCCCUACAUGUCUAGUUCCCAGAAAUAUAAAUUUUAUAAGAAAAUUCGUUCAGAAAAUAUAGCUUUAAAUUCGAGAUACUCAUGCUGUCCAGAAUUAUCCUGUGCUUAAUACGUCAAUGAUUGAUUAACUAAACUCAUAAUAAAUCAAAACCCUAAACAAGGCCUAAAUAUAUUAUAAACCAUGCAUUAUGAUCUACAACCAUUAGAAUCGUGCCAAUAUAAACUCUAGCUAGAUAGAGUGAUUAGAAAUCUGUUGAGAACAUGGAGAAUAACUUACCCGUCGCUUGAUUCUCUCCUAAACAAAGGUUUGAAUCCUAGGAUUUGGGUAAGAGCGUAAAGAGCAGCAGGGAAGAAGAAUAAACGUUGUGAAUUUAGGGUUAUGGGAGAGAAAAAGUAUGAAUUUAUAGGGAGUCUUAAGAAACCCUAUUUAGUUAGGAAAAAUAACCAUUUUCCCAAAAUUAUCUCAUAAAUAACCUCUUAAUAAGGGUUAUGGGCCACCCAUAAUUCUCAAUGAAAGCCCAAUUUCCAUAACUUAAUAUAUAUGAGAAUUUGUGUAAUUUCCUAUAUUACACAAUCCUGGCUCUGAUACCACAAUUGUAACACCCCAAAUCUAACACGUGUGGAGCACGUGAAGAAGGAGGUUACUCACAAAUCAAUGAUCUAUACUCAUAAGUUUCAAACUGAAAUACCUCCAAUUCUUAUUCAAAUAAAUCCACAAAUCCAAACGUCAAAUACUAAAUAAUCUCUCCUGAGGACAUAUAAAAAUAAUAACAAAAGUCUCAAACUCCAAAUUACACGUUCAUAAAAAAGUAACUAAAUAGAAACACAAGUCUAUUCCUCCUCUUAUUCAAUGGCAAAUGGAAACUGAAACUUAUUAGCUCCAAAGCCAAGCACACCUCUCAAAAGAAACUUAAUCUGCAAAAAGUAAUGACGAGGGGUGAGCCGUCAACUCAGUAAGUAAAGCCAUGCUUAACACACUAGGCCCAUCGAUACCAAAAAUAUUGCAAGCCUUCUUUUGUUUAAAACAUAUAUCAUAAUCCAUAAUUUUCAUGAAACGAUAUAUCACGAUAACAUAAGAUAAAUUCUUAAUAAUUCAGAAUAUUCAAAAGAAUAUUUACUUACGAAGCAAAUCAUGUAAUACGUAUACAGAAACAAAAAGGUUAGCUCAUGUCACAUAGUGUCACCUAUAGUCCCGGUGACCCGGCCAGAAACAGAAUCAGAAUAUCGUGUGCACACUCAGAACAUAAACCCAGUACUGGUCCAGACAGAUAUAUCGUAUAUUACGAUCAGAAUCAGAAUCAGAAUCAGAAUAACUAUGGACAAUGAGCCAAAACAUUAAGAAUCUCAUACAAUCAUCAAUAAUUGAAAUCAAACAUAGGUACAAAACAUUCGUAUCAGUUUCAUAAAAGUUCAUAUCAAUAAUUUAGGCUUGCAUAACACUUUAUAAAUAAAAUCAUAAAAGUAGGCAUGUAACAAAGUAACUCACAUAUUCAAAAGCAUUUAUAAAAUACUUUGUUAAAAAGAAUUUAGCUUUAAAACAUUUACAUAAAACUAAUUUUAUUAUCAAAAUCAAUUUACCCUUUAAGUAGUAUAAAAACAUUUAUACUUAUAAUAACAAUAUCAAAAUACUUAUACAUAUCCAGUAUGCUAGGAAUGAAGUUACUUACCUCGAGAAAUGAACUUGAAUUAACACACCUCUAAGCUUCUAAGAGCCUCAAUCACCUUCAACUCCCGUCGCUUGAUUCUCUCCUAAACAAAGGUUUGAAUCCUAGGAUUUGGGUAAGAGCGUAAAGAGCAGCAGGGAAGAAGAAUAAACGUUGUGAAUUUAGGGUUAUGGGAGAGAAAAAGUAUGAAUUUAUAGGAAGUCUUAAGAAACCCUAUUUAAUUAGGGAAAUAACCAUCUUCCCAAAAUUAUCUCAUAAAUAACCUCUUAAUAAGGGUUAUGGGCCACCUAUAAUUCUCAAUGAAAGCCCAAUUUCCAUAACUUAAUAUAUAUGAGAAUUUGUGGCGUUACAAUUUCUCCCCUCCUAACAAAAAUUUCGUCCUCGAAAUUAAAAGGUUAGCUCAUUGUAACCCUUAAUUACAAUUAAGUAUCUUGCCAGGUCUUGGUUGGGUCAUGACAUUAUGGUAUCAGAGCGGCUCCGCGUGUCCUCUUGAGCGAUGGUGGGGCAAACCUCAGCGAGGACGCUGAGUCCCCAAGGGGGGGUGUAUGUAACACCCUAGGCGAAUCCCACAUCGGCAAAGCACGGGAGAGAUGCUGGGUCAAAAGCAUUUAUAAAAUACUUUGUUAAAGAGAAUUUAGCUUUAAAACAUUUACAUAAAACUAAUUUUGUUAUCAAAAUCAAUUAAUCCUUUAAGCAGUAUAAAAACAUUUAUACUUAUAAUAAUAAUAUCAAAAUACUUAUACAUAUCCAGUAUGCUAGGAAUGAAGUUACUUACCUCGACAAAUGAACUUGAAUUAACCCACCUCUAAGCUUCUAAGAGCCUCAAUCACCUUCAACUCCUUAAACAAAUACAAGAUAUGACAAUUAAUGACUUAUUCUAAGAAUCUGAUUUUCUAAUUCAUACCUGUACAGGUCUGAUUCUCAGAAUUUUAACUCUUAAUCUAAAACUCAGAAUGAUAUAAUAUUCUAUGGAACUAUUCUGGACAUCCAUGAAUACCCCAUGUAAAAUUUACAAGAGGAUCCGAUAUCAAAAACAUUUUAAAAACUAUUUACUACUCAGCAAACUCGAAACUGUUUUCACAUAAUCUAAACCAAACAGAACGGGUUCCGUAAUUUUUAUAAAAUAAAAUACUAACCAGAAAAUUAUAAAAUUAAAACUGGGAAUCCUAGACACAUAUAUUAACCUACAUAUAAACUUUCAGAAUUUUCCGAGUUCAUUUGAUGGUACAAAUAGUCUUGUGAAUCCGAUCGCAAUGCUGGAAUCGCAGUUUUCCAGUGCGGUGGUUUCUGUUUCGAAAAUACAUAUAAAAUUCAAAACGAAAUCGAAUUCAAUGAAAUAAAAUUUAAUCAAGAAUCCCUACAUGUCUAGUUCCCAGAAAUAUAAAUUUUAUAAGAAAAUUCGUUCAGAAAAUAUAGCUUUAAAUUCGAGAUACUCAUGCUGUCCAGAAUUAUCCUGUGCUUAAUACGUCAAUGAUUGAUUAACUAAACUCAUAAUAAAUCAAAACCCUAAACAAGGCCUAAAUAUAUUAUAAACCAUGCAUUAUGAUCUACAACCAUUAGAAUCGUGCCAAUAUAAACCCUAGCUAGAUAGAGAUUAGAAAUAUGUUGAGAACAUGGAGAAUAACUUACCCGUCGCUUGAUUCUCUCCUAAACAAAGGUUUGAAUCCUAGGAUUUGGGUAAGAGCGUAAAGAGCAGCAGGGAAGAAGAAUAAACGUUGUGAAUUUAGGGUUAUGGGAGAGAAAAAGUAUGAAUUUAUAGGAAGUCUUAAGAAACCCUAUUUAAUUAGGGAAAUAACCAUCUUCCCAAAAUUAUCUCAUAAAUAACCUCUUAAUAAGGGUUAUGGGCCACCUAUAAUUCUCAAUGAAAGCCCAAUUUCCAUAACUUAAUAUAUAUGAGAAUUUGUGGCGUUACAACUUAAUUCAACAUUGUUGGAAAGAUAGGCUUUUAGAAGCGGAAGAAAGCCACUCAAACCAAAGUGAUUGUCCUUGUAUUGAUCAAGGGAUGUAAACAUAUUACAUUUGCAGGAUGAGUUUUAAUCACUCCCCUGAUUUAUUUGGGUUGCAAUAAACUAAGCGAGCAACUGUUUGACUUUCAAGCAACAUCUAAAUCAGCUAUUAAAAUUCAAAUAAAAUUAUAAUAGAAUAAUAACAGGCCAUCUUGCAUCAAAAAUUAAGUUUAAUUUGUGAAUUUUUUUCUAUAGACAUGUUAGUUCCUGCUAUUGAAAUGUUAAAAGCAUUGAAAAAUUAUUCAAUAAAUUAUGCAAACAUUAAAAUAGAGGACAUAUUAAAAAGCUUCUAAUUACAAUGUUAAGAUUUCCUAUAUUUUAGCAUUUGCAUAUUUUAAUUUAUUUAAAAGCUACGUCGAUCAACUUUGGGCGUGAAGAUUUUAGCUUCUACGAGACUUGAUUGGAAUAUGCAUAAGGAAGUGUGUUAAAAUAUGAUGCAUCCAACGAAAGACGAACCACGUGUAGUCUUUUAAUUAAGCCAAAGUAGCAGCUCAAACAAAUGACACUUGGACCAACAUGCAAUCAUGAAGUGGCCAGAAAAAGGACAAAUGCAACUUUGGCUUAAAUAAAAAAUAACAUGUGACUUGACUUUUGCUGGACAUGCAUCAUGUUAUUACAAGACAACAGAAAUCAGUAUGAUAGUACUAAAAGUUCACAAUAACAUGAAGAUAAGAGGCAGAAUGUCAACAAAUGCAUAGGCACACACAAGAAAGUAUUAACUUAUAUACCAUAGCAAAAAGUCUUUGAUAUGUCAUCUGUUGCUGCUGUGAUUCAACUGACAGCAUGGCAGCUGUCGCUUCUCUACCAAGAGCCAUUAUUGUAGAUUUAAGCUCGGUCAAUCUUGCUUCUGCAUUUCGAAGCUUCACAGCACUCUCUGCUGAUAUAUCAGAUUCCCUAAUCUUUGAUCGGCGCCUAAAUACUUCAGCUGCCUGGUGAAAAUAUUCAAUGUAAAUCUAACAUAAUUCUAAUCUUGCCUUAUACAUGCAUAUGUUAACUCAAAGCUUACCUGGGCUUCAACUUCAUGUCGAAGUUUGUCAUAACGAUGAGUCAAGAAAAUAUCUUAGAACUAAGUUUCCUUAUGAGAAGAUAAUAGUUUCAGUAGUAAUUUACAUAUAAUUUUCUAUAUUUGAAUUAUUUUCUAGUUAGGGAUGAACUAACCUGCUCACGAAGAAUCCCAAGCAAAGUUUCCCUCUCAUUUUCCAUCAAAUCAUGUGAAGUGCCAAAUUGAAGAGCAGCUCUUGCAACGCAAGAAUUGUCACUUUGAUUCUCCACUCCAUACUUGCAACAAUCUUCGGCCAACUUUCUCGCUACAAUAUUUGAAUACAAAAAUAUUGUACACAAGAACUAGUCAAGAAAAAAAAAAUCAAAUAUUAUAACGAGAGCAAGAGCAAACUAACAACCUAUUUCCAUUUGUUUCAAGCUUACUGCAACAAACACUUCAACGCCACGGACAACAUUCCUCUGAAAAUGCUGCGCUACAGAGCAUAUAUUCCAAAUCAUUGUUCAGAUAAAACCAUACAAACCAUCAUAAUUAUUCAACAUACAUUAAGCUCCGUUUGGUAAAUACUUGCAACUUCAGUCUAGAAAAUACAGUUAAUUUUUAUUUAAAAAACAUCAUAAUUAUCAACAUACAUAUUUGACAAAAUUAUUAUUUAAAAAUCAUAACUAAUUACCAAAAGCCACAAUAAAUCAAUAUCAAACAGAGUCUUAUUAUUAGCUAAAGGAGGAUGGUGCCUUAGCUGCCCUGGUGGAAUUGUAUAGAUUUUGAAGUUGUUGGUGACACUCAAGUUCAGCUUCAUCAACCGCAACAUUUUCAAUGCCAAGAUGGAGCAGAUGCUUCAAUACUGCCUGUACAAACCAUAAAAAACUAAUGAAAAAUAAAUAAAAUCGAGAAAUUUCACUAAUUAAAAAAGAAAAGAAACGGACUUGCUGUUGAAAACAGCAGCUGUGAAGAGUCAAAGAUUGACCUUGAAUCCAAGCUGGCAUGCCACCUAAGCUUCUGUAAUCUACAGCCAGCUGACAUGGAAGAUGAGUCAGGAUUAUUGAGCUGGCAGAACAGCUGUGCUGAAGAAUAUCAGCACAUAAGCAUGGAGCAGCUGAAGCUUCUAGAAUUCUAAAAUGAUUGGCUCAUGAUUGGCAGUCUGACAAAAUUAGUUUUUCUGUGUAAUAUUCUUUAUUAGCUGUCAUUAUUUUCUUGUCUCUAUAUAUACUACAAUUGCUCUGUAAUACGUCAGUUGGGUAAGCAAUAAUAAAAGGAAUACUCUGUCUUGUUCACUCUGCUUGCAAUACUAAGCAAUUCUUUAGAAUUUAAGUUGGUAUCAGAGCCAUCUUUUAGCUAUGGCAAGCAGCAGCGACAAUGAAACAAAUGUUAAUCCAACACAGGUUGAUUCAAGUGAUCAACCAGACGAUUUGAAUCAAAACACUGAGCCACAAAAUCCAGGCCUUAACACCAGAAACACAGCACAAAUAAGUGCAUCACCAACCCAGCAUAUCACCAGCAACACCUAUGUCUUUACUACUCCAAUCAAACUAACUCAAAGCAACUUUAUGCUCUGGAAAUCACAAGUGAUUUCUAGCAUUAGAGCAAAUGAGCUUAAGGGGUUUAUUGAUGGCAGCCAUGUCUGCCCUCCUAAGGUCUUCAUGAGUCCUGGACCAAAUCGAUCCACCAUUACCACACCUAACCCUGAAUACCAGAUUUGGAGGAAACAUGAUCAUAUCCUAUUGAGUUGGCUACUCUCCUCUCUAAGUGAAGGAGUACUAGGCACAGUGGUAGAUUGUUCCACCUCCUGUGAGGUGUGGACAACUCUAGCCAACCAAUUUGGUGCUAGAACAAGGGCAAGAGUCCUAUAUCACAGAACUCAAAUUCAAACUACUAAAAAGGGUUCAUCAACCAUUCACGAAUACUACUCAAAAAUGAAAACUUUAUUGAACUCACUUAGAGCUGCAGGGAAUAGCAUGAAUGAUGAUGAUUUCAUCAUGUGUGUGCUUGCUGGUUUGGGGACAAAAUAUUACUCAGUAGUUACCAACAUCAACUCAAUGCAGGAGAGUCCCUCGAUCUCGGAAGUAUAUGGUAUGCUCUUGAGUCAAGAAAACAGAACUGAGCAAAACUUGAGCUCAGGGAACAUUGAAGCAAACUAUGCUCAAAUGAGGAAUGGAAGAAGGAGCUGGAACAACAGUGAAAGAACUACACAUCAGCAGCUGCCUGGAAUUGUUUUCAGAAAUCCUGGAAACAACCCCACAAAUAACCAAACCAAUCAGAAUCCUCAAGACAAAGGAAAAGGAAAAGCAGUGGCUGAUGACAGUGGUUCUGACCCAAAAGGGCCUUGUCAAAUCUACUGGAAAAUGGGACACACAGCAGCUGAGUGUUGGCACAGAUUCAAGAAGAACUUUGUACCUCAGCCAAACAGAAGAAGAGAGCAGAGAGGUGCUUAUGUUGCUGCAGCUGAAGGUCAAAGUAGUGGAGCUUGGUACCUUGACAGUGGUGCUACAAAUCAUGUGACUAACUCUCUUGGAAAUCUCAGCAUCAACUCUGAAUACCAAGGUAAAAACAAGCUAGCUGUUGGUAAUGGUGAAAAGCUUUUGAUUAGUCACAUUGGUUAUUCUGCUUUGCCCACAUAUGAUCCACACAAGCACAUCACCUUAACUGCUAUACUAUGUGUGCCUGACAUAACCAAAAACCUUAUUAGCAUUUCUAAAUUGCUGCAUGACAAUGAUGUUGAUGUUGAGUUUCAAAAAUCUGUUUGUUUUAUUAAGGACAAGAGACAAGGGAAAAUUCUGGUGAAAGGAGUGGCUAGAGUGGGCUAUAUGAGCUGAUGCACUUACCUGCCAUCCUGAGCAGGAACAAAAAUCCACAUGCUGUUUUGUCUUCUAUUCUGUCAAAUUCAGAGUCAAUGAAUAAUAAUAGUUGUCCAGUGUCCAUGUUGUCUUUCAAUUCAAGUAAUGAGUCCGUCAAAGUUAGUGUCGAGCCAAAUAUAGCUGAUGAGUCAAGAAGCAACAAUCUGCAAGCUGCUGAAGAAACUGAUGUGUGGCAUUCCAGACUAGGACACCCUAGUACUUCAGUCCUGAAAAACACCUUGUUAUCUUGUAAUCAGCUCAAAAUUAAUAAAGAUAUUGUUCCUUCAUUUUGCUCAGCAUGCCAAUAUGGAAAGCAAUCAAAACAAUCUUUCAAAAGCACUGAAACCAAAACUAAGACAGCCCUUGAACUGAUUCACACAGACCUUUGGGGACCAGCACCAAUUCUAUCCACUCAUGGACACAGAUAUUACAUCUCCUUUGUUGAUGACAGAACAAGAUACACAUGGCUCUUCCCUUUAGCAACCAAGUCUCAAGCUCUUGAAACCUUCAUUACCUUUAAAAAUCAGAUCGAAAAAUAAUUGAACCUAACAAUCAAAGCACUACAAACAGACAUGGGAGGAGAGUUCAGAGCCUUUGAACCAUAUUUGAAAAGAGAUGGAAUAACUCUAAGGCAUUCAUGUCCAUACUUACAUGAACAAAAUGGCAAGGUUGAGAGAAAACAUAGACACAUUGUGGAGACUGGACUUGCCUUACUUGCCCAAGCCAAAAUGCCCUUAAAAUUUUGGCAAGAAGCUUUCGGCUAUGCUAUCUUCAUUAUCAACAGACUUACCUCACCUGUGCUAAAGAACAAGACACCAUUUGAGUUAUUGUAUUCUUUCAAACCAGAUUAUACACAAAUUAAAAUCUUUGGCUGUGAGUGUUUUCCAUUUCUUAGACCAUACAACAGACACAAAUUUGAUUUUCACACUUCCAAAUGCAUCUUAUUGGGGAUCAGCAGUGCUCACAAAGGUUAUGUUUGUAUGAACAGUUCAGGAAGAGUUUAUAUCUCAGCUAGUGUCAAAUUCAAUGAAAAAUCCUUUCCUUUCGAAAAUGAUUCUAGCUUUAGGAAACAAGAGUCAGUAAAGGAAGGUGAUGAAAUUGCCUUACUUGAAAAAUUCCAGGUUGUGUCAUUCUCUGUCAACAAUCCCCAUGGUCUCACACAAGUGGCAACAUCUCAUAGCAACUCUCCAGACACUACUGGAAACACAGAAUGCAUCCUAAGUCCAGUCCAGAAUGAAAUGCAAUAGGUAAAUGAUACUGACACAAUAUCAGGUAGCCUUUCAACUCACAGUCCACCUCACAUUACAGAAAUAAACAGCCAAAACCUUCCCACACAAAAGGCCUUGCCUUCACACCCCAUGGUAACAAGAUCCAAGGCUGGGAUCUUCAAACCAAAGCUGUACCAGGUUUCCAGUAAACCACAACCUUCUCUUCCCAAAAACACAUUUGAGGCUUUGAAGGAUCCCAAGUGGAGAAAGGCAAUGAAGGAUGAGUAUCAUGCAUUGAUGAAAAACAAAACCUGGACCUUGAUACCAAACAACCAAAAUUGCAAAUUGAUUGGAAAUAAGUGGAUCUACAAAGUAAAGGAAAACUCAGAUGGCAGCAUCAACAAGUACAAGGCCAGAUUAGUAGCAAAGGGAUUCUUACAAACUCCAGGACUUGAUUUCAAUGAAACUUUCAGCCCUGUUAUUAAGGCUGCAACUAUUAGAAUCAUCCUAACCAUGGCAGUAAGCAAUGACUGGUUGCUUAGGCAAGUGGACAUAAACAAUGCCUUCUUGAAUGGUGACCUGACAGAGGCAGUAUACAUGCCACAACCUGAGGGUUUUGAAGACAAGAACAGACCAAGCUACAUUUGCAAACUGGAAAAGGCUUUGUAUAGAUUGAGGCAAGCUCCGAGAGCAUGGUUCGACAAACUAAAAGGUGCCUUGAGUUCUUGGGGAUUCAAAAAUUCCAGGAGUGACACAUCUUUGUUUUUCAGAAGAAUUGAAUCAAAGAUAGUCAUCAUGCUCAUAUAUGUAGAUGACAUUAUAAUCACUGGAAGUGACAGUCAAGGCAUUGAGGAAGUCAUUAAAGAUCUGAACACAUCCUUUGCUCUGAAGGAUCUCGGAAAUUUGAAUUUCUUCCUUGGGAUACAAGUUCUAAGGAAUCAAAACUCUAUCCUACUCUCUCAAGCAAAAUAUAUUCAAGACUUGUUGGCCAAAACAGAAAUGACAGACUGUAAAGGAAUAGAGACACCCUUCAGCACUUCUGAGAAAUUGGAAAAGGAUGCUGUGAAUAGAUUCCACGAUCCCACACUCUAUAGAAGCAUCAUAGGAAGCCUGCAAUAUACAGUAUUGACCAGGCCAGAGCUUGCUUUCUCAGUUAACAAGCUCAGUGAGUUCAUGUCUGAUCCUAGACAGCCACAUUGGGUAGCAUGCAAAAGAGUGCUGAGAUAUCUCAAAAACACAAUGAAUAUGUGUUUAAGUUUCAAAAAAUCUGAACAUCUGGAUCUCAUUGCCUAUACGGAUGCAGAUUGGGCAACUGAUCCAGAUGACAGAAGAUCCAUAAGUGGAUACUGUGUGUACUUGGGAGAUAAUCUGGUUGCUUGGAGCUCGAGAAAACAAGGCAUAGUAGCAAGGUCAACAGCUGAAUCAGAAUAUAGAGCAAUGGCUCUAUGCAGCACUGAAAUCACAUGGAUUAAUUCUCUACUUGGUGAGUUGAAGAUGGAUGUUGAAAAUAUACCAAUUAUCCUAAGUGACAGCACCAGUGCAGCAGCCAUAGCAGCAAACCCAGUCUAUCACUCCAAAACAAAACAUUUCGAGAUAGACCUUUAUUUUCUCAGAGACAAAGUUACAAAGGGAGAAUUGGAAAUAAACUAUAUUGGCAGCAAUGAUCAAAUUGCGGAUGUGCUGACCAAGCCAUUACCACAUCACAAGUUUAGCUGUUUUAGAAGCAAACUCAAAGUCAUUGACAAGACCUUGAGUUUGAGAGAGGGUGUUGAAAACAGCAGCUGUGAAGAGUCAAAGAUUGACCUUGAAUCCAAGCUGGCAUGCCACCUAAGCUUCUGUAAUCUACAGCCAGCUGACAUGGAAGAUGAGUCAGGAUUAUUGAGCUGGCAGAACAGCUGUGCUGAAGAAUAUCAGCACAUAAGCAUGGAGCAGCUGAAGCUUCUAGAAUUCUAAAAUGAUUGGCUCAUGAUUGGCAGUCUGACAAAAUUAGUUUUUCUGUGUAAUAUUCUUUAUUAGCUGUCAUUAUUUUCUUGUCUCUAUAUCUACUACAAUUGCUCUGUAAUACGUCAGUUGGGUAAGCAAUAAUAAAAGGAAUACUCUGUCUUGUUCACUCUGCUUGCAAUACUAAGCAAUUCUUUAGAAUUUAAGUCUUGCUGCUGCUUGGCGACUUGUUCUCGGAGCUUGAUUGCCUGUUUCUUGAUAGCUUCCAUACUGUUUCUUUCAAAAAGCGACGACGGCUCAGCUCAUGGAGGUGGAAAAAAAAAAGUGUGAUCGAGAAAAAUAAAAAGGCAUGAAUAAUUUUUGAAAAAAAAGCGAAAAUCAAGGAAAGCCAGCUCUUUCCAGAAAAUAAAAAAAGAAAAAAGAAAAUUAUAAGUUUGAAAGGAGAAGAUGAUAGUGGAAGUGUGCAGUGUGGCUGCCAGCUACUUGGAUUGUAGAGAAUUUUUUUUUUGUGGACAGAGCAUGACAUUAGACUUUUGUGGACCAAAUUCAAAAGCCGAAUGGCAUGGCCCAGAAGCUUUUGAAUACAAUAACUUGCUAGAAAGCUCCAUUUUUUAUUCUUCUUAUAUUUUACGCUUGUAUCAGCCUCAAUCACUUCUUAAUCGCUUGCUUUAACUGCAUCGCUCUCUCUGUGCUCUUCUAUAUAUGUAACAGUUAUGCGGUUGUAGUUCACGACUGAGGCUACGUGUUGGUUUGACGUGGCAGUUACGUUACAAGGGGAUAAAUAAGAUUGGUUGCAACAAACCCACUAAUUUUAUAAAAUUCGAGUAAUAUAGAAUAAAAUAAAAAAUAAAUACAAAAUUGGCUUUUAUUUUUUAUGGUUGACUGUAUUUUGUGUUCUCUUCCGGCACUACUACAAUUGUUACCUAUAUAUCAGUCACACCCAUAUAUCAUUAACACAAGAAAUGAAAUCUAAUGUCACCUAUUUAGUUAAAGAAUCACUCAUGAAAUUUUUUUACCUUUUUCAUUUGAGGAUCCAUAUUUUGAACUGCAAGUUAAUGUUCAUCAAGAAUCACUAAUGUUCAUAAAAAUCCGAGUAUGGCCGUUGAGUAGAAAAAUUAUUUUUGGACAAAUUAUUUUUGUUGAUAGAAGAAUUUCUUAAGGGACUACUAAAAUUAUUAAUAAAAAUGUAGAACACACCCACAUAUCAUCAACACAAUUGACUUUGAGGAUCCAUGCUUUGAACUGCCGCCUAAUGUUCAUCAAGAACAGAGUAUGACUUGUGAGUAGAAAAUUUUAUGAUUUUGGCCCGAAAUAAAAAGAAAUUAAAUUAGAUGAGAAUCUGCCACUUUCUCAUGAAGAAAGGCAUACGGAGCAUACCAUGGUACCAUACAAUACAAAGAGUCUCCGUUCUCUGGUUUUUCAAACUAUAAAGGGGCCAAUAUUCCCGAAUUCUCCCUUGAAAAUUCUGAUUACGACAUUAUUCAUCGCUUGACGCAAUCAAAGUAGCGACAAAGUUAAGAAAAAUAUGAGUCCUAAGCAAUUGCUAGGUAGGGUUCCUGAGAGUAAAAUUGUCCUAAGCAUUAUAUGCAUACAUGGUGUGGUACAUAGAGCACGUUGAAUUCCACACUAUAACACAAACCUAGAAAGACAAGUAAUAACUCAACUGAUAUAAAGACAAAAAGAAGAUAAAAUGAUAUAGAAAAAAGAAUUUCAAAGAGACAGCAACAUACGAUAGACUGAAGCCACUUGAUCUGCUCAUUGAUUGCAGCCUUAAACUUACAAAUAAUUACCGUACGCUAGUGCUCUAAGAAGUGAAAAUGAUGCAAGCCCUGAUUCCCUUUUGACUUCCAUUUACUGUCAAACAUUCUAGUAAUACAAAAAAUUGUUUAAAUAUCUUGCUAUAAAUAUAGCCGUUUGACUGUCAUAAUAAAGUCACAAAUAACCAUUCAUAUUGAAAUAUCUUGCUAUAAAUAUAACCAUUCCUUAUCAAUACAUUUGGCAAAAACUUAAGAAGAAAACUAUUUCUCCAUCUCUUUUUUGAAAUUUCACAAUAAACCAGCACAUUAUGAAAGCUAUGUUCUAAUCUUAUGAUAAAUGCUCUAGACUCCAAAAGGACUUUAUAUAUGAGAGUUUGUUGCAGCAGAUAUAUUGACUUAUCAAGUAUGAAUCAUUGUCUGGAUGAACUAUCUUUAAAUAAAAGAACAUUAGAACCACUGUAGAAUAUCUUUACGCUGCUGGUUCUAACAGGAAUCUGCAUGUGGCAACAAUUGCUAGAUCCACAAUUCCCCAACUUGAAAUACAUAGUUGCACACCAUGAGAUAGUGCUACAAUCUACUGAGAUCUAACUUAUAUGAUACUUUAUGCUACUAAUUGCAUAUUUUUACAUGUUAAAUUAACACUAUCAUCUAUAAUCACUCCAAAAUGACAAAUGAUAAGCAGCUUUUGGCUAGUUAUUACUAGCAUCCACAAUUAUAAAUAAGAGAUCAUGGGUUUACUUGUUGCACCUACUUAAUGAUCUGCAGUUGAGACCCUGACGCAAGGUUUAAAUAGUGACUGCUUAGAACCCUUGUAGUUGGAUCUUGACCUCUCCCAUUUUAGCCAAGAUUGGCUACUCUGGUAAUGAAUCAACACUGUCCUGCUCAGGGCCAUGAAGAUCUGGAAGCUCAGCACUAGUGGAGAACUUCACCAAUCUCUUCUUCUCAGCAUACUUGAGACAAGGCUGCAUUACGAGACCAAUCACCACAGCACCAACGAUUAAAACUGCAACUUUUAAAGUAGAAAGAGCCAACACAACACAAAUCAAUAUGGUUGGAGGAAUACAUAUGAUAAUGGCUCCAACAGUGCCAGUGGGUAUCUUGUAAGGACGAGAUAAAUAGUAGAGAAGUUUUUAAGAAGCUAGAACAGAGCAUGUUAGACUUUUGUUGACCAAAUUCAAAAGCCAAAUGGCACAGCCCAGAAGUUUUUGAAUAGAAUAACUUACUAGAAAGCUCCAUUUUUUGUUGGCUACAGUAAAAGGAUGUUGUUUUGUUCUUCUUAUACUUUACGCCUGCAUCAGCGUAAAUCACUUCUUAAACGAUUGCUUUAACUGCACCGCUUCGAGUCUGUUAAACAUUCGGUGAUAAGAUUAGUUACAACAAACCUACUAGUUUUAUAAAAUUCAAGUGAGAUGGAAUAAAAUAAAAAAAUAAAUAUAAAAUUGGCUUUUAUUUUUUAUGGUUGACUGUAUUUUGUGUUCUCUUCGGGCACUACUACAAUUGUUCCCUAUAUAUCAGUUACACUCACGUAUCAUCGACACGAAAAAUGAAAUCUAAUAUCACCUGUUUAGUUAAAGAAUCACUCAUGAAAAAAAAUUACCAUUUUGAUUUGAAGAUCCAUAUUUUGAACUACCAAUUAAUGUUCAUCAAGAACAGAGUAUGGCCGUUAAGUAGAAAAACUAUUUUUGGACAAAUUAUUAAAUUCCAAUAUUGUAUCGAUAUGCAAACGAUGCCUGAAGCAUAGCCUCCAAACAAUGAUCAGGGCACAAAACAAGAGUGUAGUAAUCAAGUGUAUUGUCUCAUAAUCAAUUAAAAGCAGAUAUACAGGAUACCAUAUUCAAUUCCAAAAUAACAAAAGCAUAAUGAGGAUGAGAAGAACAAUGCAAGAUUUGUUGUUGUUUUAGUUGCUUCUAAUAUUUUUUAUGACGCACAUCUAUUGAAUUAAGAGAUUUCUAUAAUCAGUGCCGCAGUACUGAAAAUAAACUACUUGUCAGUCAAAUAGCUGAGUAUUUCUAUGAGAAUGCCAUUAUUAAUGACCGACUUUUUCCAGAUUCUUGGACAAACAUAAGAGACUAUUGUGCUUAGUUAAAACGAUCACUCAAAUAUGAUUUCUCCACUUUGGUUGUCAAUUAUCUAUUCAAAUUAAUCAGUGUCAUAAUCGACUUAUUUAUUUAGAAGAGCGGGUGAUAAAUAUAUUUAAUAAUGUGAACAAGAAGUUGAUCAACUUUUAUGAUCAUUUGGAAGGUCGGCGUGUCAUCACUCGUCAAACACAUUGCAUCGAUCCACCAGCAUGAACCGACCGGAUUAUGCCCAAAAGUUGAAAUAUCAAUAAAAAAAAAUUAAUUAAAGGUCGAAGAUGGGUCCUUUACAUAUGUUUUUGUUUUCGUAUUAGGUAGGAAGUUACUAUAUUAUAUCAUGUAAUUAAUUUAUUAUUGCUCAACAUUAAGUAAUAACUUAACUAUAUAAAGACAAAAAGAAGAUAUAAAAAAAAAAGAAUUUCAAAGAGAUAGCAACAUACAAUAGAUUGAAGCCAUUUGAUCUGCUCAUUGAUUGCAGCCUUAAACUUGUAAAUAGUUACUGUACGCUAGUGCUCUAAGAAGUGAAAAUGAUGCAAACCCUGAUCCCCUUUUGACUUCCAUUUACUGUCAAAUAUUCUAUUCAUACGAAAAAAAUGUUUAGAUAUCUUACUAUAAAUAUAGCCGUUUGACUGUCUUAAUAAAGUCACACACAACCAUUCUUAUUAAAUUAGUAAGAUCAAACACUGCCCUGGAUCUUGAAGAGAUCAACACAAGUUGCACAACUUACGAUUGAAUCCGGCCAGAAACAAUCAACUCUUUAGCAAGAACAAUUAAUCAGAGCAAGAAACAAGUUUAAUGAAUAUAAACCUAUAAUUGAAAAUUUGAAACAAACAUAGCCAAGAAAAAAAUACAGAUUUUACACGGUUCAGUUGUACCUAGGAUGGCACAACCUACACCACGAGAGAAGCUUUCUGGUGAGAUUUUAUUGAUGAUCAAAGAAGAAUCUUUUGACAAAGCUGAUAAUAGAGAUUUCAGAGAAUAAGCCAUAACCCUCUCUCCCUCUUCAAUCUCUCUCUAUUUUGUUCCCAUUGAUGACCCCAAUCUGCUUAGUUAUCCAGCUUUAUAGCUGCAUCAGUAACAAACCAGCAAACCCAGAUUGAGCAGAUUAACGACACGUGGAUAACGGCUUUAACGAACCUGGUUAAGAACUGCUCACAUUUUCGUCACGCGUACUGCUUAAAUGAUGGCCAAAACGACUUCAAACAAAUGUCGUUUUGAGGCUUAUGAAUUACAAGUGAUAACACGAGCUUGUCUCAUGACUUUUAAAUGCAACAACGUGCCCACAACGCCGUCGUUUUACUCUGUUGAGUUUGAUUCAUUACUAAGCUUUACGACUGGCAAUGGAGAAGAUGAUAAUUUAAUUGACAUGGACAGUUUUUAUAUCACUUUUACUUGCAAUUGUAAUAUUGAGAAUUAUUGAUGUUUUAUAUGUGAAUCCUCAUUGGCAAAAACUAGUGGUUUUAUCUUUGUUGAAAUGUAGAUGACCUCUCGUUACUAUUUUAUUAUAAACAUAUAGUUUCGUAAGAGAAACUAUAUGUUUAUAAUAAAAUUAACAUAUAGUUUCGUUACAUUUCUGCCUCAUUAAGAUUCUCAAAUACCAGUCAGGUUUGCUUAAGGAAUAAAAUUUUUUCAUUAAAAUUGCAGUAGUAUUUCCAAGCAUAUUGCAUUUUCUAUGAUUUUUCAUAAAUUAAUUAAUCUGCGGUGCCAAUAUCAGAUUUAGUUUUUCAAACUAAAUAAUCAAGAAAGCAAACAUACAAAUAUACAGUUUAGAGGGGUAAACUAGGUAGGUGGUUUAGAUUUUAGAACUAAGCCAGCUACCUCGCUAAAUUCCGAUUCGUACAGUGAACUGCAAGAAAUUGAGAAAACAAUGUAUUUAUAACUUAAUAGAAUCAUAAGAAAACAAUGUAGUCAUUGCUCAAUAUAAGAUGAUUUCGGAGAGGCACAUUGUUUUCAAGUUAAUUUGAUCCGUUUAUGAGAGAUGAAGUGGAAUGAAGUUGAAAGUUUCCUGACAUGUACAGUAGAUGAAGUUGUUGCUCCUUUCUUUGGAUUAUUUCAGCUCCGGUUGUUGGUCACCGAUGAGCCGGAGUCUUAUUUUAAUUUUAUUUAAACUCAUCAUAAGAUUCGUGGAGCACCUAACUAACUUAACUGACUGUGCAGAGCAUGUCAACAUUGCAUAUUUAACCAUCAUUCAAGUGAUGGGUUUAAUAAGACUGCUUUUGUUCUAUCAAGUUCCUCCGCCUCUAAGCAGAAUUACUAUUGAAGAGCCAAAAAGAAAAUGAAAACGUGUGAACCCCAACAACCACCCCACAAAUUCAAUGACGAUGCUAAGAGAGGGUUAGGCUGGGCCUCUGAGAAAAAACAUUUAUUUAGUUAAAAAAUUACCCUUAUUGAAACCUGUAUAAAAAUUUAUAUUAGUUAGUUAUGUUGCCUCUUCAACUAUGAUCAAAUUCUUAUCCGAGCUCAUCAUUUAAUGAGUAAAAGUGUAUUUUAAUGAUCUCAGUUAAUAUUUAGAACAAAUAUUUUAAGAAGUAAAGCUUAUUAUAUCUCCCAUCAUUAGGUAUCUCUUUAAUUUCUUAUUUACAAAAUUAUAUUGUACAUUAAAAAAAUUCAACUCACUCAAAAAAAAAAAAAAUGCUGGUAGCUUCGUAAUAAUUACUGUAUUAUUGACUGCACAAGAUAAAGUUUUGUAAAAUAAUAAGUUCUCAUUAGUGGUUUUUAAUUUUUUUAAUUUUUUUUUCCGGCACACCUGAUCAAGAAUUCUAUUUUGUUAACUAAUCAAUUGCAAAGCAUAAAUGUUGAACAGUACAAAAAAUUUGAAAAAAGACACUUAAAACGUGGGGUGAAAACACUUCUGUCUAAUUUCCGUUAGUGGAUUUAACGGAAUGUUCACGAAAUUACAUUUUUACCUCUCAAAAUUACAAUUUAACCCAAAAUAAAUGGAAAUUGCAGAUAAAUUGGAUGGAUUUAAUUUUUUUCAAAGGUGGAUGCUAGAAAUUGGAGGAAAAUAGUGUUUGUUGCUUGCUAAAUUUAGAAAAUUUGUAUUUAUUUUUUUGAAAGAGAAAAAAUAAAUACAAAUUUUCUAAAUCUAGCAAGCAACAAACACUAUUUUCCUCCAAAAAAAAAUAAAUACAAAUUUUCUAAAUUUAGUAACAAACAUUAUUUUCCUCCAAUUUCUAGCAUCCACCUUUGAAAAAAAUUAAAUCCGUCCAAUUUAUCUCCAAUUUCUAUUUAUUUGGGGUUAAAUUGUAAUUUUGAGGGGUAAAAAGGUCAUUCCGUUAAAUUUGCUAACGGAAAUUAGACGUAAGUGGACGAAUGCAACAAAAAGCAAGCUUCGGGUGGCGCGUUGAAAAUAAAAAGUGUUUGUCUAUUUUUGAAAAAGACAAAACAAACAGGUGGACGGUUGUAAAUUUUCCUAAUUUUUAUAUCACUUUUACAACGUCCUAUAUAAUUGUAGUAUUAGGAAUUAUUGGUGUUCUAUAUGUGAAUCCUUAUUGGCAAAAAUUGAUGGUUUUAUCUUUAUUGAAAUGUGGAUGACCUCUCGUUACUAUUUUACUUAGACAACUUUAUUCUCAGGAGAUUUUGUCAUUGAAAUUAACAUGUAGUUUCGUUACAUUUCUGUUUAUUAAGAUUCUCAAAUACCAGUCAGGUUUGCUUAAGAAAUAAAAUUUUGCCAUUAAAAUUGUAGUAGUAUUUCCAAACAUAUUGCAUUUUCUAUGAUUUUUCAUAAAUCAAUUAAUCUGUGGUGCCAAUAUUAGGUUUAGUUUUUCAAACUAAAUAAUCAAGAAAGCAAACAUACAAAUUCACAGUUUAGAGGGGUAAACUAGGUAGGUGGUUUAGAUUUUAGAACUAGGCUAGCUACUUCACUAAAUUCUGAUUUGUACAGUGAACUGCAAGAAAUUGAGAAAACAAUGCAUUUAUAGUUUAAUUGAAUCAUAAGAAAACAAUUUAGUCAUUGCUCAAGAUGAGAUGAUUUCGGAGAGGCACAUUGUUUUCAAGUUAAUUUGAUCCGUUUACAAGAGAUGAAGUGGAAUCAAGUUGAAAGUUUAAAUAACAAAUCCUUGUUCUUGAGUUUUACGACGUCUUUGCUCCUUCCAAGUGGCAGAUUAUAUAAACUAAUCAACACUAAAUUGAUUAUGUUUUGUAUGUUUAUAUGCUAAUCAACACGAAAUUAUAUUAAAUGAAGAAAUGCUUCAAUUUUUUCUAAUUUAGUUUAGAAAAUUAAUUAAUUAACAUUAAUAUUCCUAAUAAAAAUUAUUUUCCAUCAGUAUUCAAAAUUUUCACUUAUAGAAAAUGCAUUUUACGUGAAUACUAGCUAUUGUGUAAAUUUGAAUGAUAGCGAAAAAUAAACCUAUUUGAAAACUUAGAUGACCAGCUAAAUAAACCUAUUUGAAAACCAUUCGGCCAACUCCCCAGGGCAAAAAUACGAGGUCCUUAUUUACAUAAUAUACAUGAAUUGAUGUCAUUUAUUAGAAUUAUCCAAAUUCAUCAGAGGUAAAACUGUAAAAUAUAGCAAAAGAAUUAGAAGGGUGUGUUGGGAUAUUUUAUUUAGUUAAAAAAAUUACCUUUAUUGAAACCUGUAUAAAACUUUUAUAUUAAUUACUUAUGUUGCCUCUUCAACUGUGAUCAAAUUCUUAUCAAGCUCAUCAUUUAAUGAGUAAAUGCGUAUUUUAAUGAUCUCAAUUAAUAUUUAGAACACAUAUUUUAAGAAGUAAAGCUCAUUAUAUCUCCCAUUAUUAGGUAUCUCUGUAAUGUAUUGAAUUAGAAGAAAAAAAAAUUCAACUCACUCAAAAAAAAAAAAAAAUGCUGGUAGCUUCGUAAUAAUUACUGUAUUGACUGCACCAGAAAAAGUUUUGUAAAAUAAUAAGUUCUCAUUAGUGGUUUUUAAUUUUUUUAAUUUUUUUUUCGGGCACACUUGAACGGUACAAAAAAUUUGAAAAAAAAACACUUAAAACGUGCCAAGUGUGAAAUUUACGACAAUAAUUACUUUUGAUGCUUGGAAUCAUUUAAUUUCUAGCCGUAUUGACUCCACCAGAUGAAGUUUUUAAGAUAACAUGUUCCCAUUCUUUAUUUUUUUUAUUUUUAAAUGUGCUUCUAAUAAUUUAUAGAAGAAUUUAUGAUUUCCCAUUAGCAUUAUCAUUGAAGGGGGUUGGGUCAAAUAUCAGUUGCUUGAAGAAUUUAUUUAUUAUUAUUGUAUUGAAGUAGGAUGGGUAACGGUUCACUCAAUUCGUUAGGAAUUAAAUAUAGAAAUGAGAAAUAGAGAAAGAAUGGAAGAAAGUUAAGAUAUGAAAGAUCUGCAGUGAAAUUGAUAAUCAUGUUUCUAUUUCGUUAACUAAUCAAAAGGAAAACUGAAACUGUAAACAAACAUUAACACGUGUGGACUCUGCCAGCUGCCCUACAAGUCUACAAUAAUAAUUGAGUACCUUUGAUUCAUCCUUCUAUGAAUUUCUAGCUGUAUUGACCCCAACUGCUAAAGUUUUGUAAAAUAAAAAAAAAAAAAAAACUGGAAUUUCAACAAAAUUCAAAACGUGUGAAAUUUAAUUUUUGGCCAUGUGGAACAAAAUGUAAAUUACGGAAAAAGUAUAAAUCUCAAUUGCUUAGUAUGGUUAGGUUUUGUGAGCAUCACUAAAAAGUGAAAACUAUGAAUGAUAGAGGUGAUGUUUGCAACAUGAAUAAACGAUGAACUGAAUCAAUUGAUGAUCGUAAUUAUAUAAUGAACAAAAUUUACAAAAUCAACAAAAGUUAAUAAAAAUUUAUUUUAAUAAUAAAAAAUAAUAAAACUUAUUAUUUAACGGCGCUCUAACCAUGGAGUGCCAUAAUCAUAUUCUUCUUUUAAGAAAAUUAUAACUUAUUUCAAAUAGCACCAUAACAUAAUUCUAGAUAUUUAAAAGAAAAGCAUUAUCCACCUGAAAUGACUUGAAGUCUAAAGAAAAAGAGAGAGUGGCUCCCCACAAUUUUCUUGUUUUCAGUAUAUUUUCUUUUUUUUUUCUUUUUAAAAUCUUUUGACGCAUACAUAAUCUACCCUUGUUCAUUAUCUCUAUUUUGCUCUGUUCAAGUCCCUUUUUUUUCAAAUCUUAGUUUAAAUAAGAAAAUUGAAUAAAAGUACAUUUGUGUAAUUAAUUAGUAUCUGUUUUUUUUUUGGGGGGGGAGGAUAUUUGGUGUAAUGUUUUGCUAUGUAAGACUCAGCUAUUAUUAAACAGUUCCUUAACCUGUUUCGCAGUUUAUUUGCUAUCUUUGUGGAUCUCAUAGGCGUUGCAGAAUUUAAUAAUUUUAUUCGUCAGAAGAAUAGGAUAUUGGCUUCAAUAAAUUUAAUUUAAACCAACUUUUAUUUACUCCAUCAAUUAAUUAAUGCCAUUUGGUUUUGAAAAAUUCAAUAAUUAAAUUCUCACGUUUUAUGUGUUUGAAGUUAAAUUAUUCAUUAACUAGAACUCUGUUCAAAAUUGACUGUCUUGUGGUUCCCAAAUGUAGUUGUAAUAUUGAAUGAAAGUAAAAACUUUCUAUGGCGAGUUUAAAUCUAAAUCUGAACAAUGAAUUUUGACUUUCUCAAUACUAUCCUAAUUAUGAAAAUUAUAUUAAUUGAUUUAUUGUUACAGUUACUAGCCUUUGAAAAUGGAUGGAUUUAUUGUUUCCGUGACCAAAUUAUGCCUGCCUAACGCUGCAACUAUUAAAAAAAUUAAUAUUUAAUGCACAUGUUAAAAGAUUUAAAAUUUUAUGCAUUUAUUAAUUGUUAUAAUCUAAAAGAAAAUUAAUUAAUUCAGGUCAAUCUGAGUUGGUGCAUCUGCAGGAGCCUUUUUUUUUUUUUUCCGUUUAUUGACCAUAAAUGCAGUAAUAUAUACAUUUCAAUAUGUUGACACACUCUGGCCAGAGAAUUCUAUGAUCAAGUGCCGAAAACCCAUCAAGAGAUGUGUUGUACAAAUUCUAUAUUGUUAAUCCAUAACUCCAAUACUCAUAAUUGCUCCCACCAAGAUACUGGGUAAUCUUGACCACAAGAAUGUGUCGUGCCCAUUGGUAACUCAAAUGGAAUAACAAUUACAAUCAUGAAAUCAUAAUUAACACAAGAUUAAGAUUACAGUAAAAUCAAUGCCUAUGAGAUUUAAUAAGUUUGACAGUCAUUUCAAUGUUAAUUAAAUCUCAUAUGUGAUCCUGUUCAAUGUAGUCGUACUUCAUUAAUAAAUUCAUACAUGAUUAAGACAAAUCAUUCAAUGAAUUCAUUACAGUCUAUACCUAAAUAAAGUGCCCAACUUUAUUUAUCAACUGCGAACUAAAUUUAGUUAAUCAUAAGAUAACUUAUAUUUAUGUCUUUUGUGAAUCCACAUGGUGAUCACAUAAAUGCAUAUAAUAUGAUUAAAUGGACUUUGAUCAAAAUAUUAAUGUAAUUAAGAUAUUUGAAUAAAAUACCUCAUUAAUUUUAUUAAUCAGAAAAAAUGUUUAUUAUAAUUAAAUAAACACAUAUGCUUUUAAAGAGCAUAUUUUCCCAACAUUCUAUCUGUCAAUUUCAUCUAGAAGUCCCUCUGAAAACAUCUCCCAAAACAGUUAGUCAUCUUUUAUGCUCUGUUUUCUAGAAACAGAGUCCUAACUAAAUUGAUUGACUGUACAGUGCAUUUCAACAUAGCAUAUUUAACCGUUUUAACUGUUAUUUGAACCGUCUUCAGAGUUAACAUCAACAAACUCAUUCAUAUUGGUCCAAUCUUACGGACGAUAUCAUAUGCUUAAUAAUGAACGAAUAGUCUUGGAUCAGUGUUUUGCAGCAAGAGCAACUCGACACAAUCUGGAUUCAACCUCCUCCUAUCUAACAAGGGAUUUCUAUUUGAGUUACUUUGUGCUCAAGCAAUUAAAUUCACAUCAUAUUUUGAUUCUUUAGAUAUGAAUUCAUCACAUUACAUAUAUCAGAUUAAGUGUAACAAAAUUUUUAAUUUACUGCGAAAAGAAUAUGCACUAAAAAAUGAUUUCAAGACUAUUUGACUACAAAAAGCAGCUGUCAGAGUGCACUAAAAAUUUCUGUAGGAUAUUUUGUAGCUGUUUAAUAUGUUAUGAUGGGCAUAUAAUUCUCAAAUUUUGAUGCCUCUCAGCGAAAAUAUAUCAAAGUUACGGAUGAUAUCACGUAAAACAUGCAUGGCUCAGGCUCAGGCUCAGGCUCAGGCUCAGGUAAGAAAGCCACAGAAAAGGAAAAUCUCAGUGUCACGACUCACGUCACGCAUCAUUCAAGUGAUGGAUUUAACAAGACUGCUGCUUAUGUUCUAUCAAAUUCCUCUGCCUCUCAGAAGAUAACUUUUCUGGGCCAAAUUUCUCAUCUAAAGUAUAUUAUGCCCCAAAGUCACAGAUAACAAAAUGGGGCACUACCGAUUAUGAAAGAGAACUAGUAGAUCUCAGAAGCCUAGGUCAAAUUCCAGUAGUAAGAAGAGGUCUUUCUUGAGUUUAGAUUAUGUGUUCGAGUUUUAAUAAAUGCCUAAGUUAUUAAUAAUAACAACAGUAAUAAUAAACUAAAAAGCAUAAUUACUAUUGAAUGGUAAAAAAAAAAAAAUGAAAAUGUGUGAACUCCAAUAACCACCCCAGUGGCGAAUUUUGGAGAGGGCUAGGCCGGGCUUCUUAGAAAUUAUUUUUAUUUAAUUACAAAAUCACCUUUAUUGAAACCUAUAUAAAAUUUUUUAUAUUAAUUAAUUAUGUUGCCUCUUCAAUUAUCAUUAAAUUCUUGUCCGUUCAUCAUUUGCUGGAUAAAUGUGUAUUUCAAUAAUUUCAAAUAAUGUCUAGAACAAAUAUUUUGAAUGAUAAAGCUCAUUAUGUCCUGCAUUACUAGAUGUAUCUAUAAUUUAUUAUUUACAAAUUAUAUUGUAUGAUAAAAAGUAUUGAAUUUUUUUUAAAAAAAAAGUUCGGCUCACUCAGAAAAAAAUGUUAUUAGCUUCGCCACUGCACAAAUCUAGAAUAAUAAUUAUUCCUUAUUAUAUUGACUGCACCAAGCAAUAAACUAAUAAGUUCUCAUCAGCGGUUUUUAAUCUUUUUAAUUCUUUUUACCGCACACCUGAUCAAGAAUUCUAUUUUGUUAACUAAUCAAUUGCAAAUCAUAUAUUAGUGUUGAGCGGUGAACAAAAUUGAAAAAAAAAAUUCUUAAAAAACGUGUGGACUCGGAUAGCCAGACCAGAAAUCUAUGACAAUAAUUAGCUUUGAUGCUGGGAAUCUUUUAGUUUCUGGCCGUAUUGACUCCACCAGUGAAGUUUUUAAAAUAACAAGUUCCCAUUCUCCAUUUUUUUUUUUUUUAAUGUGCUUAUAAUAAUUUUAGAAUAGUGACUUAUUUGUAGAAGAAUUUAUGAUUUCCCAUUAAUAUCAAUAUUGAAGUGGCGUGGGUCAAAUCUCAAUUGCUUGAAAAAUCUAUUUAUUAUUAUUAAUAUUGAAAUGGGGUGGGUAACGGACCAACGGUUCACUCAAUUAAUAUGUGGGGAAUUAAAUAUUACCAUCCAAGGUAGAAUUGUGGAAAAUUAAAGCAAAAUGAGAAAUAUGGAAAGGAAGGCUGAAAGUAAGGCAUUAUGAAAGGCUUUGAGAAGGCUGAAGACCACCAAAGAAGUCAACUGAAAGCUAGCUGGGGCCUGGUAUAUAUGUUAGAUGUGUUUGUUAUAAAUAACAUAGAGCCCUUUCGUUAGCUAUAGUUAUGGAGACAGAGAGAGUUUGUGUUUUUUAGUAGUUAAAGAUAUUGCUAGAAUGGGUGGUUCAAAAUCCAAAAUGGUGACAAUGUUUGUUCUGUUAUUAAUAAUAUUAGAAUGGGGUAGAGUGAGGGAUGUUUGGAGCUUCAGAGAUUUGCUCUUUUGCGGCUUAAGCAUUUCUUCAAUUCUCCUUACAGACUUUAAAACUGGGUAGAUGAGCAAAGAGAUUGUUGUCAGUGGGAAACCGUUGAGUGCAGCAAAGUGAAAUUAAUUUCUCCCUAUUCUUAGUCUUACCAGGAGUAUCGAUCUCGGAGAGUGGUAUCUGAAUGCUUCUCUAUUUACUCCCUUUCAACAACUUGGCAACAAAAUAGCCGGUUGGGUUAAGAACGAAGGUCCUUCAUUUAAUUUAAUUUACUUAAUUUCUCCCUCUUAAUUAAUGUCUAUAACCAUUAGGAGAAAUAAGGGAUUUUAUUAACUCAAAUAUAUCCAAUGGAGCUCAUUCUUUGGUUUUACUUGCAGGUCUAGAAGCAGGUGUCAUCUAACAGCUGCUUUGAUAAUUUCCCACACCUUCAUCUUUGAUGGAAAUAUGAAAUAAAAACAAAUUGGUGAAAAUCGUAUUGGUACCCGAGGCUCUGUAAUCUAUUUCAAAAACUACACCAUCAAAACGACUGCAUAAGAAUCUAACUUCUCCUCUUGAUUUUUUAUGGGCAUGUUGUGUAGUACAUGCAGACAAAAAUCAUAUUUUAGUUUACUCUUACUCAAUGCUUGGAUUAAAGUUUUUUUUUGGGGGGGGGGGGGGGGAUUGAAGCAGACUAAAAUGACACAAAAAAUAGUUGAACGAGUGCGGGUUUUGUCUUCAUUUUAGGAGAUCUUUAUAAAUUUUAGGAUUUUUUUUCUCGAGAAAAUUUAUGCCAACUCAUUCUUUGCUUCUUUUAUGAAGGGACAGAUGCAACUGAAAGUAUAUUCUUGAAUUCUAUAAGAGACAGCAGUUUAGAUUCUCGAGCCUUCAAAAAAAUAUCAAAUUCUAGAUUGCUGAAAUUUUAUAUAUCCAAGUAUGAUGGUGCUCCAAUUAUAAACUCCAGGGAGCAACUUCACCGCGGAUUAGAAUGUCUUCCUGCAGAAUUGAGAAAUCUCCAUUGGCAUAAAUAUUUUUUUGAAAAUACUGUCAUUAGAUAUUUUUAUUAUUCAUACUUCAUUGCACAAGGCACCACCUGGCUUCUAUUUCCAGCCCUAAUAAUGAUCCGCUGCUGGAAAAGAAUUUGUGCAGCAUGUACGCUCCUUGACCACAACAGCAAAGUUUAUUGAUGUUAUUUCAUAUUCUGCUGUGACUCAAAUAAAAAUUUACUAUGCCCUUUCGGCAUGGCUUGCCUUUCAGCAAAAAAAGAAAAAAAAAAUCUUUCAAAUUGUGGAAGCAUGCUUACAUUAAUCAGCUCAGUAUGUUAUGUUUCAUGGGAUGCAAAAUUCGUUUUGUUUCUCAUGGAAGAAUUGACUUGUCUGGAUGUAUUAAUCUCAUAGAUUUUCCACAGAUUCGUGGGAAUAUAACAAAGCUAGACUUAAGUGAGAUCCCAAUAGAAGAAGUUCCGUCAUCAAUAAAAUGCCUAGCUGAUCUUAAAACGUUGCGUUUGAGUAAGUGCACGAGGCUGAAGAGGCUUUCCAUCAAGCAUUUGUAAAUUGAAAUCUCUUCUUGAGCUUUAUCUCUAUAACUGCUCAAACCUUGAAAGUUUUCCAGAAAUCAUGGAGAAAAUGGAACGUUUAAAGAUAUAAAUUUAGCAAGGACGGCCAAUUACAGAGCUGCAAUCUUGAUAGCCUUCGGGAUAACAUUAGCAAUUUAAAAUCUUUGAGGUACAUCUCUACUAAUGGAUCAGCCAUUAGUCCUCUGUCGCAGGUUCGGUUGUACUUAAAUAUCUAUCAUUUUCUCAAUGCAGAGGUUUGGUAUCAUUGCCUCCAAUAUUAUUGUCAGGUUAGGUUUAGGUUUAUAGAAUUUGUUACAGCUAAAUUUAAGAGAGACUGCUAUAAUGGAAAUUCCCCAAAAUAUUGUUCGUCAAUCCUCAUUGAAAAUUUUAAAUCUAAAGGCUUGUUUGUUAACUACUUGAAGUAUGUAGUUAAUGCUUUUUUUUUUUUUUUUGUAAUUUAUGUUUGAUUUGAGAUAUUUACAUUUGAAUAAAAAAAUUAUACUUUUGUUACAUUUAUCUAAAAAAAAAAAAAGGUUGAAUGAGAAGUAAAUAAUUCCCUUUUUCGUUUUAACUUACAAAAACAUAAAUGUUAACUAUGUUUAAGAAAUUUUUUAUUUAUAAAAAGAAACCCAAUACUACUUAUAUUUGUAUAUCAAAAAAUGAAAAACAAACAUGUUAUUCAUACGUUCGCAUACAAACUCACUCAGACCUCAGCUAAAUACAAAUCCAUUUAGAUUUCAAAAAAAUAAAUAAAUACUUCCUAAGCGGGAAUAACUUUGAGAGUUGACUUGCAAGGCUAGAAUAUCUUGACUUGAACGGUUGCAACGAUUUCUCAUCAUUGAGAGUUUAUCAUUGUGCUUCAUCAUCAUUAUUAAUAAAAAGGUAAGCAAUUAAGAGUCAAAUUAAACCAGAAAAUCACUCAUCCACGCUUUUGGGACAUCAUUCUGCUCAUUAUUUUUAUUCCGUAUCUUCAUUGUUUUAUUUGGUAAUUAUUACCAUUAGGAAAUAAAGGGAUUAGUUGAUUAUUAUGAACUAACUAAAUGGAGCUCACCCUUAAAUGUCGGCUUGUAUCAGGGAGGUGCCUUAGGGUUAAUAAAUCAACUAAUCCCAUAAUUUGUUGAUGUAGGUGAUGGUUGUUAAAGCCAACAAAAAUAAAUACAUACUCUAAAUAAAUUGUGUAUAGUGAUUGAGCAGGGUCGUGUCCACAGAUAUCAGUAAUUAUUUAAAUCCUUUUAAAAUGUAAAACAUAAAAUGAGGGUUUUGUUGACAAUAAUAAAAAUUAAAUUAAAAUAACAAGAAUGCAAAUUAAAGUUGUAAUUCAAAUUUGGAGAAAGCUCUAGUUGAAGGAAUUAAUUGAGCUUGAUUCGACUACUGAUCAUUGAUUCAAAUAUAAAUUAUUACUACUUAUGAAUAGACCGGUUAUAGCUACUGAGACCUUCUAAUAGCCAAUCUCUCUUUAACUAGUCGAUAACCAAGGUACGACCAUUGAUUAUUUCCCUAAUCAAUAGACAACCCUAGAUACGAUCAUAGGAUUUAAUCAAUUGACAGCCUGAAAAUCUAGAGAGACCCAAAUCCUAAUCAACAAACACAUACGAUGGUUCAUUUAAAUUAGAUUGUUUAUUCUCAUAACACAACUCUCUGCUAUGUUAUUUGUCACAAACAUUAAAAUCUUCAUACGAUGAAUCCUUUAAUUGACAAUAGAUUAAGUUGAUAAUUAAAUAGUGGCCAAUUACCUAAUUAACAAACAUAAUCAUGAAAAUAAUUCAGAGAAUAAACAAAUACCCAAAAAGUAAUAAAACAAUUAAAGCAUAAGAAAGAUCUCGCAGUAGUGAUGAAUCAAAGCUUCAUUAACCUUCAACCAGAAAAAUAGGUUUAUUUCUUCAUAGAGAGAAGAGAAAAGUUUAGAUCUAGGGUUUCUUUCUUUUUCUCCAAUCCCCCCUUUUUCACUAUAGAUUCCUCCCUUAAAUACUCUCUCUCUCUUCUCCUCUAGAGUUCUAUUUAAAAUAAAAUACUAAUAUAUGAAAUAUUAAAUUCGUAAUUACAAAAAUAGCCAAAAAUACAAAACACGUUAAACUAAAAACUGCAGGUCCGCAGUUGACAGCACGUGCCCACGCCUUAUCAAUAAAGUUCUUCUAACGCUCUAAAUUUCUCCAAGAGAACAAUCAUCUUUAAACAUCAUCUUAUAGCUCAAUUUUAUCACAAAUCAAUAGAAUUGCACCUACAAAAGUAAAACACAAGUAAAUCAUUAUUAUUAAGUGCAAAACAUCGAUAUUAAGGGAAGUAAACAAUGCAAAACUAGUGCAUAAAUUUCACUCUAACAAUAGGGUAGCAAAUUAUUGCCAUAGAUCAGCACACAGCUCGAAAACAUAUUUGAUCCACACAGUGAAGAUGAUUCAAUAUUAAGCAUGUCAUAUAAUCUGGAGUUGGAUAUUGGAUCAAUUUGAUGAUAAUGAGUUUCUUUCAAUCUCAAUAUGUAUCUUCUUCGCAACAUGACUAGCCAUUGCAAACUCAAACUCUGACAAUGAUUUCUCAAUCGCUUUCUAAGACGAUGAGCAUGUAUGUAUAUAUAUGUGUGUGCACGGGCGCGUGUGUGUUUGUGUAUGUAUAUAGAGAGAGAGAGAUAUCACACAUGUGUGCUUUCCUUUUGUCAAUAAGAUAUGUAGAGAGCUUAAUAAUCAUAGAUUAGCUUAUAUCCUUCAAACCAUGUGUUAUGAAGUAAUUUCACAAACACUUGUUGAACGUUAUUGAAUCAGUAGUUCACAGUUCAAUACAAUGUAGGUUUCCUAUUUGAAGUAAAUGAUUAUGGUGUGUGCAUUUUUCAUAAAGCUAACUACUGAAUUUACCAUUGAAACUUGCAAAAUGUAACAAAGAGAUGCAGAUAGCAGCCACGAAACACUAAGAUUGAAAAUCAGGACUAUUGAAUUCUAUUACAAGCCCUUAAAAUAGACAACAAUCAUCCUCAAAUGUAUGUACUGAAAGUAAGAAAUAUUAAUCGUAAAGUUAUGCAUUAACAAAACUAUUGAAUACUUAUCUUUAGCUAUAUAUUUUUAAUUGUAGCUCCCUACUUUGUUCUAAGAACUAGGCAAAAGUAGCAUAUCUUCAAUCCAAUCAGCAUAUAUACCGCUCAUCUUCUCCAGUUCUUUCCACUUUGAUUUGCAUUUCAUACCCUGCACUUGCUGCUUAGAAAUAGUCAUAGUUUGCACAUUGACAGUAGAAAAAGUACUUGAAACAAUCAUUGGCAUAGCAUGGGAUUCCAUUGAGUCGCGGUCUCCAAGCUUUCAUGGUUCUGUAAAGAAAAUGACAAAAACAUCAUGCUAUUGGCAUUCUACUUUUAGCAAUUUUCCACAAGCUGAGCUAUUUCAUAUCUCUCUAUAAAUUAUGCUGGUUCAACCUUCAGAUAAGUUUGUGAUAAAGGCAUCUAUGAUUACAAUGGGAAAAUUACAUGAACUUAUGUUAUCAAUCAUUGUUUUGCCUUCUCGUGAUAGAAUUCUGUGCAACAUAAAACAUGACAUAUUUGUUGCUUACCAUGCCAUGUCGUGAACCUAGAAGCAAUGCAAAUUGCAAGGAACAUAUUAAGCUAUCUACUGUAUAUAACAAAUUCUUAUUAGCCCACAAUCUUGCGCCCCAACAUUGAUCAAGUAACACUAUUAUUUCAUUUCCAAAAUGGCAUAUAUAAUCUAAUGUUGAACAAACCAAAUUGGGAAUCAUCAUUCCUUACAUUGAGCUGACAUUCGUACCUGCUAGUCCAUGAGCAAAGUUGCUUAUAUUUCCACACAGGCAGUUCCCCUUAUCUCUCGGUUCCGACAGAGCUUUGUUUUCCCAUCACCAGCUUUGGAUUCAUUCGAUCACUGAUGCUCCGAGUUAGCAAGCCCCUUGUUGUGUUCCCAUUUAACAGACCCACUUCUGUUAUCCACAGAAGAUCCACCACUCAAAAUGCUUAUCACCGAACUAUUCCUAAACUGAGUAGAAACUUCCGCACAUCUCUCGGCAUUUACAUGAAGAAAUCGACACCCACCCUCAUAUUUGUAAGUUUUCUGAUAAUAGAACGGUCUACAAAGCUGCAUUUCGUUAGGCAAUCUAGUCUCUCCAUUCCUAGCUCAGUGACAUUGAUUCCCGUAUUUGUAAUUGCCUAAUUGGGGUUUUGGCAAUAGCCUGGUCUUAAAAUUACCACCCAUUACUUUGUUCAAUGCCACUGGCAUCCUCUGAUUAGGAACAUUUUCACAAUUUUUAGCCCUGUUAGUCGAAUCACAUUCAAGGGGAUAGUGAGACAGUAUUUCACUAAAAGAUUCAAUUUGACUACACAUAUAAGAAUUUGAAAUCACUUUUUCUUGGAAUAUUUAAUGACCCACCCAGGGUGAAAGUUUUUGAAUGGAAAUUAUUUAAUUUGAUUUGUUUUCCAACAAAUUCAAGAAACCCCAGAUAGUAACAUAAAAAAAAAAUCAACCAAUAAUACGCAAUGGGUUUCUUUCUUUUUGCUUUUGGAGGGCCAUGGAGAUCUGGAGUGGGCUGUAAGUAAUAGCCUUUAUCACUGGAGUGACAAAUUUGCAGAAGAUGAUACAUGGGGAAGGAUUGGACGAGCAUAAAAAUGGUUUUACACUCCUUGGAUUAGCGCCUCAUUAUAAAAAUGGUUUUAUAAUCCCUGUUAUGCUUAAGGCUUCACUUAGUAUAGCAUAGAGCUUUUCUAGUGUAGCAUUUUACAAGUAGAAUUUUUUUAAAUUAUUAUUUAUUUGGUUGUUUUUUUCAGGAGAGCUUUUAAAGGUCCAAAAUCUUUGAUAGUCAGGUUUUUUUUUUUUUGGUAAGUAAAACCUUUAACAAAAAUUUAUUAUUCACUUGAUCGUUUACAAGAGUUUUAAUUAGAGGUUAUAUAAAGUUCUUUAAUUUUUUUUAUCAGUGAUCUUGUUAUAAGUACAAUUUUUAUUUUUUAACAAAAAUUAAUUUAAUAAUAUUAAGAAUCUCAAUAUUUGAGUUCUAAUAUCAUAUGUCACUUAUUUAUUGGAUGAAAAAUUUCAUAACUUAUAAAAUUAUUUAACUAACAUCCAAUAAGCUAAUGUCACUAUAGUGAAGACUCAAGUUGAAAUUUAGAUGUUGGGUUGAGUAAUAUUGCUCUUAUUUAGUUGUUUAUGAGAACUUUCUUGUACAAAUUUAUUUUUAUACAAAUUGGUAUAGUCUACAUUCAUUAAUUAAAUAAAAAUAUAAAAUAAUAAAAAUAAAUCAUGUGCGCUAAAAGUUAUUUAAUCUAUUUAAUUGAAUUAUCCUGCGUUUGUUUGCACUAAAUAAAUUUAUAUACAAAUUAAUUCUACGUUUAGAUGUGCAACUAAACUUUUAGUCUUUUAUUCUUCGUAAAAUUCAAAUUCCAGUGGCUCAUCAAAUAAAAUUAAAACUAUUGGUUAAUCAAAUAAAAUUAUUUGAAACCAUUGCGUAUGAUAGCUGGAGCUCUUGAAAGUUGAAACCAUCGAAGCCAUGAAAUUUACCAGCGAAAAGAGUUUUAAAUGUCUAUUUUAUAAAUUUUUUAUUUACCAUUUUACCAUCCAUAGUAAAAGUGUCGCACGACGUUGAACAGUUCAACAUAUCAGUCAGUCCUCAUUCAGUCAUUUGGCUUGGACUCUGUGUAUGGUUAAGGCGUUACCAUUAUCAUCUUCUCCACUCGUACUGACACCAAACCUUAACCGUUCAGAUCCCCUUUCUCGACUGUCAUACCCUACGCCCCGUCUCCGUGUCUCCGAUAAACAGUGCUCAAUUAAGGCCAUCAGAUUAUCCCGGACCCACAUUGAUCCAACGGCUCACAAUGACCGACGACCUCUCCAUCUCCAUUACAAGCUCCCUCUUCAACUGGCUUCUGCCUCCAUCGUACUCUUUCUCGGAUUCGGAGCCCGUAUAUGCUCGGCUGGUCCUACGGAGCUACCUCUCACUCCAGCUGUCAACCAACAAGACCAAUUGCUUAAUCCAGACACAGAACAACAAGAGGGUGAGAAAUUGAAUCAAGAAUUUGAGAAUUGGAAAUCGAAAACGUACGCAUUGACCGUGCCUUUGAGAGUCGUUUCUCUUCAGAAUUCAGUGCCUCAAUCUUGGGUUAAGGAUUUUAUGCGAAGUCAAGGAAAGAGAUUGAAGUUUCCGAUGAAUUUGUGUGCUAGCACUGAUGGGAUCGUUAAAAGUUUAUCUAUGCCCUCUAACAAAGUUAAGGCUAACUCAGCUUCGUAUAUGGAUGCUGAUUUGGUUAGUGUUGGUGAUUCAUGGCUCAGUUUUGCGAUUAAAAAGAGAUUGAUUGAGCCAAUAGCUGAAGCUGAAGAUCAAGAUUGGUUCAAAUGCUUAAGUCACAAAUGGAAGGUAACAUCUUUGUCUUUGACCGGAUGAUUUUUAUUGUCUUACAUUGAAAUUUGGUAAUGUAAUUUGUUCUCUAUCUGUGUUACCUUUGUAGUGAUUUUUUUUUUUUAUUUCCUUUUAUUUGCAGUAACAAAGUCUUAGGUAUAUCUACGCAGGAAUGAUGCAGGAGAAAUUGAUCCUUGAGGUAAAAUAUGGGCGGCACCAUACAGGUGGGGCACAAUGGUGAUAGCCUACAAGAAAAGUAAAUUUCAAAAGCAUAAUUUGGCUCCGAUUGAGGUAAUAAUUGUCUUUAAACUCAUUUAGUUUUAUAUGAAACAAAAUCAAGACUGCCUUUCUCUUCAAUAUUUUGAUGAUAAUAUCUUUAGAAGUAUCUCAUUGACGGGUAAUAAUGGUAUCCCUGAAAGAGUCUAUAAACUCAAUGAUAUUAUCUUCUACAAAUGGUUCAUUAAACUUCUUCGUUGCAGUCAAAUGUACACUAAGAACAAUGAGAAGCUAUGCCACUGUAGCAUGUAGUGAUGGCACUUAAUAAGUGAGUUGCUAGGAUGUGAACUAGAAAAAUUAAAUAUUGUCUACUUAGAUAUGCUAGCUCGUAAGUCAGGGUUAAUAUUAGAAUUUAAGAAACUAUAACCAUGAGAAGCUAUUGACUGCCAAUUAAAAUAUCCAUAAAAAUGUCUAGGGAGUUAUGAAGGUGGAGGUAUCUUCCGAUUUCUAAGGCCACGUAGUAGACAUCAUCCAGGAUCCUAGGAAAGUGCAGUUAACCUCCUGCUCGAUGCAAUUAAUAAAUUUGGUCAAUGCCACUGAAACCUGCUAACUGAUGUCACAAUGUGACAUGAGCACUUUAAAAUGGGAUAGAUGGUCAGUAGCACUAAAUUUUUCUUGCCUAAGAUUGGGCAAUUGGUCUAACUACUAACCCCUAUUGUAGGUUGAUCAUUCUUUUUUCAAUUAUGUUCAGUUUGACCAAAAAGUUACAGAAUCUGGAUCUGAAUAUUGUCACUGAACACUGUCAGUGUUGUUUAGCGUAGCCAACUAACUUGAGUUUGGUAAAACAAACACACAGUGUGCCUUAUGUCUCACAAUUCAAAUUAUCAUCUGUAAUGAUGGAGGAUUUUUCUAAUGUAUGAAGUAUGCUUUGAUAAGUGGGUUAGCUUGGAGAAGAUAUCUCAAAAUAGAGAAUAUGGGGAACGAAUGGGAAGAAAACAGUUCAGUAGUUUAUUAUUCUGUAGUCAAGUUUUGUCUCAAAAAUGGUCAAAAUUUAAAUGAAUAAGGACAGCGGAUCUUCAUUCUUUUUUCCCUUUUUUAUACCAAGAUAUCUCUCAACCUUUAUAUAAUCCCCACUGGAUAUCUGCUUCUAACAAUUAAAAUAAAAAUUUCACCCACACAAAUAAAUACUGACCAAGCUCUAACAAUAAAAAGUAACAUCUUUAGUCAGGUAACAUCUUUACAGUUCCUCAUCAUCCUAGUGUGAGACUAUCAAUACGUUCCAAAAACAUAAUAAAACUGGUUUGAUCCUGUUUAUUGAUGUUUAAAUGUUGUUCAUUGUGACAUGUAGAAAUGAUGAGGCGAAGUUUCUUUGGUCAUCAAUUGGUACGAUCUUGUUUGAAGUUGUUUUCUGAAAUGAACUGCCAAACGGUAGUUUUUUUGGGGCAUAUGAUGGCUCUUUUUUCCUCAUUUUAAACAUGUGCAUGCUUGGAACGGGAAGGAUUAGGCUGCAGAGUUGUUAUAUAUUUUGACAUGCUCUGGUCAUUGCACAAUUUGUUCACACUGGAAAAUAUAAUGAGAAAUUUGUUGCAUUCUAUGCACAAUAACAUGAUUAAUGAAAAUGGAUUGUAGGACUGGAAAGAUCUGUGGCGGCCUGAGCUCGCAGGAAGAACUUCAAUGGUUAAUUCUCCCCGAGAGGUUAUUGGUUCAGUUUUGAAGUAUAUGGGAGCAUCAUACAAUUCAAACAAUAUUGAUUCGCAAGUUGCUGGUGGGAAGAUUGCUGUUCAGCAGAAUCUGGCAUUAUUGGCAAACCAGGUACUCUUAAAGAAAUGAUAUCUGGUCACUGCAUGUUAUUGCCUGACAACUGAUUUUGUUUGUAAAGUCUGCUUCUCCAUACAUAUGAAUGCAUAUGUUAGUGUUUUCCUCUCCUUUUCAGACAUAUGAAUGCAUAUGUUAGUGUUUUCCUCUCCUUUUCAUACAUAUGAAUGCAUUUGUUAGUGUUGUCUUUUCCUUUUCAUACAUAUGAAUGCAUUUGUUAGUGUUGUCUUUUCCUUUUCAUACAUAUUAAAACAUAUGUUGCUGUUCUCCCCUGAGAUGGAUGCAAUAAAGGCUUUUGCUUCUAAAUUUAGCUGAAGAAAUGGCAAGGGAUGUGAGAUUCUGUCUCAUUAAAUUAACAAAAACCCAAAACAAUGAAAACCCAUAAUAAUGUGGUGUGGGUUAAUUGGCGCCAUUUGGUUUGUUUCCUUAAUGUGAAUACGCGAGCAAUUGAGACUAACAAAAUGAAGUGACAACAAGAAGUCAGUUGCCUUUGAUGGAUGCAUUUUUAGGCAGAAAUAGGUUUGUAAUUGACCAAAUUGCUGGCAUGCCAAUUUCAAAAAAAUUAAAUCAUGUGAUUAUUAGCUGUAAUGAAGGGGGAUAGUAGGUGCAAUCAGGUGGAUCCACGAAAGUUCAACAAAGUUCUGGUAUGGCGUAGUGAAAUUGGUUUGUGCAACUCAAGAGUCUUUCAGGUGAACGAUGAUGGGUUUUGAUUUGUAAAUGUUAUAAAUCUACUGUGAAUAGUAUUCUAGUAGAAUCAUCUAUAAGUUCUAGUUAUUGGAAUUAUCUAGUUUGUCCAGUUUGAGUUAAGGGCAAAUGUAAUAUGAAAAAUAGUUGUCGCAUCUUUUAGGUUACCUAACAUUUAAUCAAUCCUAUUGUGAGGGCUUCAAGAUGUCUAACAAUAUGUAGAAUGCCCAUGCUCCUACCCAUUGUUUGUCUCAUACAAAAAUUUUUUUUAGAUGCUAAUAUCUUUGUCGAUACGAGUAUCAAUAUUACAAUAUCUGCGUUUAUUGGGUUUUACAUAGGUUCGACUGUUUGACAGUACACACUAUCUGAAGGCAUUUGGAAUUGGAGAUGUAUGGGUUGCUGUUGGGUGGAGUAGUGAUGUUCUUCCUGCUGUCAAACGAAUGUCUAAUGUUGCAGUUGUUGUUCCCAAGUCUGGUGCUAGCUUAUGGGCCGAUCUUUGGGUAUACCCAUGCCUGCCAUUCUACUUUGAUAUUCACAUUGUUAUUUCCUUCAUAUUAGUGAUCAGUAAACAUGAUAAUGUUACUAAUGAGUUCGUAUUCUCUUUAUAGGCAAUCCCUGCUGCCUCAAGACUUGAAACAAAACAAAUUGGAGGGCGAGUCAGAGGUCCAUCUCCAUUGAUCCAUCAGUGGAUAGAACUCUGCUUGCAAACAGCGAGAGCAUUGCCUUUCAAGCAAGAGGUUAUCCCGGGCGCAUCUCCCUAUGCCCUUGAAACUACUCUGGUUAACACUACAACAAAAAUGAGUUUUUACGGUGGAGUUCUAAUGGCAUAUUAUAAUUACAUGCUGUUAAAAAUAUGUAAAGACGGAAGGUAUUAAAAUAUUCACCGUUAAAAGAUUCCACUAUAUAAUAAGACAGCAUAUUUUUAAAAAAUUGUCGUUGAUUGCUUGGAUAAUAAAUUUUUAAUAGCAUAAAAAUAUCAAUCCCCGUAAAAAUAGUUUUCAAUAGCGCGUGAUAUUUGCUGUUAAUUAAUAAUAAAAGAUGGCCUUUGACUUAUCCUAUUAAAUUAGAAUCUUACUACAAACAAAAUAGGAACACUUUACUAAUUUCUCUCUAGUUUGCAAAUUUCCCACCUCUUCUAAAACACUCCCGUGUUAAUUCUCUAUGGAGAUUCGGCUGUUAUCAAAUUCUUCCAAAAAAUUUCGAUUUUUUCCAAUUUUAUCUCAUAUUUUUAGAAUACCCAUACUUCUAAAUGCCCUAGUUUUUCAGAUUUUCCCUCUCUUAUUUGGAAUCGUAUACCCUUUUAACCUUAGUAUUUCAUCCUCUCUGCAAUUUUAUUUCAUCCUCUCUGCAAUUUCACAAAGGUUUGGCCUCAAUCUUCUUUUUAAUUCCUAUUAUCGCCGUUUGUACCAUCAGCGACAAGGAAAGGUAAGAACUUUUAUUUAAUAUGUAAUUUUCUUUUCAUUUGAUUUGGAAAUCGUUAUGUUGGGACAUAAGUUUGAAUGGUUGUGUUACUGUUAUUGUGUUAUCUAGUUAAUCUAAUUUAUCUUUCAAUUAAUUAAAUUAUAAUUUUAUUAAAAGAUUUGAAAAAAAGCAAAAUUUUUGUUUCAAAAUUUCUGGUUCCACGUGCAACAGGAGAGAAAUCAAAUCCAGGAUGCUGGUCUGAGCUUUCGGCUUCAGUUUUCAGACUUCGUGGUGAGAAUUAUUUCAGGUAUGCCCUAUACUUGAUCUUUUUCCCACAUAGCAUAUUGUGAAUAUGUUUGGCAUUAAAAUUUUGGUUUUUUUUUCAUUUGUUCUUUUAUGCUUAAUACUAAAUGAUUUUAUUUUUUAGCAUGCAAAUAACUUGUUUGAUUAUCUUUAUCUUUUAAAAACCUUAGUUGUAUAAUAUAUGUAUAUAUGCUUGUUUAUGAGCUAGUACUUUUGCCAAAUAAUGUCAUCUAGUCGUGAUGUCUUAUUUGCAAGUUUGGGUUGAAAAAGAAUUUUGAUUAUUUUUAUUUGUAACUGUCGUCAACAUUUGUGGUAGCAACUGAUAUAACUUUACUUGUUGAGCGGUGCAUCACUUUAGCAUGAACAAAUUUCUUAGAAAAGAAAACAUUAAAUAAAAAUGGCCGCAUGUACAUAUCUGUCCUCUGCUUCCAUGAUUUCCUGUUAGGUCUCUUAUCAAGUUCACCCCGAGACCUCCGCGUCCAAGCAGCUUGAAUAAAAGAAUCCUAAAAAUAUUCGGAAAUAAAGGAUCAGUUGCCUUUCUUUUUAAAUCAAGAGAUGCUAGUAUUGAUUUAUAACUUAUCACUGUUAAUAAAUGCCAACUAACUAGCUAGUCCAAUCUCUUGGCAUCUUGCUAUUUCUUUUCUAUUAACGCUACAAAAGAGAAACAACAGUAAAGCAGAGGUCCACAAGGGAAUAAAAAACAGCUAGGGUAAAAUCUAUUGGCAUCAGUACCAAAGACCUGAAAUCAAAUAUUGCCAUCACCAAGGAUUGGAAGGUCUAUGAUUGGAGAAUCCCAAGCCAUGGUGGUUUUCCAUGUCUACAAACUCAAUAAUACAUUUUAAUUGUUUCUGGAGAAUUUCAAAGCAAAUUAUAUCUUGAACAAAUCUAUCUGAAAUCAGGACAACUGAAAUUUGUAGUUGGCAAAAGUUUGAGCACUAAUGCAAAUUGCAAUCACAUAUAAGUUCUUUUGCCAAUAAUGCAAAUAACUUGUUUGAUUAUCUUUAUCUUUUAAAAACCUUAGUUGUAUAAUAUAUGUAUAUAUGCUUGUUUAUGAGCUAGUACUUUUGCCAAAUAAUGCCAUCUAGUCGUGAUGUCUUAUUUGCAAGUUUGGGUUGAAAAAGAAUUUUGAUUAUUUUUAUUCGUAACUGUUUGUUAAAAAAAAGAGUAAGAAAAAGAAUUGGUUAUGUAUAGCAGAUUGAGCAAUCUGAUUCUUUGCUAGACAAAUAAUUAAAAAAAUAUGUUUUAUAUUUAAACAACAGAUCAAAGAGGUUACAAGCAAGCACUUGAUGUCAUGUUGAUGGAUAAAAAAUGGGUGAAGCUUAAUAGGUUAGUAUUUGAAUAACUGCAGUAUUUAAAUAUUUUAUGCUAAUGGAUUUAAAGUUUUAUUUUUUUUUAACUUUUUUUAUAUGUAGAUAUACUAAAGAAUUUCAAGAUGGAGCCCAAAAAUUUGUCAACUUGGCUAGAAAAAAUGCUGGAAAUUCUGAUAGGAUUAUAUGUCCAUGCAUAAAAUGUGCCUGUUAUUGUCGUCAACAUGUAGACACGGUAUAUGAACAUUUAGUGAUAAGUGGGAUGGAUCCCACUUAUGAUAAUUGGGUUUUUCAUGGAGAAGCUCCAAAUACUUCUAGGCAAGAUAAAGAUGUGAAGAUGACAGACGCUUAAGAAAUGUAUAAUGAUGCUUAUCUUCAAAACUAUGGUGUCAUAGAUAACCCAAAUGACUACAUUGAUGAUACCACACCUAGGUUAGAAGAAAAUGAGUUUACUGAAAAGGUGAAAGCUGCUGAGACUUCUUUAUACCUAGGAUGUUCAAAAUAUACAAAAAUGUCAGCAACUGUUGCCUUAUAUAAACACAAGAUUGCACAUGGAUUAUCUGAUAAUGGUUUUAAUGAACUUCUUUAGAUUAUUUGUGAUAUGUUACCUGAAGAUAAUGUUUUACCUGGUUCUCUACACUUAGUGAAGAAACUGCUUAAGGAUUUUGACAGUGGUUACAAAAAAAUCCAUGCUUGUGUUAAUGAUUGUUGUCUCUUCACCAAGGAGAAAGAAAAUUUAGAUACAUGUCCUAAGUGUAACACCUCUAGAUGGCAAGUAAAUUCUCGAACUAAGAAGAUUAGGACAGGAGUACCAGCAAAAGUGCUGCGUUAUUUCCCUAUAAUACCUAGACUUAGAAAGAUGUUUAUGUCAUGUGAAAAAGUAGAACAAUUGAAAUGGCACUCAAUUAACAAAAGUUCAGAUGGAAAAAUGAGACACCCAGUUGAUUCAGUGGCAUGGGAUAACAUCAAUAAGAAAUGGUCUAAUUUUGCAUCUGAUCCAAGAAAUAUCAGGUUUGGGCUUGCUGCUGAUGGGUUUAACCCUUUUAGUAAUUUUAGCUCUGUAUACAGUUGUUGGCCUAUUUUCCUAGUAACAUAUAACCUCCCUCCAAGGGUAUGUAUGUUUGAGGAGAACAUAAUGUUGACAUUGUUAAUACCAGGGCCAAAACAACCAGGGAAUGACAUUGAUGUAUUCUUGGAGCCAUUAAUAGAUGAUUUGAUUGAAUUGUGGAACAAUGGUGUUCAAGUUUAUGAUUCUUUGAAUAAAUCUGCUUUUAAACUAAAAGCUAUUUUAAUGUGGACAAUUAAUGAUUUUCCGGCUUAUGGUAAUUUAGCUGGAUGUACUACAAAAGGAGAGUUAGCAUGUCCUAUAUGUGGUCCAAACGUAUGUUCUGAAUGGUUAGCAAAUAGUAAAAAGAUGGUAUAUAGAGGUCAUAGACGAUUUUUACAUCCGAGACAUGAAUGACGUAUUGAGAAAAAAGAUUGGUUUGAUGGAAAGGAAGAAACAAGACGGCCUCCUAAACCUUUGACGGGUGAAGACAUUGUACUUGCCUUAAGCAAUAUUCAAAACAAUUGGGGUAAAUAUAAGAAAAAGAGAAGCAGGAGGCAAAAUGAACCAAAAAGUAUGUGGAAGAAGAAGUCAAUUUUUUUUAACUUACCUUAUUGGAAGGUAAUCUCUUAUCAUUGUUUAAUACUUCAUUUCUUUUAUUUGUCUAAGAGUUGUUUUUAGUCAUUUUUAAAUUGGUUUUUUGUUUAUAUGUAUUUGAAGCAAUUUGCUAAUGAUAGACAUUUUUAAAGAUAAUUGAAAAAUGGAUACUAAAUAGUAUUUUAGUUUCUUUUAAUUUUUUCUUGAGCUAAAUUAUGAAUUAAAAAACUUUAUUGUGUGCAGGAGUUAGACUUGCGUCACAACUUGGAUGUGAUGCAUAUUGAGAAGAAUGUUUGUGAUAGUAUCAUUGGAACAUUACUGAACAUAAAAGGAAAAACAAAAGACGGAAUUGAAUCUCGUAGAGAUUUAGUGACAAUGGGCAUUAGACAAGACUUGCAGCCUAAUUUAAAAGAAAAUAAACUUACAUUGCCAGCAGCAUCAUUCACAUUGUCAAAAGAGGAGAAAGUAAUAUUUUGUAAGCGUCUUUCUGAGCUAAAAGUACCUGAUGGUUAUAGCUCUAAUAUUGCUAAUUGUGUUUCAGUAGAAGAGUGUAAAAUAACAGGUCUAAAGUCACAUGAUUGUCAUGUGUUAAUGCAGCAAUUACUACCAGUAGCAUUGAGAAAUCUUUUACCUAGUGGACCUAGGACAGCAAUAUUUCGAAUAUGUGCAUUUUUCAAUCAAUUAUGUCAAAGAGUAAUAGAUAGAAAUGCAUUGGAAAAAUUAGAGUCAGAUAUGUAUGAGACUGUGUGCAUGUUGGAGAUGUACUACCUACCAGCAUUUUUCGAUAUUAUGAUUCACUUGACAAUUCAUUUAGGGCGAGAGGUUCGAUUAUGUGGGCCAGCUCACUAUCGUUGGAUGUUCCCAUUUGAGAGGUAAUAAUUAUCUCUUUUCUUAUCUUUUUUCUUUUUAAAUUCACUCUUUAAAUAGUUAAUAUUUCUUUUACUUUUAUAUAGAUGUAUGAAAACACUUAAGGGAUACAUUAGAAAUCGUGCAAGGCCUGAAGGGUGUAUAGCAGAGUGUUGUCUAGCUGAGGAGUGUGUAAGAUUUUGUAGCGGAUAUAUGAAAAAAGCAAAAAAUAUAGGUGCACUUCCUAUGCGUAACGAGGAAAGUAGUGACGAGAUAAUUAUAGCAGGGCGGCCAAUCUUAAAAGGUCGACCAUUGAAAAUGUCUGAAGCUAUGUUAAAAAUCGCACAUCGUUAUGUAUUAUUAAAUACAAUAGAAGCGGAGCGAUUUCGAGAGUGAGUAUUUAUCGAUCAUGUAUAUUAUUUAAUUUAUGUAUUUAGUCUUGUAAUUAACUUAGUUUGAUCUUAGAACGCAUAUGGAGGAAUUGCAGAGAUCAUUUAGAAGACGUAGGUGUGAUAUUCAAGAGCUACACAAAAUGCACACUGAAACUUUUUCCCAAUGGUUAGCAGAAAAGGUAAGCUAAUCAUUUAGUCCAUCUAAGUUAACAUUAAAAAAAAUCAAAUGAAAUAAACUUUUCAAUGUAUAUGCUGACCUAUUGUUUGGUUUAUUGGUGAAUAGAUAAAGAUCCAAGAAAGUAUGGCUAAUGUAUCUGACACAUUAAAGUCACUAGCAAAAGGGCCUAGGAUGCAUGCAAUGUCUUUUGUUGGUUUCAUUGUUAAUGGUCAAAGAUUUCAUACAAGGGAAGUAGAAAGGUCAACUCAAGAUAGUGGUGUCUUUAUUGAAGCAGAAACUGUAUGUAGAUCUAGUGCGAAGGAUAAUGCUGCAGUUGUUGGAAAUGUAUCCUACUAUGGGGUUAUAAAAGAUAUCAUUUUGCUUGACUAUCGUACAUUUCAAAUGCCCAUAUUUCAUUGUGAUUGGGUUAACACUAUAAAUGGAGUCAAGCAAGAUGAUGGUUUCACAUUGGUGAAUCUCCAUCAAGGACAAAAUCAAUGGCAAAUAGAUCCUUUCAUAUCGGCGUCGCAAGUGAAACAAGUUUUUUACUCUCGAGAAAGUGAUACAUCGAAUUGGUAUGUUGUACUUAAAGCAACACCAAGGGGCUAUCACAACCUUAAUAUGUAUGAUGAGAAUGUAAAUUCAACUAAUAUGCCUAUCGAUGGUUCUAGGCUGGAGCCUAAUGAUGUGGAUGGUAAUGAUCCUCAUGUAAGGAAGGAUUCUCAGGAAAUUGAAAUUGAAAUUUACAAUAUUAUUAUUCAUUUUGAAUUUGGAAUUCAUUGUUUAUUAUUUUUUAUAGUGUGAAUGCAUAUUUGAUUUACUGUAGUAUGAAUAAUGAACAUAUGCUAAUAAUGUUGUUAUAUUUGUAGUAACAGCUGCAUUUUAUCUUUUUCUUUUCCUAAUGAUAUAUCAUGUUCACUUACUCUUAACAUGUUGUAGCUAGCAUAAAGAUUCAUUUUUAUCAUGAACACUUAAUUAGAGAAAAUGACUAUGGGCAACGGUGGAAAGGUAAGUUUUAGAAGUGUUUUGAUAUAAUUCAUUGAUUAGAACAUUAAGAAAUACUUUUUGUUGAACUUAUAAAUGUUUCCAACUUCCUAAAGGAUAAGAGCAAAGGAAAAAGACCAUUCCUAGCAUCAAAUACUGUUGCAAGAGAGAAGCAUGAGAUAAGACGAAGAUUAGAUAGUCAGUCCAACCCACAAAGUUUCAGUGAACCAUCUGAGCCAACAAAACCAGGUCUUUAUUUUAUUUAGUCAUGAAAUAUUUAUUUAAUUAUAUGUUUUUCUCAUGAUUCUCUUUUUGUCUCUUUAACAUAAUAAUAUUUUAUUUAUUGUAUAUUUUUUAAUUUGGUUGUUUUGUAAUAAAUAGUAAUGUUGGAAGUUUGAAAAUUUUAAAACGUUAACAGAGAAGAAGAAAAGAGGCCCAUCAAGGAUGAUUGUGGUGGCAACUAAAAAAAUGAGCGCCUAGUGGUAGAGUUUAAUGAAUAUGACCAACCAAUCAGACCAGCCUCCGUAAUGUUGAGUUCGGCCAUGGGAGUAUUUGUUCGAGAGACGGUAUCAAUACUUCCAGAUUAUUGGACCACUGUUGAUUCAGAAACUAAAGAAGUACUUUGGACAAUUGUUAAGGUAUGAUAGCCUUUUUAUUAAUUUCAUUUAUAAAUAAUAAUACUUUAAAGCAACUAACAAUGUUGUUUAUUUUAAUAUCAUUGCAGCAAAAGUUUAUCAUUGAUGACCAUCAAAAAGAAAACAUACUUGCUCGAAUGAGAAAGUUAUGGACAGAUUACAAAUCCAGAUUGUCAAUUAGUAUAAGGGAAGCAUUUCAAAUGCCUGAUGCAACUAGGAAACUGAAGUUGCUAAAACCUGAAGAUGUGACUGAUGAAGAAUGGAAGAAAUUUGUUGCCCACAGAUUAAGCAAAGAUUGGAAAGUAUGUAUGUCAAUAUAUUAUUUAUAUUUCAUGUUACUACAUUCAAUAUAUCCUAUGUCUUAUAGGAGAGAAGUGAAAAAUUCCAACAAUUGAGAGCAACACAAACAGAGCCUCACACAACGAGUCAAAAAGGCAUGGCACGGACACGGGAUGAAAUGGUUUUAUCUACUUCAAACUUGAUUGUGGAAUAUGUGCUAUCUUUUUAGAUGAGGUUUUUUUCUUAUUAUCUUCUGUUUUAUUGGUAGAUAAAAAAGGAUCCAUCUUCAGGUACUAGAGUAAACGUUUGGCUUAAAUCACGUACACAAAAAAAUGGACAACCAAUUAAUGCGGCUGCUGCUGAAUCAAUGGUACUAAUAAAUACAAUUGCUUGGUUUAUAUAACAAUAAUAUGAUAUGAAAUUCCAUUAAUAUAGUCUUAGUAUCUUGUAAUAUAUGUUCAUUUAGAAAAAGCUUGAAGAAAUUUCUGCAAUGUCAACUGAAGAGGAUCAAACCUCCUUAAAGAAUGAUGGAAUUGCAAAACUAAAAGGUGAUGAGCGUCCUGGCUGUGUCAAAGGUAUGGGAUUUGGUGUAACACCUUCAAAAGUAGCUGCACAGGUCCAAGGCAACCGCAAAGUAAAGAAGCUUGAGAAUGAUUUGAAAGAACUAAGUGAUCGAUUUACUGAAUUUCAAAAUUUUUUCAUGUCUAGGAGAAGAUUUAGUAAGGUAAGUUAUUUAAAUUAAUAAUUAAUUGUACCAUCAUAUUUACUUUUUUCAUAUAAUAUUAUUUUGAUUUUUAUAUAUUAACAGGACCAUGUUAACAUUGAUGACAACUUGGACAAUAAUCUUGCACCAACUCCCCAGGUUUUAUUGGUUUCAUAUGCUUUAUAUAUAAAUUUAUGAUUUUCCAAAAACAAAUUUUUACUUUGUUUUGAUAUAUAAUUUUUUGUUUUCUGACAGUCCUUUGAAGAUAGCACAGCUAUUCCAAAUACUCCAACUAAUGGUGAUAUUUGUAAACUCUUAAAUUGGUUGGGUACUGGGGAAGUGGUUGCAAAAGGAAUGAUAGCUGCAACAAAUCCUGAGGCAUUGGUCCACCAUGUUCAACUUGGACCAGAUUACUACAAAGUAUGGGUUGAUGAAGUGAAUAAGCCAUCAUUAUCUCUGGUUCGACCAACUCAAGAGUUCUUUAACUUAGGUGAUGCAAAAGGGAGCACAAUUGCAUGGCCUAUAAAGUACAUCACCUUGGAUUAACUCAAGUAAAGGUAAUGCUAUAAUUUAAAUUAUAUUUUACCUAUAGAAUGUCAUAUGUAUAUAUAUGUAAAAAAUAAAAGUUGGGAGUUUAUAAACUAGAAUAUAAUAUUUUAAUUCUCAUUGUUGCAGGAAUUUGAAGUUCUUGGGUAAGGAUUAUUUCGCAAUAAUGAAUGUUUUCAUCAUAGAGGACUUGAUCAAGUUGCUUAAUUUAAGUUCAUGUUAAGGAUACUAUUUUUGGUACUCAGUAGUUUCUUUUCAAACAAUGGCUAUAUUUUCCAUCUUUUCUUGACAAUGAGUUCUUUAUAUCAGAUUGUUCAUUACAGAUUUUUUUUUGUUCAUUACAGAUUUUUUUUUCUUUUUUUAAUACAAUUUUGUUUGGACACCAUGUGUACACAAAUUUGAAUACAAUUUUGUUUGGACAAUCGUGUGUAUGUUUACUUUAUUUAUUUAGAAAAUUUGAAUGUAUUAUUUAUAUAAAUGAAAUUAGAAAUCUAUCGAGGAAUUAAAUAGUAAGUUAAUUUAAAUUGCAACAGGUUAAUUAUUGAAUACAAUUUUGUUUGGACAAUCGUGUGUAUGUUUACUUUAUUUAUUUAGAAAAUUUGAAUGUAUUAUUUAUAUAAAUGAAAUUAGGAAUCUAUCGAGGAAUUAAAUAGUAAGUUAAUUUAAAUUGCAACAGGUUAAUUAUAUGGUAAAAUUGAUUUUUUCAAUAGUAAUGACUGUUAUAUAAAUAUUCCACAGCAAAAUUUUAUUAUCACUGUUAAAACUUGUUACAACGGCAUGUACUAACCAUGCUAUCACAUUUUAUCACAGCAGUUUCUUUUUCUCGUUAAAUGUUGAACUAUGUUUAGCGCCAAAAAAAAAAGACGGGGAGUAGUAUUGGUCGUUGAUGAAACAAUCCACAGCUGGUUAUUAUUACUGUGGAUGGUUAAAACAAGAUUGGCGCCAAAGAUAUAACAGGGAGUAAUGAUGGCUAUUGAUGAAAUUAUCAACGGUGGAUACCCUUCACCGUGUAAUACCUUCUAUAGCAUAGUUAAUAGCAUUGAAUGUUGGCCGUUAAAACCCAUAGCUUUCCACGGCUCAUGGAUCAACGGCAUGCAUGUUUUUGCCGUCAUAUCCCAUUGACAGCAUAUUUCCCAUGCCAUGAAAAGCCUAUUCUGUUGUAGUGUAAGUUGCCUGAAGAAAUUCUGAGGGGUAAACCAAGUCUGGAUACUAACUUAACUGCUGGAGUACCCCCGGCUGAAAUUCUGGCCAGAUGUGAGUUUUUGGAGCCAUUAUCUGAAGCUACUUUGUCAGAUUAUGAGUGGCUGGUUGCUAAUCUGCAAAAACCUGCUCCUGUCUUCAUGAAAAGGGUGCAACAUUACUUGUCAUCGUUAAUCCAAGGCUUUCUAGCAAAAGCUACAUUGAAAAGUUAAUGGCACUGCAUGCCAGUGAUUAUAAUGCUGUCAGGGCAAUUGGGUCAGGGCAAUUAGGUCAGAGCAUAACUUCAUUAGGAAACGGGGCUUCAGCUACGUUAAAUAUUACAGGAUGUACUGAGAUGGCUGAAGUUCUUGAGGUUUUACGAGAAACGAAAGAUGAGUGUUUCUUUGAACAAAGUUGUUGCCAAUAUUGCAGAGUUCGAGAAGAAAGAUCACGGAGCGAAUGCCGCCAAUUUCUUCAUCAUUGUAGCCUCCAUAGUUGAAGUUUCCUCAUUUGAAGCUGUUUAUGCAUAAGCUUUUUCCCUGCUCAAGUACAGGAAACUGAAGAAUUAACCAGACAUGCUAUGCUGAAAGAGGGAAGUUUUCUUCCUUGAAUGUGGCCUUGUGAUUUGUAGUGAAGUAAUAGGAUGAUCACUAGCAAGAACCCUAUCAAGGUAGAUUUUAUGAUGUCAACAUAUUAUUAAGCAUUUGUUACUUUAGCACUUCCGCAAUGAUACAUUCAUAGCAUGAAAUUAAUUAUAUGAUCCUGAUUAAUCAAUUAAUUUUCAUGAGUUUUAACCUAGUUAAAACUAAGUACAAUCAUCGUUAACAAAUACUGAAAUUGGGUAAAUAUGAUCUCGACAUUGAAGAAUUUGAAAACCCAACCCACAUAGGAAAUUACCUACUGCAUGGAGAUGGAGAUGGUUAAUUGCGAUUUCAAUGCGCAAGGUGUGCCCCGAAACAAGGGAAAAGAUUAACGUAUCCUCCAAUGAAUGAAAACGGCUGGACUAAUUCUGAUAAUAGUUUAUUAAAUGACAAAUCAUUGUUGUUGGGUGUUGGUUAUAUACGUCAUUACCACUUCAAGUAGAAGAUGAAGGUUGUGCAGGUGAUUUCAGAAAUAAAAUACAUUCUGAGAGAUGAUGGUCUACUAUUGCAUGCCCCCCAGAUUUAAGAAUCUUUUGAUUGGAGCAUUUGGCAACGAUUCGACAAAUUCUAGAUUCAACCUCCUCCACCAAGGGAUUCCAACUGAGUUAUCAAUUAUCGUAGCAGUUCUAUUAACUAAAAUUAGCACAUAUAAUACAAGAAAAAGAACAACAAAUACACAGUGAAGUUGAAUUGAAAAUGAAGUUGAAAGUUGCCGCCCAUAGCUGCUGACUAAUAAUAAAACGAGACAAAUUAAUUAUCCUCAGACCUCAAUGUAUAUGUUAUCAUAACUUUACUUUCCCUAGCCUGUUAUAUUCACUUAACACUUGAUGCCUAAACCAUUAAAACCAAAUGACCAUAGGGGUAUUUAUAGUAUGUAAAAACAAACAAAAACACGUUAAAAAUUUUAAAAAAUUAAUAAUCUCAUUCUAAAUUUACCACUCAACUCUAAAUAAUAGCAAUACUCUAAAACAAUUUACAACCUUUGACGGGAGUAGCUAUAAGGAAAAUCCUUUUCUCAGUAGAUUGGCAUUGCCCGAGAGUUGCAAGGAAAACAGAUGCCUGCAACUGUGCCGGAAGAUUCAACUAGCACUGAAAAAGAUCAUAAUUUAAUUGAUAUGGACAAAUCAUCUUAUGUAAUUGUGAUGUCGGGAAGCAUUAGUGAUCUAUAUGUGAAGUAUUAUUGGUGACAUUGGUGGUUUUAUCUUGUUAAAAUGGGGAUGACUUACGGUUACUAUUUUAUUGUAAACAAUCUUAUUUAAUUAACAUAUAAUUUAAAACCAUUAUAUAAAUCAAUCUAUUAAUUUUCAUGAUAUUUAAUUGUGUUAAAACUAAGUGCAAUCAAUAAAUCUCGUUUCCUUUAAAAAACAGCUACGCUUUGAUUUUAGUGCUUAAUAUUUAUUAAACUUUGAUGCAGGGAAUUUGAAAUCAAACUACAAAUUAUCUAAUUGCGAGUUGCUGUCCAUAACUACUGAUUUGUAGUGAUUAUCUAAGUGACUGAGGUGACAACAAUUUUUUUUUUUAAAUUUUCAAUAGCACAACGUGGAAUUCAAUAAUUAAAUUCUCCUAUUUAAAUUGUUUCCAGUUAAAUUAUUAAUUACUUAAACUCUGUUUUAAGUCUUUAAUUUUAUGUGUUUAUGCAGAAUUGGAUUCUUGAGCAUGUUGGACACGACCAACAAUGAAAUUGACAGUAAACAAAUAAAACGUGUGGACUCCGGUAGCUGCCCUACAAAUUAGGGGUGUGCAGAAUCCAAUCCGAUCCGCUCAAUCUGUCUGAUCCGUGAAAUCCGAUCCAUGGAUUAGUGGAUUGGAUAUAGAUUGAAAAUUUAAAAAUCCACAGUCGAUGGAUUGGAUAUGGAUUUACUUCUGUAAAUCCGUAAAAAAAAAAUUUAUUUAUUUAUUUAGUUAAAAAUAUUAUAAAUUUAAUUAAAAAAUAUUAUAAAUGGGACAUUACAUAGUUACAUAAGCACUAUAACAUAUCUUAGUCAUUACCCAAUAAAAAUAUAAAAAAAUAAUAAUUAAAUAAUCAAAUAUACAAAUAUAACUUGUAAAAAUUGUUAAACAAAAUAAAAGCAAAGUCUCAUGCACUAGCAAAAGCAACCUAACAUAACAUCAAAUUACAACAAUUUGCAAGUCACCAACAAUCUGCAAACAAAAAACCCUAAACUUCCCCGCCAUCACACGCACUAGCAACACUCAAUAUUGGUUCGAUACACUCUCAACAUCGAUUUGAAGGACAUCGGCCGCGUGAUUCCGGCUAGAGCAAGCCAUCUUCUUCCCCAAGUCCAUCGAGCCACUUCACAAUCACUGGUUCCAGCCGAACAAUUGCACUAUCACAACUUUCAAUAUCGCCACCUGUACGGCUUCUCCUGGUUCCCAUCGUUGACGACUCCGUAAUCAUCACUUUUCGACAAGCCCAACAGCCCCGGUGAAGGAUCAGACUGUGUUUGGUUUCAGAAACUUCGCCAUUUCAAUUAAUUGUGUCUUUAUUUGAACAAUUAAUUUCAAUGUUAUAUUAAUGUAUUAUUGUUACUUUAUUUGAACAAUUAAUCUUAGUGUGUUAUAUUUUGAAACUUUGAACAUAUUAUUGUAGUUUUAUUUGAACAAUUAAUCUUGAUGUGUUAUAUUUUAAAACUAUGAAUAUAUUAUUUUAUCUUUAUUUAAACAAUUAAUUUAUUUAAAUUUUAUUCAAUUUUAAAUUUAAUCAGUAGUAAAAUUAUUUUUAUUUCAUUAGUUCAUGGUAGGGAUGUAAAUUUUUUCCGAUGGGAUGGGAUCCCGCAUUUGGGAUAAGAUUGAGACAUAUUUUUGUCCUAUAAAAAAAUUUAGGAACGGGAGUGUGACCUUUUUUUAUCCCACUUGCAUACACGGGACGAGAGUGAGAUUGGCAAAUUCCGUCCCAUCCGUCUCAUUGCCGACUAAGAAUGAGAAUAUUUUCCAUUAGGAUGGGAUCCUGCACUUUUGGGACGCGAUCGGGACAUAUUUUUGUCCCAAAAAUGGUAAAGAUUUUUAGAAUGUGUGGAAAUUGAUCCAUAUUUUACCGAAACAACUUGUCUCGAACAUUAAGAUGACUGAUAUUUUUUUUGAAUAAUAUCAACUUUCAUAUCUUUCUACCCCCAGAACAUGCUCACAUUCAAGUCUAUCUUGCGAAUUUGAAAAAGAAAAUUAAAUCAAAUCAACACCAAAGCAAUGAAAAGUAAAGCUUUUGAAUUUUAACUCCAGCUGGCAAACGUAUUUAGCGUUUUCAAAUUCUUCCCAUUGCAUAUCUUCUUCCUCCAUCAAUGCAAUAUUUGAACAAUUAGGAAAGAGUUUAAGAAUAUAAAAAAUCUCCUAGGUUUAUACGGUGCAACAAAUUUAAAUUCUCAAUUAUAAUAGAUAAUAAUUACACUAAUAAUUAUUUAUUUACUUAUUUUAGUAAUUUCACCUAAGAAUAAUAUUGUCAUUAGAAAAAAAUCUAAUAAGUGGAGUGGUUUUAUACAAAAUCAACUACAUACAGUAAUAAGUGAGUACACACCUUUGAUUAUCGGGACUCUUCAAUGAAUUUCUAGCCCUGUUGACUCCAUCGGCUACGGCUAAAGGUCUUUAAAACAAGCAAAUAGAAUUUUCAAAAAAUGCAAAACUUGUCGAAUUUAAUUUUUGACCAUGUAGAUCAAAAUGUAAAUUAAAGAAAAAGACAAAACAAAAAAGAGGUAAAAUUUGCAAAAUGUGUGAAAGAUGACUCAUGAUUUAUUAGAAUGACCUGCCUCGGAUAUCAAGACGAUUAAUCUUUUUUUAAUUUUUUUUGAAAUAAUAUCAACCCCCAUAUUUUUUCACUCGCGGAACAUGUUCGCAUUCAAGUCUAACUUGCUAAUCUGAAAAAGGAAAUCAAAUCAAAUCAAUACCAAAGCAAUGAAAAGUAAAACUUUUGGAUUCUAACUCCAGCUAGCAAACGUUUGAAUUCUAUAAUUAAAUUCUCCUGUUGAAUUUGUUUUAAGUUAAAUUACUAAUCACUUAAAUUCUGUUUUAAGUUAAAUUACUAAUCACUUAAACUCUGUUUUAAGUCUUUAAUUUUAUGUGUUGACGUGUAUGCGGAAUUGGAUUCUUGAGUGACUUAGACAUGACCACAAUGAAAUUGAUGGUAAACAAACAUUAAAACGUGUGGACUCCGGCAGCUGCGCUGCAACUCAACAAUAAUAAUUGAGUAUGCACCAUUCUCGGGACCCCUUCAAUGAAUUUUCAGCCCCGUUGACUCCACUGGCUAAGGCUAAAAUUUUUAGCCUUGUGGAACAAAAUGUAAAUUAAAAAGACAAAAAAGAAAAGGGGCAAGAUUUAUAAAACGUGUAGAAGGCGGUCCAUGAUUUAUUGGAAUAACCUGCCUCGAAUAUCAUGAUGACUGAUUUAUUUAUUUAUUUUUUUAAAUAAUAUCAAUUCCCAUAUCUUUCCACUCCCGGAAAAUGCUCACAUCAAGUCAAAUUAAAUCAACACCAAAACAAUGAAAAUUGAAAAGUAAAACUUUUGAAUUCUAACUCUAGCUAGCAAACGUAUUCAGUAUUUUUAAUUUCUUCGAAUCGCUUAUCUUCUUCCUCCAUCAAUGCAAUAUCAAGUAUUUUUUUUUUUCGUAAUCUUUUCUUUGCAUUUCUUUUUGCUCCAUCAAUGUAAUUUAACUUCUUUUUUUAUUAGAACGGCUCGGAAAGAGUUGAAGAACAUAAAAAAGCUCUUGGUUUUAUACGGUAAAACAAAUUUAACUUAUAAUUAUUCAACUAACAAUUAUUUAUUUACCUAUUUUAGUAAUUUCACCGAAGAAUAAUAAUGUAAUUACAAAAAAUCUAGUCAGUUUGGUGGUUUUAUACAAAAUCAACUACAUACCCAUAUACAGAUGCAGAUGCAAAUAAUAUUUUUAAAUAAGAAAAUUGUAUAUUGAGAUGAAUAAGAUGUUUCUAUGAUUCUAUCUUAGGAAAGCUUGGUGGUGGUAACGACAUGAAGUUGCGAGUUGCUGCACACAGUUGCUAGUAAUAUAAUAAAACAAGAUAAAUUAAUUAAACUCAGGCCUUUACGUAUAUGUUAUCUUAACUUUACUUACCCUUGUUUGAUGAUUUUCAUUCUUGGAGCUAAGGGCGCAUGUAAUAUUUGUAAUUGUAUUAAGUAUAUAUAAAUGUGAUUUUCAAAAUCAGGUUUUAAAAAGUUACUUCUUCCCUAUUUUUCAAAAUCUGUAGGAUAGGCUGAUUUUUUCAAAAGUAAUUUUUAAAAUUUUUUACCAAACACUAAAACCAACUUUUAACUUUUCAAAAUCACUUUCGAACUUUCAAAAAGCAAUCUCAAACGAAUCAUUACUCUUGUUGUCUUGCUAAUAGUUUCAAUCUAAUUUUAGUUCUACUGUUACCACUACUCAAGGUAAGCGAAAGUUCUAGAUGUGGCAAAAUCAAUAAUUAAAUUCAUAAAACGUAAACUAAUUUUCCUGACCAAAUAGAGUUGCGCAAUUUCAUCAAUUUGGAAGAAUUGACAUUGAUGGACUAGCCUUUCUCUCCAUAUAACUAUAAUCCUUUUAGAAAUCUAUUUUUUUAUUAAUUAUUUUCUUUUAAGUUAAUUUCAAUUUCGAAAAGAGAUAUUUUAAGUUGUAUAUACUCUACCGGGAGUUUCUUCAGAACAAUUUCCUUAUUCCAAGAAUAACGAAAAUGUGGUAAAUUAGAAUUAAUAUAGUAUACAGGUGCUGAUUAUAUAUCAUGAUUGGAUGGAUUAUGCGAAAAAACCGGAGAAUUUUAAUUUAUUUUUUGUUGAAUGUUAAUUUUUCAGGUUAUCUUGAUUUCAAUUUGGAAUAGUAAUUUGGUCAUAGAUUUCAGGCACAGGCUAUCAUAGUCUAGACUUAAUGAGUUAAUGGUACCAUUAUUCUUGAUGAAGGCAAUGACUCCCAAUCCUCUUAUAAAAAAUAUUUUCAACUAUUUUGACGACAAACCUCUCUUACAGUAAUACAGUUAAUAGUCUCUAAAAAUAGAUAGAUUUAUUGUUGUCAUGACAAAAUUAUUUAUCGUAAUGAAAUAUAAUUAAUGCGUCAAAAUUAUCAGGUAUAUAUUCUAUUUUACUUUUUCAAUACAGCACUUUUUUUUUUAUAUAUAAAAUAAUCGGCUAUGCCCCUGAGGCAUUUUCUAGGAAUAGCUUCUGGCUUCAGCUUACCUCUGUUUCUCUUGUAAUUUUCUUUUUCAAUUUUUUUAACGAAGUUAAUUAAUAAAAGAAGAAGGGCAGGUUUUUCCAAGUCACGCAUUAUUUGACCACCGUCAAUCAAGAAACCAACCAAGUUAAUUUCUCUCCAUGAUUUCCAAAAGCUAGAAAAUUUUGUUAUUUUUAUUUUAUUUUAUUUUUAUCACAAGGAAGUUGUAUUCAAUUUAGACAAUACAAUAGUACAGCAGCAAAACAUCCAAGAUCUUAUUACAGCUUCGAAGUAAAAUAUUGCAGUACACAACAGACAAUCCUGAUGAUAUUCAUAGUAAAUUCACGAAGUGAACAGGCCACUGAUAUCUUAAGCAGCAGCCACAGCUUCGGUAGGCUUCGAAUCUGCUGGUUUUUCCUCUUCCCAGAAGGCAGUCUUCUUCCCGGCCUUAGAAACAGUCUGGAGGACAGCGUCGGGCUGUACGUUGUCCUUCACAGUCACCUUUUGCUCCUUCAAAUCAAUGUCAAAUGUUUCCACACCAUCCAUUUUCCCCAACACUCUCUUCACUGCUCCAUAGCAGCCCUCGCAUGACAUGUCAACCUUAAGGACAACGGUCUGAGACAUAGCAGGACUUCAAAUAAAAAAAAAGAACGACAAAAAUUGAUUUUUUUUUUUUUUGGGCUUUUGUUUUCGUUUUUGUUUUUGAUGCUAUUAUCGGUAACGAUUUUGCUUUAUAUAGAGGAAAAAAUGGGCGACGGGCUCUAACGAUAAAUCAAUUUUGUUUGUGGAAAUAUAAAUCAAUUUCACCUGCUUUUUAAAGUACAAAUACAGAAAUGGAAUUUUCACAAAAUACCAAACAUGUAGAAUUUAAGUUUUGGCCGUGUAGACCAAAAUGCAAAUGAAAGAAAAAAGGAAAAAAGGACUUAAAAGACUUCUAAAACAUGUGGAAGUUUUUAGACUUUUUUUUAAUGGUGGGUUUUCCAAAGGGAAAAAAACAUAACAACACUUCUAAGACUUAUUUUGAUGAUCACAUGUAUACUCUUUAAUUUUAUAAAUGGAUAUAUAAACACUUUUUUUUACAAAUAUCAAAGAUUUCAAAACUUUCCAGUUAAGUCCAAAUUACUCAAAACCACAAGGUACUUUAUCUUAUAAAAAUAAAACUUCUUUGUUUAUAAAAAAGUAAUUAAUAAAAUUAAUCUUUUGAGCUUCUCAAAUGCUAAAUCAUGCAUCAAUUAAAUCAUACCGGCUUUACAAGAAUUUUUCGCAAUAAUUUAUCUGUUGAGUUCUAAGCUUUAUUCUUGAUUUUGCCAUUGUCCGUUGAGUGUCUUCAACUUGAUUUCACUUGAUUUACUUGCAUAAAUAUUAUCCUUCAAAAACUAGUGAAAAUUGUGAAAUACAAUAUUUAAAUCGCUUAAUACACAUGUUUGUUAUCAUCAAAAUUACAUUAUAUGUAGCCCUUUAGGCUAACAGAUAGCAUACGUAUGAUGACUUCUGGUGUAGUAUGAGCCUCAUGUUGCAUCAAAGCAAUGACUCGAGCCUGAGUACGAGGUCAACCAGGUUGUCCUAUUUGACCUGGAGCAGUGGCCUGGCUCCCAGAUGUAGAACCCCAUGUCUGCAUACCCCUCUGACCCUGAGUUGGUCUAGAGUGAAAUUGAUAUUGUGGGGUUGUCCCUCGAGCAUAACUAUCACCUUGAGAAUAAGUGGGGCAGAAUCUCCUAAUAUGUCUAGGUUGUCCACAUAAAUAACACACCUUGUCUCCAACACAGCACUGACCCUGAUGGUUCCUGCCACACGAAGGGCAAAACGUCCGUUGUAUACUCCUAGAACGAUCACCAUGGUGUCCUCCUCUAUUCCUGUCCUACUACCCCUGAGCCCUAACAUUACUCCCCACUGAUGGCUGUACCGAACUGUGACUAACAACCUGUCUUUGAUCUCUCCUGAAACCUGCACUCUGACUCUUUUGGACGCUAGCGGAGUAAUUUGUAUGGGAGCCUCUCUUCGACGGCCUAUUACUCGAGCCACACUCUGUACAACUCUGGCUACGUUUUUGUUUCAGUGAAUGAACUCUAUGUCCCUCUGAAAUACUAUGUUCUACUCUCCAGGCUGCCUCAACUACCUCUCAAAACUCAGUAUGUCGUGAUGCAUCCACGGUAGUGCGAAUCUCAUAUCGGAGACCCUCCUCAAACCGUCUGCAUCUCUCUCUCUCUUCACCAACUACAUAUGUAGCAAAUCUAGAGAGGUCUAAAAAUUUCCUCUCAUACUCCUCAACUGUCAUGGAUCCUUGAACCAACCGAAGGAAUUCACUUCACUUAAAAUCCUGAUACACAAUUGGAAAAUAAUGAUCGUAGAAUUCCUUACGAAAAAUAGCCCAUGUAAGUGUGGCAUGUCCUUGAUAUUUACGUUCCACUGUCUACCACCAAUGAUAAGCCCUAUCCUCGAGUAGAAAAGUGGCAAAGGAAAGUCUAUCCUCUUCUGAGCAUCUCAUCACAUCAAAAAUACGUUCUAACUUUACAAGCCACGAUUCUGCCAUAGGUGGACCUUCAGAACCAUUAAAACUCUUUGCCCCUAAGCUUCGUACAUGCUCAAUAGUGUUUACAUGACCGGUAUGCGGAUGAGUCUAAUUCUGUACCACUGUAGUUACAAUCUGAGCUAGUCUAUCAAUUGACUGCUCAAUGUUUGAACCAUUUCUUGGUGCCUGUUGUGCAACCUCGUGCGUUGAAACUCAACUAUUCCCUCAUUACGGGAUCAUUUCCCCCCGCAAGUACAUCUCCUGAAGUCAACCCAGCUACUAGCCUAGUACACUGCUACGACAAAUCAUGAUGGUGCCUAUAAAAUAUCAAUUCCGACUUUAAUAAUAAUAAAACUUAUUAUAAUUAUGACAGUAUAGUCUAUAGAAUCUAAAACCAUGCUCUGAUACCAACUUGGAACGACCCGCCUCGAAUCUUUAGGACAAGUCUAUCUAAUCUCGUCUAAACAAAUUAAUAACAAUUUUAAUGUCUAAGAAUUCUACCACAAUUGCACCAGAGUCUCCCAUAUAAUUAUGAAAUUCCCAAACCUGCAAUUUAUAAAAUUAACACUCCAAAAAAUGAUAUAAUAUUCAAUCAACCACCACAACCAACUUCCUUAAUCAAAUACCAGUAUCCUUCAAACAUAUCAUGUCAAGCAUACAAUAAUUUACCCUUAAUCACAAAAGUAAAAAUUUAAACAAUUCAAAAUAUCCCAACAAAACAUCUAUGAUUUCUAACAACAUCACGUGUCCAUAAUUUCAAAUCUAACUAUCGUUACUGGGUCGAUUGAUGUACCUGCAAAUCUCCUAUGAGAGGGGAGAGGAAUAUAAUAAAAAUAGAGUGAGUAUAAAACUCAGUGAGCUCAGUGAGUGGAUAGUAGUUUUUGAAAAACAUAUAUUUAUUUAAAAUGAUUUAAUCUUUCCCAAAUCAAUUUCAUCAAAAUAUCAUAAGAACUUACAUAAACUUAUUUAAUUCACAUCAUACACUGAAAUAACAAUAUCACAUAAAUCUGCAUAAAAUCAAUGAAAUCAUAACACGUGUAAUAUCAAAUACUGAAUACCAAAAACUAUCACCUAAUAAAUACCCAAGGGAAUAAUCUCAUCAUAUCCGGACCUCGACAGACGGGCAAUUAGGGAACUAUUAUGCCUCGGAGCUACAACGAAUAGAUGGGAAAAUGUCAUCUCAUAUCUCAUAUAUCUCAUCAUAUCUAUGCAUCCAUAAUCUGGUCCCCAAAGGAUAAGGCGCCCAAGCACACGGCCCAAAGCCUCUGUGUGCACUCAGACGGGCCGAUGAUUUUGCAAACAACCUUUUAUACACAUGUUCGUAAACAUAUAAUUACAUUUGAAAUCUCCUUUCCUUUUUAUUUAACAUAUCUCAAAUCCACUCAAUUCUAUUAUCAUACAUUUACUCAAAAACGAUAACAAAAUCAUUAAUCAAACUCAUUCUUAAUAAUAAUAAAUAUCAGCACGUAAAUGAAAAUCCAUUUUAUAGAAAAUUAUUAAAUCGAAGCAUCAAAUACUUAUUAUCAAAACAUGUUGUACUGUAUCGUAAAAUCAGAAUAUACUAUGAAAAUAUGUUUUGUAUAUUCCACUCACAGUGACAAUAUCCAGCUCGGUAUCAACAACGUCCGCGGGUUGAUUCUCGUUCGCAGGUCCUCCUAAUCAAGUAAACGACAAAAUCAUUUUCCGUAAACAUGAAAUACAACUAAUUUCAGACAAUAAAUCUCGAAACAAAUAUCUAUCCGCAUAAAUUAUUCUCGUAUGCAUAAAAUUACUAAAAUACCCCUACAUGCCAAAAUUACCAAAAUGCCCCCGACGUCAAUAUUUACUAAAUUCUCCACAAAAUCCUAAAUUACCAAGCUACCCUUAAUUCGGAUCACAAGAAUAACCACAAUGUCAAAAAAAUACAAAAUUACCCUUGAAGUGUAAAAUUACCAAAAUACCCUUAACAAUGUAAAUUACUGAAUUACCCCAAAAUCUCAAAUUGCCUAACUGUCCUAUUCGGAAAUUACAAAAUUAUCCACCAAUUUUAGAAAUUACAAACUUAUCCUGAAGUUUGUGAAAUUAUCGAAUUGCCCUUGCCGGUCAAUUUGAUAGUUUUGACCACCCUAAGUCCAAUGGUGGUGGCCGUGAGUUCUCACGCAUGAUGACGGCGGUGGAUCGAGCUUCCCAAUAUGUGAGCUUUCCAAUGGUCGAUCGGUGGAAUUCUGACUGUUUCAGGAGGCGAGGUUGGUCGGAAAAUGAUAAGGGUGAGCUGAGGAUUAAGGUCAGGCGGUGGCAUCACCCAAAACCGGCGGAGUUAACAACGACGAAAAUGGGUUGAGCAGCAAGUUUGCUGAGCUUGAUCGCCGGUGUUCUCACCAUUUUCUAACAGCGAGGAAGGUAGGGGUAUGACCGGCAUCUCACGAGCUUUCUAUUGGUACCUUGCUCGGCUGGUGAGGUAGUCGGAAAUGGAAGUUAUGACCUGGUCAAGGUCGCGGGUUGCGGGUUGGAUUCGAGUCAAAACCGGGUCUAUCUCUCUCUCUCUCGCGCCCCCUCCUCUCUUUCCUUUUUUGGAAACCGGCUCCCUUAUUUUCAUUUAUAGAAACUAGCUUCUUUUUUUUUUCUUUUUUUUAACUUACUUCCAAUUAAGCCAAUGUCGGACCCGUGUUGAAAUAAAAUCCGACCACACAGCCAUUGAAUCGUGUUUGAAAUGUCUCAAUUUUAUGUCGUGCAAAUAUAAAAUAAUCCAAACACGAUUUAUUUAAUAAAUGCGUAACAUUUAACAGUUUCCACUCAAUGUCGGAUAAUCAUAUUGUAUCAACUUCACCGUAAUAAUUUGGAACAAAUCCAACAAAUUUAAAAUUAAUGUCGAAGGGGGAAAAAUUAAAUAAUACACUUAAUUAGGAAAAUUGAAGUGGAUAUGUUACAAAAUGUACUACAAAUAUCGAAAAAAUAUAAAAUUUUACAAAUUAGAUUAUUUGCCAUUUGGUUUAUUAUUUUGCAGAUUUGAGUAGGUUGAAGUCUCUUGGUUUAAGUGGUAUCAAGGUCAAUCAUAGCAGCUUGUUUUCUCUUUCUGCAUUAAGAGAAUUAGAUCUAAGUGAUACGAGAUUCAAAGGAAAGAGUUGCAGAAGAUAACCAAAUAAGUCAACUAUAAGCUAACUGGGUGUAUAUAUAGUUAGAUGUGCUAUAAAUAAAUAGCAUAGAGCCCUCUAGUUGGUUACAGAGACAGAAAGGGUGUGUGUAUGUUUUUUAAUUAGAAUGGGUGGUUCAAAAUAAAAAAUGGUGAUAAUGUUUGUUAUGUUAUUAAUAAUAUUUGAAAGUGGGUGGAGUAAGGGAUGUUUGGAUCAUGAGAGAUUUGCUCUUUUGCGACUUUGACAUUUCUUUAAUGAUCCUUAUAGCCUUCACGAUUGGGUAGAUGAUGAGGGAGCUACUGAUUGUUGUCAGUAGGAAAGGGUUCUGUGCAGCAACACCACAAGCCGAGUGAGACAAACUUGACCUUUCUUUUAUUAAGUAUUCAAGAGAGUAUUGGUAUCUGAAUGCUUCUUUGUUUACUCAUUUUAACAUCUUGAGGCACUUGAUUUAAGUGCCAACAACAUGGCCGGCUUUGUUAAUAAUGAAGGUGCUUUGUUUAAUUUAUUUUACUUUCUCCUUUCUAAUUUAAGUCGAAUCUCAAGACUAAGCAACUAUAUGCAUAUCCAUCCAGUUGACAAUUUUGACAUUUUUUUUAAAUGAUUAAUUUUGAGAUUACACCAACAUAAAUGAUAAGUUUUGAUUUUAAUUGCAAGACCAAAGAGGCUAUCAAGAUUGAACAACUGAAGGUUCUUGAUUUAAGUGGAAACUUGUUCAACAAUAGCAUCUUGUCAUCUCAAGCCAGUCUUUCAUCAUUAAGAUCUUCACUGUUAUAUGAGAAUAGACUGGAAGGAAGUAUUGAUGUUAAAGGUACAUAAUUAAAACUUCAUCUCUUCUCCCAACUCUUUCAUGAACUUGCUAAAAUAAGAUUCAACGAAAUUUUAUAUUUUAAUUGUUCUGAAGGAAUCAGAUACUAAUUGGCAGCUCGAAUAAACAUACUUUUAUUUACUCCGUCAAUCAAUUAAUUAAAUACCAUUUGUUUUUAGUCUUAAGUUUUGGCAUGUUUGCAGAAUUUGAUUCCUUGAGCAACUUAGAGGAGUUGGACAUGAGCUAUAAUGAAAUAGACAAUUUCGAGGUUCCUCAAGGUAAACAAUUAAAAUAUCAUUCAAUUGCAUUAAUUUAAUUUGUUUGAUUAGGGAAGGCCCAAAAGGUACAAAAAAAAAAAAAAUAAAUAAAGAAACAGAGAAUUUAUAUUAUUUAAAAAAAAACGUAAUACUAUUAUUUCAAAAAUAGAAUGAAAUAAAGAUUCGACUCUAGUUCUUUAAUCUUUAGAGCAAGCAAAAAACGAUGUUGCUCUUUUCCUAAAGCACAAAAUAUGAAAUGACUCCUAAUUGAAUUAAUGAUUUAUUUCAUUUAGCUCUAAAUUUAGACAAUAAAUUUUUUUUUUUUUUCAAUCCUAUCCUUAUUAUUAUUAUUGACCGGAUUGCAGUGGUUUGAGGAAGUUGAAUUAUCUUCAUCUAUUGAGAGUUGGAAUUUGAGAUGGAAAUAAGUUGUUACAGUCAAUGGGAUCAUUCCCAUCCCUCAACACUCUUGACCUUUAGUAUAAUAAUUUUACGGAAACAGUGACAACUACUACUCAAGGUAAGUAAAAGGUACAGAUGUGGCCAAAUUUAUAAUUAAUUAAUUAAUUUUUUUUAUUAAUAAAGAGAAAUUCGUUGCUCCUUCCUUCUAAACAGAGUUGCACAAUUUCACCAACUUAUAAUAUUUGAGAUUAGAAUAUUUCUUUCUCUAUAUAAGCCUUCUGCAAAGCAUUGCAUCAUUCACUUUGUUAAAAAAUUUGUCGAUGUAUUAUUGUGAAGUCAAUGGUGUCAUACGCGGUCCAAGUAAAAGAAAAGCGUUGAUUGUGAACUCAAUGUCGUCCUACGCAUUCAACAUUUUUAUUUAUAUAUUUUAUUGUUUAAUGUUUCUACUAGUUUUUCCCUAUUUCAAGAGUUUGAAAGAGUUGUACAUAGAUGACGCAUGCAUUGCACUCAACACCAGCUUUCUUCAAAUCAUCGGUGAAUUGAUGUCUUCUCUUUAGUACUUAUCACUGUCAAAUUCUAGUAUUAGCAAUAACAACAGGACUCUUGAUCAAGGUUAAUGAGAUGCUCCCACCCUCCCCUCUUAAUGUAUAAUAUUAAUUUCUAAUUAAAUAUAUAAUUACACAAACUAAUCUCUUAUAAAAGAACAAUAUUCAUUUAUUAACUUCUAUAUUGUACUGAUGGAUGAAUUAAUAAAUUUUCAGGCCUUUGCCCAUUGGUGCAUCUCUAAGAGUUGCACAUGGCUAAUAAUGAUUUAAGAGAUAGCUUGCCUUGGUGCUUGGCAAAUAUGACAUCCCUCCGAAUAUCAGAUGUUUCUUCCAAUCAACUUACUGGAAGCAUCUCCUCAUCUCCUCUCGUUCAUUUGACAUCCAUUGAAGAUCUAAUACUUUCAGACAAUCACUUCUAGAUCCCAAUUUCACUUGAAACACUUUUCAAUCACUCAAGACUCAAGAUUUUCGAAGCUGAAAACAAUGAAAUAAAUGUAGAAAUAACUGAGUCAAAUUCUUUGACGAUCCCAAACUUCCAAUUACAAUCUCUUUUAUUGUCUUCUGGUUAUAGAGAUGGUAUCACAUUCCCUAAAUUCCUUUACAAUCAAUAUGACCUAGAGUAUGUUCGUCUCUAACACAUAAAGAUGAAUGGAGAAUUUCCAACUUGGUUGUUGGAAAACAACACAAAAUUGAGACAACUUUCUCUUGUCAAUGAUUCUCUGGCACGACCUUUCCGAUUGCCAAUUCAUUCACACAGGCAGUUAAGACUGUUGGAUGUCUCCAAGAACAACUUCUAAGGCCACAUUCCACUAGAAAUUAGAGAUAUUUUAUCAAGGUUAACAGUCUUCAACAUUUCCAUGAAUGCUUUGGACAGUAGCAUUCCCUUUUCAUUUGGUAAUAUGAACUUCCUCCAAAUUCUGGACUUAUCCAACAAUUAAUUGACUGGUGAAAUCCCCGAGCACUUGGCCAUGGGUUGCGUUAGCUUGUAUUCUCUUGCGUUGUCAAACAACAACCUAUAAGGUCAUAUGUUCUCUAGAAAUUUUAACUUGACGAACUUGAGAUGUUUACAAUUGGAGGGCAAUCACUUCGUAGGAGAGAUCCCACAAAGUUUGUCCAAAUGCUCCUUAUUAGAAGGAUCGUUUCUUAGUAAUAACAGUCUCUCAGGUAAGAUUCCAUGAUGGUUGGGUAAUCUCAUGGUGUUACGUCAUAUUAUAAUGCCCAAAAACCAUCUUGAAGGUCCUAUUCCAUUAGAGUUUUGUUAGCUUCAUUUCCUUCAAAUUUUGGAUAUUUCAGACAACAACAUAUCUGGGAAUUUCCUUCAAAUUUUAGAUAUUUCAGACAACAACAUAUCUGGGAGUUUACCAUUUUACUGCCAUUUUAUCUGCAUCGAACAAGUUCACUUGUUGAAGAAUAUGUUACACGGAUAAUUAAAGGAAGGUACAUUCUUUAAUUGCCCUUCCCUUAUGAUAUUAGAUCUUAGCUAUAACCGCUUGGAUGACAACAUUCCUGAUAAGGUUGAUGGGCUUUCUCAGUUAAGCCACCUCAUCUUGGCUCACAAUAAUCUUGAAGGUGAAGUGCCAGUUUAAUUGUGCAAAUUGAACCAACUACAAUUAUUAGAUAUUUCUGAUAAUAAUCUUCACGGUCCUAUUCCCUCUUGGUUUGAUAACACAACACUUCAUGAAAGGUACAACAAUGGUUCUAGUCUUCAGCCAUUUGAAACAUCUUUUGUCGUAUUCGGAGGCAUUGACGUAUAUCCAAAAAAACCAAUCCUUGAAAAUUUUGACUUCACAACAAAGAACAUUACCUGCACUUACCAAGGAAGAGUGUUUGGCCUCCUAUCAGAACUUGAUCUUUCUUGUAAUAAGCUAAUCGGUCAUAUUCCUCCUCAAAUUGGAAAUUUGACCAAGAUUCAAACAUUUAAUCUAUCACACAACAACUUGACAGGACCAAUCCCAUCAACUUUUUCAAACUUGAGGAAUAACGAAAGUUUGGAUCUUUCCUAUAAAAAAUGAAGUUGGAAAAUCCCUUAUCAACUUGUGGCGUUAAAUUCAUUGGCUGCACAAUUUGCAACCUUCAAUGAGAGUAGCUGUGAGGGAAAUCCAUUUCUUUGUGGACUGCCAUUGCUCAUUUGCAUAUCACCAGCAACUAUGCCAGAGGCUUCAGCUAGCAAUGAAAGAGAUAAUAAUUUAAUUGACAUGGACAAUUUGUUUGUCACUUUUACAACAUCAUACAUAAUUGUGAUAUUCAGAAUUGUUGUUGUUCUAUAUGUGAAUCCUCGUUGGCGACAUAGAUAGUUUUAUCUUGUUGAAAUGUGGACAACUUGUUACUGUUUUGUUAUAGACAAUCUUAUUCCAGCAAGAUUUUGUCAUUGAAAUUAAUAAGAAGUUUAACUAAGAUUCUUUUAAGUACUAAUCAGGUUUGCUUAAGAAAUAUUUUUUUUUUUGAAAUUAUAGUAGAGUUGAGCAUUAUAUAGCUUCCAACUCCCAAGCACUUCGUAUUUGUCUCUACACUUAGAAAGCUAAGCAAUAUGUUUUGUAUAUAGCUUUCCUAUGUUGUGCAACAUACUUAAAUGAGAGCACCAUCUCCAAUGUUAAAAGUAGCCAUUUUAUAACAUUCAAUUAGAAAAUAUAUUCAAAAUAGUUUUAUAAUCAUGCAUAAGAAGCCCAGAUGCACUUGCUAGCUUAUUUUGUUGGAAAAUUUUUCAAAAUAAAUGGUGUCUUUUUGUAAAGACAUGUCUAAACAAAUGGUGUCUUAUUGUAAAGAGAUGUCCAAUUAAUUGUAUCUUAUAAAAAAAGUAUCCUUUCACUUAAGGAUAUAAAAUUUCAUGGUGACAUUUCAUUUGAAAUGAUGAUGGUUUAAUUUGGACUAUUGAUUAAAAUUAAAUCUUAAUCCAAUGGCCAUGAAUGAAAGGGUAUCAUGAAAAAUGACAACCCAAAUGGAAGGGCACAAGUAUGUCUAUAAAUAGAGGCCAUGUUUAGGCCAUUUAGACAUGCAAAUAAUAAUCCUACACCACUCUUUUCUUAGCUCCUUUCCAAAAAUGAACUUCAUCAUAUAACACCUAUUUUUUGUGCAUUAAAUAUCCAAUAUAUAUUGUUUUCUGCAGGAACAAUAUAUUGUUUUUUGGCAAGCUUGCAACAUUUAAGAGUAUUCUAGUUUGCUUUCAUCAAUGCACAGCGCAAACAAACAAAUAACUACUUCAUUGUUUCCUGGAGACGUAUUUGCUUAAUCCAUGUGCAUCACUUAAUUGGUGGGGGCAAAUAACGUAUGAAGGAAAGCGACAUUUGUAAUGUGCCUGGAAGUACACAUUAAUUUUCUGCAAUUUACCUAUAACUAUUAUUUUCUUUCUACAUACAGAGUUGUAAACACAUUACUUUACACAAUAAAGUUCCACAAUUAUUACUAUGAUUCUCAAUAUUUGUCAUUCUCCACCAACAUAUUUUACUCUGAACAAGAACAAUUAUGGCAUUAUCAUCAUCUUCUUCACUUGCAGCAUUAACACCAAAUUCAAGAUAGACUCAGACAUUUCAUCAAGAAAGGCAUACGUCUAAUGAAGUUGAAGCUUGAUAAAAAAUUCAAUGGAAGGUCAAUGCCUCGCCACAACAAAGGACCUAACAAUAUCCUUCUAGCAAAGAUGAAGCAAUAUUCCUAAAGCUAAAGCUCUCAAAUUCACCACACCAGAAUUUCAUAUCUCUUCAUCAAUUUUAAAAACUAAAGAUAAUUAGGAUUUAACAUUAGGUUGUUAUAUAUUAGUUUCACAAUUUACAAGUCAACAAAGAUAUAGAUUAUGCCAAUGAAUUCAAAUCAUGCUGGAUGUUACUAAAAAUUUACAAAAAUUUACAAGUCAAUCCCACAUAUUUCAUAAUUUUAUGAUUGGAAAGUUUCAUUAGUUUAAAUUUUUAUUACCUUCAAGUGGAAGAUAAAGAUGCACUUUAUGCAAGUGAUUCAGAUUAUAUCAUACACUCUCUAAAUGCAACUAGAAAUUAACAAGUUGAUGCCCAUAGAUUUCAUAACUUUAUGAUUGGAAAGUUUCAAAAAGUUUGAAACUUGAGAAAUUCUGAAUUUAACCUCCACGAAGCUAUUUUGAUUAAUUUGACUUACUUUGUGAUCAAACUAGAAAUACAACAUACAAUUAAAGGUAGAAGUAAACUAAAACUAGGAAGAAAUACUGGUAAAAAUUUGUUGUUAAACAUAAUAUGUCGUGUAGUUUUGUCCUGAGGCAAUUCAGAAACAGAAUUGUUACUACAUAUAUUCUCCUCAACUUUGAGAGAAAUACAUAUAUUAAAAUGCAUACGAUCACACAUAUUACUUGGAACUUAGCAGGAUUUCAUUAAGAGAAUCAAUCAAGCCACUUAUCUUAUCAAUUGCGAAAGCUGUUUUGUUAACUAAGAUGGCAAUAUAAUACAAUAAAAAGAACAUAUAGGUACUUGGCAAGAGUUUAUUGAGAAGUUAUCACAUUCAGAUGAUGAGUUUGCUUUCGAUAUCUUACUAGCUGGAGCUUUCUCCUGUCUUUCUACAUAAGCUAAGGGAAACCAACCAGCUUCACCCUUGCAUUCACCUUUCAACCAUCCGGCAGGAGCCAACUUGAGAAGUUAUAGCUGAAAGGGUAAAUUCAAAGGAAGUGGACCAUUCAAAGACUUAAGGUGAAAUGAUUGAAGCAAAACAUGCUAAUUCUUUUAUUUGGAAGGAGUGAAUUAGUUUUUGAUUACUGAAAUAAUUUCAUUAACCUUGGAAGCAUAACAAUACAUGAAUUCACAUGAAAUUUUAAAAGGAAAAUAUAAGAUUACAGCUCCCUCUGUUUGCUUUUAAGAUCAGCGAGAGAGUAUUUUGUAGGUAAAAGUAGUUUGCAUAAGCCAUAAAUUUGAUUUUUAGCAUUUCAGAAAGAGUUAAAUCCUUCAUAAUCAUCAAAAUAUCCAAAUUCAUUUUGCCCUUUUAAACAGAGGAUAUAACAAUUUCACUAGGAUUUAUUAUCAAAGCAGGCAAAGCACAACAAAGCUUUUUUAAAAAUAAAUAUCCCCUAUAAACAGUACAAGCAUAUAAAGUAUCCACAAAAUUACUUCAUUCUACAAAGAAUUAUAAAUUGAAAUCACAACAAAGCUAAAAGCCUAUAAAAAGUACACGCAUAUAAAGUAUCCAUAAAAUUACUUCAUUCUACAAAGGAUUAUAAAUUAUUCUCUCACUUGUACUCCCUCUCAAUUCCAUGAGGAAUCUGUUUAUCUUAUAGAAAUUGGUUUAGUCAGCAACAAGCACUAUAAUCCUUGAAAUAGUUUUUUUAAUGCAAUUUUCAAUCAUUUUCGAAAAUACAAUUAAAUUGGAGCCAAGAUUAGGUUUAGCUUUCACAUAAAAUAACCAAGCAAACAUAAAAAAUUCACAGUUCAAUUUAUAUAUUUUUUUAAAAAUUAUAGUGGUUUAUUUUAGUGUCAAAUGUAAAUUGACCUUGUUUUAGAUUUUUAGAUACGAUUUAGUAAUAUAAAGUAUUUUUUCUAUUUUAAAACACCGAUAAGGAAAAUUUUUAAAUAAUCCAGUCUUAAAAACAUUUUACUAUGAUUUGUUUAUUAUUUUGUAAUUUUUGAAAUUGAUUUUGAUUGUGAACCAAAUCCUGCCUUAACAUUGGCUUGUGGGCCCCGGCUCUAAGAAGAAGAAAACGCAGUGAGGUGAGGGCGCACGAAGACGAAAAGGAGAGAGGAAAAGAUGGAGGUUUUGAAACUACCAAUCCCAGCAGCGCAGAGAGGGAAACUAAUAUCAGCAGGUUACAUUUCGGUCUCUUCUUCUGAUAUUUCUCGCAGUAAUUUUUUUUUUUAUAAUUUCGUUUUCAAUUAUAUGGUACUAUAACGAAUUUCACAUACCAAGUGUUUGUUGCAAUUGCUACACGAAUUACAUUCAUAUAACAUAUAUAUAAUUCACUUGCUGCUUCGCUUAAAUCAGAUUUAAAAAUUUCGGAGACCGAAGCUGUUGAAAUUCUAAAGGUUGCAUCAAAGAGCUGGUGUCAAUCUAUUCUGACUUGUAAACCAUUUUCUCUUUAAUUCUCCUUUUUCUUUUUACCAAUAACGCCGUCUUUAAAUGACACUAAUUUGUAUCUGGAUGAAUAUUCCAGCAUAUUAGUUAAUAGCUAUGAGAUUUUUUGUCGUUUGUGGCAUACAGGUACCAGACUGCCUGGGACAUGCUUCAGGAGGAACAAGAGUCAUCAAGAACAGAGUACGGCUUGUGAGUAGAAAAUUUUUUGGUUUUGGCCUGGAACAAAAAGAAAUUAAAUUGAUGGAGAAUCUACUACUUUCUCAUUAAGAAAGGCAUACGGAGCAUACCAUGGCACCACACAACACAAGAAGUCUCCGUUCUUUGCUUUUCAAACUCUGAAGGGGGCAAUAUUCCCUAAUUUUCCCUUGAAAAUUCCGAUUACGGCAUUAUUCAUCGCUUGAUUCAAUCAAAGUAGUGACAAAGCUUGGAAAAAUAUGAGUCCUAAGUAAUUACCAAGCAAGGUCCCUGAGGGCAACAUUGUCCUAGGCAUUAUAGACAUACAUCGUGUGGCACAUGGAGCACACUGAAUUCCACACUAUAACACAAACCCUGAAAGAUAAGGAAUAACUCAAAUGAUACAAAGACAAGAAGAAGAUAAAAUGAUACAGAACAAAGAAUUUCAAAGACACAGCAACAUACCAUACACAGAAGCCACUUCAUCUACUCGUUGAUUGCAGCCUUAAACUUGCAAAUAGUUACUGUACGCUAGCACUCUGAGAAAUUAAAAUGAUGCAAAAUCCUGAUUCCCUUUUGUCUUCCAUUUACCGUCAAACAAUCUAUUAAUAUAAUAAAAAAAUGUUUAGAUAUCCUGCUAUUAAUAUAAAAAAAAUGUCUUAAUAUGUCUUAAUAAAGUCACAAAUAACCAUUCAUAUUGAUCUACAGUGUCACACAGCCUGCUUUAUGCAUACAACAGCUGUAUGUAUACCAACUCCUAACCUUAUCAAAACAUUUGGCAAAAACUUAAAAGUAUUUCUCCAUCUCUUUUUCGAAAUUCCACAAUAAACCAGCACAUUGUAAAAGUUAUGUUCUAACCUUAUGAUAAAUGCUCUAGACUUCAAAUGGAUUUUAUAUAUGAGGGUUUGUUGCAGCAGAUAUAUUGACUUAUCAAAUAUGAAUCAUUGUCUGGAUGAACUAUCUUUGGAUAAAAGAAUAUUAGAACCACCCUAGAAUAUCUUUACCCUGAUGUUUCUAACAAAAAUCUGCAUGUGGCAGCAAUUACUAGAUCUACAAUUUCCCAAAUAAUAUUUUGUGUUUCUUAAAAAAUUUGAAAUGCAUAGUUGCACUAGCACACCGUGAGACAGUGCUACAAUCUACUGAGAUCUAAAUUAUAUGAGACUUUAAGCUACUAAUGUUUGCAUAUUUCUACACGUCAAAUUAACAUUACCAUCUAUAAUCCAAAAUGACAGAUGAUAAACUGCUUUUGGCCACUUAUUACUAGCAUCCACAAUUAAUUUUUGUUCAGCAAUCAGCUUAUUUUAUAGAAAUUGAUUUAGUCAGCAGAAAACACUAUAAUUCUUGAAAUUAAUUUUUGUUCUUCGUAAUUUUCUAUGGUUUUUCAUAAAUCAAUUAAUCUGCAGUGCCAAGAUGAGGUUUAGUUUUUCAAACUAAAUAAUCAAGUAAGCAAAAAUACAAAUUCAGAGAUUGGCGGGGUAAACUAGCUGGGUGGUUUAGAACUGGGCUAGCUACCUCACUGUAUUCCAAUUUAUACAGUGGAUUAAUUGAACAUGAGAAAACAAUGUGGUCAUAGCUCAAUAUGAGAUGACUUCGGAGAGGCAUAUUGUUUUCAAUUAUCUAUUAAGAGAUGAAGUGGAUUGAAGUGGAAAGUUUAAAUAACAAAUCCUUGUUCUUGAGUUUUCAAGUGGCAGAUUAUGCAAGUGAAUUAAAAAACACAAUGCAUCAAUCACGGGGAUGCUACAUCAAAAAGACGGGAUCAUAGUCUAUGGAUUGAACAGUUACAAUUGCUGCUACCAAUUAACUCGGCAAAGAUCAAGAAGACAGAACACGAAGUUAAUGCCAUCAAUUUCGUCCUCAUUAUAGCUGCUGGGAAUGAAGGUGUAGUUUCCUCAUUUGAAGCUGUCUACAUAUAGGCUUUUCCCCUGCUUAAGUUGAAGGCUUCAUUAUUGACCCCAGAAAGGAUUACUAAUUGAAGAAGACUAUACAGAGUUGAUCUCACACUUUCAUUCUCUCAAUUUCUUUCAGAAGUCCCUCUGAAAAUAGCUUCCAAAACAGUUAGUCAGCUUUUAUACUCUGUUUUCUGGAAGUACAGUCCUAAUAUACCAUAUUUAAUGGCUUUAACAGUAUUUUUGAGUUGUCUUUGCUGUGAUCAUCAACAAGCUCAUCAUAAGAUUUUUGAAGCACCCAAGGACUAUCACUGGGUUUAUCUUUUGGUUUGUUAAUUAAUUAAUCAAAGAACGGUUGGAUCCCCAAGCACAAUUACUAGAUUCUAAAAUGACUAGUUCACUAUUCUUUUACAGUCCUUUCACCAGUAAAAUUAUUCGACUUCUGGAACUGGGAAUGAAGUGCAAUGAUGAAGCAGCAUUUACAAUGUCUCCGGUUUCUCCUGAAUAUUGGAUUUUUGCAGUGAGAACAUAUAAAAAAAAGGCCUCCAUCAACGUAGGUAAAAUCCGGGAUACGUAUUGGAUCGAGUUUUUGUUUGAUAUUGAAGAACCUCUUUACUAUCGCGAUAUAGAAAAUGCGCAAGGAGUUGUCUACUGUUCUUUGCCUUGUGCUAUGAUCGGUGCUUUUGACGUUGCCCUGAAACAGUGGAAAAUACUUCAGCUUCCUCCGUUUGAUGAUGCAAAGAACUGGUUAAUCUGCGAUUACCUAAUUGAUUCAUGAUCAAGUAACAACAACAAUUUAUUAAUAGUAAUAUCACAAACUAAGAAGAUUUCGGAGAGGGAGAUGUAUUCGUAUACCGUUUACAGGUUUGAUCCGUUGGGGAUGAAGUAGUCUGAAGUCGAAAGUGAUUUAUUAAAUAACAAUUCAUUGUUCUUGGGUUAUACCUCAUUAUGUCUUCAAGUGGAAGAUGAAGAUCGAGUUUUGCUUUGAUAUUGAAGAAUUUGAACAGAAAGCCCAUAGAAAGUACCUAAAUAAGCAUAUUCUUGAGGUAAAAUAUGGAGGAGUUGUUUACUGUGUGCUGCGUAGUUAUGCUAUGAUCGGUGCUUUCGGCAUUGCGCAAACAGUGGAAAAUACUUCAUAUCCUCGACAAGAUGAUGAAAAGAAAUUGGUUGCCGAUUACCUAAUUGACUCAGACACAACAAUCUAUUAAUAGCACAAUUUGAAGUGAUGCCGUUUAGGUAUAUGGUCUACAGGUGUGAUUCAUCAGCGAUGAUGUGGACUCAAAUUAAAAGUUUAAAUAAUAAGUCGUUCUUCUUGGGCAUAUCGUCAUUAUUACGUUAAGUGAUCAAAGAUGAAGAUGAAGAUGAAAAUUCUUCAAGUGGGUUCAAGAAUACCAUACAUCGUUACUUGGGAUACUUCCUCAAACUUGGAUGGGGUUAUAAUUUACUCCCACGAAUUUCAACCCAAUUUUAUGAUUGGAGUGUCUCACCAUGACUCAGAAAAAAUUCUGAUUCAACCUCCUCCACCAACGGAUUUUGAUAAGUUACUUUGUAAUCAAGCAAUUUAAUUAAUUAAACUCACAGCUUGAUUUUGUUGGUACCACAAUUUGUUAAAAUGUGGCCAUGUGAGGAGAGCGGAACAUAGUGUCACUUCCUCAUCAAGCACUUCAAAGAGGGAUUUUAGAAGAAGAUAUAACUGCAAUUGUCUUCGUGUGUGUGUGUGUGUGUGUGUAUAACUACUGAACUUUCAGUUCAUAAAAGAAAUUUUUGCUAACCAUGAUAUGUGGUAGUGUUUUUUAGGCAAUUUACGAACAGAGUUGUUCAACUUACAGCAGAUAUUCUCCUCAAGUUCGACGUAAUUAAUAUUAUGAUGACACAUAUAACUUGCUUCAAAAUUAGACAUUACGAAUUUCCGAUUCACAAUGCAUAUAACUUGGAAGAAUUGAUGCUAAAGGAACAAUAACACGCAUAAUUUGGAGAGCAAUUGCGACAGCAGCCGAGUAUAUGAUAACUAACUAAAAUGGCCAUUGAGCAAUUAAGAGGAGCCAUCAAACAUCUUACGAGUACCGGCAGCCGUUUAUGAACUAAAAUAGCAAUAUGAUGCGAGAAAAAGGAACAUACGUAGCCAUACUUGGCAUUGGCAAGAGUUCAUGAGAAGUGGCAUCACAUUCAGGUAAUGACUUGACUGCUGUUAUCGUGCAAGGUAAUACUUAAUUUCUCCCUUUCUUUUUUUUCACUUUAACAAAGUUGAAGUCGAUGAAAUUAUGAUUCGACAGAAAAAAAAAAAGUCAGUGAAAGGCCAAUACCCUACUACAACAACAGGUACAAAUUAAAAGUUUCAUUCUAGAAAAGAUGACGCAUUAUUCUUUAUCCCUAAAGCUUAAGCCCACCACAGUGGAAUUUCAUCGAUGACUCGAGCGAUUCUUGAUUCAAACUCCUCCAUCAAGCUGGGAUUUCGAUUGAGUGAGUUACAAUGUUGAAUGCAAGGAUCCAGCCUCUAUAAAAAUAUUAUCGAGAUUAAUUUCAGUCUUCCCUCGAUUAUCAAAUAAUUGAGUGAAGCCAGUCUAAUUAUAAUAUCUGAUGUAAUAUCAGUAACAAUCCUUUAUAACAUCUGAUUAAAAAAUAAUUAUGUAAAAUUCAUUUGGCUUGAACUAAAGAUGGCCAAUGGGUGAGGCGGCGCGCGGCACGGCACAUGUCCGUACAGCACGGCACGACACGAGCACGUUUUGGUAGGACACGCAGCACGGCACGACACACACAUAGGUCGUGCCAGGCCUAGAAUUUUAGGCACACGGGUCUUAAAAGCAUAGCACAAUUAGAGAUUGACUAAAACACGGCACGCGAAAGAGCAUCUAAUAAGUACACUUCAUUAGUGGGCUAACAUGCGGCCCAUGGGCCAUCAAUAGCACGUGGGCCAAAGUAUAUCAAAAUAAAAGUUUUUAAUGAAAAAUAAAUAUAAAAUGCUAUGAUUUUACAAAUAUUUUGAAAUUAAAAAUUUUAAUAUAUUUUUUUAGCACAAGCUUUUAAAAAUUAAUUUAAGUCCUAGUUUAAAUAAAUAUUCUAAUUUUUUUAUGUUUAUAAUUUAUUAAAUGAAUAAAUAAAUACCAUGAUUUUAUUAAUGAUAAAUUAAAAAUUUUAUGAUAUUAAUAUUUCAUUUAUGAAGUCAUAAAUUAGUUAAUAGUUAAUGGAGAUAUGUUUCAUUUGUGAAUGAAAUAUUUUUCAUAUUUAUACACAAAAAAAAAAUUAUGAACGAAAUAUUUUUAUGAUAAAUUAAAAAUUAUAAUAUUAGAUGUUCAAAUAAAAUUAUGUGUAAUUGUUAUUCUAUAAUUGUAAUUUUAUUUUUCAUUAAUUAUUACUAUAAUCUAUGAAAUUAUUAUUAUUAUUAUUAGUCUGAUGAGCUUAAAAAAGUACAAUAAGCACGUGGGCUUGAAUAAAACCUGCCAGACACAGAGAUAUUUUUAAGACAUGCUUGAUAUGUGGAUUUAAAGGAAAAAAAAAUUUGAGGGUUUUUUUGGGGCACGGCACGAGCACAACACGAGCAGACCUGUGCCAGGCCUUUAAAAAAAUGGUGGGAACGGCACGCCCCCAACAAAAUGAUGGGCCGUGCCGUGCGGGCCCACGAGCCCGCGUGGGCCAACAUUUGAUGGGCCUGCCGGCCCAUUGGCAAUCAUUAGCUUGAACUUGGUCGCCUCUGUUCUCUCAUGGCGUUAUCAUCAUCAUCUUCUUCAGUUGUACUAACAUGAAAUUCUUCUUAUUCCCUUUCUCAACUGUCAUACCCUAUCCCUAUUCCCUGUGUCCCCACUAAACCACGCUCAAUUCAGGCCAUCAGAUUCUCUCGGAACCACAUUAAUCCAACGGCUCACAAUGACCGACAGCCUCUGCAUUUCCAUUUCAAGCUCCCUCUUCAACUGGCCUCUGCUUCCGUUGUACUCUUUCUCGGAUUCUCGGUGGUCCCACACAGCUCCAUCUCACUCCAAUUGUCACCCAACAAGACCAAUUGCUUAAUCAAGUCACAGAACAAAAAGAGGAUGAGAAAUUGGAACAAGAAUUUGAGAAUUGGAAAUCGAAAAUGUACAAAUUGACCGUGCCUUUGAGAGUUCUUUCUCUUCAGAAUUCAAUACCUCAAUCUUGGAUUAAGGAUUUUAUGCGAAGUCAAGGAAAGAGAUUGAAUUUUCAGAUGAAUUUGUGUGCUAGCAUCGAUGGGAUCUUAACAAUUUAUCUGUGCCUUUUAACAAAGUUAAGGCUAAGUCAGCUCUUAUAUGGCUGCUGAUUUGGUUAGUGUUGGUGAUUCAUGUCACAGUUUUGCGAUUAAAAAGAGAUUGAUUGAACCAAUAGUUGGAGCUGAAGAUCAAGAUUGGUUCAAAUGCUUAAGUCACAAAUGGAAGGUAACAUCUUUAUCAUUGUCCAGAUAUUUUUUAAUCAUUGUCCCAAUAUGUUUUAUUGUCUUACAUUGAAGUUUGGUAAUGUAAUUUGUUCUCUAUCUGUGUUCCCUUUGUAGUCAUUUUAUUUAUUUUUUUGUUUGCAUUUAUUUGCACUGACGAAGUCUCAGGUAUAUCUAUGCAGGAAUGAUGCAGGAGAAAUUGAUCCUUGAGGUAAAAUAUGCGCAGCACCAUAUCAGUGGGGCACAGUGGUGAUAGCUUACAAGAAAAGUAAAUUUCGAAAGCAUAAUUUGGCUCCGAUUGAGGUAAUAAUUGUCUUUAAGCUCAUUUAGUUUUAUAUCAAACAAAAUCAAGACUGCCUUUCUCUUCAAUAUUUUUUAUGAUAAUAUCUAGAAGCAGCUAAUUGACGGGUAAUCAAUGUAUUCCUUAAAGGGUCUACAAACUCAAUGAUAUUAUCUUCUGCAAAUGGUUCAUUAGACCUCUUAGUUGUAGUCAAAUGUACACUAAGGACAGCAAGAAGCUAUGCCACUGUAGCAUGGUAAUGAUGGCCCUCAAUAAGUGAGUUGGUAGGAUGUGAACCAGAAAAAUUAAAUAAUGUCUCCCUGGCUAUGCCAGCUCAUAAGUUAGGGUUAAUAUUAGAGCUUGAGUAACUAUAACCUUGAGAAGCUAUUGACUGCAAAUUAAAAUAUCCAUUAAAAUGUUUAGGGAGUUAUGAAGGUGGAAGUAUCUUCCAAUUUCUAUGGCCAUAUUGUAGACAUCAUCCAGGAUCCUAUUAAAGUGCAGUUAGCCUCCUGCUUGAUGCUAAUGUCAAACAAUUAAUAAAUUUGGUCAAUGUAACUGAAACUUGCUAACUGACAUCAGAUUGCAACUUAAAAUGGGAUAGAUGAUUAGUAGCACUGAAUUCUUCUUGCCUAAGAUUGAGCAAUUGUUCUAACUACUAUCUCCUAUUUUAGGUUGAUUAUUAUGUUCUAAUUAGGUCCAUUUUGACCCAAAAAAUUACAUAAUCUUGAUCUGCAUAUUGUCACUGAACAGUGUCAAUAUCGUUCACCAACUAACUUGAGUUUGAUAUAACAAACACACGGUAAGCUUCGAUAUGUGGAUUAGCUUGGAGAAGAUAUCUCAAAAUGAAGAAUAUGGGAGUUAAUGGGAAGAAACAGUUCAUUAGUUGAUAAUUCUGUCAUCGAGCUGUAUCUCGAACAUGGUCAAAUUUUAUGUGAAUAAGGACAGGGAAUCUUCAUUCCUCUUUUCCUUUCUAUACCCAGAUAUCUCUCAACCUUUAUAUGUUGCCCACUGGAGAUCUGCUUCUAAUAACUAAAAUAAAAAAUUCAUCCACUCAAUAAAUGCUCACCAAGCUUUCACAAGAAAAAGUAACAUCUUUAGUGAAGUAAUUUACAGUUCCUUAUCAUCUUCGUGUGAGUCUAUCAGUAUGAUCCAAAAACAUAAUACAUCUUGUUAGAUCUUGUUUAUUGAUGUUUAAAUGUUGUUCAUUGUGAAAUGUAGAAAUGAUGACGUGAAGUUUCUUUGGUCAUCAGUUAGUGAGAUCUUGUCUGAAGUUGUUUUCUGAAAUGAACUGCCAAAUACGAGGUUAUUGGUACAGUUUUGAAGUAUAUGGGAUCAUCAUACAAUUGAAACGACAUUGAUUAGCAAGUUGCUGCUGGGAGGAUUGCUGUUCAGCAGAAUCUGGCAUUACUGGGAAACCAGGUACUCUUAAAGAAACGAUAUCUGGUCAAUGCAUAUUAUUGCCUGACAGCUGAUUUUGUUUGUAAAGUCUGCCUUUUCAUACAUAUGAAUGCAUAUGUUAGUGUUUUCUUCUCCUUUUAAUACACAUGAAUGCAUAUGUUAGUGUUGUCUUCUCCUUUCCAUAAAUACGAAUGCAUAUGUUGGUGUUCUUUUCUGAGAUGGAUGCAAAUAAAGGCUUUUUCUUCUAAAUUUAGCUGAAGAAAUGGCAAGGAAUGUGAGAUUCUAUCUCAUUAAAUUAUCAAAAACCCAAAACAAUGAAAACUCAUAUUAAUGUGAUGUGGAUAAAUUGGCGACAUUUGGCUUGUUUCCUCAACGCGAAUUAGCAAGCAAUAGAGACUAAAAAAAUGGAGUGAUAAUAACAAGUCAUUGUCGUUUGAUGAAUGCAUUUUUAAGCAAAAAUAGGAUUGUAACUGAACAAAUUUUUCUGGCAUGCCAAUUUCAAAAAAUUAAAUUAUGUGGAUAUUAGCUGUAAUGAAGGGGAAUUGUAGGUGCAAUCAGGUCGAUCCAGUAAAGUUCAACAAAGUUCUGGUUUGGUGUAGUGAAAUUGGUUUAUGCAACUUGAGUCUUUCAGAUGAACAAUGACGAGUUUUCAUUUAAAAAUGUCAUAAAUCUGCUGUGCAUAGUAUUCUAGUGGAAUCAUCUAUAAAUUCAAGUUAUUGAAAUUGUCUAUUUUGUCUGGUCUGAGUUAAGGAGGCAUUUAAUUUAUGAAAAAUAGUUGUCGAAUAUUGUAGGUUACCUAACAUUUGAUGAAUCCUGUAGUGAGGGCUUUAAGAUGUCUAACAGCAUGUAGAAUGCCCCUGCUCCCCUCACAUUGUUUAUCUUAUACAAUAAUCCAUUAUAGAUGCUAAUAUCUUUGUCAAUACCUAAAACAGUAUUACAAAAUCUGAGUUUAUUGGGUUUUAUAUAGGUUCAACUGUUUGACAGUACACACUAUCUGAAGGCAUUUGGAAAUGGAGAUGUAUGGGUUGCUGUUGGGUGGAGUAGCGAUGUUCUUCCUGCUGUCAAACGUAUGUCUAAUGUUGCAGUUGUUGUUCCCAAGUCUGGUGCUAGCUUAUGGGCUGAUCUUUGGGUAUGCCCAUGCCUACCAUUCUACUUUGAUAUUCACUUUGUUAUCUCCAUCAUAGUAAUGAUCAGUAAAUACGAGAAUGUGUGACUGAUAAGUUUGUAUUCUCUUUGUAGGCAAUCCCUGCUGCGUCAAGACUUGAAACAAACCAAAUUGGAGGGUGAGUUAGAGGUCCAUCUCCAUUAAUCCAUCAAUGGAUAGAGUUCGGCUUGCAAACAGCAAGAGCAUUGCCUUUCAAACAAGAGGUUAUCCCUGGCGUACUGAGAUGGCUAAAGUUCUUGAAGUUUUGUUAGAAAUGAAAGAUGAGUGGUUGUUUGAAUAAUGUUGUGGCCAAUCUCACAAAGGUUAAAAAGAAACAUCACGGAGCUAAUGCCACCGAUUUCUUCGUCAUUGUAGCCUCUAUAGUUGAAGUUUCCUCAUUUGAAGCUCUUUAUGCAUUAUCCCUGCUCAAGUACAAUUGAAGAACUAACCAGAUGUGAUAUGCUGAAAGAGGGAAGUUUUCUUCCUUGAAUGUGGCCUUGUGAUUUGUCAGGGAAUAGGAUGAUCACUAGCAAGAACCCUGUCAAGGUAGAUUUUAUGAUAUUAACAUAUUAUUAAGCAUUUGCCACUUUAGCAACGAUACAUUCAUAGCGUGAAAGUGUUCAAAUUUAACCUAAUGAUCCUGAUUAAUCAAUUAAUUUUCAUGAGUUGUAACCGGAGUUAAAGCUAAGUACAAUCAUCGUUAACAAAGACUGAAAUUUUGGGUAAAUAUGAUCUUAUAUUGAAUCAUUUGAUGACACAACUCACAUUGGAAAUUACCUAUUGCGUGGGGAUGGCGAUGUUUACUGUUGUAUUGCGAUAUAAAAUAUGUGCAAGGUAUUGUCGACUGCUUUUUGGGUUAUGGUGUGAUAGCUGCUGAUUAGUGAUAAAACAAGACAAAUUAAUUAAACUCAGGCCUACAUGCUAAAUGUGUAUGUUAUCCUAACUUUCACUACAAGAAAAUGUCCUUAACGUGACCGUGUUAGAUGAUUGUAAGUAGCAGUGUUCGUACAAGUUUUUUUUCCUUCAUGGUAUUUACAAUUUCUUAGGAACAUCUAAAAUCUGAAAAAUCUCAUUUACUAAAAAUUAAGUUAUCAUUUGCUGGCUGGCAACUUAAAGAUAAGAAUAAAUUCAAGAGCUCAUCAACCAAGUAGAGUUUUCUCAAUAGACGCCGUAGUUAAUUUCUCUCUUCAAUCGUGAUUAUGAAUGGUUGUUUUAUUGCUUUUUAAAGCGCUUUUAAAGUUUUAUUUUGCUCAUGUCUGAUAUUUAAUUACCUGAAGAAGCCUGAUGAUUUCUUGAUAUGAUUGCUCUGCCAAGCUAUCUAAGAAAUAGCUAUAGAAAUCCCUUCAUUACAUUAGAUAAUCUUCAUUAUCUGUGCAAUUUGGUGUUUUUUCUUUGAAGCCAGCCGUUUGCUUUUGAUAGAUUCCAUCUUGUAUUUAUUCCUUUUCUAUAGAUUUUGCAGGAUUGAAGCUAUAUUUCUUCCCUGUAUAUGUGAUUGAUAUUAAGAGUAUGUUUUUGUGUUGUCUCUGUUUUUUCUAUUUGAUCUAGAUUUAAUACCUGAAAGGUUACUAACAAAUUAUCUUAGGUCAAAUUCUCUUUUACGAGACUUUUUUUGCUAAAUUCUUGGAAUUAUAUAAUUAACUAAAUCUUUAGUACAAGGAGGAGUUUGCCCCUAACUUUGCUUUCUUUCUUUAAUCGCAUUAAUAAUCAAUCCCCUGCACGUUGGUCGCAUUAAUAACCAAAUGUGCCUUUGACAUGCAACUAUACAAUCACAAACCAUCAUAGACCAAGAUUGGUUCAAAUGCUUAAGUCACAAAUGGAAGGUAACAUCUUUGUCUUUGACCCGAUAAUUUUUAUUGUCUUACAUUGAAAUUUGGUAAUGUAAUUUGUUCUCUAUCUGUAUUACCCUUUGUAGUCGUUUUAUUUAUUUGUUUAUUUAUUUGCUUAACGAAGUCUCAGGUAUAUCUACACUGGAAUGAUGCGGGAGAAAUUGAUCCUCGAGGCGAAAUAUGGGCGGCACCAUACAGGUGGGGCACAAUGGUGAUAGCCUACAAGAGAAGUAAAUUUCAAAAGCAUAAUUUGGCUCCAAUUGAGGUAAUAAUUGUCUUUAAACUCAUUUAGUUUUAGUCAAAUGUACACUGCUCUUUGGGGAUGGAGAUGGUUACUGCAGGGAUAUAGAAUAUGUGCAAGGUGUUGUCCACUGCUCUUUGGGUUAUGGUGUGACUUGCGAUUUCAAGGUUGCCCUGAAACAAUGGAAAAGAUUAACAUAUCCUCCAAUGAAUAAAAACGGCUGCACUAAUUCAAAUUACGCAGGAUCAGGUGGCAAUAAUAACAGUCCGUUUACUUUUCGAGGAUCAGAUGUUGAUAAUAAUAGUUUAUUAAAUGACAAAUCAUUGUUCUUGGGGGUUAGUUGUAUACGUCAUUACUACUUCAAGUAGAAGAAAAAGGUUGUGCAGGUGAUUUCAGAAAUAAAAUACAUUCCUUAUAAAAAAAAAAAAGAAAUAAAAUACAUUCUGAGAGAUGAUGGUCCGCUGUUGCAUGCCCCCAGAUUUAAGAAUCCUCACUUUUACUUUAAAAAACUGCUACGCUUUGAUUUUAGUGCUGAAUAUUUAUUGAAAUCUGAUAGAAGGAGUUUGAAGUCAAACUCGUAAUUACAGGUUAUCUAAUUGCGAGUUGUUGUUCAUAGCUGUUGAUUUGUAGUGAUUAUUUAAUUGACUGAGGUAACAAUAAUUUUUUUUUCUAAUUUUCAGUAGCACACUGUCGAAUUCAAUAAUUAAAUUCUCCUAUUUAAUUUAUUUCAAGUUAAAUUAUUAAUUACUUAAACUAUGUUUUAAGUCUUUAAUUUUAUGUCUUGGCGUAUAUGUAGAAUUGGAUUCUUGAGCGUGUUGGACACGACCAACAAUGAAAUUGACAGUAAACAAACAUUACAACGUGUGGACUCCGGUAGCUGCCCUACAAGUCUACAACUUCACAAAUAAUAAUUGAGUAAGCACCUUUGAUUCUUGUGACCCUUCAAUGAAUUUCUAGCCCCGUUGACUCCACUGACAAAAGUUUUGUAAAAUAAAAAAAAAAAUACAUAGAAUUCCACCAAAUGCAAAACGCGUGGAAUUUAAUUUUUGGCCUUGUGGACCAAAACAUAAUUUAACAAAAAAAGAAAAAAAUGAUAAGAUUUCUAAAAUGUGUGGAAGGUGAUUCAUAUUUUAUUGAAACGACUUGUUAAAUUUUUCAAGGAUUUAGAAUAUUUAGUCAUAAAUUAGGCGCAUGUUAAUUUUUCCGCCAUUGACCAUCAUAUUCUAAAUUUAAUGGUACCUUUCUUAAUUAAGGGUACUUAGUCUCUCUUCUCCGCUUAUAAAAAUUAUAUUAAUUGAUUUCUUAUUAUAGUUAAUAGUCUUUAAGAACGGAUAGCUUUAUUGUUUUCAUGACCAAAUUAUGCCUGCCUAAGAUUGCGACUAUUAAUAAAAUUAAUAUUCAAUGUUUAUGUUAAAAGAUAUAAGAUUAAUUUAUGCGUUCAUUAAUUGUUAUUAGCUAAAGGAUGAAUUAUUUUUUCAACCCAAUCAGUUGAUGCAUUGCAAGGGUUUUUUCUUUUAUUGACCAUAAUUAUAUUCCGGGUACAAUAAAUUGUCUUUGGUGCUUGGAAAAUAUGACUUCUUACUUCAAGUUUUUGAUAUGUCUCUCUCCAUAAGCUUACUGGAAAUAUAUCCUCAUCUACUGUCAUUUAUCUAAUAUCAAUUGAAGAUCUCACUUUUUCAAAGUUCAAACUAUCACUUCCAAGUCUCAUUGUCACUUGGCCAUUCUUGGACCAUUCAAAACCAAUCAAGUGUUGAAAUAAUCAAAUAUAUGCAAAAUUAGAGUCACGAUUUUUGGUCCCCCAAAUUCUAAUUAUAUAACUUCUAUGUAUCUCAUUGUCAGGUCACGAACUUGUUGGCACAUUUUCCAAAUUCCUCUUCCAUCAGCUCUCACAUGUUAACUUGAGUGUAAAGUUUCCAAGUUGAUUGCUAGAAAGCAACGCAAAAUCAGACACACUUGACCCGUCCCAUAAUUAUCUUUUCUACGUUGAAAAAGAAAAAAAAAGAAAAAAGAAAAUAUAUCUAUGUAAAAAUAAAUAAUAAAUUGAGUAAAAGUAUAUUUGUUUAAUUAACAUCUGAUCGGGGCAUUUUUGGUGUAAUUUAGUGCUGUGUAACCCACAACUAAAAUCAAACAGCCCCUUAGCAUACUUCUUCCAUUUUAUCUGCUACUUUUGUGGAUCUUAUAGGGUGGGCAUGUGGACAGAAUUUAAAAGUUUUAAUAGUCUCAAAGAAGAAGAUGUGUUAAAUCUAAAGUUGUUGCACCUUCUGAUUAAAUAAAGUUGCACAAUUUCAUCAACUUGAAAGAAUUGACAUUAAUAAACUGGUCGUCUCUCCAUGUAUGAAGCCUUCUUAAAAGUUAAUUUUUAUUUCAGAAAAAAAAAAGUUUAAGUUACAUAUAUUACAGUAAGAUUUUUUGAGACCAAUUCCCUUCUUGAAAUAAUAAUGGAAAAGUAUUAAUUUAAAAAUAAAAUGAAUAUGUAUUGAUUAUAUCCUGAUUUUCAUCGAUUAUAGUUAGAGUUUCACCAAAUCAAUUCCCUUAUUCAAAUAAUACAGAAAAAAUAGUAAUUUAAUAGUAAAAUAAACAGGUGUUGAUUAUAUAUCCUAAGUUUCAUCGAUUAUGUGAUCAAAGUGGCAUUGUUGAUUUAUUUUUUGUUCAAUGUUAAUUUUUAAGUUAUAUAAAUUUCAAGGAUUUAAAAUCUUUGGUCAUGAAUUACACGCUUGUUAAUUUUUUUGCCAUUGACUGUCAUAUUCUAGACUUAAUGAUACCUUUCUUGAUCAAGGGUAAUUACUCUCUCUUCUCUUAUAAAUUCCUCUUCCAUUAACAUCACUAGGAGUAUGUUGAUCUCUCAAACAUUAACUUGAGUGGAGAGUUUCCAAAUUGAUUGUUACAAAACAACACAAAAACUAGACACACUUGAUCUGUCUAAUAAUUCUCUUUCGGUAAAAUUAAAUAAUUUUAGGGGAAUAUUCGGCCAACCUCUAUAAUUUCAGAGUGAUCAUUAAUUAAUUAAUCGAUACAAAUAUCUAAAGUGAUUAGAUGUGACUUGAAAUUUGAUCUCUAUCGAUUGGUUUACAAAUGGACGUACUUGUGCCUUUGUGGCGAUAAUCGAACAAGUUCCCAUGAUUAUUAUUUUUUCCAAAAACUUUUUUACAACAAAUUCAUCUCGCCAAAAAUUCUAUGUUGCUAACUAACAAUAAUUGAGCACUUGGCCGCAUUGACUCCACGUCUCCACCUCUUUCUAAAUUCUAAGUAAAAACAUGGAAAUGUAAUUUCCACAAAAUGCCAAACGUGUGGAAUUUAAUUUUUUGCCUUGUGGAUCAAAAUACAAAUGAAAGAAACAGGAAAAAAAAAAGGCCCAAAGACUUCUAAAAGAUGAAGAAGUCUUUGGGCCUUUUUAUAAUGGUGGAUUUUUUAAAAGAAAAAAAUAACAACACUUUUAUGGUUUGUUUUGAUAAUCAUAUUUACAUAUACUCUCUAAUUUUCAAAAUGGACACAUAAAUCUUUUUUUUUUUACAAAUAUAUAUUAUUCAUUUUUUUUAUUAUUCAUAUUUUUUUAUUAUUCAUAUCUUUUUAUUAUCAUAUUUUUAUUUAUUAUAAAUAUUUAGAGUAAAUUUUUAGGUUGAAAUAUAAUAAAAGGGUAUAAUCGUGCUCUUAUUAAACACACAUACUUUUAUUAGUUUCUAUCCAUUUGUCAUCUCAAUUAUUCUUUAUUGCUAGCUCAAAACGCGUUGCUGUUGCAAAUUAUAGCAAAAUGACAAAUACAGAAAAAAAAGGGAAGAAAAUUAAUGCAUGAAAGACUUGGAGAAAACAACAAAAUAAGCCAACUAUGAGCUAGUUGGGUGUAUAAAUUGUUAGAUGUGUUAUAUACAAAUAGCGUAGAGCCCUCUAGUUGGUUCCAGAGACAGAAAGAGCGUGUGUGUUUUUUCACAGUUAGAGAUAUAGUUAGAAUGGGUGGUUCAAAAUCAAAAAUGAUGAUAAUGUUUAUUAUGUUAUUAAUAAUAUUUAAAAGUGGGUGGAGUGAGGGAUGUUUGGAUCAUGAGAGAUUUGCUCUUUUGCGACUCAAACAUUUCUUCGAUGAUACUAGUAGUUAUCUUUACUACUGGGGAGAUGGUGAGGGAGCUACUGAUUGUUGUCAGUGGGAAAUGGUUGAGUGCAGCAACACCACAGGCCGAGUGAUAGCGCUAGACCUUUCUUUUAUUAAGUAUUCGGGAGAGUACAGCUGGUAUCUGAAUGCUUCUUUGUUUACUCCCUUUCAACAACUUGAGUCACUUGAUUUAAGUUGGAACAAUAUAGCCGGUUGUGUUGAGAAUGAAGGUGCUUCGUUUAAUUUAAUUAAUUUACUUCUUCUCUCCUAAUUUAAGUGGAAUAUCAAGACUGAGCAACUAUAUGCAUAUUCAUUCAGUUGACAAUUUUGACAUAUUUUUUUAAGUGAUUAAUUAAUUUUGAAAUUACACCAGUAUCUAUGAUCUUUUUUUUUUUAAUUUUGCUUGCAGGUCUAGAUAGGCUAUCAAGAUUGAACAACUUGAAGAUGCUUAAUUUAAGUUAUAACUCGUUCAACAAUAGCAUUUUAUCAUCUCUAAGUCGUCUUUCAUCAUUAAGAUCAUUAAAAUUAUUUUACAACAGAUUGGAAGAAAGUAUUGACGUUAAAGGUACAUGAUUAAAACUCCAUCUCUUCUCCAAGCUCUUUCAUUAACUUGCUAAAAUAAGACUCAAGGCUUUGAAUUCAAUUUUUUUUAUGAUUAGUAUUAAAAAAAAAACAGUUUUAAGCAAUUUAUAAAAUACAAGUUUUAAUGUUUCUCGUAAUUCCAUCUUGUGCUUUCAUAUGUCUCGAAUUUAAGAUUAAAAAAAAACACUAACAGCGAACCAAACACCUCCACAACUUAUUAUUAUUAUUAUUAUUUUUUAAUUUGUGGUGAGGUUUGAAACAUUCAACUCAAUUUGUACUUAUUACAGAAUUUGAUUCUUUGAGAGAUUUAGAGGAGCUAGACAUUGGCAGGAACAAGAUUGACAAAUUUGUGGUCUCAAAAGGUACUACAAAUACCAUAAUAAAAAAUGCUAACUUUUACAAAUUAGUUAGAUUUUUUGCCAUUUGGUUUAUUAUUUUACAGGUUUGAGUAAGUUGAAGUCUCUCGGUUUAAGUGGUAUCAAACUCAACCGUAGCAUCUUAUCUUCUCUGACUGUCUUUUCUUCGUUAAGAGAAUUACAUCUACGUGAUACCGGAUUCAAAGGAACAUUCGAUGUUCGAGGUAAGCCUAAGCCUUGCUUUCUCAUUUUAUAUAUGCCAACUAGAUUUGUGUAUCAUCGACAUAAUUUAAUAUUUAAUUUGAUUAGUCUGAAGGAAUUACAUGCUAAUUUAAACAUACCUUUAUUUACUUUGUCAAUAAAUUACUAUUUGGCUUGGUUUGGACGAAAUUCUCACGAUGUUUUAAUUUCUUUAAAUUAAUUAAUUAAUUAACUCUGUUUUUAAGUCUUAAGUCUGGGCUUGUUUGCAGAACUUGAUUCCUUCAAUAACUUAGAAGUGUUGGACAUGAGCUACAAUGAAAUCGACAAUCUUGUGGUUCCUCAAGGUAAACAAUUAAAAUAUUAUUCAAUUACAUUAUUUUAAUUCAUUUGAUUAGGGAAGGCCAAAAAGGUCCAAAAUAAUAAUAAUAAUAAAGAAACAGAUAAUUUGUAUUAUUUAAAAAACAGAAUGUAAUAAAGAUUUGAUUCCAGUUCUUUAAUCUUUAAAGCGAUUGAAAAACAAUGUUGCUCUUUUCCCAAAGCAUCAAAUACGAAUUGAAUGCCAAUUAACUUAAUCAUUCAUUUCAUUUAGCUCUAAAUUUAGACAAUGAAUUUUUAUAUUAUUUCAAAAACAGGACGUAAUAGAAUUUUUUUAAAAAACAGAUUGUAAUAAAGAUUUGAUUCCAAUUCUUUAAUCUUUACUGCGAUUGAAAAACGAUACUACUUCCCAAAGCAUAAAAUACGAAUUGACUCCCAAUUAAAUUAAUCAUUUAUUUCGUUUAGGUCUAAAUUUAGAAAAAUGAAUUUUGAUUCUCUUCAAUCUUUUCUUAAUUAUUAUUAAUAAACAGGUUACAGAGGUUUGAGGAAGUUGAAAAGCCUCUAUCUAUCCAGAGUCGGAAUUAGAGAUGGAAGCAAGUUGUUACAGUCAAUGGGAUCAUUCCCAUCCCUCAACACUCUUUACCUUUGGGAUAAUAAUUUUACCGAUAUAGCGACCGCUACUCAAGGUAAGUAAAAGGUACAAAUGUGGCCAAAUUUAUAAAUAAAUUAUUAUUAAUUAAUUUUUCCGUAUUAUUAAUUAAGCUAAAUUUGUUGCUCCUUCCUUCUAAAUCUAAACAGAGUUGCACAAUUUCACCAACUUGGAAUAUUUGAGAUUGGACGAUUCCUCUCUCCAUAUAAGCCUUCUGCAAAGCAUUGCAUCAUUAUUCCCUUCAUUAAAAAAUCUGUCGAUGUAUGGUUGUGAAGUCAACGGUCUCGUACGUGGUCAAGGUAAAAGAAAAGCGUUGAUUGUGAACUCACUCAAUGGUGUCCUACGUGUUCAACAUUUUUAUUUAUUUAUUUAUUUAUUGUUUAAUGUUUCGCGCGCAUUGCACUCAACACCAGCUUUCUUCAAAUCAUCAGUGUAUCGAUGCCUUCUCUUAAGUACUUAUCACUGUCAUAUUAUACUCUCGUCAAUAACAGCAGCAUGAUUCUUGAUCAAGGUUAAUCAGAUGCUCCCACCCUCCCUUCUUAAUCUAUAAUAUUAAUUUUCAAUUAAAUAUUUAAUUACACAAACCAAUCACUUCUAUAUGAAAGAAUACUCUGCAUUUGUUAUUUUCAGGCCUCUGUUCGUUGGUGCAUCUGCAAGAGUUGCGCAUGGCUGAUAAUGAUUUAAGAGGUAGCUUGCCUUGGUGCAUGGCAAAUAUGACAUCCCUCAGAAUAUUAGAUGUUUCUUCUAAUCAACUUACUGGAAGCAUCUCCUCAUCUCCCCUCGUUCAUUUGACAUCCAUUGAAGUGUUGUAUCUUUCAAACAAUCACUUCCAGAUCCCAAUUUCACUUGAACCACUUUUCAAUCACUCAAGACUCAAGAUUUUCAAUGCUGCCAACAACGAACUAAAAGCUGAAAUAACUGAGUCACAUUCUUUGACCGCCCCAAACUUCCAAUUAUCACGUCUCUCAUUGUCUUCCAGUUACGGAGACAGUUUCAUAUUCCCCAAAUUUCUUUACCAUCAACAUGACCUGGAGUAUGUUGAUCUCUCACACAUAAAGAUGAAUGGAGAAUUUCCAAAUUGGUUGUUGGAAAACAACACAAAAUUAGAAACUCUUUCUCUCGUCAAUGAUUCUCUUGGAGGACCUUUUCGGUUGCCAAUUCAUUCACACAAGCGGUUAGGAAUGUUGGAUAUAUCCAACAACAACUUCCGAGGCCACAUUCCAGUAGAAAUUGCAGAUGUUUUACCAAGUUUAUACGCUUUCAACAAUUCCAUGAAUGCUUUAGACGGUAGCAUUCCCUCUUCAUUUGGUAAUAUGAAAUUCCUCCAAUUUCUGGACUUAUCCAACAAUCACUUGACUGGUGAAAUCCCCGAGUACUUGGCCGUCGGUUGCGUCAACUUGAAGUCUCUUGCAUUAUCAAAUAACAACCUACAAGGUCACAUGUUCUCUAGAAAUUUUAACUUGACAAACUUGAAAUGGUUACAAUUGGAGGGCAAUCGCUUCGUAGGUGAGAUCCCACAAAGUUUGUCUAAAUGCUCCUCACUAGAAGGAUUGUAUCUUAACAAUAAUAGUCUUUCGGGUAAGAUUCCACGAUGGUUGGGUAAUCUCACAUGGUUACAAUAUAUUAUAAUGCCCAAUAAUCAUCUUGAAGGCCCUAUUCCAGUGGAGUUUUGUCAGCUUGAUUUGCUUCAGAUUUUGGACAUUUCAGACAACAACAUAUCUGGAAGUCUACCAUCUUGUUUCCAUCCUCUCAAUAUUAAACAAGUUCAUCUUUCAAAAAAUAUGUUACAUGGACAGCUAAAAAGAGGUACAUUCUUUAAUUGCUCUUCCCUUGUGACAUUAGAUCUUAGUUAUAAUCGCUUGAAUGGCAGCAUUCCGGAUUGGGUUGAUGGGCUUUCUCGGUUAAGCCACCUUAUCUUAGGUCACAAUAAUCUUGAAGGUGAAGUGCCAGUUCAAUUGUGCGAAUUGAACCAACUACAAUUGUUAGAUCUUUCUAAUAAUAAUCUUCACAGUCCUAUUCCUCCUUGCUUUGAUAACACCACACUUCAUGAAAGUUACAGCAAUAGUUCUAGUCCUGAUGAGCAAUUUGAAAUAUCUUUUUCCAUCGAAGGCCCUCUAGGAGGUGUAGAAAAGAAAAUCCAUGAAAUUUUUGAGUUCACAACAAAGAACAUUGCGUACAUUUACCAAGGAAAAGUGCUUAGCCUCCUAUCAGGACUUGAUCUUUCUUGCAACAAUCUAAUCGGUCAUAUUCCUCCUCAAAUUGGAAAUUUGACAAGGAUUCAAACAUUGAAUCUAUCGCACAACAACUUGACAGGAUCGAUCCCAUCAACAUUUUCAAACUUGAAGCAUGUCGAAAGUUUGGAUCUUUCCAACAACAAAUUGAAUGGAAAAAUCCCUCAUCAACUAGUGGAGUUAAAGACAUUGGAGGUUUUCAGUGUGGCAUACAAUAACUUAUCAGGCGAAAUUCCAGAAUGGAAAGCACAAUUUGCAACCUUCAACGAGAGUAGCUAUGAGGGAAAUACUUUUCUUUGUGGAUUGCCAUUGCCCAUUUGCAGAUCACCAGCAACUACGCCGGAGGCUUCAAUUGGCAAUGAACGAGAUGAUAAUUUAAUUGACAUGAACAGUUUCUUUAUCACAUUUACAACAUCGUACGUAAUUGUGAUAUUCGGAAUUGUUAUUGUUUUAUAUGUAAAUCCUUAUUGGCGACGUAGAUGGUUUUACUUUGUUGAAAUGUGGAUAACUUCAUGUUACUAUUUUGUUGUAAACAAUCUUAUUGCAACAAGAUAUUGUCAUUGAAAUUAAUUAGCAGUUUAAUUACGAUUUUUUAAGUUCUAAUCAAAUUUGCUUAGGAAAUAUUUUUUUAUUAGAAUUGUAGUAGUAUUUAGCUUUAUAUAGCUUCCAACUUCCAACCACUUCACAUUUGUCUCUACACUUAAAAAACUGAGUGAUCAUGUUUUGCAGAUCUGGAUUUGGAGCAGGAUGGAUCCAAACCCAUAUCUGUCCACCAUAACUUAUAGCUUCCCUAUACUGUGCAGCAUACUUAAAUAAGAGAACCAUCUCCAAUGUUAAAAGCAUUCACUCUAUAACAUUCAUUUAGAAACUAUAUUCAGAAUAAUUUUAUAAUUAAACACAAGAAAUGAAACACACAGAUACACUUGAUCGCCUAUUUUACUCUAAAAAAGAACGAUUAUUGUGCUAUCAUCAUCUUCUUCACUAGCAACAUUAACACCAAAUCGAUGGACCCAUACAUUUCAUCAAGAAAGGUAUAUAUCCAAUAAAGUUGAAGCCUAACAAAAAAUUCAAGAAGAUUAAUGCCUCGCCACAACAAGGGGCACAACAACAUCAAAGUAGAGAUUAAGCAGUAUUCUCAAAGCUAAAACUCUCAAAUCCACCCACCAGAAUUUCAUAUCUCCUCAACAAUUUUAAGAACUAAAGAUAAUUAGGAUUUAACAUUAGUUUUUUAUAUAUUAGUUUCAUAAUUUACAAAUCAAUGAAGAUGAAGAUUAUGCUAAUAAAUUCAAAUUAUACCAUACAUUCUCUAGAUGUUACCAAAAAUUUCUAAGUCAAUCCCACAUAUUUCAUAAUUUUAAGACUAGAAAAUUUCACUAGUUAGAAGUUUCAUUACCUUCAAGUGGAAGAUGAAGAACAUUAUACAAGUGAUUCAGAUUAUAUCAUACAUACUCCAAAUGCAACUAGAAAUUAACAAGUUCAUGCGCACAUAUUUCAUAACAGUAAAAAUUUGUUGCUCAACAUGAUGUGUAUUUUUUUUCAAGGCAAUUUGGAAACACAAUUGUUACUACAGAUAUUCUUCUCAACUUGGAGAUAAAUACAAAUAUUAAAAUGCAUAUGAUCGCACAUAUUACUUCGAGUUUAGUAAGAUUUCAUUAAAAGAAGCAAUCAAACCACUUAUCAAUUGUCGCAGUCGUUCUAUAAACUAAAAUAGCAAUAUAAUACAAGAAAAAGAACAUAUAGAUACUUGGCAAGAGUUCAUUAAGAAGUCGCAUCACAUUCGGGUGAGGAGUUUGCUUCUGAUAUCUUGCUAGCUGGGGCUUUUUCUUGUCUUUCUAUGUAUGCCGAGGGAAACCAACCAGCUUGGCCCUUGCAUUCACCUUCCGACCAUCCAAUAGGAGCCACCUUGAGAAGUUAUAACUAAAACGGUGAAUUAAACAAAAGUUGACCGUUCAAAGACCUAAGGGGAAAACUAAUUCUUUUCACGUAGAAGGAGUGAACUAGUUGUGAUCACUGAAAUAACAACAUAACUAUGGAAGCAUAACAAGAUAUAAAUUCACAUGGCUAUAAGGGUAAACUGAGUGGUUUAGAACUGAGCUAGCAACCCUACUAUAUUCUGAUUUGCACUUCAAUGUAAAAGGGAAUAUAUGGUAGGAAGAAAGAAAACCAACCAGCAUUUGUUAACUCAUUGCUUUUCAAUCAAAAUUUUAAGAACAAAAUGCCAUGUGCUUUGAACAUCAAAUAAGUAUAAGCAUUAGUUCUAAAUUCCACAUAUCAUAAGUUGUUAGAAGGAUAAGUUAAUAGCAGAGUAGAAAAAUCUAUGUGUUGGUAUUUAGAGGGGAAAGUACCUGGCGAACCACAACAUAAUCAUCAAUUGAAAGACUUAGCUUUCCAUUUGCUUGAGCAUCAAAUGGAUGUAUAACCUGCAAGAUAAUGGGAUAAAUAGAACUUAAAAAAAGCAUAACAAAAGCAGCAACAGUAGCAGCAACGUUCAUUGUAACCACUAUGAUCAUGGCCAACAAAGAUAUAUUAGAAACAAAAUUCCAUUUUUACUACGACAUUAAUAUGUACUAUACGAUAUCAUGACGAUUGGGUUACUAAGAGCUAUCAAAGUCUAAUAAGUUCUGUAUAACUUUAUGUAGUUAUUUAAAUUAUGGAUCAGAUUUUAAAUUUGAAAUUUUGACUGCUCUCCACAAAACAUGGCCUAUGCACAAGAAAGUCAUAGAUAAUGAGGAUUACAAGUGUCCGACAUCUUUUGAGUGAUGGAUUUAACAUGAGAGCUUAUGGUCAGUCAAUUUCCUCUGCCUAGCAAUAUAAGCUUUCUCGGCCAGAUUUAUCAUCAAAUACAUAGAUUGCCCCCAAGUCACAUCCAUAUAAACAUAGUUUUUCUAGGUAAACCAAGUAAGGAGUAUCAUAAUUAAGACAUAAUCAUAAAAAGGCUCAUCUAACUUAAGAGAAAAUCUCAAAAAGAGGGAUGCUGAGCUAUCAGUCUUGUAUCUAUAAGCAAUAUCAAGACUUUACAUCACCUGCUACAUCGUGAGUGGCUACACAACUUUCAGUGGUUUGUCUUUCUUUGGCAUGCCUAACUCAGCUUUGAUGUUGCUGAGAUAUUGAUAGUAGAGACACUCAGACACAUGAUACUUCUAGCUCAUGCAUUCUAUCUAACUCAUCCAACAACUAUCUCUUUUUUAAUUCAUUAGUGUUUGCUAAACCUCAUGCUUAAAAGUCCUGUUCUCCUAAACAAAGUUUCCUAAGAAUGACUUCCUUAGCACCACAGUUGGACACUUUUAGAGCAAUUUUAUUUGGGGGGAAAGAAUUUUCAAGGUGUUAACCAAUAAAUUUUAAAAAAUAAUUACAAUUUGUCCUACGAUCAUAUGACAAUUUAUCUGGGAUGAAAGGAUACAGAUAGACAUCUUCCACUUUCAAGACUAAUCACUACUUCCGUAGAUGUUGUCCAAUAAUACAAAUACUUGACCAGAUGGUAGUGAUGGUAGAAAAAAAUUUUAUUGCUCCAAAAUUAAAAUAAGAAUGCAAUAUGUUAAGCAAAAUGCUGUUCAACAUCAAAUUAAUUGAUAAGUUUGUAAUUCAGUAAAUUAACAACUUUCAUGGUAAAAUACAACAAAUUUCUUUUGAAAAAAAUAAAUAAAAUAAAUCUUAAAAGACAGCAUUCAAUUUUGUGCACAUCUUAUUUCUUAAGAUUUUUCAGGAGGAGGGCAAUAGAGGGACUUUCACCUAUGCAAGAGAGCAGAAGCCUUACUUUCCCUAUAAAGUAGACGUCAUUCUGAUUAAUAUGCGUUUGCAAAUCAGCUCCGUUUGAAUCAGUAUUCUGAUAGACACACGAGGCAUUUACAUCCAUUUCCAAAGUCACAUGUUGCGAGGAGGACUCAUUUGAUUGCUCCUAUACGAUCAUCUAAUUCAAGUAGCAAGGGUUGGAAGAGAAUAAAAAGUCACAAUUAUUCUUUUGCAUAAGUGAGACAAAAAUGAUAAAUGCAAUAUUAUCAGCAGUAAACAAGAAGAGAACGCUCCAAGAAAUAGAUAGAUGCAGACAAGCAAGUUAAAAUGCAUAGUCCCAAACCUCCGCAUACAACUUCUCUAAAAUAGCAAUAACGUGUUGAUGCUAUGUUUUCUCAGCAUCUACCUGCAAAGGCCCGAGACCAGGAAAACAACAAUAAAACCACUAGCUGAAGGAGAAAGCAAAGAAAGAAAUACGCUUGACAUAAAUCUUGACAAGAAGCACAAUUUAAGACAUAACAAACCCCAAUCAUAUUGUUUAGAACUACCAUUCGUUAUUUCGUUAUUGUAACAUUUCGAACAAGUGUUGACUUAAUUCAACAUUGUUGGAAAGAUAGGCUUUUAGAAGCAGAAGAAAGCCUCUCAAACCAAAGUGCUUGUCCUUGUAUUGAUCAAGGGAUGUAAACAUAUUACAUUUGCAGGAUGAGAUUUAAUCACUCCCCUGAUUUAUUUGGGUUGCAAUAAAACUAAGCGAGCAACUGUUUGACUUUCAAGCAACAGCUAAAUCAGCUAUUAAAAUUCAAAUAAAAUCAUAAUAGAAUAAUAACAGGCCAUCUUGCAUCAAAAAUUAAGUUUAAUUUGUGAAUUUUUUUCUAUAGACAUGUCAGUUUCUGCUAUUGAAAUGUUAAAAGCAUUGAAAAAUUAUUCAAUAAAUUAUGCAAGCAUUAAAAUAGAGGACAAAUUAAAAAGUUUCUAAUUACAAUGUUAAUAUUUCCUAUAUUUUAGCAUUUGCAUAUUUUAAUUUAUUUAAAAGCUACGUCGAUCAACUUUGGGCAUGAAGAUUUUAGCUUCUACGAGACUUGAUUGGAAUAUGCAUAAGAGUGUUAAAAUAUGAUGCAUCCAACGAAAGACAAACCACGUGUAGUCUUUUAAUUAAGCCAAAGUAGCAGCUCAAACAAAUGACACUUGGACCAACAUGCAAUCAUGAAGUGGCCGGAAAAAGGACAAAUGCUACUUUGGCUUAAAUAAAAAAUAACAUGUGACUUGACUUUUGCUGGACAUGCAUCAUGUUAUUACAAGACAACAGAAAUCAGUAUGAUAGUAAUAAAAGUUGACAAUAACAUGAAGAUAAGAGGCAGAAUGUCAACACAUGCAUAGGCACACACAAGAAAGUAUUAACAUAUAUACCAUAGCAAAAACUCUUUGAUAUGUCAUCUGUUGCUGCUGUGAUUCAACUGACAGCAUGGCAGCUGUCGCUUCUCUACCAAGAGCCAUUAUUGUAGAUUUAAGCUCGGUCAAUCUUGCUUCUGCAUUUCGAAGCUUCACAGCACUCUCUGCUGAUAUAUCAGAUUCCCUAAUCUUUGAUCGGUGCCUAAAUACUUCAGCUGCCUGGUGAAAAUAUUCAAUAUAAAUCUAAUAUAAUUCUCAUCUUGCCUUAUACAUGCAUAUGUUACGUCAAAGCUUACCUGGGCUUCAACUUCAUGUCGAAUACAUCAGCAAUGAUGCUUUCAUAGCAUGAAAGUGUCUAAAUUUAACUGAAUGAUCUUGAUUAAUCAAUUAUGAGUUUUAAUCGAGUAAAAACUAAAUACAAUAAUCGUUAACAAAUAUUGAAAUUGGGUAAAUAUGAUCUUGAUAUUGAUGAAUUUGAAAUCACAACCCACACAGGAAAUUCCCCUUCGCGUGGGGAUGGAGAUGUUUACUGCAGCGAUAUUGAAUAUGUCCACUGCUCUUUGGGUUAUGGUGCGACUUGCCCUGAAACAAUGGAAAAGAUUAACAUACCCUCCAAUGAAUGAAAACGGGUGGACUAAUUCGGAUUACCUAAUUGACUCAGGAUCGGCUGGCAAUAAUAACAGUUUAUUAACAAUGCACAGUCCGAGUACUUUUCCAGGAUCAGAUGCGACGUGGUCUAAUGUUGAUAAUAAUAGAUUAUCAAAUGACAAAUCGUUGUUCUUGGGUGGUGAUUUCAGAAAUAAAAUACAUUCUGAGAGAUGCUGGUGUACUAUUGCAAGCCCCCAGAUUUAAGAAUCUUUUGAUGAUAAUUUAUCACCUGCAGCUGUGCCGGAAGAUUCAAGUAGCACUGAAAAAGAUGAUAAUGUAAUUGAUAUGGACAGUUUCCAUAUCACUUUUAAAUCAUCUUAUGUAAUUGUAAUGUUAGGAAGCAUUAGUGAUCUAAAAGUGAACUAUUAUUGGUGUCAUUGGUGGUUUUAUCUUGUUAAAAUAUGGAUGACUUCCUGUUACUAUUUUAUUGUAGACAAUCUUAUUUAAUUAACAUAUGGUUUAAAACCAUUAUGUUUUAUGUAAAUCAAUCUAUUAAUUUUCGUAAUAUUUAACUGAGUUAAAACCAAGUGCACUCAAUAAAUGUCUUUUCCUUCAAAAAACUGCUACGCUUUGAUUUUAGUGCUUAAUAUUUCGUAACUACAGAUUAUCUAAUUGCGAGUUGCUGUCCAUAGCUGCUAAUUUAUAGUGAUUAUCUAAUUGACGGAGGUGACAAUAAUUCUUUUAUUUUCAAUAGCACAACGUGGAAUUCAAUAAUUAAAUUCUCCUGUUUAAUUUGUUUUAAGUUAAAUUAUUAAUUACUUAAACUCUGUUUUAAGUCUUUAAUUUUCUGUGUUUAUGCAGAAUUGGAUUCUUGAGCGUGUUGGACAUGACCAACAAUGAAAUUGACUGUAAACAAACAUUACAACGUGUGGACUCCGGUAGCUACCCCGCAAGUCUACAACUUCACAAAUAAUAAUUGAGUAAGCACCUUUGAUUUUUUAGCCCCGUUGACUCCACCGACUAAAGUUUUGUAAAAUAAAAAAAAAUACAUAGAAUUCCACCAAAUGCAAAACGCGUGGAAUUUAAUUUUCGGCCGUGUAGAUCAAAACAUAAUUUAACGAAAAAGGAAAAAAAUGAUAAGAUUUUUAAAAUGUGUGGAAGAUGAUCCAUAUUUUACUGAAACAACUUGUUAAAUUUUUCAAGGAUUUAAAAUAUUUGGUCAUAAAUUACGUGCAUGUUAAUUUUUCCGCCAUUGACUAUCAUAUUGUAGACUUAAUGGUACCUUUCUUGAUGAAGGGUGCUUAAUCUCUCUUCUCCUCUUAUAAAAAUUAUAUUAAUUGAUUUCUUGUUAUAGUUAAUAGUCUUCAAGAACGGAUAGAUUUAUUGUUUUCAUGACCAAAUUAUGCAUGCCUAACGUUGCAACUAUUAAUAAAAUUAAUAUUUAAUGUUUGUGUUAAAAUAUAUAAGAUUUUAUGCAUUCAUUAAUUGUUAUUAGCUAAAGGAUGAAUUAUUUUUUCCCAAUCAGUUGAUGCAUCUGCAAGAGUUUUUUUUUUUCUUUUAUUGACCAUAAUUAUAUUCCGGGUACAAUAAAUUGUCUUUGGUGCUUGGAAGAUAUGACAUCUCUCUGUCAACUUACUGGAAAUAUCUCCUCAUCUACUCUCAUUUAUCUAAUAUCAAUUGAAGAUCUCAUAUUUCCAAACUAUGACUUCCAAAUCUCAUUAUCAUUUGAGCAUUCAAAACUAAUCAAGUGUGGAAAUAAUCAAAUAUAUGCAAAAAUCGAGUCACAAUCUUUGGCCCCUCAAAAUUCUAAUUAUAUAACUUCAUAUCUCAUACAUUUUCCAAAUUCCUCUUCCAUCAACAUCACUAGGAGUAUGUUCAUCUCUCACACAUUAACUUGAGUGGAGAGUUUCCAAAUUGAUUGUCAGAAAACAAUACAAAAGCUAGACAAACUUGAUCUGUCUACUAAUUAUCUUUCGGUAAAAUUAAUUAAUUUUAGGGUAAUAUUCAGCCAACCUCUGUAAUUUUAGAGUGAUCAUUAAUUAAUUAAACGAUACAAUAUCUAAAGUGAUUAGAUGUUUGCGGACAAUACAAGUUCAUGGCUUGAAAUUUGAUCUCUAUCGAUUGGUUUACAGAUGGACGUACUUGUGCCUUUGUGGUGAUAAUUGAACCAGAGAUGUGAAGCUGAUAGUAAAUUGUUAUAAAGGCAUAAAGACAAGUUCCCAUGAUUAUUAUUUUUUCCAAAAACUAUUUUACAACAAAUUCAUCUCGCCAAAAAUUCUAUUUUGCUAACUAACAAUAAUUGAGCACUUGACCGCAUUGACUCCACGUCUCCAGCUACUUUCUAAGUAAAAACAUGGAAAUGUAAUCUCCACAAAAUGCCAAACGUGUGGAAUUUAAUUUUUGGCCUUGUGGACCAAAAUGCAAAUGAAAGAAAAAGAAGGAAAAAAACAAGGCCCAAAGACUUCUAAAAGAUGUAAAAGUCUUUGGGUUUUUUUAUAAUGGUGGAUUUUUUAAAAGAAAAAAAUAACAACACUUCUAUGGUUUGUUUUGAUAAUCACAUUUACAUAUACUCUCUAAUUUUCAAAAUGGACACAUAAAUCUUUUUUUUCUACAAAUGUAUAUUAUUCGUAUUGUUUAUUAUUUUUAAUAUCAUAUUGUUAUUUAUUAUAAAUGUUUAAAGUAAUUUUUAGGUUGAAAUAUAAUAAAAAGGUAUAAUCGUUCUCUUAUUAAACACCCAUACUUUUAGUUUCUAUCCAUUUGUCAUCUCAAUCUCUCUCAAUUAUUCUUUAUUGCUAGCUCAAAACGCGUUGCUGUUGCAAAUUAUAGCAAAAAGACAAAUAUGGAAAAGAAAAAAGGGUAGAAAAUUAAUGCAUGAAAGACUUGGAGAAAACAACGAAGUAAGUCAACUAUAAUCUAGCUGGGUGUAUAAAUUGUUUGAUGCUUUAUAAGCAAAUAACAUACAGAGACAGACAAUGUGUGUUCGUUUUUUCAUAGUUAAAGAUAUAGUUAGAAUGGGUGGUUCAAAAUCAAAAAUGGUGAUAAUGUUUGUUAUGUUAUUAAUAAUAUUUAAAAGUGGGUGGAGUGAGGGAUGUUGGGAUCACGAGAGAUUUGCUCUUUUGCGACUCAAACAUUUCUUCGAUGAUACUGGUAGUUAUCUUUACGACUGGGUAGAUGAUGAGGGAGCUACUGAUUGUUGUCAAUGGGAAAGGGUUGAGUGCAGCAACACCACAGGCCGAGUGAUAGCGCUAGACCUUUUUGAAAUGUAUUCGGGAGAGUACAGCUGGUAUCUGAAUGCUUCUUUGUUUACUCCCUUCCAACAACUUGAGUCACUUGAUUUAACUGACAACAAUAUAGCUGGUUGUGUUGAGAAUGAAGGUGCUUCGUUUAAUUUAAUUAAUUUACUUUCUCCCCCCUAAUUUAAGUUGAAUAUCAAGACCGAGCAACUAUACGCAUAUUCAUUUAGUCGACAAUUUUGACUUUUUUUUUAAGUGAUUAAUUAAUUUUAAAAUUACACCAAUAUCUAUGAUCUUUUUUUUUUUUUAAUUUUGCUUGCAGGUCUAGAGAGGCUAUCAAGAUUGAACAACUUGAAGAUGCUUAAUUUAUGUGAUAACUCGUUCAACAAUAGCAUUUUAUCAUCACUAACUCAUCUUUCAUCAUUAAGAUCAUUAAAUUUAUACGGGAAUAGAUUGGAAGGAAGUAUUGACGUUAAAGGUACAUAAUUAAAACUUCAUCCCUUAUCCAAGCUCUUUCAUUAACUUGCUAAAAUAAGAUUCAAGGCUUUGAAUUCAAUUUUUUUUUUAUGAUUAGUAUUAAAAAAACAGUUUCAAGCAAUUUAUAAAUACAAGUUUUAAUGUUUCUCAUAAUUUCAUCUUGUACUUUGAUAUGUCUCGAAUUUAAGAUUAAAAAAAAAAAACUCUAAUAGCGAACCAAACACCUCCACAACUUAUUAUUAUUAUUAUUAUUUGUGGUGAGGUUUGAAACAUUCAACUCAAUUUGUACUUAUUACAGAAUUUGAUUCUUUGAGAGAUUUAGAGGAGCUAGACAUUGGUGAGAACAAGAUUGACAAAUUUGUGGUCUCAAAAGGUACUACAAAUACCAUAAAAAAAAUGCUAACUUAUUCAAAUUAGUUGGAUUCUUUGCCAUUUGGUUUAUUAUUUUGCAGGUUUGAGUAAGCUGAAGUCUCUCGAUUUAAGUGGUAUGAAACUCAAUCGUAGCAUCUUAUCUUCUCUUUCUUCGUUAAGAGAAUUAUAUAUAAGUCGUACGGGAUUCAAAGGAACAUUUGAUGUUCGAGGUAAGUCUAAGCCUUGCUUUCUCAUUUUAUAUAUGCCAACUAGAUUUGUGUAUCAUCGCCAUAAUUUAAUAUUUAAUUUGAUAAGUCUGAAGGAAUUACAUGCUAAUUUAAACAUACUUUUAUUUACUUUGUCCAUUAAUUAAUUAAUUACUAUUUGGCUUGGUUUGGAUGAAAUUCUCAUGAUGUUUUAAUUUCUUUAAAUUAAUUAAUUAAUUAACUCUGUUUUUAAGUCUUAAGUCUGGGCAUGUUUGCAGAAUUUGAUUCCUUCAAUAACUUAGAAGUGUUGGACAUGAGUGGCAAUGAAAUCGACAAUCUUGUGGUUCCUCAAGGUAAACAAUUAAAAUAUUAUUCAAUUACAUUAUUUUAAUUCAUUUGAUUAGAGAAGGCCAAAAAGGUCCCAAAAAAAAAUAAUAAUAAAGAAACAGAUAAUUUGUAUUAUUUAAAAAACAUAGUGUAAUAAAGAUUUGAUUCUAGUUAUUUAAUCUUUAAAGCGAUUGAAAAACAAUGUUACUCUUUUCCCAAAGCAUAAAAUACGAAUUGAAUGCCAAUUAACUUAAUCAUUCAUUUCGUUUAGCUCUAAAUUUAGACAAUGAAUUUUUAUAUUAUUUCAAAAACAAGACGUAAUAGAAUUUUUUUAAAAAACAGAUUGUAAUAAAGAUUUGAUUCCAAUUCUUUAACCUUUACAGUGAUUGAAAAACGAUACUGCUUCCCAAAGCAUAAAAUGCAAAUUGACUCCCAAUUAAAUUAAUCAUUUAUUUCAUUUAGGUCUAAAUUUUAGAAAAAUGAAUUUUGAUUCUCUUCAAUCUUUUCUUAAUUAUUAUUAAAAAACAGGUUACAGAGGUUUGAGGAAGCUGAAAAGCCUUGAUCUAUCGGGAGUUGGAAUUAGAGAUGGAAGCAAGUUGUUACAGUCAAUGGGAUCAUUCCCAUCCCUCAACACUCUUUACCUGAGGGAUAAUAAUUUUACCGAUAUAGCGACAACUACUACUCAAGGUAAGUAAAAGGUACAAAUGUGGCCAAAUUUAUAAAUAAACUGUUAAUUAAUUAAUUUUUCCGUAUUAUUAAUUAAGCUAAAUCCGUUGCUCCUUCCUUCUAAAUCUAAACAGAGUUGCACAAUUUCACCAACUUGGAAUAUUUGAAAUUGGACGAAUCCUGUCUCCAUAUAAGCCUUCUGCAAAGCAUUGCAUCAUUAUUCCCUUCGUUAAAAAAUCUGUCGAUGUCUUAUUGUGAAGUCAAUGGUGUCGUACGCGGUCAAGGUAAAAGAAAAGCGUUGAUUGUGAACUCACUCAAUGGUGUCCUACGUGUUCAACAUUUUUAUUUAUUUAUUUAUUGUUUAAUGUUUCUGCUAGGUUUUCCUCAUUUCAAGAGUUUGGAACAUUUUCACAUGCAUUUCACGCGCAUUGCACUCAACACCAACUUUCUUCAAAUCAUCGGAGAAUCAAUGCCUUCUCUUAAGUACUUAUCACUGUCAAAUUCUACUCGUGGCACUAACAGCAGCAGGAUUCUUGAUCAAGGUUAAUCAGAUGCUCCCACCCUCCCUUCUUAAUCUAUAAUAUUAAUUUUCAAUUCAAUAUUUAAUUACACAAACAAUACGCAUUCAUUAAUUUUUAUAUUGUAUUAAUUGAUGAAUUUAAUAAAUUUUCAGGCCUCUGUUCGCUGGUGCAUCUGCAAGAAUUGCGCAUGGCUGAUAAUGAUUUAAGAGGUAGCUUGCCUUGGUGCUUGGCAAAUAUGACAUCCCUCCGAAUAUUAGAUGUUUCUAUCAAUCAACUUACUGGAAGCAUCUUCUCAUCUCCCCUCGUUCAUUUGACAUCCAUUGAAGAGUUGUAUCUUUCAAACAACCACUUCCAGAUCCCAAUUUCACUUGAACCACUUUUCAAUCAUUCAAGACUCAAGAUUUUUUAUGCUGACAACAACGAACUAAAUGCAGAAAUAACUGAGUCACAUUCUUUGACCGCCCCAAACUUCCAAUUAAAUAGACUCUUGUUGUCUUCCAGUUACGGAGACAGUUUCAUAUUCCCCAAAUUUCUUUACCAUCAACAUGACCUGGAGCUUGUUGAUCUCUCACACAUAAAGAUGAAUGGAGAAUUUCCAACUUGGUUGUUGGAAAACAACACAAAAUUAGAAACUCUUUCUCUCGUCAAUGAUUCUCUUGGAGGAACUUUUCGGUUGCCAAUUCAUUCACACAAGCGGUUAGGAAUAUUGGAUAUAUCCAACAACAACUUCCGAGGCCACAUUCCAUUAGAAAUUGGGGAUAUUUUACCAAGUUUAUACGUUUUCAACAAUUCCAUGAAUGCUUUAGAUGGUAGCAUUCCCUCUUCAUUUGGUAAUAUGAAAUUCCUCCAAUUUCUGGACUUAUCCAACAAUCACUUGACUGGUGAAAUCCCCGAGCACUUGGCCGUCGGUUGCGUCAACUUGGAGUCUCUUGCAUUAUCAAAUAACAACCUACAAGGUCACAUGUUCUCUAGAAAUUUUAACUUGACAAACUUGAAAUGGUUACAAUUGGAGGGCAAUCGCUUCGUAGGUGAGAUCCCACGAAGUUUGUCUAAAUGCUCCUCAUUAGAAGGAUUGUAUCUUAACAAUAAUAGUCUUUCGGGUAAGAUUCCACGAUGGUUGGGUAAUCUCACAAGGUUACAAUAUAUUAUAAUGCCCAAUAAUCAUCUUGAAGGCCCUAUUCCAGUGGAGUUUUGUCAGCUGGAUUUGCUUCAGAUUUUGGACAUUUCAGGCAACAACAUAUCUGGAAGUCUACCAUCUUGUUUCCAUCCUCUCAAUAUCAAACAAGUUCAUCUUUCAAAAAAUAUGUUACAUGGACAGCUAAAAAGAGGUACAUUCUUUAAUUGCGCUUCCCUUGUGACAUUAGAUCUUAGCUAUAACCGCUUGAAUGGCAGCAUUCCGGAUUGGGUUGAUGGGCUUUCUCAGUUAAGUCACCUUAUCUUAGGUCACAAUAAUCUUGAAGGUGAAGUGCCAGUUCAAUUGUGCGAAUUGAACCAACUACAAUUGUUAGAUCUUUCUAAUAAUAAUCUUCACGGUCCUAUUCCUCCUUGCUUUGAUAACACCACACUUCAUGAAAGUUACAGCAAUAGUUCUAGUCCUGAUGAGCAAUUUGAAAUAUUUUUUUCCAUCGAAGGCCAUCAGGGAUUUUUAGAAAAGCAAAACCAUGAAAUUUUUGAGUUCACAACAAAGAACAUUGCGUACAUUUACCAAGGAAAAGUGCUUAGCCUCCUAUCAGGACUUGAUCUUUCUUGCAACAAGCUAAUUGGUCAUAUUCCUCCUCAAAUUGGAAAUUUGACAAGGAUUCAAACAUUGAAUCUAUCACACAACAACUUGACAGGAUUGAUCCCAUCAACAUUUUCAAACUUGAAGCAUGUCGAAAGUUUGGAUCUUUCCAACAACAAAUUGAAUGGGAAAAUCCCUCAUCAACUAGUGGAGUUAAAGACAUUGGAGGUUUUCAGUGUGGCAUACAAUAACUUAUCAGGAGAAAUUCCAGAAUGGACUGCACAAUUUGCAACCUUCAAUGAGAGUAGCUAUAAGGGAAAUACUUUUCUUUGUGGAUUGCCAUUGCCCAUUUGCAGAUCACCAGCAACUAUGUCGGAGGCAUCAAUUGGCAAUGAACGAGAUGAUAAUUUAAUUGACAUGGACAGUUUCUUUAUCACAUUUACAACAUCGUACGUAAUUGUGAUAUUCGCAAUUGUUAUUAUUUUACAUGUAAAUUCUUAUUGGCGACGUAGAUGGUUUUACUUUGUUGAAAUGUGGAUAACUUCAUCUUACUAUUUUGUUGUAGACAAUCUUAUUCCAACAAGAUUUUGUCAUUGAAAUUAAUUAGUAGCUUAAUUACGAUUCUUUAAGUACUAAUCAAGUUUGCUUAGGAAAUAUUUUUUUAUUAAAAUUGUAGUAGUAUUUAGCAUUAUAUAGCUUCCAACUUCCAAGCACUUCACAUUUGUCUCUACACUUAAAAAACUGAGUGAUCAUGUUUUGCAGAUCUGGAUUUGGAGCAGGAUGGAUCCAAACCCAUAUCUGUCCACCACAACUUAUAGCUUCCCUAUACUGUGCAGCAUACUUAAAUAAGAGAACCAUCUCCAAUGUUAAAAGCAUUCACUCUAUAACAUUCAUUUAGAAACUAUACUCAGAAUAAUUUUAUAAUUAAACACAAGAAAUGAAACACACAGAUACACUUGAUCGCCUAUUUUACUCUAAAAAAGAACGAUUAUUGUGCUAUCAUCAUCUUCUUCACUAGCAACAUUAACACCAAAUCGAUGGACCCAUACAUUUCAUCAAGAAAGGUAUAUAUCCAAUAAAGUUGAAGCCUAACAAAAAAUUCAAGAAGAUUAAUGCCUCGCCACAACAAGGGGCACAACAACAUCAAAGUAGAGAUUAAGCAGUAUUCUCAAAACUAAAACUCUCAAAUCCACCCACCAGAAUUUCAUAUCUCCUCAACAAUUUUAAGAACUAAAGAUAAUUAGGAUUUAACAUUAGUUUUUUAUAUAUUAGUUUCAUAAUUUACAAAUCAAUGAAGAUGAAGAUUAUGCUAAUAAAUUCAAAUUAUACCAUACAUUCUCUAGAUGUUACAAAAAAUUUCUAAGUCAAUCCCACAUAUUUCAUAAUUUUAAGACUAGAAAAUUUCACUAGUUAGAAGUUUCAUUACCUUCAAGUGGAAGAUAAAGAACAUUAUACAAGUGAUUCAGAUUAUAUCAUACAUACUCCAAAUGCAACUAGAAAUUAACAAGUUCAUGCGCACAUAUUUCAUAACAUUAUGAUUGAAAAGUUUCACAAAGAGAAAUUCUAAAUUCAAUAUCUUGCAUGAAGGCAGUUUGAUUGAUUUGAGUUACUUUCUUAUCAAGCUACUAAUAUAACAUUCAAGUCAGGGAGAAAAUAAAUUAAAGCAGGGAAGAAAUAACAGUAAAAAUUUGUUGCUCAACAUGAUGUGUAUUUUUUUUCAAGGCAAUUUGGAAACACAAUUGUUACUACAGAUAUUCUUCUCAACUUGGAGAUAAAUACAAAUAUUAAAAUGCAUAUGAUCGCACAUAUUACUUCGAGUUUAGUAAGAUUUCAUUAAAAGAAGCAAUCAAACCACUUAUCAAUUGUCGCAGUCGUUCUAUAAACUAAAAUAGCAAUAUAAUACAAGAAAAAGAACAUAUAGAUACUUGGCAAGAGUUCAUUAAGAAGUCGCAUCACAUUCGGGUGAGGAGUUUGCUUAUGAUAUCUUGCUAGCUGGGGCUUUUUCCUGUCUUUCUACGUAUGCCGAGGGAAACCAACCAGCUUGGCCCUUGCAUUCACCUUCCGACCAUCCAAUAGGAGCCACCUUGAGAAGUUAUAACUAAAACGGUGAAUUAAACAAAAGUUGACCGUUCAAAGACCUAAGGGGAAAACUAAUUCUUUUACGUAGGAGGAGUGAAUUAGUUGUGAUCACUGAAAUAACAGCAUAACUAUGGAAGCAUAACAAGAUAUAAAUUCACACGUCUAUAAGGGUAAACUGGGUGGUUUAGAACUGAGCUAGCAACCCUACUAUAUUCUGAUUUGCACUUCAAUGUAAAAGGGAAUAUAUGGUAGGAAGAAAGAAAACCAACCAUCAUUUGUUAACUCAUUGCUUUUCAAUCACAAUUUUAAGAAAAAAAUGCCAUGUGCUUUGAACAUCAAAUAAGUAUAAGCAUUAGUUCUAAAUUCCACAUAUCAUAAGUUGUUAGAAGGAUAAGUUAAUAGCAGAGUAGAAAAAUCUAUGUGUUGGUAUUUAGAGGGGAAAGUACCACAACAUAAUCAUCAAUUGAAAGACUUAGCUCUCCAUUUGCUUGAGCAUCAAAUGGAUGUAUAACCUGCAAGAUAAUCGGAUAAAUAGAACUUAAUCUUAAAAAAAGCAUAACAAAAGCAGCAACAGUAGCAGCAACGUUCAUUGUAACCACUAUGAUCAUGGCCAACAAAGAUAUAUUAGAAACAAAAUUCCAUUUUUACUACGACAUUAAUAUGUACUAUACGAUAUCAUGACGAUUGGGUUACUAAGAGCUAUCAAAGUCUAAUAAGUUCUGUAUAACUUUAUGUAGUUAUUUAAAUUAUGGAUCAGAUUUUAAAUUUGAAAUUUUGACUGCUCUCCACAAAACAUGGCCUAUGCACAAGAAAGUCAUAGAUAAUGAGGAUUACAAGUGUCCGACAUCUUUUGAGUGAUGGAUUUAACAUGAGAGCUUAUGGUCAGUCAAUUUCCUCUGCCUAGCAAUAUAAGCUUUCUCGGCCAGAUUUAUCAUCAAAUACAUAGAUUUCCCCCAAGUCACAUCCAUAUAAACAUAGUUUUUCUAGGUAAACCAAGUAAGGAGUAUCAUAAUUCAGACAUAAUCAUAAAAAGGCCCAUCUAACUUAAGAGAAAAUCUCAAAAAGAGGGAUGCUGAGCUAUCAGUCUUGUAUCUAUAAGCAAUAUCAAGACUUUACAUCACCUGCUACAUCGUGAGUGGCUACACAACUUUCAGUGGUUUGUCUUUCUUUGGCAUGCCUAACUCAGCUUUGAUGUUGCUGAGAUAUUGAUAGUAGAGACACUCAGACACAUGAUACUUCUAGCUCAUGCAUUCUAUCUAACUCAUCCAACAACUAUCUCUUUUUUAAUUCAUUAGUGUUUGCUAAACCUCAUGCUUAAAAGUCCUGUUCUCCUAAACAAAGUUUCCUAAGAAUGACUUCCUUAGCACCACAGUUGGACACUUUUAGAGCAAUUUUAUUUGGGGGGAAAGAAUUUUCAAGGUGUUAACCAAUAAAUUUUAAAAAAUAAUUACAAUUUGUCCUACGAUCAUAUGACAAUUUAUCUGGGAUGAAAGGAUACAGAUAGACAUCUUCCACUUUCAAGACUAAUCACUACUUCCGUAGAUGUUGUCCAAUAAUACAAAUACUUGACCAGAUGGUAGUGAUGGUAGAAAAAAAUUUUAUUGCUCCAAAAUUAAAAUAAGAAUGCAAUAUGUUAAGCAAAAUGCUGUUCAACAUCAAAUUAAUUGAUAAGUUUGUAAUUCAGUAAAUUAACAACUUUCAUGGUAAAAUACAACAAAUUUCUUUUGAAAAAAAUAAAAAAAAUAAAUCUUAAAAGACAGCAUUCAAUUUUGUGCGCAUCUUAUUUCUUAAGAUUUUUCAGGAGGAGGGCAAUAGAGGGACUUUCACCUAUGCAAGAGAGCAGAAGCCUUACUUUCGCUAUAAAGUAGACGUCAUUCUGAUUAAUAUGCGUUUGCAAAUCAGCUACGUUUGAAUCAGUAUUCUGAUAGACACACGAGGCAUUUACAUCCAUUUCCAAAGUCACAUGUUGCGAGGAGGACUCAUUUGAUUGCUCCUAUACGAUCAUCUAAUUCAAGUAGCAAGGGUUGGAAGAGAAUAAAAAGUCACAAUUAUUCUUUUGCAUAAGUGAGACGAAAAUGAUAAAUGCAAUAUUAUCAGCAGUAAACAAGAAGAGAACGCUCCAAGAAAUAGAUAGAUGCAGACAAGCAAGUUAAAAUGCAUAGUCCCAAACCUCCGCAUACAACUUCUCUAAAGUAGCAAUAACGUGUUGAUGCUAUGUUUUCUCAGCAUCUACCUGCAAAGGCCCGAGACCAGGAAAACAACAAUAAAACCACUAGCUGAAGGAGAAAGCAAAGAAAGAAAUACACUUGACAUAAAUCUUGACAAGAAGCACAAUUUAAGACAUAACAAACCCCAAUCAUAUUGUUUAGAACUACCAUUCGUUAUUUCGUUAUUGUAACAUUUCGAACAAGUGUUGACUUAAUUCAACAUUGUUGGAAAGAUAGGCUUUUAGAAGCAGAAGAAAGCCUCUCAAACCAAAGUGCUUGUCCUUGUAUUGAUCAAGGGAUGUAAACAUAUUACAUUUGCAGGAUGAGAUUUAAUCACUCCCCUGAUUUAUUUGGGUUGCAGUAAAACUAAGCGACCAACUGUUUGACUUUCAAGCAACAGCUAAAUCAGCUAUUAAAAUUCAAAUAAAAUCAUAAUAGAAUAAUAACAGGCCAUCUUGCAUAAAAUAUUAAGUUUAAUUUGUGAAUUUUUUUCUAUAGACAUGUCAGUUUCUGCUAUUGAAAUGUUAAAAGCUUUGAAAAAUUAUUCAAUAAAUUAUGCAAGCAUUAAAAUAGAGGACAUAUUAAAAAGUUUCUAAUUACAAUGUUAAUAUUUCCUAUAUUUUAGCAUUUGCAUAUUUUAAUUUAUUUAAAAGCUACGUCGAUCAACUUUGGGCAUGAAGAUUUUAGCUUCUACGAGACUUGAUUGGAAUAUGCAUAAGAGUGUUAAAAUAUGAUGCAUCCAACGAAAGACAAACCACGUGUAGUCUUUUAAUUAAUCCAAAGUAGCAGCUCAAACAAAUGACACUUGGACCAACAUGCAAUCAUGAAGUAGCCGGAAAAAGGACAAAUGCUACUUUGGCUUAAAUAAAAAAUAACAUGUGACUUGACUUUUGCUGGACAUGCAUCAUGUUAUUACAAGACAACAGAAAUCAGUAUGAUAGUAAUAAAAGUUGACAAUAACAUGAAGAUAAGAGGCAGAAUGUCAACACAUGCAUAGGCACACACAAGAAAGUAUUAACAUAUAUACCAUGGCAAAAACUCUUUUAUAUGUCAUCUGUUGCUGCUGUGAUUCAACUGACAGCAUGGCAGCUGUCGCUUUUCUACCAAGAGCCAUUAUUGUAGAUUUAAGCUCGGUCAAUCUUGCUUCUGCAUUUCGAAGCUUCACAGCACUCUCUGCUGAUAUAUCAGAUUCCCUAAUCUUUGAUCGGUGCCUAAAUACUUCAGCUGCCUGGUGAAAAUAUUCAAUAUAAAUCUAAUAUAAUUCUCAUCUUGCCUUAUACAUGCAUAUGUUACGUCAAAGCUUACCUGGGCUUCAACUUCAUGUCGAAGUUUGUCAUAACAAUGAGUCAGGUGUCGAGCAUCUUCCAAAGGUGCUCCGUUGAUUAACGCCCGUAGUGGCUCAGAUACCUACAUGUCCAAAAACCUGUAACAUAGUUAGAAAAAUGAAAAGAAAGAGCGAAACCUCAAUUAAAAAGUUCAUCCAACAUAAUCAUGGAAUUUGGGCCUACUUUAAGAAUAUAUAUAAGGAUAAUUUAUGCAAUUUUGGGUCUUAGGAUGAUUGGCAUUAGGUUAGUGUUCUUCUCUUCUGUAUUUAAGGUUAAAAUAGAAAUAAACCUAUGCAAGUAUCUAAAUUAGGCCUGUAAGACAUCCACAUGCAUCCUUCAGUCUCAUGGAUUUGAUUUUACUAUAGAUGCAAGUGUCUUUAUUGAAAAUGCUUGGAGUCAAUUGAGAGAACUCAUGGCCAAUAACUUGUCACACGCUAGUCUUUGCUAGUGAUGUAAGAAGUCACAAGGUCUCUUCAACAUUUGAACCAAUAAAAUUAUUAAGUCAUGGAUGUCACUAGCAAUGAUUUUAAUAUAAAACAUUAAGUGCCUGUUUGGUAUGGCUUAUUUAAGAGGCAUAAGUGCUUAUUUAAUCGUAUAAGCACUUUUUAAAAAUUUUUAUGGUGUUUGGUUAUUUUUUUAGUAGAGCUUUUUUAGCUUAAAUAAGCUAAUUUACCUCUACUAGCAAAAGCCCAAAAUUUGAGCUUUUGGGAGUAGAGGUUAUAGAGCUUUUCUAAAAAUAUAUAAUAUAAAAAAUAUUACAUAGUUUAAUGGUUCAAAAGUACUUUUUUUAUUGCAACCAAACACCCAAUGACUUUUUGUCUAAAAGCUCUAUUGGUAUAAGCUCUACUACUAUAAGCUCUAUUGUUAUAAGCUCUAUUUAAUAAGCUGUACCAAACGGAGCCUAAAUAUUUCAGAGUUGUAACUUUAAAAUGGAUUCUUUUAUUCAAUAUCAUAGAACUAAGUUUCCUUAUGAGAAGAUAAUAGUUUCGAUAAUAAUUUUACAUAUAAUUUUCUAUAUUUGAAUUAUUUUCUAGUUCGUGAUGAACUAACCUGAUCACGAAGAAUCCCGAGCAAAGUUUCCCUCUCAUUUUCCAUCAAAUCAUGUGAAGUGCCAAAUUGAAGAGCAGCUCUUGCAACGCAAGAAUUGUCACUUUGAUUCUAUGCUCCAUACUUGCAACAAUCUUCAGCCAACUUUCUCGCUACAAUAUUUGAAUACAAAAAUAUUGUACACAAGAACUAUAAAAAAAACUAAUGAAAAAUGCCAAGAUGGAGCAGAUGCUUCAAUACUGCCUGUACAAACCAUAAAAAACUAAUGAAAAAUAAAUAAAAUCGAGAAAUUUUACUAAUUAAAAGUCUAAAUAUAAUUUUGAAAAAAGAAAAGAAACGGACUUGCUGCUGCUUGGCGACUUGUUCUCGGAGCUUGAUUGCCUGUUUCUUGAUAGCUUCCAUACUGUUUCUUUCAAAAAGCGACGACGGCUCUGCUCAUGGAAGUGGAAAAAAAAAGUGUGAUCGAGAAAAAUGUAAAGGCGUGAAUAAUUUUGGCAAAAAGCGAAAAUCAAGGAAAGCCGGCUAUUUCCAGAAAAUAAAAAAAAAAGAAAAUCAUAAGUUUGAAAGGAGAAGAUGAUAGUGGAAGUAUGCAGUGUGGCUGCCAGGUACUUGGAUUGUAUUGUCGGGUAAGAUAAAAGUGGAGAAUUAUAAGUUUGAACAGAGCAUGUUGGACUUUUGUUGACCAAACUCAAAAGCCCAAUGGGACGGCCCAGAAGCUUUUGAAUAGAAAAACUUGCAAGAAAGCAUCAGUUUAAAUCACUACUUAAACGCUUGCUUUAACUGCACCGCUUUGUACUGUUUUAUGUAUGUAGCGGUUGUGCGGUUGUAAUUCACGGCUGACGCUACGUGUUUGUUUGUACUGUUCUAUUCGGUGACAGAGUAUUAUUAGUUAGGCCAAAACUAUGUUGCAACAGUGAUACAGUAACACUGUUGCUUUUAGUCAUUAGAUCUAUAGUUAUACAGUUGCAUUAACAAGAUUUAAUGGCUGAAAGCAACAGUGGUACCGAACUACUGUUGCAACAUAGCUGGAGCCUAUUAGUUAUUUCAAAGGGAUAAAUAAGAUUGGUUACAACAAACCUACUAAUUUUAUAAAAUUCAAGUAACAUAGAAUAAAAUAAAAAAAUAAAUACAAAAUUGACUUUUAUUUUUUAUGGUUGACUAUAUUUUGUGUUCUCUUCGGGCACUGCUACAAUUGCUACAAUUGUUCCCUAUAUAUCAAUUACACCACAUACUAUCGACACAAGAAAUGAAAUCUAAUAUCACCUAUUUAGUUAAAAAAUCACUCAUGAAAAAAUUUUACCAUUUUGAUUUGAGGAUCCAUAUUUUGAACUACAAGCUAAUGUUCAUCAAGAAUCACUGAUAGCCGUUGAGUAGAAAAAUUAUUUUUGGACAAAUUAUUUUUGUUGAUAGAAGAAUUUCUUUAGGGACUACUAAAUUAUUAAUAAAAAUGUCGAACACACCCAAAUAUCAUCGACACAAUUGAUUUUGAGGAUCCAUGGUUUGAACUGCCGGCUAAUGUUCAUCAAGAAUAGAGUAUGGCUUGUGAGUAGAAAAUUUUCUUAUUUUGGCCCGAAAUAAAAAGAAAUUAAAUUGGAUGAGAAUCUGCCACUUUCUCAUGAAGAAAGGCAUACGGAGCAUACCAUGGUACCAUAAAAUAUAAGGAGCCUCCGUUCUUUGGUUUUUCAAACUCUGAAGGGGCCAAUAUUGCCAAAUUCCCCCUUGAAAAUUCUGAUUACGAAAUUAUUCAUCGCUUGAUGCAAUCAAAGUAGUGACAAAGUAAUUGCUAGGCAAGGUUGCUGAGAGCAAAAUUGUCCUAAGCAUUAUAUGCAUACAUGGUGCGGUACAUAGAGCACGUUGAAUUCCCCACUAUAACACAAAUCUAGAAAGACAAGUAAUAACUCAACUGAUAUAAAGACAAAAAGAAGAUAAAAUGAUAUAGAAAAAAGAAUUUCAAAGAGAGAGCAACAUACGAUAGACUGAAGCCACUUGAUCUGCUCAUUGAUUGCAGCCUUAAACUUGCAAAUAGUUACUGUACGCUAGUGCUCUAAGAAGUGAAAAUGAUGCAAGCCCUGAUUCCCUUUUGACUUCCAUUUACUGUCAAACAUUCUAGUAAUACAAAAAAUUAUUUAGAUAUCUUGCUAUAAAUAUAGCCGUUUGACUGUCAUAAUAAAGUCACAAAUAACCAUUCAUAUUGAUCUACUAUCACACAGCAUGCUUUAUGCAUACAACAGCUGUAUGUAUACCAACUCCUAACCUUAUCAAUACAUUUGGCAAAAACUUAAGAAGAAAACUAUUUCUCCAUCUCUUUUUUGAAAUUUCACAAUAACCAGCACAAUGUGAAAGCUAUGUUCUAACCUUAUGAUAAAUGCUCUAGACUCCAAAAGGAUUUUAUAUAUGAGACUUUGUUGCAGCAGAUAUAUUGACUUAUCAAGUAUGAAUCAUUGUCUGGAUGAACUAUCUUUAGAUAAAAGAAUAUUAGAACCACUGUAGAAUAUCUUUACGCUGCUGGUUCUAACAGGAAUCUGCAUGUGGCAACAAUUGCUAGAUCCACAAUUCCCCAACUUGAAAUACAUAGUUGCACACCAUGAGAUAGUGCUACAAUCUACUGAGAUCUAACUUAUAUGGUACUUUAAGCUACUAAUGUUUGCAUAUUUCUACAUGUUAAAUUAACACUAUCAUCUAUAAUCACUCCAAAACAACAAAUGAUAAGCAGCUUUUGGCCACUUAUUACUAGCAUCCACAAUUAUAAAUAAGAGAUCAUGGGUUUACUUGUUGCACCUACUUAAUUAUCUGCAGUUGACAUCCUGACGCAAGGUUUAAAUAGUGACUGCUUAGAACCCUUGUAGUUGGAUCUUGACCUCUCCCAUUGUAGCCAAGAUUGGUUACUCUGGUAAUGAAUCAACACUCUCCUGCUCAGGGCCAUGAAGAUCUGAAAGCUCAGCUCUAGUGGAGAACUUCAUCAAUCUCUUCUUCUCAGCAUACUUGAGACAAGGUUGCCUUACGAGACCAAUCACCACAGCACCAACGCUUAAAACUGCAACUUUUAAAGAAGAAAGAGCCAACACAACACAACACAAAUCAAUAUGGUUGGAGGAAUACACAUGAUAAUGGCUCCAACAGUGACAGUGGGUAUCUUGUAGGGACGAGAUGCAGCAGGAUAUUGCAUCCUUAACCAUACAAAUGCUAUGAACUCCAUAAUCAUUCCAAAACAGUACAGGAAGUUCUCUGCAGCUACAAUAUCUCAAAAGCUCAGCCAUGAUAGCAAAACCACACCAGAUGCUGAGAAUAUGAUUCCAAUCAAAGGAGUCCCAUAUCAAGACCUCUUAGCAAAAAACUCAGGUAGCAUUCCACGCUCAGCCAUCCCCAAAAGUUGGAAGAGUCGCUGCUCAUCUCAGCCACAAACAUGCCCAUAUUGGACAUUGCUGCAGCCCCCUGGAUGCACCAUCUCAACCAAACUCCUCCAAGCACUUUAGCGAUAUCUGAAAAGUAACCAUCGGUCCACAAGUCGCGAUCUAAUGGAAUAGCUCCAGUUCCAACUAGAAGGGGAAAGAAAUAUCCAAAAACGACCAAGAUCAAAGCAUAAAACAAAGCCUUUGGAAGAGUCUUCUUUGGGUUAUCCACCUCUCCAGCUAGUGUACUUAUUGAGUCCCAGUAGUUGGAGAUUCCAAAACAGGGUGUUCAAAUACAAAUUCCAGUCCACUUCACCUAAAUUUACUACAAGCCAUCUUGAAGGCUCUAACUUGGGAAGGGACACAAGUCCCAUAACCGCAAAAGGAAGGAAUGAGAAAAUCCCUAAAAGAACAGCAGCCCAUCCCACAAUGGUUAGACCCCUAUAGUUCAUGAAAGUGAGAACAAAAGUCAAAGCUAACGCCGCAAAGGCUCUAGGUAACCCAUCGCCCAAAGCAGGGAUACCAGACUUCAAGUAGUCAAGAAACAGAACUGGGUAUAAAGCAUUAUCAAUAACCCCACUAAGCCAUUUCAUCCAAACUUGCUGAAAACCCCAAUAUGGGCCUAAGGCAGAUGAAACCCAAACCACAUAACCACAAUUUUCAGGAAACACGGUACCCAUCUCGGCAGUAAUUAAAGCUUCAGGGACACUCCAUAUAAUCGGAAACACCAAGAAACCAAGAAGUGCUAAAAGAGGACCAGCUGCCUUUACACUAUCCUCAACACCAAACGGCCCCCCAGAAACCUCAUAGAAUAUAAGGAAAAUAAGUGGCAAGAUUGAUACUUUUUUAGCGCCAUGGACUCUAGGAGAAGAUGGUUGGUCAUUGAUAUUAACAUAUUCAACAGCAUCAGACUGCCCCAUUUCUACUGAAAGUUGCCUAUUCACAGUGUUCCUCAAUUUCUGCAUCAAGUUUAAGCAUAACUAUCAAAAGGGUAUCGGCAUCUAAAUUAUGAAACAAAAUGAGCAUUUACUUAUUAAAAAAAAUCAAAAAAACAGAAAUGGAUUUCACAGAACACAUGAAUUUAAGUUCAACAUUAAACAGGCGCUUAAGAAAACAAAAGGGUCUGGUCGUAAAGCCAUCAGAUUGCAAGAUUGAACAACAUUAACGGAAUCAAUAGAAUCGAUGUAAAGAGAUCUGAAAAGAAAAUAAAAUAAAAGAUGAAGAGAGAUAAAACGACCCAUCAAAUAAGUGCAUGCAGAGCAGAGAGGCAGAUACUAGAGAAGCUCCGUCAUGUUAGAGAGAGCCUAAAUCAAUCAGAGCUCACUGAGUUUCUUUUCAACUGACCGGCAAAUUUGGAGUAGCAUGACAUAAUAUUUUUGCUUUUAAUUUUCGGAACACUUUUGAAUGGAAUUUUUUGUUUUUCAAAACUAACGAAAUCGUAAAAAUAAAUAAACACGUGUUUGGUUUUGGGCUUCUUCUUUUGUUCAUUUAAUAUCAUUUGGUUCCCUGAUUUUUGACUAAUUAUCAACGGUAUCCUGUUAGUUUCCAAAUUGAAAUAAUAUUAGGUCAUGAGAUUAUUUACUCCAUUUAGCACUGUAGACUUAAUAGUAUAUUGAAAAAGCUUUGUCAAAUAGUAGUAAUAGGGGCAUAAGAAAUAAGUUCUUCAGAAUUUAGAUAAUAUACUUGGCUCUAGGAAGAUUCCCCUCUUAUCGCUCAAGUUAGGCUUUUACCUUAGAGUUGAGUAAAUCAUUAAAAUAAAUUAUAGCUAUCACAAAUUCGUCAGGGGACUUUCAAUUUUUUUCCAUCAAAUGGAAAUGAGGCAAAAUUACCUCAGCUUAUAUUGCAAAACUAAUACUUCAAAUUCUGACAAUAAAUUUGAUGACAGUCGAUUUUAUGUAUAGUAAUUUUGACUCUUUUGUUUGGUCUAAAAGUAGUUAUUUAAAAUGGCAAUGAUGACUUAUUUAGAAGAAAUGAUAAACUUAUAGUUCGUAAUAUUAUUUACGCAACUAAUAAAGACUAAUUUGAUAAUAAUCUUUCAAAUAAUAAUGAAGUGUUAAUUACUAUUUAAUAUUUUUUAUUAAUUUCUAAAUUUAAAACAAAUAUGAAAGUUGAUUGCUUCGAAGGUUGGAUCGUGACAAAUUGACAAAUGAAAAGAGAAGUAGAGAAUAUAUAUUCUGAUGAAAGGGACAAGAUUAAGCAAGGGGACAAUAUUCUCUAUUGGACCGACAAAUGGGGGAAAAGAAUAUAUAUAUAUAUAAUUUCUUAUUUGUGGAUUGGCCAACACGUGUAACAAAUAUGAAAAGAUAAAAUUUGGCGUGGUUUUAACCGAUAUAAGACAAGAAGAACAAAGCAAAGCCCAUGAAAAUUCACCUUUCAUGUGGGUUGGAUCGGAUAAAAUCAAUAUCUUGAAUCAAACAAAAUGUUUGGUACAUAAAGUUUUUUUUUUUUUUUUUACAUGAUAUUCGAUUUUUAUCCCUCGAAUUUUUACAUGAUAUUAGAUUUUUAACCCUCACUAAUAAUCGAGAGAUGUCUACUCCUCAUUUUUGGGUAAGGGAGAAAACUACAUUCACUUAAUUAUAAUUGAGGAAGGAAAUACCCCCCAUUACACUUGUGGGGGUUCAAACUGUUGCCCUCCAACUUGGAGUGCAGCAGCACUGACCACUCGGCCAAAGUCUGAGUGGCUGGUACAUGAAGGUUUUGAGUGUGUGUAAUGAGCAAGAAUUUACAUAACGAUAUUUUAGUAAAUAUAAGAAAAAAAGGCUCAGGGAAUGGCCUAUAGAUAGAAGCACGCAGCCCAUGAGUGAUGAGAAUACAAUUUAACUGUUCAAACUAAUUAGAAGCAAAUUCUUUCAUAUCUUUCUUUAAUUUUUCCGCUUAGUUCCUUAGCAUCCAAUCAAGUUCAAGUUAAAACACUGUUGAGACAACAAUAUGCAGGCAUCAAUAAGCAUAGUAGUUUUUUAUAUGUAUUCUAUACGAUAUUUGAGGGAUGUCAAUUGUAGAACAUUUUGCAGCAACUUUUUUACAUUAACUAAUGUUUGAAGAACUUGUUAAAAAAAAUGGUAAUUUUAUAAUUUUGAAAAAAAAAGAGUGAAAGUGACGUUACCUCAUUGUCAUUAGAGACUUGUUGCAAUGAUAGCUCAAAAUUAAAAUUUUUGAAGAAUUAGUAGACAACGAUGACGUAAUAUUUAUACAGUCACCAACAUGUUGAUUUUUGUUUAAUGUUUGAUCGAUAGAAAUGUUUGUCGUCGUUGCUGUUGUUGAAUUCAUACUUAGAACACAGAAGAGAAGAAGGGAAGAAAGGGAAGAGAAGAAGAGAGAAGUGGCAUAUAGCAAAUAUGAUAUGCUAGCUACAUACCAGCCUUAGAGAGAUUUUUUUUAAUAUUUAUUAUAUUUUUGUUUUUGUUAUUGGUUUGUCAUAUGCUUCCAGGGAAGCAAUACGUUACAUCAUAAAUUGCACCUUUUAGGGGAGGUGGUAAAAAACGUGAGAGCACUACGCUCCAGCGCAUACAUAUAGAAAGAGUUUCCGAAUUUUAAAAAGUUUCUUUAUUUCUUCCAUGUUUUUGUGCUUAAAAUAAAAUUUAAUUGUAUUUUGCAUUAACUUAGAAAAGAAAAGCCAAUUCUAUAUAUAAACUCAUGCAUUAAUUAGAAGAGUUGAACUAUUGGCACCCCUCUAUUAUCUUUAUAAAAUUCCUCUCCUAUUGUAAUUACAUUAAAGGACAAAAUAAAUCUAAUUAUAUCAUUAUAUUUCUCUUUUCAACUCUUUACACCCGUGCAACUACACCAAAGUCUUUUACAAUUUUUGUUUCCUCACAAACAUUAUUUAAAAGGUAGAAAGAUGGUUAGUGCACAAUCAAAUUUUAAGCCGCUACCUCCUCGGCCCAAAAUUCAAACUUAGAUGAUAAGCCAAAUAAAAUUAUUUGAAAAUCAUUCAAUCAGGUUCCCGGGGCAAAAAUACAAGAUCCUUAUUUGCAUGAUAUAUAUGAAUUAAUGUAAUUUAUUUGAAUUAUCCAAAUUCAUUAGAGAUAAAACUAUAAAAUAUACCAAAAAAGUUAGAAGGAAGGAUGUGUUGGGAUAUUUUACAAACUAUAGGAAUCUGGUGAGAUUUUGAGCCAAACUGUAGGGAGUUGAAGGCAUUUGCCCAAUAUGUUUAGACGUACACUAACCGUUAUUUGCUCUUGUUGUUGGUCCCGGAUGAGCUGUAGUCUUAUUUUAAUUUUAUUUAAACUCACCAUAAGAUUCGCGGAGCUCCUAACUAACUUAAAUGACUCUGCAGAGCAUGUCAACACAUAGCAUGUUUAACCGUUUUAUUUGUAGAAGAAUUUAUGAUUUCCCAUUAGCAUUAUUAUUAAAGAAGUGGGGCGGGUCAAAUCUCAAUUGCUUGAAAAUUUUAUUUAUUAUUAUUAGUCUUGAAGUGGGGUGGGUAACGGUUCGCUCAAUUUGAUUUGAGGGAAUCAAAUAUAUCAUCCAAGGUAGAAUUGUGGAAAAUUAAAGCAAAAUAAGAAAUAUGGAAAGAAAAGAAGAAAGUUAAUGCAUGAAAGACAUAUACAGUUGAAAUUGAUAAUCAUGUUUCUAUUUUGUUAACUAAUCAAAUGGAAAGCUGAACUGUAAACAAACAUUAAAACGUGUGGACCAAGCUAGCUGCCCUACAAGUUUACAAUAAUAAUUGAGUACUUUGAUUCAUCCUUCUAUGAAUUUCUACCCAUAUUGACUCCACCGAAAUUUCCACAAAAUAAAAAAAAAAAAAAACUGAAUUUCCACAAAAUGCAAAACCCGUAGAACUUAAUUUUUGGUCAUGUGAACUAAGAUGUAAAUUAAAGAAAAAGUAUAAAAUUAAAAAAGAUAAGAUUUCUAAAAUGUGUGGAAGGUGAUUCAUGAUUCACUGAAAUUACUUACCCCAGAUAUAAAUGUAAACCUAUCUAAUUUCAUUAAAAAUAGUUGGAAAAAAUUAACUAAUAGAAAGCUACGGAAAUUAACCCCCCACAAAAAUGACUUUUUAUAGAAGAAUUUAUGUUUUUUAAAAUAUGUUAUCAAAGUGUAUUUGAUCAAAUCUCAAUUGCUUAGUAUGGUUAGGAUUUUGUGAACAUCACUAAAAAGUGAAAACUAUGAAUGAUAGGGGUGAUGCUUGCAAUAUGAAUAAAUAAUGGACUGAUUCAAUUGAUGAUUACAUUUAUAUAUUAUUGAUUAUUUAUGAAUUUUCAGAUUUUCGAGUGAUCAACUUAAAUCUAUAUGAAUUUAUUGUCAAAGAUGGUGAUCAUGAUGGGCAUGUGAAUAUGUUAGAAAAAACUUGCACUUGUCGGGAAUUCCAACUUGAACAAUUACCAUGUGUACAUGUUGUGGCGGUGUGUAGGCAUCGAGAUUUUUCAAUCUAUGAUUACUGCUCCUAUUACUAUUCAAGUGAUGCAUGGGUGUUAGCAUAUUCUGAGACUAUUUAUCCUGUUGGUCCUCAAGAGGGGUGGGAUGUUUCUAGUGAUGUAUGUGCCCGCGAAGUACAUCCUCCUCUAGAAAAGCGGUCAAGUGGGCGUCCAAAAAAUAAUAGAAUACCAUCUAGGGGUAAGGAAAAGGUGCCUCGUAAAUGCAGUCGGUGUGGUGGUCGUGGACACAAUCGACUCAAAUGCAUGACGCCAAUGCCGUUACAUGAGUGAUACCUUGUUUUAAAUUUAUAUGCAAUGUAAGUGUCUCAAUUCUUGGUAUUCAUUUAUGUUUUAUUUAUUUCGUUAAUGCUGUUUAAAUAUGUACUAAAUUUAACACUAUGUGUACAAGGCUUGACGGAGGAUUUAGCUUGUAUGUUGUCUUUAAAUGGUGGCAUCGUAGAUUUUUGGGUUAUGGCUUGAGUUCUUGGAGCAAUUAAAGGACUAUGCUAAGUCAUUGUAUAAGGAUUUUCGUAUUGAAAUUGCAUAAGGAUGAAUUUACUAGUUGCUAUUUAAUGUUUCUUGGAUAAGGAUCAAUUUACUAGUUGCUAUUUACUAGUUGAAAUUAUAUAAGGAUGAAAUAGAAUUGUAUUUAAUGUUUCCUGGAUAAUUUAAAGUUGUUGCAUAAAAAAGUCGAGUGUUUCCUGUUAUUUACCCGACUGCACUGAAAAAAGUCGAGUAUUUCCCGUUAUUUACUCAACUUCGAUGAAAAUAAUCUACAUUUACCCAACUUCGAGGAGAUGAGAAUUUUUGUUCAAUAUUUUGCAAGGUCACAUCAAAGUCGAGUAUUCUCGACCUCAUACCCGACUUGGAUGAGUCGAGAAUUUUCAUUUAAUCUGACGCAAUGUUACAUUAAAGCCGAGUAUUCUCGACCUCAUACCCGACUUUGGUGAGAGGAGAAUUUUCGUUCAAUGUUAGAGAAGAUUGCAAUAUAAGUCGAGUUUUCUCAACUGUUUACCUGACUUCAAUGUGGAGAAAUUUUAUUUAAUGUUAGGCAAUAUUACAUUAAAAGUCGAGUUUUCUCGACUGUUUAAGUCGAGUUUUCUCGACUGUUUAAGUCGAGUUUUCUCGACUGUUUACCCGACUUCGAUGAGGAGAAAUUUUGUUCAGUGUUAGGCAAGAUUACAUUAAAAGUCGAGUAUUCCUGACUAUUUUCCUAACUUUGCUUAAGGAAGUCGAGAGUUAAGUCAAUCAGAGGAGAAUUUUUUAGGCAAGCGUACAUUGAAGUAUGGGAAUCAAAAUACCAGACUUUGAUGAAAUAAUAACAAAAACCAAAAUAUUUAACUUAUUCACACAUUUACAACAAUACAAGUCAGUUCAUAAGGUUUUGAUUAACAUUAUCCCAAAAGUUAAACUACAAACUAAUACGAAGUCGAGUAUUCUUGAUUAUCCAAAACAAUGAACUUCUUGUCAUCAUCAAUCGUACUCCUCUAUCAACUUCUUGUCAGAAAACAACCUUGUUGCCACUUGUUUUCGGUAUGAGUUAAUGCCUGCUUGUGUACGAACGUCAUAUGGAAUGUCUAGACCAUAUACAAGUGCCUCCAAAUAAAACAUAACAAAAACCCCACAAUCAUUGCUGCAAGAGAAAAAUAGAAAGUGAUAGUUAUUUGAUAUUACAUAACUCAAGGGAUAAUAUAAGAGAGGCAACACUAUUUCUUACUUGUUUUUUUGUUGUGGGAUGUCUGAAACUCGCACAGCCUUCCACUUACGAGUUAGAGAAUUAUCAUAAGAAUGUGAAGUAUACCAUGAUAUCCUAUCUAGAAUCAAUGGCAUCAUAACUACAAACGGCAACAAUUCCUUCUCAAAUGCACUGUCAUUCAUAUAAUCUAACAUGGAGUCAUACACAAAAAUUAUCUCCUUUUGAAGGUCAAACUGUGCUAGUGCCCAAUGAUCUUGCUUAGGAUGAAGCGGAAUAUAUACCUACAGAAAAAACCAUGUAAACCACUAAAUGGAGAAAAAAAAUUAUAGUCAACAUGUCAAAUAAAUAUAAGCAACUUACUUUGGAAACAUCUUUCCAAUGAACAACACAUUUAAGUUUUUCACCCUUGGCAUAAUCAACGACAUAAUUAGUAGCAUUAUUUGUCCAUACUUUUUCAGGGUUGAUCACGUAAACUGAAUACAGAUGCUCUAACUUUCGCUAUCAUUACAAAAAACAAAAGUGUAAGUGUCUUAUAUAUUUUAUAUUUUCCUAUAUGUUUUAUAAAUGUAAUAACAAACUUACUUGAUAUAUAGUGUCCAUUAUGGCACAUCGUUGCAUACUACAAGAUGGGGAGUUGACCAAGAUGUGUCGUACAACAUAAAAAAAAGAGUCCAAGUGUUGUAUAUAAUAAACAAUAGUUAUUAUAUGCAUUGUUUAACAUAUUCAUUAAAGUACCUAACAAAAAUUAUUACUAAACAAUAUGUUUAUAACAAAAUUCAAAACAAUAUAUAGAUUCUUACACUACAAUCCUUAAUUUCAUAAAUUUACAGAACAAUAUGUUUAUAACAAAAUUCAAAACAAUAAUCAAUAAAAGGCAAAUCCAAUGAACACAAUCAAAUAACCUUUAAAAUUGAAUCAUAAUGUUUCAAAACUAAACACAUCAUUUCUCCAACCGCAAAGCCAAAAUUGGGAAAACUAACCCACAUGAUUCUUUAAUCAACUUUUCUUUAACCACAUUGUUGCCAAAUCUUAAUUGUUGCACUCAAACAAAAAUAAGAAUACAAAAUCCAUAGAGGAAAUAAAAUAAAUUUGAAGUUCUUCAAAUAAAAAUAUGCUGUCUAACAUUUGUUUUUGUAUGUCUCUUCGUGAUAUAUUGUAUUACAUUGUUCAUGUUAUACUUCUAAUUCUUUUCAUUUUCAGUAAUCCCAUAAAUUAUACCCAAUUCACUAAAUCACUUACCAUUUUCAAGCAAAACCCUAAAAUUUUUCUUUGAAUAUUUGUAGGAGAAAGAAGAAAAUGAAAAUUACUUACCUAGUAACCAAUGACGGAGGCAAGACAAGGUGGUGGUGACACGGCUGAGGCAAUGGUGAUAGCUGAAGUGCAGAAUGGGCAGGGAGCCGCUUGUUCUUCAAGGAGUUUUCUCUCUUAUUUUGUUUACUCGACUUUGUGAUUUUGGGUGGGAAUCGAUUCUGUUUUGUUGGCUUUUAUUAAGGUUAUUUUUGUAUUUUCCAUGAUCUUUUUAAGUAUAUAUGUGUAAAGUUAGUAAUUUUAAUAUAUAGAGGUAUAUUUUAGGUAUUUUGAGGAAACCAGGUAUAUCCCACGCAAUUCGGGGUUUUUUUAUUUAAAUAUCCUCAAUUUACCCUUAAAUGCCAAAUUUAUACCCUAUUACAUACAUAUACCUUAUGAAGAUAGGAAAAGUCAAAAAUAACCUUAAAAAAACUAAGAAUUCACAUCUCUCUUCUCCCAUUGCUUCUCUUUUUCGGGCUUCUCUCACCAUUCUCUAUUUUUCUUAUAAGUGUAUUUCCUAAUGAUUUAUGAAUUUUAGUAGUACAUUAUUCAUUUUUUGUGCUUGCACACACACACACUAUUUCAAUGUAGGGAUUUAAGACUACAUUUAAGUUACGAGUGAUUGAAGAAUCAGUGCAGGAAGAAGUCGGGUACGAAGUCAGGUAAAUCGAGAAUUUAGUCGAGUAAGAAUUAGAGAUAAGUAAGUCGAGUAUAUGGUCGGGUAAGAAGUCGAGUAAGCAUAUUAAAUAAGUCGAGUAUAUGGUCGGGUAAGAAGUCGAGUAAGAAAAUUAAAUGAGUCGAGUAAGCAUAUUAAAGAAGUCGAGUAUAUGGUCGGGUAAGAAGUCGAGUAAGAAUAUUAAAUGAGUCGAGUAAGCAUAUUAAAUAAGUCGAGUAUAUGGUCGAGUAAGAAGUCGAGUAAGAAUAUUAAAUGAGUCGAGUAAGCAUAUUAAAUAAGUUGAGUAUAUGGUCGGGUUCAAGAAGUUGAGUAAGAAUAUUAAAUAAGUCGAGUAAGCAUAUUAAAUAAGUCGAGUAAGCAUAUUAACUAAGUCGAGUAUAUGGUCCGGUAAGAAGUCGAGUACGAAUAUUAAAUGAGUCGAGUAAGCAUAUUAAAUAAGUAGAAUAUAUGAUCGGGUAAGAAGUCGAGUAAAAAUAUUAAAUGAGUCGAGUAAGCAUAUUAAAUAAGUCGAGUAUAUGGUCGGGUAAGAAGUCGAGUAAGAAUAUUAAAUGAGUCGAGUAAGCAUAUUAAAUAAACCGAGUAUAUGGUCGGGUAAAAAGUCGAGUAAGAAUAUUAAAUAAGUCGAGUAAGCAUAUUAACUAAGUCGAGUAUAUGGUCCGGUAAGAAGUCGGGUAAGAAUAUUAAAUGAGUCGAGUAAGUAUAUUAAAUAAGUCGAGUAUUUUUAUUAAGGUUAUUUUUGUAUUUUCUCUGAUCUUUUUAAGUAUAUAUGUGUAAAGUUAGCAAUUUUAAUAUAUGGAGGUAUAUUUUGGGUAUUUUGAGGGAAAACAGGUAUAUCCCACGCAAUUCGCUCCGCAAUUCGCUCCCAUCUCAUCAUCUUCUUCAGUUGUACUAACAUUAAAUUCUUCUUAUUCCCUUUCUCAACUGUCAUACCCUAUCCCUAUUCCCUGUGUCCCCACUAAACCACGCUCAAUUCAGUCCAUCAGAUUCUCUCGGAACCACAUUAAUCCAACGGCUCACAAUGACCGACAGCCUCUGCAUCUCCAUUUCAAGCUCCCUCUUCAACUGGCCUCUGCUUCCGUUGUACUCUUUCUCGGAUUCUCGGUGGUCCCACACAGCUCCAUCUCGCUCCAAUUGUCACCCAACAAGACCAAUUGCUUAAUCAAGUCACAGAACAAAAAGAGGAUGAGAAAUUGGAACAAGAAUUUGAGAAUUGGAAAUCGAAAAUGUACAAAUUGACCGUGCCUUUGAGAGUUGUUUCUCUUCAGAAUUCAAUACCUCAAUCUUGGAUUAAGGAUUUUAUGCGAAGUCAAGGAAAGAUAUUGAAUUUUCAGAUGAAUUUGUGUGCUAGCAUUGAUGGGAUCUCAACAAUUUAUCUGUGCCUUUUAACAAAGUUAAGGCUAAAUCAGCUCUUAUAUGGGUGCUGAUUUGGUUAGUGUUGGUGAUUCAUGUCUCAGUUUUGCGAUUAAAAAGAGAUUGAUUGAACCAAUAGUUGGAGCUGAAGAUGAAGAUUGGUUCAAAUGCUUAAGUCACAAAUGGAAGGUAACAUCUUUAUCAUUGUCCAGAUAUUUUUUAAUCAUUGUCCCGAUAUGUUUUAUUGUCUUACAUUGAAGUUUGGUAAUGUAAUUUGUUCUCUAUCUGUGUUCCCUUUGUAGUCAUUUUAUUUAUUUUUUUGUUUGCAUUUAUUUGCACUUACGAAGUCUCAGGUAUAUCUAUGCAGGAAUGAUGCAGAAGAAAUUGAUCCUUGAGGUAAAAUAUGCGCAGCACCAUAUCAGUGGGGCACAGUGGUGAUAGCUUACAAGAAAAGUAAAUUUUGAAAGCAUAAUUUGGCUCCGAUUGAGGUAAUAAUUGUCUUUAAACUCAUUUAGUUUUAUAUCAAACAAAAUCAAGACUGCCCUUCUCUUCAAUAUUUUUUAUGAUAAUAUCUUUAGAAGCAGCUAAUUGACGGGUAAUCAAGGUAUUCCUUAAAGGGUCUACAAACUCAAUGAUAUUAUCUUCUGCAAAUGGUUCAUUAGACCUCUUAGUUGUAGUCAAAUGUCCACUAAGGACAGCAAGAAGCUAUGCCACUGUAGCAUGGUAAUGAUGGCCCUCAAUAAGUGAGUUGGUAGGAUGUGAAGCAGAAAAAUUAAUUAAUGUCUCCCUGGCUAUGCCAGCUCAUAAGUUAGGGUUAAUAUUAGAGCUUGAGUAACUAUAACCUUGAGAAGCUAUUGACUGCAAAUUAAAAUAUCCAUUAAAAUGUUUAGGGAGUUAUGAAGGUGGAAGUAUCUUCCAAUUUCUAAGGCCAUAUUGUAGACAUCAUCCAGGAUCCUAUUAAAGUGCAGUUAGCCUCCUGCUUGAUGCUAAUGUCAAACAAUUAAUAAAUUUGGUCAAUGUAACUGAAACUUGCUAACUGACAUCAGAUUGCAACUUAAAAUGGGAUAGAUGAUUAGUAGCACUGAAUUCUUCUUGCCUAAGAUUGAGCAAUUGUUCUAACUACUAUCUCCUAUUGUAGGUUGAUUAUUAUGUUCUAAUUAGGUCCAUUUUGACCCAAAAAAUUACAUAAUCUUGAUCUGCAUAUUGUCACUGAACAGUGUCAAUAUCGUUCACCAACUAACUUGAGUUUGAUAUAACAAACACACGGUGUGUCUCUCAUGUCUCACCAUGAUGGAGAAUUUUUCUAAUGCAUGAAGUAAGCUUCGAUAUGUGGGUUAGCUUGGAGAAGAUAUCUCAAAAUGAAGAAUAUGGGGAGUUAAUGGGAAGAAACAGUUCAUUAGUUGAUAAUUCUGUCAUCGAGCUGUAUCUCUAACAUGGUCAAAUUUUAUGUGAAUAAGGACAGGGAAUCUUCAUUCCUCUUUUCCUUUCUAUACCCAGAUAUCUCUCAACCUUUAUAUGUUGCCCACUGGAGAUCUGCUUCUAAUAACUAAAAUAAAAAUUUCAUCCACUCAAUAAAUGCUGACCAACCUUUCACAAGAAAAAGUAACAUCUUUAGUGAAGUAAUUUACAGUUCCUUAUCAUCUUCGUGUGAGUCUAUCAGUAUGAUCCAAAAACAUAAUACAUCUUGUUAGAUCUUGUUUAUUGAUGUUUAAAUGUUGUUCAUUGUGAAAUGUAGAAAUGAUGACGUGAAGUUUCUUUGGUCAUCAGUUAGUGAGAUCUUGUCUGAAGUUGUUUUCUGAAAUGAACUGCCAAAUGGUAGUUUUUUUUUUUGGGUGCAUUUGAUGGCUCUUUUCUCCUCAUUUUAAGUGGGUGCCUGCUUGGAAUGGGAAGGAAUAGGCUUCAGAGUUGUUAUAUAUGUUGACAUGCUCUAGUCUUUACACAAUAUGUUCAAAUUGGAAAUUAGAAUGAGAUAUUUGUCGAUGCUUUUUGAGAGAUCUGCAUUCUAAGCACCAUAACAUGAUUAAUGAAAACGGGUUUAAAGACUGGAAAGAUCUGUGGCGGCCCGAGCUUGCAGGAAGGAUUUCAAUGGUUAAUUCUCUCAGAGAGGUUAUUGGUACAGUUUUGAAGUAUAUGGGAGCAUCAUACAAUUGAAACGACAUUGAUUAGCAAGUUGCUGCUGGGAGGAUUGCUGUUCAGCAGAAUCUGGCAUUACUGGGAAACCAGGUACUCUUAACGAAACGAUAUCUGGUCAAUGCAUAUUAUUGCCUGACAGCUGAUUUUGUUUGUAAAGUCUGCCUUUUCAUACAUAUGAAUGCAUAUGUUAGUGUUUUACGAAUGCAUAUGUUGGUUUUAUUUUCUGAGAUGGAUGCAAAUAAAGGCUUUUUCUUCUAAAUUUAGCUGAAGAAAUGGCAAGGAAUGUGAGAUUAUAUCUCAUUAAAUUAUCAAAACCCAAAACAAUGAAAACUCAUAUUAAUGUGAUGUGGAUAAAUUGGCAACAUUUGGCUUGUUUCCUCCACGCGAAUUAGCAAGCAAUAGAGACUAAAAAAAUGGAGUGAUAAUAACAAGUCAUUGUCGUUUGAUGAAUGCAUUUUUAAGCAAAAAUAGGAUUGUAACUGAACAAAUUUUUCUGGCAUGCCAAUUUCAAAAAAUUAAAUUAUGUGGUUAUUAGUAAUGAAGGGGAAUUGUAGGUGCAAUCAGGUCAAUCCAGUAAAGUUCAACAAAGUUCUGGUUUGGUGUAGUGAAAUUGGUUUAUGCAACUUGAGUCUUUCAGAUGAACAAUGAUGAGUUUUCAUUUAAAAAUGUUAUAAAUCUGCUGUGCAUAGUAUUCUAGUGGAAUCAUCUAUAAAUUCAAGUUAUUGAAAUUGUCUAUUUUGUCUGGUCUGAGUUAAGGAGGCAUGUAAUUUAUGAAAAAUAGUUGUCGAAUAUUGUAGGUUACCUAACAUUUGAUCAAUCCUGUGGUGAGGGCUUUAAGAUGUCUAACAGCAUGUAGAAUGCCCCUGCUCCCCUCACAUUGUUUAUCUUAUACAAUAAUCCAUUAUAGAUGCUAAUAUCUUUGUCAAUACCUAAAACAGUAUUACAAAAUCUGAGUUUAUUGGGUUUUAUAUAGGUUCAACUGUUUGACAGUACACACUAUCUGAAGGCAUUUGGAAUUGGAGAUGUCUGGGUUGCUGUUGGGUGGAGUAGCGAUGUUCUUCCUGCUGUCAAACGUAUGUCUAAUGUUGCAGUUGUUGUUCCCAAGUCAGGUGCUAGCUUAUGGGCUGAUCUUUGGGUAUGCCCAUGCUUACCAUUCUACUUUGAUAUUCACUUUGUUAUCUCCAUCAUAGUAAUGAUCAGUAAAUACGAGAAUGUGUGACUGAUAAGUUUGUAUUCUCUUUUUAGGCAAUCCCUGCUGCGUCAAGACUUGAAACAAACCAAAUUGGAGGGUGAGUCAGAGGUCCAUCUCCAUUAAUCCAUCAAUGGAUAGUGUUCUGCUUGCAAACAGCAAGAGCAUUGCCUUUCAAACAAGAGGUUAUCCCUGGCGUACUGAGAUGGCUAAAGUUCUUGAAGUUUUGUUAGAAAUGAAAGAUGAGUGGUUGUUUGAAUAAAGUUGUGGCCAAUCUCGCAAAGGUUAAAAAGGAACAUCACGGAGCUAAUGCCACCGAUUUCUUCAUCAUUGUAGCCUCUAUAGUUGAAGUUUCCUCAUUUGAAGCUCUUUAUGCAUUAUCCCUGCUCAAGUACAAUUGAAGAACUAACCAGAUGUGAUAUGCUGAAAGAGGGAAGUUUUCUUCCUUGAAUGUGGCCUUGUGAUUUGUCAGGGAAUAGGAUGAUCACUAGCAAGAACCCUGUCAAGGUAGAUUUUAUGAUAUUAACAUAUUAUUAAGCAUUUGCCACUUUAGCAACGAUACAUUCAUAGCGUGAAAGUGUUCAAAUUUAACCUAAUGAUCCUGAUUAAUCAAUUAAUUUUCAUGAGUUGUAACCGGAGUUAAAGCUAAGUACAAUCAUCGUUAACAAAGACUGAAAUUUUGGGUAAAUAUGAUCUUAUAUUGAAUCAUUUGAUGACACAACUCACAUUGGAAAUUACUUAUUGCGUGGGGAUGGCGAUGUUUACUGUUGUAUUGCGAUAUAAAAUAUGUGCAAGGUAUUGUCGACUGCUUUUUGGGUUAUGGUGUGAUAGCUGCUGAUUAGUGAUAAAACAAGAAAAAUUAAUUAAACUCAGGCCUACAUGCUAAAUGUGUAUGUUAUCCUAACUUUCACUACAAGAAAAUGUCCUUAACCUGACCGUGUUAGAUGAUUGUAAGUAGCAGUGUUCGUACAAGUUUUUUUUCCUUCAUGGUAUUUACAAUUUCUUAGGAACAUCUAAAAUCUGAAAAUCCUCAUUUACUAAAAAUUAAGUUAUCAUUUACUGGCUGGCAACUUAAAGAUAAGAAUAAAUUCAAGAGCUCAUCAACCAAGUAGAGUUUUCUCAAUAGACGCCGUAGUUAAUUUCUCUCUUCAAUCUUGAUUAUGAAUGAUUGUUUUGUUGCUUUUUAAAGCGCUUUUAAAGUUUUAUUUUGCUCAUGUCUGAUAUUUAAUUACCUGAAGAAGCCUGAUGAUUUCUUGAUAUGAUUGCUCUGCCAAGCUAUCUAAGAAAUAGCUAUAGAAAUCCCUUCAUUACAUUAGAUAAUCUUCAUUAUCUGUGCAAUUUGGUGUUUUGUCUUUGAAGCCAGCCGUUUGCUUUUGAUAGAUUCCAUCUCGUAUUUAUUCCUUUUCUAUAGAUUUUGCAGGAUUGAAGCUAUAUUUCUUCUCUGUAUAUGUGAUUGAUAUUAAGAGUAUGUUUUUGUGUUGUCUCUGUUUUUUCUAUUUGAUCUAGAUUUAAUACCUGAAAGGUUACUAACAAAUUAUCUUAGGUCAAAUUCUCUUUUACGAGACUUUUUUUGCUAAAUUCUUGGAAUUAUAUAAUUAACUAAAUCUUUAGUACAAGGAGGAGUUUGCCCCUAACUUUGCUUUCUUUCUAUAAUCGCAUUAAUAAUCAAUCCCCUGCAUGUUGGUCGCAUUAAUAACCAAAUGUGCCUUUGACAUGCAACUAUACAAUCACAAACCAUCAUAGGCCAAGAUUGGUUCAAAUGCUUAAGUCACAAAUGGAAGGUAACAUCUUUGUCUUUGACCCGAUAAUUUUUAUUGUCUUACAUUGAAAUUUGGUAAUGUAAUUUGUUCUCUAUCUGUAUUACCCUUUGUAGUCGUUUUAUUUAUUUGUUUAUUUAUUUGCUUUUAUUUGCACUAACGAAGUCUCAGGUAUAUCUACGCUGGAAUGAUGCAGGAGAAAUUGAUCCUCGAGGUGCAAUAUGGGCGGCACCAUACAGGUGGGGCACAAUGGUGAUAGCCUACAAGAGAAGUAAAUUUCAAAAGCAUAAUUUGGCUCCGAUUGAGGUAAUAAUUGUCUUUAAACUCAUUUAGUUUUAGUCAAAUGUACACUAAGAACAAUUAGAAGCUAUGCCACUGUAGCAUGUAGUGAUGGCCCUUAAUAAGUGAGUUGCUAGGAUGUGAACUAGAAAAAUUAAAUAUUGUUUCCUUGGGUAUACUAGCUCGUAAGUCAGGGUAAAUAUUAGAACGUAAGAUACUAUAACCAUGGGAAGCUAUUGACAGCCAAUUAAAAUAUCCUUUAAAAUGUCUAGGAAGUUAUGAAGGUGGAGGUAUCGUCCGAUUUCUAAGGCCACAUGGUAGACAUCAUCUAGGAUCCUAGGAAAAUGCAGUUAAACUCCUGCUCAAUGCAAUUAAUAAAUUUGGUCAUUGCCACUGAAACCUGCUAACUAACGUUACAAUGCGACAUGAGCACUUCAAAAUGGGACAGACGGUCAGUAGCACUAAAUUUUUCUUGCCUAAGAUUGAGCAAUUGGCUAACUACUAACCCCUAUUGUAGAUUGAUCAUUAUUUUUUCAAUUUUGUUCAGUUUGACCCAAAAAGUUACAGAAUCUUGAUCUGAAUAUUGUCACUGAACACUGUCAAUGUCGUUUAGCAUAGCCAACUAACUUGAGUUUGGUAAAACAAACACACAGUGUGUCUCAUGUCUCACAAUUCAAAUUAUCAUCUGUAAUGAUGGGGAAUUUUUCCAAUGUAUAAAGUAUGCUUUGAUACGUGGGUUAACUUGGAGAAGAUAUCUCAAAAUAACGAAUAUGGGGAGAAAACAGUUCAGUAGUUUAUUAUUCUGUAGUCAAGUUUUGUCUCAAAAAUGGUCAAAAUUUAAAUGAAUAAGGACAGGGGAUCUUCAUUCUUUUUUCUCUUUUUAUACCAAGAUAUCUCUCAACCUUUAUAUAAUCCCCACUGGAUAUCUGCUUUUAAUAAUUAAAAUAAAAAUUUCACCCCCACAAAUAAAUACUGACCAAGCUCUAACAAUAAAAAGUAACGUCUUUAGUCAAGUAAUUUACAGUUCCUCAUCAUCUUAGUGUGAGACUAUCAGUACGUUCCAAAAACAUAAUAAAACUGGUUUGAUCCUGUUUAUUGAUUUUUAAAUGUUGUUCAUUGUGACAUGUAGAAAUGAUGAGGCGAAGUUUAUUUGGUCAUCAAUUAGUAAGAUCUUGCUUGAAGCUGUUUUACGAAAUGAACUUGCCAAGUGGUAGUUUUUUGGGGGCAUUUGAUGGCUCUUUUUUCCUCAUUUUAAACAUGUGCCUCCGUGGAACGGGAAGGAUUAGGCUGCAGAGUUGUUAGAUAUUUUGACAUGCUCUGGUCAUUGCACAAUUUGUUCACACUGGAAAUUAGAAUGAGAAAUUUGUUGAUGCUGUUCUGAGAGAUCUGCAUUCUAUGCACAAAAACAUGACUAAUGAAAAUGGAUUGUAGGACUGGAAAGAUCUGUGGCAGCUUGAGCUCGCAGGAAGAAUUUCAAUGGUUAAUUCUCCCCGAGAGGUUAUUGGUUUGGUUUUGAAGUAUAUGGGAGCAUCAUACAAUUCAAAUGAUAUUGAUUCGCAAGUUGCUGGUGGGAAGAUUGCUGUUCAGCAGAAUCUGGCAUUACUGGCAAGCCAGGUACUCUUAAAGAAGUGCUAUCUGGUCAUUGCAUGUUAUUGCCUGACAACUGAUUUUGUUUGUAAAAGUCUGCUUCUUCAUACAUAUGGAUGCAUAUGUUAGUGUUUUCUUCUCCUUUUCAUACAUAUGAAUGCAUAUGUUAGUGUUGUCUUUUCCUUUUCAUACAUAUUAAUACAUAUGUUGGUGUUCUCUCCUGAGAUGGACGCAAUAAAGGCUUUUGCUCCUAAAUUUAGGUGAAGAAAUGGUAAGGGAUGUGAGAUUCUGUCUCAUUAAAUUAACAAAACCCCAAAACAAUGAAAACCCAUAAUAAUGUGGUGUGGGUAAAUUGGCGCCAUUUGGUUCGUUUCCUUAAUGUGAAUACACGAGCAAUAGAGACUAACAAAUUGAAGUGACAAGAACAAGUCACUGUCCUUUGAUGGAUGCAGUUUUAGGCAGAAAUAGGUUUGUAAUUGACCAAAUUUGCCUGGCAUGCCAAUAUCAAAAAAAUUAAAUUAUGUGGUUAUUAGCUGUAAUGAAGGGGGAUAGUAGGUGCAAUCAGGUGGAUCCAGGAAAGUUCAACAAAGUUCUGGAAUUGCGUAGUGAAAUUGGUUUGUGCAACUCAAGAGUCUUUCAGGUGAACAAUGAUGGGUUUUGAUUUAUAAAUGUUAUAAAUCUACUGUGCAUAGUAUUCUAGUAGAAUCAUCUAUAAGUUCUAGUUAUUGAAGUUGUCUACUUUGUCCAGUUUGGUCAAUUACCUAACAUUUGAUCAAUCCUAUUAUGAGGGCUUCAAGAUGUCUAACAAUAUGUGGGAUGCCCAUGCUCCUCCCCAUUGUUUAUCUUAUACAAUAAUUUGUUUUCGAUGCUAGUAUCUCUUUCGAUACCGGUAACAAUAUUACAAUAUCUGUGUUUAUUGGGUUUUACAUAGGUUCGAAUGUUUGACAGUACACACUAUCUGAAGGCAUUUGGAAUUGGAGAUGUAUGGGUUGCUGUUGGGUGGAGUAGUGAUGUUCUUGCUGCUGUCAAACGAAUGUCUAAUGUUGCAGUUGUUGUUCCCAAGACUGGUGCUAGCUUAUGGGCCGAUCUUUGGGUAUACCCAUGCCUGCCAUUCUACUUCGAUAUUCACAUUGUUAUCUCCUUCAUAUUAGCGAUCAGUAAACACAAUAAUGUGAGAAAUAAGUUUGUAUUCUCUUUAUAGGCAAUCCCUGCUGCCUCAAGACUUGAAACAAAACAAAUUGGAGGGCGAGUCAGAGGUCCAUCUCCAUUAAUCCAUCAAUGGAUAGAGUUCUGCUUGCAAAUAGCGAGAGCAUUGCCUUUCAAGCAAGAGGUUAUCCCAGGCGCAUCUCCCUCUGCUCUUGAAAGUACUCUGGUUAAGUUGCCUGAAGAACUUCUGAAGGGUAAACCAAGUCUGGAUACUAACUUAAUUUCUGGAGUACCCCGGGCUGAAAUUCUGGCCAGAUGUGAGUUUUUGGAGCCAUUAUCUGAAGCUACUUUGUCAGAUUAUGAGUGGCUGGUUGGUAAUCUGCAAAAAACCUGCUCCUGUCUUGGUGAAAAGGGGGCAAAAUUACUUGUCAUCAUUAAUCCAAAGCUUUCUAGCAAAAGCUGCAUUGAAACGUUAAUGGCACUGCAUGCCAGUCAUUAUAAUGCAGUCAGGGCAAUUGGGUCAGGGCAAUUAGGUCAGGGCAUAACUUCAUCAGGAAAAGAGGCUUCAGCUACGUUAAAUAUUACAGUAUGUACUAAGAUGGCUGAAGUUCUUGAGGUUUUAGGAGAAACGAAAGAUGAGUCUUUGUUUGAACAAAGUUGUUGCCAAUCUUUCAGAGUUCGAGAAGAAAGAUCACGGAGCGAUGCCGCUGAUUUCUUCAUCAUUGUAGCCUCCAUAGUUGAAGUUUCCUCAUUUGAAGCUGUUUAUGCAUAUGCUUUUUCCCUGCUCAAGUACAGGAAAUUGGAGAAUUAACCAGCUGUGAUAUGCUGAAAAAGGGAAGUUUUCUUACGUGAAUGUGGCCUUGUGAUUUGUCUUGAAGGAAUAGGAUGAUCACUGGCAAGAACCCUAUGAAGGUAGAUUUUAUGAUGUUAACAUAUUAGUAAGCAUUUUGUUACAUCAGCGAUGAUGCUUUCAUUGCAUGAAAGUGUCUAAAUUUAACUGAAUGAUCUUGAUUAAUCAAUUAUGAGUUUUAAUCGAGUAAAAACUAAAUUCAAUCAUCGUUAACAAAUACUGAAAUUGGGUAAAUAUGAUCUUGAUAUUGAGGAAUUUGAAAUCACAACCCGCACAGGAAAUCACCCUUCGCGGGGGGAUGGAGAUGUUUACUGCAGCGAUAAUGAAUAUGUGCAAGGUGUUGUCCACUGCUCUUUGGGUUAUGGUGUGACUUGCGAUUUCAAGGUUGCCCUGAAACAAUGGAAAAUAUUAACAUAUCCUCCAAUGAAUAAAAACGGCUGGACUAAUUCAAAUUACUCAGCAUCAGGUGGCAAUAAUAACAGUCCAUUUACUUUUCCAGGAUCAGAUGUUGAUAAUAAUAGUUUAUUAAAUGACAAAUCAUUGUUCUUGGGGGUUAGUUGUAUACGUCCUUACUACUUCAAGGAGAAGAAAAAGGUUGUGCAGGUGAUUUCAGAAAUAAAAUACAUUCUGAGAGAUGAUGGUCCACUACUGCAUGCCCCCCAGAUUUAAGAAUCAUCACUUUUCCUUUAAAAAACUGCUACGCUUUGAUUUUAGUGCUGAAUAUUUAUUGAACUCUGAUAGAAGGAGUUUGAAGUCAAACUCGUAAUUACAGGUUAUCUAAUUGCUGAGUUGUUGUCCAUAGCUGCUGAUUUGUAGUGAUUAUCUAAUUGACUGAGGUAACAACAAUUUUUUUUUUUUAAUUUUCAAUAGCACAAUGUCGAAUUCAAUAAUUAAAUUCUCCUAUUUAAUUUGUUUCAAGUUAAAUUAUUAAUUACUUAAACUAUGUUUUAAGUCUUUAAUUUUAUGUCUUGGCGUAUAUGCAGAAUUGGAUUCUUGAGCGUGUUGGACACGACCAACAAUGAAAUUGACAGUAAACAAACAUUACAACGUGUGGACUCCGGUAGCUGCCCUACAAGUCUACAACUUCACAAAUAAUAAUUGAGUAAGCACCUUUGAUUCUCGUAACCCUUCAAUGAAUUUCUAGCCCCAUUGACUCCACUAACAAAAGUUUUGUAAAAUAAAAAAAAUACAUAAAAUUCCACCAAAUACAAAACGCGUGGAAUUUAAUUUUCGGCCGUGUGGACCAAAACAUAAUUUAACGAAAAAAGAAAAAAAUGAUAAGAUUUCUAAAAUGUGUGGAAGGUGAUUCAUAUUUUACUGAAACGACUUGUUAAAUUUUUCAAGGAUUUAGAAUAUUUGGUCGUAAAUUAGGUGCAUGUUAAUUUUUCCGCCAUUGACUAUCAUAUUCUAAACUUAAUGGUACCUUUCUUGAUGAAGGGUACUUAGUCUCCCUUCUCCUCUUAUAAAAAUUAUAUUAAUUGAUUUCUUAUUAUAGUUAAUAGUCUUUAAGAACGGAUAGCUUUAUUGUUUUCAUAACCAAAUUAUGCCUGCCUAAGAUUGCGACUAUUAAUAAAAUUAAUAUUCAAUGUUUAUGUUAAAAGAUAUAAGAUUAAUUUAUGCGUUCAUUAAUUGUUAUUAGCUAAAGGAUGAAUUAUUUUUUCAACCCAAUCAGUUGAUGCAUCUGCAAGAGUUUUUUCUUUUAGUGACCAUAAUUAUAUUCCGGGUACAAUAAAUUGUCUUUGGUGCUUGGAAAAUAUGACUUCUUACUUCAAGUUUUUGAUAUGUCUCUCUCCAUAAACUUACUGGAAAUAUAUCCUCAUCUACUGUCAUUUAUCUAAUAUCAAUUGAAAAUCUCACUUUUCCAAACUAUCACUUCCAAGUCUAAUUGUCACUUGCCAUUCUUGGACCAUUCAAAACCAAUCAAGUGUUGAAAUAAUCAAAUAUAUGCAAAAUUAGAGUCACGAUUUUUGGUCCCCCAAAUUCUAAUUAUAUAACUUCUAUGUAUCUCAUUGUCAGGUCACGAACUUGUUGGCACAUUUUCCAAAUUCCUCUUCCAUCAGCUCUCACAUGUUAACUUGAGUGUAAAGUUUCCAAGUUGAUUGCUAGAAAGCAACGCAAAAUCAGACACACUUGACCCGUCCCAUAAUUAUCUUUUCUACGUUGAAAAAGAAAAAAAAAAAGAAAAAAGAAAAUAUAUCUAUGUAAAAAUAAAUAAUAAAUUGAGUAAAAGCACAUUUGUUUAAUUAACAUCUGAUCGGGGCAUUUUUGGUGUAAUUUAGUGCUGUGUAACCCACAACUAAAAUCAAACAGCCCCUUAGCAUACUUCUUCCAUUUUAUCUGCUACUUUUGUGGAUCUGAUAGGGUGGGCAUGUGGACAGAAUUUAAAAGUUUUAAUAGUCUCAAAGAAUAAGAUAUGUUAAAGCUAAAGUUGUUGCACCUUCUUAUUAAAUAAAGUUGCACAAUUUCACCAACUUGGAAGAAUUGACAUCAAUGGACUGGUCCCUCUCCAUAUAUGAAGCCUUCUUAAAAGUAAUUUUUAUUUCAGAAAAAAAAGUUUAAGUUACAUAUAUUACAGUAAGAUUUUUUGAGACCAAAUCCCUUCAAAUAAUAAUGGAAAAGUAUUAAUUUAAAAACAAAAUGAAUAUGUAUUGAUUAUAUCCGGAUUUUCAUAGAUUAUAGUGAGAGUUUCUCCAAAUCAAUUCCCUUAUUCAAAUAAUACAGAAAAAAUAGUAAUUUAAUAGUAAAAUAAACAGGUGUUGAUUGUAUAUCCUUAGUUUCAUCGAUUAUGUGAUCAAAGUGGCAUUGAUGAUUUAUUUCUUGUUCAAUGUUAAUUUUUAGGUUAUCUAAAUUUUAAGGAUUUAAAAUCUUUGGUCAUGGAUUGCAUGCUUGUCAAUUUUUCUGUCAUUGACUGUCAUAUUCUAGACUUAAUGGUACCUUUCUUGAUCAAGGGUAAUUAUUCUCUCUCCUCCUCUUAUAAAUUCCUCUUCCAUUAACAUCACUAGGAGUUUGUUGAUCUCUAAGACGUUAACUUGAGUGGAGAGUUUCCAAAUUGAUCGUUACAAAACAGUACAAAAACUAGACACACUUGAUCUGUCUAAUAAUUCUCUUUUGGUAAAAUUAAUUAAUUUUAGGAGAAUAUUCGGCCAACCUCUAUAAUUUCAGAUUGAUCACUAAUUAAUUAAACGAUACAAAUUGCUAAAGUGAUUAGAUGUUUGCUGACAAUACAAGUUCAUGGUUUGAAAUUUGAUCUCUAUCGAUUGGUUUACAAUGGACGUACUUGUGCCUUUGUGGCGAUAAUUGAACCAGAGAUGUGAAGCUGUAAAGAUUUGGCAGUAGUAAAUUGUUAUAAAGACAUAAUGACAAGUUCCCAUGAUUAUUAUUUUUUCCAAAAACUUUUUUACAACAAAUUCAUCUCGCCCAAAAAUUCUAUUUUUCUAACCAACAAUAAUUGAGUACUUGGCCGUAUUGACUCCACGUCUCCACCUGCUUUCUAAGUAAAAACAUGGAAAUGUACUUUCCACAAAAUGCCAAAUGUGUGGAAUUUAAUUUUUGGUCUUGUGGACCAAAAUACAAAUGAAAGAAAGAAGAAAAAAAAGGCCCAAAGACUUCUAAAAGGUGUAGAAGUCUUUGGACCUUUUUACAAUAGUGGAUUUUUUAAAAGGAAAAAAUAACAACACUUUUAUGAUUUGUUUUGAUAAUCAUAUUUACAUAUACUCUCUAAUUUUCAAAAUGGACACAUAAUUUUUUUUUUUACAAAUAUACGUUAUUCGUAUUUUUUAUUAUUUUUAUUAUCGUAUUUUUAUUUAUUAUAAAUAUUUAAAGUAAAUUUUUAGGUUGAAAUAUAUUAAAAGGAUAUAAUCGUUCUCUUAUUAAACACACAUACUUUUAGUUUCUAUCCAUUUGUCAUCUCAAUCUCUCUCAAUUAUUGUUUAUUGCUAGCUCAAAGCGCGUUGCUGUGGAAAAUUGUAGCAAAAUGAAAAAUUGGAAAGAAAGGGAAGAAGAUUAAUGGGUGAAAGAAUUGGAGAAAACAACCAAAUAAGUCAACUGCUCUUUAGUGAGAACAUUUUACAAAAGGAUUGGAUCGAGUUUUUGUUUGAUAUUGAAGGACCUGCGUCCCUGUCGCGAUGUAGAAUAUGUGCAAGGAGUUGUCUACUGCUCUUUAGGCCAUAAUAAUGUGACUGGUGCAUUCCACGUUGCCCUCAAACAGUGGUCUGAAGUCAAAAGCAAUUAGUUACAUAACAAAUCAUUGUUCUUGGGUUAUACCUCGUCAUGUCUUCAAGUGCGAAGAUGAAGAUUAUGCAAGUGAAUUCAGGAAUACAAUACAUCAUUUCCAGCUCUUUGGGUUAUGGUGUGACUUGCGAUUCCCUCCAAUGAAUGAAAACGGGUGGACUAAUUCUGAUUACCUAAUUGACUCAGGAUCGGCUGGCAAUAAUAACAGUUUAUGAACAAUGCACAGUCCUAGUACUUUUCCAGGAUCUGAUACGACGUUGUCUAAUGUUGAUAAUAAUAGUUUAUUAAAUGACAAAUCAUUGAUCUUGGGUGUUGAUUUCAGAAAUAAAAUACAUUCUGAGAGAUGCUGGUCUACUGUUGCAAGCCCCCAGAUUUAAGAAUCUUCUGAUGAUAAUUUAUCACCUGCAACCGUGCCGGAAGAUUCAACUAGCACUGAAAAAGAUGAUAAUUUAAUUGAUAUGGACAGUUUCCAUAUCACUUUUAAAUCAUCCUAUGUAAUUGUGAUGUUAGGAAGCAUUAGUGAUCUAUAUGUGAACUAUUAUUGGUGCCAUUGGUGGUUUUAUCUUGUUAAAAUAUGGAUGACUUCCAGUUACUAUUUUGUAGUAUACAAUUUUAUUCAAUUAACAUAUAGCUUAAAACCAUUAUGUAUGUGCUUUAUUAAGAUUCUCAAGUACCAAUCACGUUUGCUUAAGAAAUAAAAUUUUACCAUUAAAAGCGUAGUAAUAUUUCCAAGCGCUUCGCAUUUAUCUCAACAUUUUGAAGGAAUUUUGAGAAAUACACGUGUCCAAAAGUCUAGUCAUCAUCCUUAUUUUUCUAUCGUUCUUUUGGGUUUGCAGUUGGUGGUGCUUUCAAUGUUUCCCUGAAACAUAGCAAAAGAAGGUACAUAUUCUUGGUAUGAGUUAGAUUUUUAGUGAUUAUCUAAUUGACUGGGGUGACAACAGUAGCACAACGUAGAAUUCAAUAAUAAAAUUCUCCUGUUUAAUUUGUUUUAAGUUAAAUAAUUAAUUACUUAAAACUCUGUUUUAAGUCUUUAAUUUUAUGUCUUGGCGUUUAUGCAGAGUUGGAUUCUUGAGUGAGUUGGACAUGACCUACAAUGAGAAUGACAGUAAACAAACAUUAAAACGUGUGGACUCCGGUGGCUGCCCUGCAAGUCUACAACUCUACAAGAAUAAUUUCUAGUCCCGUUGACUCCACUAACUAAAGUUUUUUAAAAUUUAAAAAGGUACAUAGAAUUCCAUGACAAGCAAAACGUGUGGAAUUUAAUUUUUUGCCGUGUGGAAAAAAAUACAAUUUAGCAAAAAAGGACAAGAAAAAUGGUAAGAUUUCUAAAAUGAGUGGAAGGUGAUCCAUAUUUUACUGAAACGACUUGUUCCGAACAUCACGACGUGAUUUUUUUUAUUUUUUAUUUUUGAAUAACAUCAACUUCCAUAUCUGUCUAACCCCCAGAAUAUGCUCACGUUCAAGUCUAUCUUGCUAAUUUAAAAAAAGAAAAUCAAAUCAACAUCUUCAGGAAGAUUUUCCUCAAUUUGCUCCAGAAGAGUUGGAGCUGUGGUUCUGAUAAACCAAAGAAUUAGUAGCAAUAUUAAUAUUGCCCACCCAAGAAAUAUGAGUGAAUUAAAGUAUUGACAAGACUUCGCUCAGAGGAGCAUUUAAACCACUUCCUUAUCAGUUGCGGCAGCCGUCUAUUAACUAAAACGCCAAUCUAAUACAAGAAGAAAGAACAUUUACAGACUUGGCAAUUGAGUUUAUUAAGAAGUAGCAUCGCAUUCGGGUGAUGAGUUUCCUUUUGUUAAUAAUUUUAGUCUAAUUUCAAUUGUACUGUGAUGGCUUCUCAAGGUAAGUGAAAGUUACAGAUGUGGCAAAAUAAAUAAUUAAAUUAACAAAAUGCUAACUGAUUUUCCUAAACACCUAGGGUUGUACAAUUUCACCAACCUGGAAGAAUUGACAUUAAUGGACUGGUCUCCUCCCCAUAUAAUUAUAAUCCUUCUAGAAAGCUAAUUUUUAUAAUUUCAAUUAAAAAAUGUUUUAAGUUAUAUAUACUCUAAUGAGAUUCUGAAUUCCUUUAUUCCAAUAAUAAUGAAAACGUAUUAAAUUAGAAAUGAAAAAAUGGGUGUUGAUGAUUCAUCCUGAUUUGGAUAGAUUACGUGAAUAAAAUUGAAAUUUUAAUAAAAAAACAAGGAAAGGUUUUUCCGAGUCAUCCAUUAUUUGAUUACCGUCAAUCAAGAAAACGACCAAAUUAAUUUCUCUCCAAAAUUUCCAAAAGCUAGAAAAUUUUGUUAUUUGAAAAUAACAUCAUUAAUUAUAGAGUGGAUCAAACCGCGUUAUUGUCUUUCAUAAAAUUGAUGUCUUUUUAAGAGUCAAUACUUUUUAUUUACGCAAACCAGUCGACAUCAACUUAAACUUCCAUAUUUUUAUUAUUAUGUUAUUGAUUUUAAUCCCUGAUUAUUUGAUUAGCCACUAUAUAUAUCAAGAAAGCGACAAAAUUUAUUUCUCAUGACUUUCAAAAACUAGAAAACAACAUCAUUUAUUAUUUUUUUGCAACCCUAAUUGACAUCAACUUUAACUUUAUUAUGUUAUUAUUUCAAUCCCCCAUUAUGACCUUUCUAAUCCUCCAUUAUGCAUCUUUUAUAGUGCAAAUUUAAUUGCACAUCUAAAUAAAUUGAUUAUUGUCACUCCACCACCAAUAUUUCAAAUAGUCACUAUACCAUUUCUGCCUUUAAUUUUCCCUUAAGUUUAACUAUUGACUGUUUUUAGCAUCUUAAAAUAUACAUUUAUUCCUUGAUUAUGUGAUAAAAUUAUGAAAAUAUCCAUUUUAGCUUAAAUUAAUUGGAAUAACCAUAAACAUAACUUAAAUUUAUAGAACAAAAUUAUCAAGUGUAUGUUCUAUCUUACUUUUUGAAGAAUUUAACAUAUAUAAUGCUAUACUAUUAAUAAAUUUAUCAUUUAAUAUAUAUUUUCAAAUAUUUUAUAUAUUUAUUAAUUGUUAUAUAGUCAAAGGAUGAAUGAUUUUUCUGGUCUACAUGAGUUGGUGCAUCUGCAAGACUCAAUUUUGACAACAAUGAUCUAAGGGGUAAUUUACCUUGGUGUUUGACAAAUUUAACCUCUCUUCAAGAUUUACUUCCAAUCUACUUACUGUAAAUAUAUCCUCAUCUCCUCUCAUUUAUAUGAUAACCCUUGAAGAUCUCACAUGUUCAAACAAUCAUAUUAGGAUUUUUAUUAUUAGCAUCAUUGUGUCAAUAAUAUAUGUUGCAGUAAGAUUUUUUCAGACCAAUUCCCUUCUUCAAAUAAUAAUGGAAAAGUAUUAAUUUAAAAAUAAAAUGAAUAUGCAUUGAUUAUAUCCUGAUUUUCAUCGAUUAUAGCGAGAGUUUCUCCAAAUCAACGCCCUUAUUCAAAUAAUACAGAAAAAAUAGUAAUUUAAUAGUAAAAUUAACAAGUGUUGAUUAUAUAUCCUAAGUUUCAUCGAUUAUGUGAUCAAAGUGGCAUUGUUGAUUUAUUUCUUGUUCAAUGUUAAUUUUUAGGUUAUCUAAAUUUCAAGGAUUUAAAAUCUUUGUUCAUGGAUUACAAGCUUAUUAAUUUUUUUGCCAUUGACUGUCAUAUUCUAGACUUACUGGUACCUUCCUUGAUCAAGGAUAAUUACUCUCUGUUCUCCUCUUAUAAAUUCCUCUUCCAUUAACAUCACUAGGAGUAUGUUGAUCUCUCAGACGUAAACUUCAGUGGAGAGUUUCCAAAUUGAUUGUUACAAAACAACACAAAAACUAGACACACUUGAUCUGUCUAAUAAUUCUCUUUCGGUAAAAUUAAUUAAUUUUAGGGGAAUAUUCGACAAAUCUAUAUAAUUUUAGAUUGAUCAUUAAUUAAUUAGACGAAAAACGUACUUGUGCUUUGUGCCGACAAUUGAACCAGAGAAGUGAAGCUGUAAAGAUUUGGCAGUAGUAAACUGUUAGAAAGACAUAAAGACAAGUUCCCAUUUUAUAAUUUUUUCAAAAAACGUUUUUACAACACAUGCACCUGGCCAAAAAUUUUAUUUUGCUAACUAACAAUAACUGAGUAGCUGACCGUACUGACUCCGCCUACUUGCUAAAGUAAAAAAAUAGAAAUAGAAUUUCCACAAAAUGUCAAACAUGUAAAAUCUAAUAUUUGGCCGUGUGGAACAAAAUACAAAUGAAAAAAAAAUAGAAAAAAGGCCUAAAGACUUUUAAAAUGUGUGGAAGUCUUUCGGCCCUUUUAUAAUGGUGUGUUUUUCAAAGGAACAAAUAAUAAUAAUGACACUUCUACGGUUUGUUUUGAUAAUCACACAUAUACUCUUUAAUUUGAUAAAUGGUUACACAAAUUUUGUUUACAAAAAUAUAUUAUUCAUGUUCUGUAUUAUUUUUUAACAUCAUAUUUUUAUUUAUUAUAAUUGUUUAAAGUUAAUUGUUAGGUUGAUAUAUAAUAAAAACGUAUAAUCCUUCUCUUACUAAACACACAUACUCGUAGUUUCUGUUCAUUUGUCAUCUCAAUCUCUCUCAUUUAUCCUUUAUUGAUAGCUCAAAAUGCGUCACUGUGGAAAAUUAUAGCAAAACGACAAAUAUGGAAAGAAUGGGAAGAAAAUUAAUGCAUGAAAGAGUUGCAGAAGACAACCAAAUAAGUCAACUAUACGCUAGCUGGGUGUAUAAAUUGUUAGAUGUGUUAUAAACAAAUAGCAUAGAGCCCUUUGGUUGGUUACAGAGAUAGAAAGAGUGUGUGUGUUUUUUAGAACUUAAAGAUACAGUUAGAAUGGGUGGUUCAAAAUCAAAAAUGGUGAUAAUGUUUGUUCUGUUAUUAAUAAUAUUAGAAGGUGGGGGGAGUGAGGGAUGUUUAGAUCAUGAGAGAUUUGCUCUUUUACGACUCAAACUUUUCUUUGAUGAUACUUAUAAUUAUCUUCACGAUUGGAUAGAUGAUGAGGGAGUUACUGAUUGUUGUCAGUGGGAAAGGGUUGAGUGCAGCAACACCACAGGCCGAGUGAUAGCGCUAGACCUUUCUGACACGUAUUCGGGAGAGUACAACUGGUAUAUGAAUGCUUCUUUUUUUACUCCCUUCCAACAACUUGAGUCACUUGAUUUACAUGGCAACAACAUAGCUGGUUGUGUUGAGAAUGAAGGUGCUUCGUCUAAUUCAAUUAAAUUACAUUUCGCUCUCCUAAUUUAAGUCGAAUAUCAAGACUGAGUAGCUAUAUGCAUAUUCAUUCAAUUGACAAUUUUUACAUAUUUUUUAAAAUGUUUAAUUUUGAAAUUACACCAAACAUCAUAUGUGAUCUUUGUUUUGAUUUUACUUGCAGGUCUAGAAAGAUUGAGCAACUUGAAGAGGCUUGAUUUAAGUUUUAACUUGUUCAACAAUAGCAUCUUAUCAUCUGUGGCUCAUCUUUCAUCACUAACAUCAUUAGAUUUAUCUGAAAAUAGAUUGGAAGGAAGUAUUAAUGUUAAAGGUACGUAAUUAAAACGUCAUCGCUUCUCCCAACUCUUGCAUUAACAUGCUAAAAUAAGAUUCAAGGCUUUGAAUUCAUUUUUUUUAUGAGUAAAUAUUAGAAAAAUAGUUUUAAGCAAUUCAUAAAUACAAUUUUCAAUGUUUCUCAUAAUUUCAUCUUGUACUUUUGUAUGUCUUGACUUUAAGAUUAAAAAAAAAAAUUACUCUAACUGUGAAGCAAAUACCCCAUGACUAAUUUAUCAUUUUGUCCAGUUAAAAAUGAUAAAAUUUAUCAUUUGUUUAUAUUGAUUAAUUAACUCUAUUUUAAGUCUUAAGUCUUGGCGUCUUGGCAUGUUUGCAGAAUUUGAUUCCUUGAGCAACUUAGAGGAGUUGGACAUGAGCGACAAUGAAAUAGACAAUUUAGAGGUUCCUCAAGGUAAACAAUUAAAAUAUUAUUCAAUUACAUUAAUUUAAUUCGUUUGAUUAGGGAAGACCCAAAAGGUACAAAAUAUAAUAAUAAUAAUAAUAAUAAUAAAAGAAACAGAGAAUCUAUAUUAUUUCAAAAAAUAAAACGUAAUACUAUUAUUUCAAAAAUAGAUUGUAAUAAAGAUUUGAUUCCGGUUCUUUAAUCUUUACAGCAAUUGAAAAACGAUGUUGCUCUUUUCCUAAAGCAUAAAAUAUGAAAUGACUCCCAAUAGAAUUAAUCAUUUAUUUCGUUUACUCUAAAUUUAAACAAUGAAUCUUGAUUUUCUUCAAUCAUAUCCUUAUUAUUAUUGUUAAACAGGUUACAGAGGUUUGAGGAAGUUGAAAAGCCUCUAUCUAUCGAAAGCUAAAAUUAGAGAUGGAAGCAAGUUGUUACAGUCAAUGGGAUCAUUCCCAUCCCUCAACACUCUUUACCUGAAGGAUAAUAAUUUUACCGAUAUAGCGACAACUACUACUCAAGGUAAGUAAAAGGUACAGAUGUGGCCAAAUUUACAAAUAAAUUGUUAAUUAAUUAAUUUUUCCGUAUUAUUAAUAAAGCUAAAUUCGUCGCUCCUUCCUUCUAAUUCUAAACAGAGUUGGCAAUUUCACCAACUUGGAGUAUUUGACAUUGGACUUGUCCUCGCUCCAUUUAAGCCUUCUACAAUUGCUUGAAGAAAGAAUUUAUUUAUUUAUUUAUUAUUGUUGUUGUUGUUGUUGUUGUUGAAGUGAGGUGGGCAAAGCGUUCACUCAAUUAAUAUGUGGGGAAUUAAUAAUUACAAUCCAAGGUAGAAUUGUGGAAAAUUAAAGCAAAAUGAGAAAUAUGGAAAGAAAGGAAGAAAAUUAAGGGCAUGAAAGACUGGGAGAAGACUAAAGACCACCAAAUAAGUCAACUGAAAACUAGCUGAGAGACAGAGAGUGUGCAUUUUGUUAAUUAAAUAUAUAUAUAUAAAAUGGGUGGUUCAAAAUCCAAAAAUGGUGAUAAUGUUAGUUUUGUUAGUAUUAAUAAUAUUAGAAGGGAGGUGGCGUGAGGGAUGUUUGGUGCAUGAGAGAUUUGGUCUUUCGAGACUUAAAACAUUUCUUCAAUUCUCCUUAUAAUUUUUGUCACGACUGACCGUUGUCAAUGGGAUGGGGCUGGGUGCAGGGUUGAUUUACGUUAGAAUAAUAUAGCCGGUAGUGUUGAGAAUGAAGGUGUUUCAUUUAAUUUAAUUAAUUUAUUUUCUCCCUCCUAAUUUAAGUGGAAUAUCAAGAUUGAACAAUUAUAUGCAUCUUCGUUCAGUUGACAAUUUUGACAUAUUUUUUAAGUGAUUAAUUUUGAAAUUACACCAAACAUUAUUUGUGAUCUCUGUUUUGACUUUACUUGCAGGUCUAGAAAGAUUGAGCAACUUGAAGAGGCUUGAUUUAAGUUAUAACUUGUUCAAUAAUAGCAUCUUGUCAUUUGUUGCUCGUCUUUCAUCAUUAACAUCAUUAGACUUAUCUUACAAUGGAUUGGAAGGAAGUAUUAAUAUUAAAGGUACGUAAUUAAAACGUCAUCGCUUCUCCCAACUCUUGCAUUAACAUGCUAAAAUAAGAUUCAAGGUUUGAAUUCAAUUUUUUUUAUGAGUAAUAUUAGAAAAAUAGUUUUAAGCAAUUCAUAAAUACACUUUUCAAUGUUUCUCAUAAUUUCAUCUUGUACUUUUGUAUGUCUUGACUUUAAGAUUAAAAAAAAAUUACUCUAACUGUGAAGCAACUACCCCAUGACUAAUUUACAAUUUUGUCCAGUUAAAAAUGAUAAAAUUUAUCAUUUGUUUAUAUUGAUUUAUUAACUCUAUUUUAAGUCUUAAGUCUUGGCGUCUUGGCAUGUUUGCAGAAUUUGAUUCCUUGAGCAACUUAGAGGAGUUGGACAUGAGCGGCAAUGAAAUAGACAAUUUCGAGGUUCCUCAAGGUACACAAUUAAAAUAUUAUUUAAUUACAUUAAUUUAAUUCGUUUGAUUAGGGAAGGCCCAAAAUGUACAAAAACAUAAUUAGAAAAAAUAAAGAAACAGAGAAUUCAUAUUAUUUCAAAUAACAAAAGGUAAUACUAUUAUUUCAAAAACAGAUUGUAAUAAAGAUUUGAUUCCAAUUCUUUAAUCUUUACAGUGAUUGAAAAACGAUACUACUUCCCAAAGCAUAAAAUACGAAUUGACUCUCAAUUAAAUUAAUCAUUUAUUUCGUUUAGGUCUAAAUUUAGAAAAAUGAAUUUUGAUUCUCUUGAAUCAUUUCCUAAUUAUUAUUAUUCAACAGGUUACAGAGGUUUGAGGAAGCUGAAAAGCCUGCAUCUAUCGGGAGUUGGAAUUAGAGAUGGAAGCAAGUUGUUACAGUCAAUGGGAUCAUUUCCAUCCCUCAACGCUCUUUACCUGAGCUAUAAUAAUUUUACCGGUACAACGUCAACUACUCAAGGUAAGUAAAAGGUACAGAUGUGGCCAAAUUUAUAAAUAAACUGUUAAUUAAUUAAUUUUCUGUAUUAUUAAUAAAGCUAAAUUUUUUGCUCAUUCCUUCUAAUUCUAAACAGAGUUGCACAAUUUCACCAACUUGGAAUAUUUGACAUUGGACGAUUCCUCUCUCCAUAUAAGCCUUCUGCAAAGCAUUGCAUCAAUAUUCCCUUCGUUGAAAAAACUGUCGAUGUCUUAUUGUGAAGUCAAUGGUGUCGUACAUGGUCAAGGUAAAAGAAAAGUGUUGGUUGUGCACUCACUCAGUGGUGUCCUACGUGUUCAAUAUUUUUAUUUAUUUAUUUUAUUGUUUAAUGAGAUGCUUCCACCCUCCCCUUUAAAUCUAUAAUAUUAAUUUUCGAUAAAUAUAUAAUUAUAGAAACCAAUCACUUAUAAAAGAAUGCUAUGCAUUUGCCAAUUUUUUUAUAUUUUACUGAUUGAUGAAUUAAUAAAUUUUCAGGCCUCUGUUCGUUGGUGCAUCUACAAGAGUUGUACAUUGCAACUCUUGUAGUAAUUAAUUAAUUAAGUAUUAGUUAAUUAAUUAAUUAAUUAAUUUUCUGUAUUAUUAAUAAAGCUAAUUUUUUUGCUCAUUCCUUCUAAUUCUGAACAGAGUUGCACAAUUUCACCAACUUGGAAUAUUUGGCAUUGGACUCUUCCUCUCUCCAUAUAAGCCUUCUGCAAAGCAUUGCAUCAUUAUUCCCUUCAUUAAAAAAUCUGUCGAUGUCUAGUUGUGAAGUCAAUGGUGUCGUACGCAGUCAAGGUAAAAGAAAAGGGUUGAAUGUGAACUCACUCAAUGGUGUCCUACGUGUUCAACAUUUUUAUUUAUUUAUUUUAUUGUUUAAUCUUUCUGCUAGGUUUUCCUCAUUUCAAGAGUUUGGAACAUUUUGACAUGGAUUUCACGCGCAUUGCACUCAACACUAGCUUUAUUGCACUCAACACUAGCUUUCUUCAAAUCAGCAGUGAAUCGAUGCCUUCUCUUAAGUACUUAUCACUAUCAUAUUAUACUCUUGGAACUAAUAGCAGCGGGACUCUUGAUCAAGGUUAACGAGAUGCUCCCACCCUCCCCUCCUAAUCUAUAAUAUUAAUUUUUUAUUUAAUAUAAUGACACAAACGAAUCACUUAUAAAAGAAUGAUAUGCAUUUGUUAAUUUUUUUAUUGUACUGAUGGAUGAAUUAAUAAAUUUUCAGGCCUCUGUUCGUUGGUGCAUCUACAAGAGUUGUACAUUGCAAGCAAUGAUUUAAGAGGUAGCUUGCCUUGGUGCAUGGCAAAUAUGACAUCCCUCAGAAUAUUAGAUGUUUCUUCUAAUCAACUUACUGGAAGCAUCUCCUCAUCUCCCCUCGUUCAUUUGACAUCCAUUGAAGAGCUGAUGCUUUCAAACAAUUACUUCCAGAUCCCAAUUUCACUUGAACCACUUUUCAAUUACUCAAGACUCAAGAUUUUCAAUGCUGAGAACAACGAAAUAAAAGCUGAAAUAACUGAGUCACAUUCUUUGAUCGCCCCAAAAUUCCAAUUAAAUACUCUCUCAUUGUCUUCCAAUUACGGAGACGGUUUCAUAUUCCCCAAAUUCCUUUACCAUCAACAUGACCUGGAGUAUGUUGAUCUCUCACACAUAAAGAUGAAUGGAGAAUUUCCAAAUUGGUUGUUGGAAAACAACACAAAAUUAGAAACUCUUUUUCUGGUUAAUGAUUCUCUUGCAGGACCUUUUCGGUUGCCAAUUCAUUCACACAAGCGGUUAAGACAGUUGGAUGUCUCCAACAACAACAUUCGAGGCCACAUUCCAGUAAAAAUUGGAGAUGUUUUACCAAGUUUAUACGUUUUCAACAAUUCCAUGAAUGCUUUAGACGGUAGCAUUCCCUCUUCAUUUGGUAAUAUGAAAUUCCUCCAAAUUCUGGACUUAUCCAACAAUCACUUGACUGGUGAAAUCCCCGAGCACUUGGCCGUGGGUUGCGUCAACUUGCAGUUUCUUGCAUUAUCAAAUAACAACCUACAAGGUCAUUUGUUCUCUAGAAAUUUUAACUUGACAAACUUGCAAUGGUUACAAUUGGAGGGCAAUCGCUUCGUAGGUGAGAUCCCACAAAGUUUGUCUAAAUGCUCCUCACUAGAAGGAUUGUACCUUAACAAUAAUAGUCUUUUAGGUAAGAUUCCACGAUGGUUGGGUAAUCUGACACGGUUACAAUAUAUUAUAAUGCCCAAUAAUCAUCUUGAAGGCCCUAUUCCAGUGGAGUUUUGCCAGCUUGAUUCGCUUCAGAUUUUGGACAUUUCAGACAACAACAUAUCUGGAAGUUUACCAUCUUGUUUCCAUCCUCUCUCUAUCAAACAAGUUCAUCUUUCAAAAAAUAUGUUACAUGGACAGCUAAAAAGAGGUACAUUCUUUAAUUGCUCUUCCCUUGUGACAUUAGAUCUUAGCUAUAACCGCUUGAAUGGCAGCAUUCCGGAUUGGGUUGAUGGGCUUUCUCAGUUAAGCCACCUUAUCUUAGGUCACAAUAAUCUUGAAGGUGAAGUGUCAGUUCAAUUGUGCGAAUUGAACCAACUACAAUUGUUAGAUCUUUCUAAUAAUAAUCUUCACGGUCCUAUUCCUCCUUGCUUUGAUAACACCACACUUCAUGAAAGUUACAGCAAUAGUUCUAGUCCUGAUGAGCAAUUUGAAAUAUUUUUUUCCAUCGAAGGCCAUCAGGGAUUUUUAGAAAAGCAAAACCAUGAAAUUUUUGAGUUCACAACAAAGAACAUUGCGUACAUUUACCAAGGAAAAGUGCUUAGCCUCCUAUCAGGACUUGAUCUUUCUUGCAACAAGCUAAUUGGUCAUAUUCCUCCUCAAAUUGGAAAUUUGACAAGGAUUCAAACAUUGAAUCUAUCACACAACAACUUGACAGGAUUGAUCCCAUCAACAUUUUCAAACUUGAAGCAUGUCGAAAGUUUGGAUCUUUCCAACAACAAAUUGAAUGGGAAAAUCCCUCAUCAACUAGUGGAGUUAAAGACAUUGGAGGUUUUCAGUGUGGCAUACAAUAACUUAUCAGGCGAAAUUCCAGAAUGGAAAGCACAAUUUGCAACCUUCAACGAGAGUAGCUAUGAGGGAAAUACUUUUCUUUGUGGACUGCCAUUGCCCAUUUGCAGAUCACCAGCAACUAUGCCGGAGGCUUCAAUUGGCAAUGAACAAGAUGAUAAUUUAAUUGAUAUGGACAGUUUCUUUAUCACAUUUACAACAUCGUACGUAAUUGUGAUAUUCGGAAUUGUUAUUGUUUUAUAUGUAAAUUCUUAUUGGCGACGUAGAUGGUUUUACUUUGUUGAAAUGUGGAUAACUUAAUGUUACUAUUUUGUUGUAAACAAUCUUAUUGCAACAAGAUAUUGUCAUUGAAAUUAAUUAGCAGUUUAAUUACGAUUCUUUAAGUUCUAAUCAAGUUUGCUUAGGAAAUAAUUUUUUUUUAUUUUUUUAUUAAAAUUGUAGUAGUAUUUAGCGCUAUAUAGCUUCCAACUUGGUAGAAAGCUCCAUUUUUUGUUGGCUACAGUAAAAGCAUGUUGUUUUAUUCUUCUUAUACUUUACGCCUGCAUCAGCUUAAAUCACUUCUUAAACGCUUGCUUUAACUGCACCGCUUCGUACUGCUCUAUAUAUGUAACGGUUAUGCGGUUGUAGCUCACGGCUCAAGCUACGCGUUUGUUUGACGUGGUAGUUACGUUACGAUGUUUCGAGUCUGUUAAACAUUCGGUGAUAAGAUUAGUUACAACAAACCUACUAGUUUUAUAAAAUUCAAGUGAGAUGGAAUAAAAUAAAAAAUAAAUAUAAAAUUGGCUUUUAUUUUUUAGGUUAACCAUAUUUUGUGUUCUCUUCGGGCACUACUACAAUUGUUCCCUAUACAUCAGUUACACUCACGUAUCAUCGACACGAAAAAUGAAAUCUAAUAUCACCUGUUUAGUUAAAGAAUCACUCAUGAAAAAAAAUUACCAUUUUGAUUUGAAGAUCCAUAUUUUGAACUACCAAUUAAUGUUCAUCAAGAACAGAGUGUGGCCGUUAAGUAGAAAAACUAUUUUUGGACAAAUUAUUAAAUUCCAAUAUUGUAUCCAUAUGCAAACGAUGCCUGAAGCAGAGCCUCCAAACAAUGACCAGGGCACAAAACAAGAGUGUAGUAAUCAAGUGUAUUGUCUCAUAAUCAAUUAAAAGCAGAUAUACAGGAUACCAUAUUCAAUUCCAAAAUAACAAAAGCAUAAUGAGGAUGAGAAGAACAAUGAUCACUCAAAUAUUUCUUCACUUUGGUUGUCAAUUAUCUAUUCAAAUUAAUCAGUGUCAUUAUGGACUUAUUUAUUUAGAAGAGCGGGUGAUAAAUAUAUUCAAUAAUGUGAACAAGAAGUUGAUUAACUUUUAUGAUCAUUUGGAAGGUCGGCGUGUCAUCACUCGUCAAACACAUUGCAUCGAUCCACCAGCAUGAACCGACCGGAUUAUGCCCAAAAGUUGAAAUAUCAAUAAAAAAAACAAUUAAUUAAAGGUCGAAGAUGGGUCCUUUACAUAUGUUUUUGUUUUCGUAUUAGGUAGGAGGUUAUUAUAUUAUAUCAUGUAAUUAAUUUAUUAUUACUCAACACUAAGUAAUAACUUAACUAUAUAAAGACAACAAGAAGAUAAAAUGAUAUAUAAAAAAAAAAAGAAUUUCAAAGAGAUAGCAACAUACAAUAGACUGAAGCCAUUUGAUCUGCUCAUUGAUUUCAGCCUUAAACUUGUAAAUAGUUACUGUCAAAUAUUCUAUUCAUACGAAAAAAAUGUUUAGAUAUCUUACUAUAAAUAUAGCCGUUUGACUGUCUUAAUAAAGUCACACACAACCAUUCUUAUUAAAUUAGCAAGAUCAAACACUGCCCUGGAUCUUGAACAGAUCAACACAAGAUGCACAACUUAUGAUUGAACCCAGAAACAAUCAAAUCUUUAGCAAGAACAAUUAAUCAGAGUCAAGAAACAAGUUUAAUGAAUAUAAACCUAUAAUUGAAACAAACAUAGCCAAGAAAAAAAUACAGAUUUUACACGGUUCAGUUGUACCUAGGAUGGCACAACCUACACCACGAGAGAAGCUUUCUGGUGAGAUUUUAUUGAUGAUCAAAGAAGAAUCUUUUGACAAAGCUAAUAAUAGAGAUUUCAGAGAAUAAGCUGUAACCCUCUCUCCCUCUUCAAUCUCUCUCUAUUUUGUUCCCAUUGAUGACCCCAAUCUGCUUAGUUAUCCAGCUUUAUAUCUGCAUCAGUAACAAACCAGCAAACCCAGAUUGAGCAGAUUGACGACACGUGGAUAACGGCUUUAACGAACCUGGUUAAGAACUGCUCACAUGUUCGUCACGCGUGCUGCUUAAAUGAUGGCCAAAACGACUUCAAACAAAUGUCGUUUUGAGGCUUAUGAAUUACAAGUGAUAACACGAGCUUGUCUCAUGACUUUUAAAUGCAACAGCGUGCCCAAAACGCCGUCGUUUUACUCUGUUGAGUUUGAUUCAUUACUAAGCUUUACGACUGGCACUGGAGAAGAUGAUAAUUUAAUUUACAUGGACAGUUUUUAUAUCACUUUUACAACAUCCUAUGCAAUUGUAAUAUUGGGAAUUAUUGAUGUUUUAUUCUGUGAAUCCUCAUUGGCAAAAACUAGUGGUUUUAUCUUUGUUGAAAUGUAAAUGACCUCUCGUUACUAUUUUAUUAUAAACAUAUAGUUUCGUAAGUGAAACUACAUGUUUAUAAUAAAAUUAACAUAUAGUUUCGUUACAUUUCUGCCUCAUUAAGAUUCUCAAAUACCAGUCAGGUUUGCUUAAGAAAUAAAAUUUUUCCAUUAAAAUUGCAGUAGUAUUUCCAAGCAUAUCGCAUUUUCUAUGAUUUUUCAUAAAUUAAUUAAUCUGCGGUGCCAAUAUCAGAUUUAGUUUUUCAAACUAAAUAAUCAAGAAAGCAAACAUACAAAUAUACAGUUUAGAGGGGUAAACUAGGUAGGUGGUUUAGAUUUUAGAACUAAGCCAGCUACCUCACUAAAUUCCGAUUCGUACAGUGAACUGCAAGAAAUUGAGAAAACAAUGAAUUUAUAAUUUAAUAGAAUCAUAAGAAAACAAUGUAGUCAUUGCUCCAUAUAAGAUGAUGAUUUCGGAGAGGCACAUUGUUUUCAAGUUAAUUUGAUCCGUUUAUAAGAGAUGAAGUGGAAUCAAGUUGAAAGUUUAAAUAACAAAUCCUUGUUCUUGAGUUUUACGACGUCGUUACUCCUUCAAGUGGCAGAUUAUGCAAGUGAAUGCAGAAACACAAUGCAUCAUCCGCGGGGAUGAUACAUCAAAAGGCGGGAUUUGUUUAUGCCUGCAGAUUAGCAAUUUCACUCAUAUAGAAAAUUAAUUUUUUAUAUAUACUAAUCAACACUAAAUUGAUUAUGUGUUGUAUGUUUAUAUGCUAAUCAACACGAAAUUAUAUUGAAUUAUUAACAUUCAUAUUCCUAAUAAAAAUUAUUUUCCAUCAGUAUUCAAAAUUUUCACUUAUGGAAAAUGCGUUUUAUGUGAAUACUAGUUAUUGUGUAAAUUUGAAUGAUAGCGAAAAAUAAACCUAUUUGAAAACUGUAAGGGUGUGUUGGGAUAUUUUACAACUGUCGGAAUCUGGUAGGAUAUUGCACCAUUUGCCCAAUAUUUUUAGACGUACUCUAACCGGUAUUCAAGAUAAGUAAAAGUUACAAGCGUGGCAAAAUAAAAAAAUAAAAUUUGUAAUUUGUAAACGAAUUUUCCUGACAUGUAUAGUAGAUGAAGUUGUUGAUCCUUUCUUUGGAUUAUUUCAGCUCUGGUUGUUGGUCACCGAUGAGCCGAAGUCUUAUUUUAAUUUUAUUUAAACUCAUCAUAAGAUUCGUGGAGCACCUAACUAACUUAACUGACUGUGCAGAGCAUCUCAACAUGGCAUAUUUAACCAUCAUUCAAGUGAUGGGUUUAAUAAGACUGCUUUUGUUCUAUCAACUAUCAAGUUCCUCUGCCUCUAAGCAGAAUUACUAUUGAAGGGCCAAAAGGAAAAUGAAAACGUGUGAGCUCCAACAACCACCCCACAAAUUCAAUGACGAUGCUCGGAGAGGGUUAGGUUGGGCCUCUGAGAAAAAAAAAAUUAUUUAGUUAAAAAGUUACCCUUAUUGAAACCUGUAUAAAAAUUUUAUAUUAAUUAGUUAUGUUGCCUCUUCAACUAUGAUCAAAUUUUUAUCCGAGCUCAUCAUUUAAUGAGUAAACAUGUAUUUUAAUGAUCUCAAUUAAUAUUUAGAACAAAUAUUUUAAGAAGUAAAGCUCAUUAUAUCUUCCAUUAUUAUGUAUUUCUUUAAUUUCUUAUUUACAUAAUUAUAUUGUACAUUAAAAAUGUAUUGAAUUUGAAGAAAAAAAAAUUCAACUCACUCAAAAAAAAAAAAAAAUGCUGGUAGCUUCGUAAUAAUUACUGUAUUGACUGCACCAGAUAAAGUUUUGUAAAAUAAUAAGUUCUCAUUAGUGGUUUUUAAUUUUUUUAAUUUUUUUUUCCGGCACACCUGAUCAAGAAUUCUAUUUUGUUAACUAAUCAAUUGCAAAGCAUAAGUGUUGAACGGCAAAAAAAUUUAAAAAAACACUUAAAACGUGGGGAAAUGAGAAAUAUAGAAAGAAAGGAAGAAAGUUGAGACAUGAAACUGAUCUGCAGUGAAAUUGAUAAUCAUGUUUCUAUUUCGUUAACUAAUCAAACGGAAAACUGAAACUGUAAACAAACAUUAACACGUGUGGACUCUGCUAGCUGCCCUACAAGUCUACAAUAGUAAUUGAGUACCUUUGAUUCAUCCUUCUAUGAAUUUCUAGCUGUAUUGACCCCAACUGCUAAAGUUUUGUAAAAAAUAAAAAUAAAAAUAAAAAAACUGGAAUUUCAACAAAAUUCAAAACGUGUGAAAUUCAAAAAUGGACUUUGGCCAUGUGGAACAAAAUGUAAAUUAAGGAAAAAGUAUAAAUCUCAAUUGCUUAGUAUGGUUAGGAUUUUGUGAGCAUCACUAAAAAGUGAAAACUAUGAAUGAUAGAGGUGAUGUUUGCAACAUGAAUAAAUGAUGAACUGAAUCAAUUGAUGAUCGUAAUUACAUAAUGAACAAAAUUUACAAAAUCAACAAAAGUUAAUAAAAAUUUAUUCAAAUAAUAAAAAAUCAAUAAAAACUUAUUAUUUAACGGCGCUCAAACCAUGGAGUACCAUAAUCAUAAUCUUCUUUUAAGAAAAUUAUAACUUAUUAUUUUACAGGUUUGAUCCAUUUGGAAUGAAGUGGUCUCAAGUUGAAAGUAAUUAAUUUAUUGAAUAACUUUCGACUUAUUAAUAGUUAUAUCAACGGGUGUUUUACCUCAUCAUGUCUUCAAGUGGAAGAUGAAGACUAUGCAAGUGAAUUCAGGAAUAUUGCAUGCCUGUUGUCUAAAGCAUUACCUCACAAGGUUUCAUGAGAAACGAAAGAUGUGUUUGCUUUGAACAAUUAAAGUUACUGCUACGAACCUCCCCAAAGGUCAAGAAGACAGAACAGGAAGCUAAUGCCAUCAAUGUCUUGUUCAUUAUAGCUGCUGGGUAGUUAGGUGUAGUUUCCUCAUUUGAAGCUGUCUAUACAUAGGCAUUUCCCCUGCUUAUGUACAAAUAAAUGAACAACCUUGAAGCUUUAUUAUUCGCAACAAAAAGGGAUUACUAAUUGGAGAAGACUAUACAGAGUUUUCUCUCACACUUGCUCUCUGUCAAUUUCAUCCAGAAGUCCCUCUGAAAGCUUCUCCCAAAACAGUUAGUCAUCUUUUAUGCUCUGUUUUCUGAAAACAGAGUCCUAACUAAAUUAAUUGACUGUACAGUGCAUUUCAACAUAGCAUAUUUAACCGUUUUAACAGUUAUUUGGACCGUCUUCAGAGGUAACAUCAACAAACUCAUUCAUAUGCUUAAUAAUGAACGAAUAGUCUUGGAUUGAUGUUUUGCAGCAAGAGCAACACGACACAAUCUGGAUUCAACCUCCUCCUUUCUAACAGGGGAUUUCGAUUUGAGUUACUUUGUGCUCAAGCAAAUUCACAUCAUAGUUUUGAUUCUUUAGAUAUGAAUUCAUCUCAUUACAUAUAUCAGAUUAAGUGUAACAAAAUUUGUAAUUUACUGCGAAAAGAAUAUGCACUAAAAAAUGAUUUCAAGACUAUUUGACUACAAAAAGCAGCUGUCAGAGUGCACUAAAAAUUUCUGUAGGAUAUUUUGUAGCUGUUUAAUAUGUUAUGAUGGGCAUAUAAUUCUCAAAUUUUGAUGCCUCUCAGCGAAAAAUAUAUCAAAGUUACGGAUGAUAUCACGUAAAACAUGCAUGGCUCAGGCUCAGGCUCAGGUAAGAAAGCCACAGAAAUGGAAAAUCUCACUGUCACGACUCACGUCACGCAUCAUUCAAGUGAUGGAUUUAACAAGACUGCUUAUGUUCUAUCAAAUUCCUCUGCCUCUCAGAAGAUAACUUUUCUGGGCCAAAUUUCUCAUCUAAAGCAUAUUAUGCCCCAAAGUCACAGAUAACAAAAUGGGGCACUACCGAUUAUGAAAGAGAACUAGUAGUUGUCAGAAGCCUAAGCCAAAUUCCGGUAGUAAGAAGAGGCCUUUCUUGAGUUUAGAUUAUGUGUUCGAGUUUUAAUAAAUGCCUAAGUUAAUAAUAAUAACAACAGUAAUAAUAAACUAAAAAGCAUAAUUACUAUUGAAUGGUAAAAAAAAAAAUGAAAAUGUGUGAACUCCAAUAACCACCCCAGUGGCGAAUUUUGGAGAGGGCUAGGCCGGGCUUCUUAGAAAUUAUUUUUAUUUAAUUACAAAAUCACCUUUACUGAAACCUAUAUAAAAUUUUUUAUAUUAAUUAAUUAUGUUGCCUCUUCAAUUAUCAUUAAAUUCUUGUCCGUUCAUAAUUUGAUGGAUAAAUGUGUAUUUCAAUAAUUUCAAAUAAUGUCUAGAACAAAUAUUUUGAAUUAUAAAACUCAUUAUGUCCUGCAUUACUAGAUGUAUCUAUAAUUUAUUAUUUACAAAUUAUAUUGUAUGAUAAAAAUGUAUUGAAUUUUUGUUUAAAAAAAAGUUCGGCUCACUCAGAAAAAAAUGUUAUUAGCUUCGCCACUGCACAAAUCUAGAAUAAUAAUUAUUCCUUAUUAUAUUGACUGCACCAAGCAAUAAACUAAUAAGUUCUCAUCAGUGGUUUUUAAUCUUUUUAAUUCUUUUUACCGCACACCUGAUCAAGAAUUUUAUUUUGUUAACUAAUCAAUUGCAAAGCAUAUAUAAGUGUUGAACGGUACACAAGAUUGGAAAAAAAAAAUCUUAAAAAACGUGCGGAUUCGGGUGGCCACACCAGAAAUCUAUUACAAUAAUUAGCUUUGAUGCUGGGAAUCUUUUAAUUUCUGGCCGUAUUGAAGUUUUUAAAAUAAUAAGUUCCCCUUCUCGUUUUUUUUUUUUUUUAAAUAUAUAUGCUUAUAACAAUUUUAGAAUAAUGAUUCAUUUGUAGAAGAACUUAUGAUUUCCCAUUAAUAUUAAUAUUGAAGUGGGGUGGGUCAAAUCUCAAUUGCUUGAAGAAUUUAUGUAUUAUUAAAUAUUACCAUCCAAGGUAGAAUUGUGGAAAAUUAAAGCAAAAUGACAAGUAUGGAAAGGAAGGCUGAAAGUAAGGCAUGACGAAAGGCUUUGAGAAGGCUGAAGACUACCAAAGAAGUCAACUGAAAACUAGCUGGGGCCUGAGUGUAUAAAUUGUUAGAUGCGUUUGUUAUAAAUAACAUAGAGCCCUUUUGUUAUUUAUAGUUAUAGAGAAAGAGAGAAUGUGUGUUUUUUAAUAGUUAGAGAUAUAGCUAGAAUGGGUUGCUCAAAAUCCAAAAUAGUGACAAUGUUAGUUCUCGUAUUGAUAAUAUUGGGGGGGGGGGGGGGGGGGGGGGGGGGGGGGGGGGGGGGGGGGGGGGGGGGGUGUUGGGAGGUCGAGUGAGGGAUGUUUGGAGCAUGAGCAAUUUGAUCUUUUGCGGCUUAAACAUUUCUUCAAUUAAUAUCGAUCUGGGAGAGUGGUAUCUGAAUGCUUCUCUAUUUACUUCCUUUCAACAACUUGGUAACAAAAUAGCCGGCUGCAUGCGUUGAGAAUGAAGGUGCUUCAUUUAAUUUAAUUUACUUAAUUUCUCCCUCCUAAUUAAUGUCUAUAAUCAUUAGGAGGAACAAGGGAUUUUAUUAACUCAAAUAUAUCUAAUGGAUCUCAUUCUUUGGUUUUACUUGCAGGGCUAGAAGCAGGUGUCAUCUAACAGCUGCUUUGAUAAUUUCCCUCCCCUUCAUCUUUGAUGGAAAGAUGAAAUAAAAACAAAUUGGUGAAAAUGGUAUUGGUACCUGAGGCUAUGUAAUCUAAUUCAAAAACUGCACCAUCAAAACGAUUACAUAAGUCUCAGAAGAAUCAAAUAUCAGUUUGCAAAAUAUCAAUUGCUGGAGGUUUGAUUCUAACUUCCGCUCUUCAUUUUAUGGGCAUAUUGUGUUGUACUUGCAUCCGAAAAUCAUAUUUUAGUUUACUUGCACUCAAUGCUUGGAUUAAAGUUUUUUGGGGGGGGGGGGGGGGGGAUUGAAGAAGACUAAAAUUACACCAAAAAAGAGUUGAGCGAGAGCGGGUUUUGUCUUCAUUUAAGGAGCUCUUUAUAAAUUUUGGGAUUUUUUUUCCUGAGAAAAUUUAUGCCAACUCAUUCUUUGCUUCUUUUCUGAAGGACACAUGCAACCGAAAGUAUAUUCUUGAAUUCUCCAGGAUAAGAGACAUACGUUUAGAUUCUGGAGCAUUUAAAACAAUGUCAAAUUUUAGAUUGCUGAAAUUUUAUAUAUCCGAGUAUGAUGGUGUUCCAAUUAUAAGCUCCAGGGUGCAACUUCACUGAGGUUUAGAAUGCCUUCCUAUAGAAUUGAGAAAUCUCCAUUGGCAUAAAUAUCUUUUGAAAAUACUGACAUCAGAUUUUGAAUUGGAGAACCUGAUUGGACUCAGCUUGCCCUGUAGUAAGGUUAAGCAAAUUUGGAAAAGAGAAAAGGUAUAAUGUAUUACUAUUACCAAAGUAUCUAUUUUUCUUUCUUUAAGUAUUUUAUAAUGAAUAACUUUGAAAUUCAAUGAUGCUCAUUUAGUAUAGUUAUGUAUCUUUGGUUAUAGGAAGCUGUCAAGUUAAAAUCUAUAGACCUUCACCACCCCUUUAUCUCAAUAGGAUCCCAGAAAUACUAAAUCUUAAAAAAAUAAAUCUUUCAAAUUGUGAAAGCAUGCUUACGUUACCCCCGUAUAUCCACAAUUUCAACUAGCUGAGUAUGUUGUGUUUCAGGGAUGCAAAAUUCAUUUUGUUUCUCAUGAAAGGAUUGACUUGUCCGGAUGUAUUAGGGUUAGUAACCAACUAAUCCCAUAAUUUGUUGAUGUAGGGUCCUAACAAAUUAUCUGCAGUAGAUUGUAGAUCACGUACACUAUUCGAAAACGUAUUUGAUCCACACAGUGAAGUGGAUAUUGGACCAAUUUGAUGAUAAUGAAUUUCUUUCAAUCUCAAUCUUUUUUCUUUUUAGCAACAUGACUAGUCAUUGUGCAAAUUCAAAACUCUGACAAUAAUUUCUCAAUCGGUUUCUAAGAUGAUGACCAUGCAUGUAUAUGUAUAUGCGUGUGUAUAUGUGUGUGUGUGUAGAGAGAGAGAGAGAGAUCACACGUGUGUGAUUUCCUUUUUGCCAAUAGGAUAUGCAGAGAGCUUGAUCUUACCCAAUAGCGAAACAAACUUCCUAAUAAGUGAAGGUAUAGUAUAAAUACUUAUACUUUCAUGUUAUUUUGUUCAUCAGUAGCUUGAUUAUUUUAUAUGCGUCUUCGAUUUUAAUUUUCUUUCCCUAUAAUCGCUAUUAUCUUUGAACUGGUCAUAAUUUGCCCAUAAGAUUUCUCAUGUUGUUUUGAGGUGCAACGGAUUUUGAAUUUAGUGACAAGCAGUGGAAGCCAGAAGGCAAAUUAUGAAAAUGGAUAAAGAUCUAUAAUUAGCUGUUAUGGGAUGUCACAUAUCAUAUUGAUGGUAACGUUAUAUAUAUGUACAUAUAAUUAAUGGGGUUGGCUCACGAGCCCAUUAAUAAUGGUAUAUUAGCUUAUAUACUUCAAACAAUGUACUAUGAAGCAAUUUCACAAAUACUUGUUAGCUUAUGUUGAGCUUUAUUGAAUCAGUAGUUCACAGUUCAAUAAAAUGCAGGUUUGCUAUUUGAAGUACAUGGUUAUGGUGCGUACAUUCUUCAUAAGGCUAACUACUAAUUUAUCAUUGAAACUUGAAAAAUGUGAUAGAGAGAUGUAGAUAACAGCCGCAAAACACUGAGAUUGAAAAUCAGGGCUACUAAAUUCUAUUAAAAGUCCUUAAAAUAGACAGCGAUCACCCUGAAAUGUAUAUACUGAAACUAAGAAAUAUUAAUCGCAAAGUUAUGCAUUAAUAGAACUAUUGACUACUUAUCUUUAGCAUAAAGUAUAUUUUUAACUACAGCUUUCUGCUUUGUUCUAAGAACUAGGCAAAAGUGGUGUAUCUUCAAUCCAAUCAACAUAUAUACCACUUAUCUUCCUCUUCACUUCUGUCUAUUUUGAUUUGCACUUCAUAUCCUGCACUUGCUGCUUAGAAAUAGUCUUUAUUCUGGACAUUGAAAGUAGAAAAAGUACUUGAAACAAUCAUUGGCACAGCCCGAGAUUCCAUUGAAUCGUGGACUCCAAGCUUUCAUAGUUCUAUAAAGAAGAUGACAAAACUUCAUACAACUGGCAUUCUGCUUUUAACAUUUGCACAACCUGAGCGAGUUAGCAAGCCCCUUGUUGCGUUCCCAUUGAAUAGACCUACUUCUGUUAUCCGCAGAAGAUCCACCACUCAAAAUGUUUAUCACCAGGCUAUUCUUAAACUGAGCCUAAACUGAGUAGAAACUUCCGCACAUCUCUCAGCAUUUACAUGAAGAAAUCGACAACUAUCCUCAUCUCUCAGCAUUCUACAAAGUUGCAUUUCACUAAGCAAUCUAUCCUCUCCAUUCCUAGCAAAGUGACAUUGAUUCCCGUAUUUGUAAUCGCCUAACUUGGGUUUUGGCAUAGCGUGGUCUUAAAAAUUACCACCCAAUACUUUGUUCAGUGCCACUGGCAUCCACAAGCUCUAGCCCUGUUAGUUGAAUCAUAUUCAAUGGGACAGUGAGGCAGCAUUUCACUAACAUAUUCAAUUUGACUACUUAUAUUGACGCAAAUAUUAGAAUUUGAAAUCACUUCUUUUAUUGGAAUAUUAUAUUAAUAUGACCCCAAAUGAAAGUUCUUGAAUGGAAAUGAUUUUUAUUUACUUUUCGAACAGAUUCAAGAAAACCCAGAGAACACAAAAUUUACACAGUAAUAUGAUUAAGAGCUGAGAACGUAUAUGUAGUAAAUGUCUAUCAAAAAACACCCAAGGGUUUCUUUAAAAUUAGUAACUAGUAAACAAAAGAAAGAAUCAUUUUACAUUUUUAGCAACUUUGGGGUGAGUGAGUGAGUGAGAAAUUGAAACCCUCAAGUGAUGACAACAGUAAGAUUCAGUAUGAAGUGAAACCCCAAUUUGAAAUGUAGGCAUGAGUUGCUGAGUCAGUAGAUGAAGCUAUAAAUAGGCAUUCGGUUUCCUUCUUUUCGGUUUGGAGGCCAUGGAAUAGUGUAUUGGAGUGGGCUCCAAGUAAUAGCCUCUAUCACUGGAACGACACAUCUAUAAAAUGUGAUACAUGGGGAAGGAUUGGGCAUUUUAUUCUUAGAUUAGCCCUUAUUUAGGGUGUAUAUUAAGCAGAUUAUAUAUUACAUGGAGAUGGAGUUUAAAUAGAUUAAAAAGAAAAGGAAAUUUUGGUGCCUAAAGUUUGCCACUUGGAAUAUUUCGGUGUCUAAAAAUUCACUCACCACUUAUUUCAUGUUUGAUUAUAUGUUGAAAAGAUAUUAAAAUAGUAUAAUGCUAUUAAGGCUUAACGUAUAUUUUUUAUUAGUAGAGUGUAGAAUUUUUAAGAAAUAAAUUAUUAAAUUAUUAUAACUAACAUAUUAUUUUAAAGUUGUGUUAUGAAAAAAAUGAAAUAAAAAUGUACAGUAAAUAAGAAUAUUUUAAAACUUUUAUCUUUUUAAAAUUAGUUUUUAACAUAAGGUGAACUAUUUUUUUUUUAAAAUCACAUAUUCUAGUUAAAAUCAAAUAUGUAUUUAUCGAAGCUUGUAAAUUUUUUUUUUUAGUACUGAUAUUUGAAUAUUAUCAAUAAAAAAAAGGGUAAUGUUCAUGCUGCAUUAUUUUUGUAGCACACAAAAGGACAACACCGUUUAUGUUAUAAUACUAUCGCUUCUGUUAUGAUAAUUUUUUUUGUGGCCAAAUAUCUUUUUUUUUUUUAAGUAAAAAAAGUGGACAAAAUGCAAAUCAGUUUUUAAUCCUCAAUCUCUCCCAAAAAUAUAUAUUUCGGUGUCUAAAAAUUCACUCACAAAACUAUAGCUGACAAAAAGUUACUAACAAAAAGUUAGGUCCAUGGGUUGUUAAAACUAUAGCUGACAAAAAGUUACUAACAAAAACAGAAUGUCCAUUUUAUAACUUUCUUAAAAAACUUUCCUUAACUUUUUUAAACAAAAAGUUAUUUCCAAUUUUUAUUUUGUUAUAAUGUUUAUAACAAAAUUCGUAGUUAACUAAACUCUUCUUAUACCCUUUCUCAACUGCCAUACCCUAACCCACUAAACCACGCUCAAUUAAGGCCAUCAGAUUCUCCGGGCCCACAUUAAUCCAACUGCUCACAGAGACCGACAGCCUCUCUAUCUCCAUUUCAAGCUCCCUCUUCAACUGGCUUCUGCUACCGUCCUACUCUUUCUCGGCUUCGGAGUCCGUAUUUGCUCGGCCUGUCCCACGAAGCUCCCUCUCACUCCAAUUGUCGCCCCACAAGACCAAUUGCUUAAUCAAGACACCGAACAAGAAAGGAUGAGAAGUUGAAACAAGAAUUUGAGAAUUGGAAAUAAAAACGUACGCAUUGACCGUGCCUUUGAGAGUCGUUUCUCUUCAGAACUCAGUGCCUCAAUCUUGGGUUAAGGAUUUUAUGCGAAGUCAGGGAAAGAGAUUGAAGUUUCAGAUGAAUUUGUGUGCUAGCAUUGAUGGGAUCUUUAACAAUUUAUCUGUGCCCUUUAACAAAGUUAAGGCUAAGUCAGCUUCUUAUAUGGCUGCUGAUUUGGUUAGUGUUGGUGAUUCAUGGCUUAGUUUUGCCAUUAAAAAGAGAUUGAUUGAGCCAAUGGCUGGAGCUGAAGACCAAGAUUGGUUCAAAUGCUUAAGUCACAAAUGGAAGGUAACAUCUUUGUCUUUGAUCCUCGAGGUAAAAUAUGGGCGGCACCGUACAGGUGGGGCACAACGGUGAUAGCCUACAAGAAAAGUAAAUUUCGAAAGCAUAAUUUGGCUCCGAUUGAGGUAAUAAUUUUCUUUAAACUCAUUUAGUUUUAUAUCAAACAAAAUCAAGACUGCCUUUCUCUUCAAUAUUUUUUAUGAUAAUAUCUUUAGAAGCAUCUCAUUGACGGGUAACAAUGGCAUCCUGGUUAAGGAUUUUAUGCGAAGUCAGGGAAAGAGAUUGAAGUUUCAGAUGAAUUUGUGUGCUAGCAUUGAUGGGAUCUUUAACAAUUUAUCUGUGCCCUUUAACAAAGUUAAGGCUAAGUCAGCUUCUUAUAUGGCUGCUGAUUUGGUUAGUGUUGGUGAUUCAUGGCUUAGUUUUGCCAUUAAAAAGAGAUUGAUUGAGCCAAUGGCUGGAGCUGAAGACCAAGAUUGGUUCAAAUGCUUAAGUCACAAAUGAAGGUAACAUCUUUGUCUUUGAUCCUCGAGGUAAAAUAUGGGCGGCACCGUACAGGUGGGGCACAACGGUGAUAGCCUACAAGAAAAGUAAAUUUCGAAAGCAUAAUUUGGCUCCGAUUGAGGUAAUAAUUUCUUUAAACUCAUUUAGUUUUAUAUCAAACAAAAUCAAGACUGCCUUUCUCUUCAAUAUUUUUUAUGAUAAUAUCUUUAGAAGCAUCUCAUUGACGGGUAACAAUGGCAUCCCUGAAAGAGUCUAUAAACUCAAUGAUAUUAUCUUCUACAAAUGGUUCAUUAAACUUUGUCGUUGUACUCAAAUGUACACUCAGAUCAAUGAGAAGCUAUGCUACGUUAGCAUGUAGUGAUGGCACUUAAUAAGUGAGUUGCUAGGAUGUGAACUAGAAAAAUUAAAUAUUGUCUCCUUGGGUAUGCUAGCUGGUAAGUCAGGGUUAAUAUCAGAGCUUAAGAUAGUAUAACCGUGAGAACCUAUUGACUGCCAAUUAAAAUAUCCAUUGAAAUGUCUAGGGAGUUAUGAAGGUGGAGGUAACUUCCAAUUUCUAAGGCCACAGAGUAGACAUCAUCCAGGAUCCUAGGAAAGUCCAGUUAACCUCCUGCUCGAUGCAAUUAAUAAAUUUGGUCAAUGCCACUGAAACCUGCUAACUGACGUCACAAUGCGACAUGAGCACUUCAAAAUGGGACAGACGGUCAGUAGCACUAAAUUUUUCUUGCCAAGAUUGAGCAAUUGGUCUAACUACUAAUCCCUAUUGUAGUUGAUCAUUAUUUUUUCAAUUAUGUUCAGUUUGACCCAAAAAGUUGCAGAAUCUUGAGCUAAAUAUUGUCACUGAACACUGUCAAUGUCAUUUAGCAUAGCCAACUAACUUGAUGUUAAAACAAACACACAGUGUGUCUCAUGUCUCACAAUUCAAAUUAUCAUCUGUAAUGUUGGAGAAUUUUUCCAAUGUAUGAAGUAUGCUUUGAUACGUGGGUUACCUUGGAGAAGAUAUCUCAAAAUAAAGAAUAUGGGGAGAAAACAGUUCAGUAGUUUAUUAUUCGUAGUCAAGUUUUGUCUCGAAAAUGGUCAAAAUUUAAAUGAAUAAGGACAGGGGAUCUUCAUUCUUUUUUCCCUUUUUAUACCAAGAUAUCUCUCAACCUUUAUAUAAUCCCCACUGGAUAUCUGCUUCUAAUAAUUAAAAUAAAAAUUUCACCGCUCUAACAAUAAAAAGUAACAUCUUUCCUCAAAUAAUUUACAGUUCCUCAUCAUCUUAGUGUGAGAAUAUCAGUACAUUCCAAACAUAAUAAAACUGGUUUGAUCCUGUUUAUUGAUGUUUAAAUGUUGUUCAUUGUGACAGGUAGAAAUGAUGAGGCGAAGUUUAUUUGGACAUCAAUUAGUAAGAUCUUGUUUGAAGUUGUUUUCUGAAAUGAACUGCCAAAUGGUAGUUUUUGGGGGCAUUUGAUGGCUCUUUUUUUUUCCUCAUUUUCAACAUGUGCCUGCUUGGAACAUGAAGGAUUAGGCUGCAGAGUUGUUAUAUAUUUUGAGAUGCUCUGGUCAUUGCACAAUUUGUUCACACUGGAAAUUAGAAUGAGAAAUUUGUUGAUGCUGUUUUGAGAGAUCUGCAUUCUAUGCACAAUAACAUGAUUAAUGAAAAUGCAUUGUAGGACUGGAAAGAUCUGUGGCAGCCUGAGCUCGCAGGAAGAAUUUCAAUGGUUAAUUCUCCCCGAGAGGUUAUUGGUUCAGUUUUGAAGUAUAGGGGAACAUCAUACAAUUCAAACUAUAUUGAUUCGCAAGUUGCUGGUGGAAGAUUGCUGUUCAGCAGAAUCUGGCAUUACUGGCAAACCAGGUACUCUUACAGAAAUCAUAUCUGGUCAUUGCAUGUUAUUGCCUGACAACUGAUUUUGUUUGUAAAAGUCUGCUUCUUCAUACAUAUGAAUGCAUAUGUUAGUGUUUUCUUCUCCUUUUCAUACAUAUAAAUGCAUAUGUUAGUGUUGUCUUUUCCUUUUCACACAUAUUAAUACAUAUGUUGGUGUUCUCUCCUGAGAUGGAUGCAAUAAAGGCUUUUGCUCCUAAAUUUAGCUGAAGAAAUGGCAAGGGAUGUGAGAUUCUGUCUCAUUAAAUUAACAAAAACCCAAAACAAUGAAAAUCCAUAAUAAUGUGGUGUGGGUAAAUUGGCUCCAUUUGGUUCGUUUCCUUAAUGUGAAUGCGAGCAAUAGAGACUAACAAAAUGAAGUGACAACAAGAAGUCAGUGUCCUUUGAUGGAUGCAUUUUUAGCAGAAAUAUGUUUGUAAUUGACCAAAUUUGUCUGGCAUGCCAAUUUCAAAAAAAUUAAAUUAUGUGGUUAUUAGCUGUAAUGAAGGGGAUAGUAGGUGCAAUCAGGUGUAUCCAGGAAAGUUCAACAAAGUUUUGGUAUGGCGUAGUGAAAUUGGUUUGUGCAACUCAGGAGUCUUUCAGGUGAACGAUGAUAGGUUUUGAUUUAUGAAUAUUAUAAAUCUACUGUGCAUAGUAUUCUAGUAGAAUCAUCUAUAAGUUCUAGUUAUUGUAUACUUUGCCUGGUUUGAGUUAAGGGCACAUGUAAUAUGAAAGAUAGUUGUCGCAUCUUUUAGGUUACCUAACAUUUGAUCAAUCCUAUUAUGGGGGCUUCAAGAUGUCUAACAAUAUGUAGAAUGCCCAUGCUCCUCCCCAUUGUUUAUCUUCUACAAUAAUUUGUUUUAGAUGCUAAUAUCUUUGUCGAUACCGGUAACAAUAUUACAAUAUCUGCGUUUAUUGGGUUUUACAUAGGUUCGACUGUUUGACAGUACACACUAUCUGAAGGCAUUUGCAAUUGGAGAUGUAUGGGUUGCUGUUGGGUGGAUUAGUGAUGUUCUUCCUGCUGUCAAACAUAUGUCUAAUGUUGCUGUUGUUGUUCCCAAGUCUGGUGCUAGCUUAUGGGCUGAUCUUUGGGUAUACCCAUGCCUGCCAUUCUACUUCAAUAUUCACAUUGUUAUCUCCUUCAUAUUAGUGAUCAGUAAACACGAUAAUGUGACUAAUAAGUUCGUAUUCUCUUUAUAGGCAAUCCCUGCUGCCUCAAGACUUGAAACAAAACAAAUUGGAGGGCGAGUCAGAGGUGCAUUUCCAUUAAUCCAUCAAUGGAUAGAAUUCUGCUUGCAAACAGCGAGAGCAUUGCCUUUCAAGCAAGAGGUUAUCCCGAGCGCAUCUCCCUCUGCCCUUGAGUACUCUGGUUAAGUUGCCUGAAGAACUUUUCAAGGGUAAACCAAGUCUGGAUACUAACUUAAUUGCUGGAGUACCCCCGACUGAAAUUCUGGCCAGAUGUGAGUUUUGGAGCCUUUAUUUGAAGCUACAUUGUCGGAUUAUGAGUGGCUGGUUACUAAUCUGCAAAAAUCCACUCCUGUACUGAUCAACAAGAUGCAACAUUACAUGUCAUCAUUGAUCUUUAGCUAAAGGUACAUUGAAAAGUUAAUGGCACUGCAUACCAGUCAUUAUAAUUGGGUCAGGGCAAUUAGGUCAGAGCAUAACUUCAUUAGGAAAAGAUGCUUCAGCUACGUUAAAUAUUACAGGAUGUACUGAGAUGGCUGAAGCUGUUGAGGUUUUACGAGAAUCGAAAGAUAGUGUUUGUUUGAACAAAGUUGUUGCCAAUCUUGCAGAGUUCGAGAAGAAAGAUCACGAAGUGAAUGCCACCGAUUUCUUCAUCAUUGUAGCCUCCAUAGUUGAAGUUUCCUCAUUUGAAGCUGUUUAUGCAUACGAUUUUCCCCUGCUCAAGUACAGGAAAUUGAAGAAUUAACCAGAUGUGAUAUGCUGAAAGAGGGAAGUUUUCUUCCUUGAAUGUGGUCUUUGUGAUUUGUCUUGAAGGAAUAGGGUGAUCACUGGCAAGAACCCUAUCAAGGUAGAUUUUAUGAUGUUAACAUAUCAUUAAGCAUUUUGUUACAUCAGCAAUGAUGCUUUCAUAGCAGCAUGAAAGUGUUUAAAUUUUAACUGAAUGAUCUUGAUUGAUCAAUUAUGAGUUUUAAUCGAGUAAAAACUAAAUACAAUAAUCGUUAACAAAUAUUGAAAUUGGGUAAAUAUGAUCUUGAUAUUGAAGAAUUUGAAAUCACAACCCACACAGGAAAUCACCCUUCGCGUGGGGAUGGAGAUGUUACUGCAGCGAUAUUGAAUAUGUCCACCGCUCUUUGGGUUAUGGUGCGACUUGCCCUGAAACAAUGGAAAAGAAUAAUUAUAAUUUAACGCCAAGACAUAAAAUUAAAACGUGUGGACUCCGGUAGCUGCCCUACAAGUCUACAACUCUACAAACAUUAACUCUACAAACAUUAAACGUGUGGACUCCGGUAGCUGCCCUACAAGUCUACAACUCUACAAGAAUAAUUUCUAGCCCUGUUGACUCCACUAACUAAAGAAAUUUCAAAAACGUACAUAGAAUUCCACAACAAGCAAAACGUAUGGAAUUUAAUUUUUUGCCGUGUGGAACAAAAUACAAUUUAACAAAAAAGGAUAGAAAAAUGGUAAGAUUUCUAAAAUGAGUGGAAGGUGAUUCAUAUUUUACUGAAAUGACUUGUCCUGAACAUUAAGACGAUUGAUUUUUUUUUUUUAAUAACAUCAACUUCCAUAUCUUUCUAACCCCUAGAAUAUGCUCACGUUCAAGUCUAUCUUGGUAAUUUGAAAAAGAAAAUCAAAUCAAAUCAACACCAAAACAAUGAAAAGUAAAACUUUUGAAUUUCAACUUUAAACUUUUGUUAACCCUAGAAUAUUCAGCGUUUUCAAAUUCUUCCGAUUGCAUAUCUUCUUCCUCCAUCAAUGCAAUAUUUGAACGAUUAUGAAAGAGUUUAAGAACAUAAAAAAUCUCCAAGGUUUAUACGGUAUAACAAAUUUAAAUUCUCAAUUACAAUAGAUAAUAAUUAAACUAAUAAUUUUUUAUGUACUUAUUUUAGUAAUUUCACCUAAGAAUAAUAUUGUAAUUAGAAAAAAAAAUCUAAUAAGUAGGGUGGUCUUAUACAAAAUCAACUGUACUGUGAUGAGUUUCCUUUUGUUAAUAAUUUUAGUCUAAUUUCAAUUGUACUGUGAUCGCUUCUCAAGGUAAGUGAAAGUUACAGAUGGCAAAAUAAAUAAUUAAGUUAACAAAAUGCUAACUAAUUUUCCUCAAUACCUAGGGUUGUACAAUUUCACCAACCUGGAAGAAUUGACAUUAAUGGACUGGUCUCCUCCCAUAUAAUUAUAAUCCUUCUAGAAAGCUAUUUUUAUUAAAUAUUUGCUUUUAAGUUAAUUUCAAUUAAAAAUGUUUUAAGUUAAUAUAUACUCUAAUGAGAUUCUGAAUUCCUUAUUCAAUAAUAAUGAAAACGUAUUAAAUUAGAAAUGAAAAAAUUGGUGUUGAUGAUUCAACCUAUUUGGAUAGAUUACGUGAAUAAAAUUUAAAAUUUUGAUUUAAUUUUGUUUAUUGUUAAUUCUCAGGCUAUCUUUAAUUUCAAGAAUUUAGAAUGUUAAUUUGGUCAUGGAUUUCAACCCGUGAGUGUCAUAUUCUAGACUUAAUGGUACCAUUCUUUGAUUGAGGGCAAUGACUCUCACUCCUCUUGUAAAAAAAUAUUUUCAACUAUUUUGAUGACUUAAAAAUUGAUAGAUUUAUUGUUGUCAUGACCAAAUUAUUCAUUUUAAUGAAAUAUAAUUAAUGCAUCAAAGUUACAGGUUAUGUCUAUCUUAAUGCGCUUUUUUUUUUUCAGUUAUAGCUUCUGCUUACGUCUGUUUCAUUUUUUUUAAAUAAAAAAACAAGGGAAGGUUUUCCGAGUCAUCCAUUAUUUGAUUUCCGUCAAUCAAGAAAACGACCAAAUUAAUUUCUCUCCAAAAUUUCCAAAAGCUAGAAAAUUUUGUUAUUUGAAAAUAACAUGAAUUAAUUAUAGAGUGGAUCAAACCGCGUUAUUGUCUUUCAUAAAAUUGAUGUCUUUUAAGAGUCAAUACUUUUUUAUUUACGCAAACCAGUCGACAUCAAUUUAAACUUCCAUAUUUUAUUAUUAUUAUGUUAUUUAUUUUAAUCGCCGAUUAUUUGAUUAGCCACUAUAUAUAUCAAGAAAGCGACAAAAUUUAUUUCUCAUGACUUCCAAAAACAGAAAAACAACAUCAUUUAUUAUUUUUUUGCAACCUAAUUGACAUCACUUUAACUUAUUAUGUUAUUAUUUCAAUCCCCCAUUAUGACCUUUCUAAUCCUUCCAUUAUGCAUCUUUUAUAGUGCAAAUUGUAAUUGCACAUCUAAAUAAAUUGAAUAUUGUUACUCCACACCCAAUAUUUCAAAUAGUCACUAGACCAUUUCUGCCUUUAAUUUCCCUUAACUAUUGACUGUUUUUAGCAUCUUAAAAUAUACAUUUAUUCUUGAUUAUGUGAUAAAAUUAUGAAAUAUUCCAUUUUAGCUUAAAUUAAUUGGAAUAACCAUAAGCGUAACAUAAAUUAAUAGAACAAAAUUAUCAAGUGUAUGUUCUAUCUUACUUUUUGAAGAAUUUAACAUAUAUAAUGCUAUACUAUUAAUAAAUUUUUCAUUUACUAUAUAUGUUCAAUAUUUUAUAUAUUUAUUAAUUGUUAUAUAGUCACAGGAUGAAUGAUUUUUUCAGGUCUACAUGAGUUGGUGCACAUGCAAGACUCAAUUUUGACAACAAUGAUCUAAGGGGUAAUUUACCUUGGUGUUUGACAAACAUAACCUUCUUCAUGAUUUACUUCCAAUCUACUUACUGUAAAUAUCUCCUCAUCUCCUCUCAUUUAUAUGAUAAGUGAUAACCCUUGAAGAUCUCACAUUUUCAAACGAUCAUAUUAGGGUUUUUAUUAUUAGCAUCAUUGUGUCAACAAAAUAUAUGUUGCAGUAAGAUUUUUUUCAGACCAAUUCCCUUCUUCAAAUAAUUAAUGGAAAAGUAUUAAUUUAAAAAUAAAAUGAAUAUGCAUUGAUUAUAUCCUGAUUUCCAUCGAUUAUAGCGAGAGGUUCUCCGAAUCAACUCCCUUAUUCAAAUAAUACAGAAAAAAUAGUAAUUUAAUAGUAAAAUUAGCAAGUGUUGAUUAUAUAUCCUAAGUUUCAUCGAUUAUGUGAUCAAAGUGGCAUUGUUGAUUUAUUUUCUUGUUCAAUGUUAUUUUUAGGUUAUCUAAAUUUCAAAAGGAUUUAAAAUCUUUGUUCAUGGAUUACAACGCUUAUUAAUUUUUCUGCCAUUGACUGUCAUAUUCUAGACUUAAGGUACCUUCCUUGAUCAAGGAUAAUUACUCUAUGUUCCCUCUUAUAAAUUCCUCUUCAUUAACAUCACUAAGGAGUAUGUUGAUCUCUCAGACGUUAACUUUAGUGGAGAGUUUCCAAAUUGAUUGUUACAAAACAACACAAAAACUAGACACACUUGAUCUGUCUAAUAAUUCUCUUUCGAUAAAAUUAAUUAAUUUUAGGGGAAUAUUCGACCAACCUCUAUAAUUUCAUAUUGAUCAUUAAUUAAUUAGACGAAAAAAGUACUUGUGCUUUUGUGGCGACAAUUGAACUAGAGAAGUGAAGCUGUAAAGAUUUGGCAGUAGUAAAUUGUAGAAGACAUAAAGACAAUUUCCCAUUUUAUAAUUUUUUCAAAAAACUUUUUUACAACACAUGCACCUGGCCAAAAUUUUAUUUUGCUAACUAACAAUAAUUGAGUAGCUGACCGUAUUGACUCCGCCUACUUGCUAAAGUAAAAAAAUAGAAAUAGAAUUUCCACAAAAUGUCAAACAUGUAAAAUCUAAUAUUUGGCCAUGUGGAACAAAUACAAAUGAAAAAAAAAAUAGAAAAAAGGCCUAAAGACUUUUAAAAUUGUGUGGAAAUCUUUCGGCCCUUUUAUAAUGGUGUGUUUUUCAAAGGAACAACUAAUAAUAAUGACACUUCUACGGUUUGUUUUGAUAAUUACACAUAUACUCUUUAAUUUGAUAAAUGGUUACACAAAUUUUGUUUACAAAAAUAUAUUAUUCAUGUUCUGUAUUAUUUUUUAACAUCAUAUUUUUAUUUAUUAUAAUUGUUUAAAGUUAAUUGUUAGGUUGAUAUAUAAUAAAACGUAUAAUCGUUCUCUUACUAAACACACAAUACUCGUAGUUUCUAUCCAUUUGUCAUCUCAAUCUCUCUCAUUUAUCCUUUCUUGAUAGCUCAAAACGCGUCACUGUGGAAAAUAAUAGCAAAACGACAAAUAUGGAAGAAUGGGAAGAAAAUUAAUGCAUGAAAGAGUUGCAGAAGACAACCAAAUAAGUCAACUAUACGCUAGUUGGGUGUAUAAAUUGUUAGAUGUGUUAUAAACAAAUAGCAUAGAGCCUUGGUUGGUUACAGAGAUAGAAAAACUGUGUGUGUUUUUUAGAACUUAAAGAUACAGUUAGAAUGGGUGGUUCAAAAUCAAAAUGGUGAUAAUGUUUGUUCUGUUAUUAAUAAUAUUAGAAGGUGGGUGGAGUGAAGGAUGUUUGGAUCAUGAGAGAUUUGCUCUUUUGCGACUCAAACAUUUCUUCGAUGAUACUGGUAGUUAUUUUUACUACUGGGCAGAUGGUGAGGGAGCUACUGAUUGUUGUCAGUGGGAAAGGGUUGAGUGCAGCAACACCACAGGCAAGUGAUAGUGCUAGACCUUUUUUGAAACGUAUUUGGGAGAGUACAGCUGGUAUCUGAAUGCUUCUUUGUUUACUCCCUUUCAACAACUUGAGUCACUUGAUUUAUAUGGCAACAAAAUAGUCGGUUUUGUUGAGAAUGAAGGUACUUCGUCUAAUUCAAUUAAUUUACAUUUCGCUCUCCUAAUUUAAGUCGAAUAUCAAGACUGAGCAGCUAUAUGCAUAUUCAUUCAAUUGACAAUUUUUACAUAUUUUUUAAAAUGUUUAAUUUUGAAAUUACACCAAACAUCAUAUGUGGUUUUGAUUUUACUUGCAGGUCUAGAAAGAUUGAACAACUUGAAGAGGCUUGAUUUAAGUUAUAACUUGUUCAACAAUAGCAUCUUAUCAUCUGUGGCUCAUCUUUCUUCACUAACAUCAUUAGAUUUAUCUGGAAAUAGAUUGGAAGGAAGUAUUAAUGUUAAAGGUACGUAAUUAAAACGUCAUCGCUUCUCUCAACUCUUUCAUUAACAUGCUAAAAUAAGAUUCAAGGCUUUGAAUUCAUUUUUUUUUAUGAGUAAAUAUUAGAAAAAUAGUUUUAAGCAAUUCAUAAAUACAAUUUUCAAUGUUUCUCAUAAUUUCAUCUUGUACUUUCGUAUGUCUUGACUUUAAGAUUAAAAAAAAAAAUUACUCUAACUGUGAAGCAAAUACCCCAUGACUAAUUUAUCAUUUCGUCCAGUUAAAAAUGAUAAAAUUUAUCAUUUGUUUAUAUUGAUUAAUUAACUCUAUUUUAAGUCUUAAGUCUUGGCGUCUUGGCAUAUUUGCAGAAUUUGAUUCCUUGAGCAACUUAGAGGAGUUGGACAUGAGCGACAAUGAAAUAGACAAUUUAGAGGUUCCUCAAGGUAAACAAUUAAAAUAUAUUCAAUUACAUUAAUUUAAUUCGUUUGAUUAGGGAAGACCCAAAAGGUACAAAAUAUAAUAAUAAUAAUAAAGAAACAGAGAAUCUAUAUUAUUUCAAAAAAUAAAACGUAAUACUAUUAUUUCAAAAAUAGAUUGUAAUAAAGAUUUGAUUCCGGUUCUUUAAUCUUUACAGCAAUUGAAAAACGAUGUUGCUCUUUUCCUGAAGCAUAAAAUAUGAAAUGACUCCAAUACAAUUAAUCAUUUAUUUCGUUUACUCUAAAAUUAGACAAUGAAUCUUUAUUUUCUUCAGUCUUAUCCUAAUUAUUAUUAAUAAACAGGUUACAAAGGUUUGAGGAAGUUGAAUUAUCUUGAUCUAUCGAAUGUUGGAGUUAGAGAUGGAAGCAAGUUGUUACAGUCAAUGGGAUCAUUCCCAUCCCUCAACACUCUUUACCUGAAGGAUAAUAAUUUUACCGAUAUAGCGACAACUACUACUCAAGGUAAGUAAAAGAUACAGAUGUGGCCAAAUUUACAAAUAAAUUGUUAAUUAAUUAAUUUUUCCGUAUUAUUAAUAAAGCUAAAUUCGUCGCUCCUUCCUUCUAAUUCUAAACAGAGUUGGCAAUUUCACCAACUUGGAGUAUUUGACAUUGGACUUGUCCUCGCUCCAUUUAAGCCUUCUACAAUUACUUGAAGAAUGAAUUUAUUUAUUAUUAUUAUUGUUGUUGUUGUUGUUGUUGAAGUGAGGUGGGCAAGCGUUCACUCAAUUAAUAUGUGAGGAAUUAAUAAUUACAAUCCAAGGUAGAAUUGUGGAAAAUUAAAGCAAAAUGAGAAAUAUGGAAAGAAAGGAAGAAAGUUAAGGGCAUGAAAGACUAGGAGAAGACUAAAGACCACCAAAUAAGUCAACUGAAAACUAGCUGGGGCCUGGGUGUACAAAUUGUUAGAUGUGUUUGUUAUAAAUAACAUAGAGCCAUCUUGUUGGUUGCAGAGGCAGAGAGACACAGAGUGUGCAUUUUGUUAAUUAAAAAUAUAUAUAAAAUGGGUGGUUCAAAAUCCAAAAUGGUGAUAAUGUUAGUUUUGUUAGUAUUAAUAAUAUUAGAAGGGAGGUGGCGUGAGGGAUGUUUGGUGCAUGAGAGAUUUGGUCUUUCGAGACUUAAAACAUUUCUUCAAUUCUCCUUAUAAUUUUUGUCACGACUGACCGUUGUCAAUGGGAUGGGGCUGGGUGCAGGGUUGAUUUACGUUAGAACAAUAUAGCCGGUAGUGUUGAGAAUGAAGGUGUUUCAUUUAAUUUAAUUAAUUUACUUUCUCCCUCCUAAUUUAAGUGGAAUAUCAAGACUGAACAAUUAUAUGCAUCUUCGUUCAGUUGACAAUUUUGACAUUUUUUUUAAGUGAUUAAUUUUGAAAUUACACCAAACAUUAUUUGUGAUCUCUGUUUGACUUUACUUGCAGCGCUAGAGACGUUAUCAAGAUUGAGCAACUUGACGAUACUUGAUUUAAGUUAUAACUUGUUCAAUAAUAGCAUCUUGUCAUUUGUUGCCCGUCUUUCAUCAUUAACAUCAUUAGAUUUAUCUUACAAUGGAUUGGAAGGAAGUAUUAAUGUUAAAGGUACGUAAUUAAAACGUCAUCGCUUCUCCAACUCUUCCAUUAACAUGCUAAAAUAAGAUUCAAGGCUUUGAAUUCAAUUUUUUUUUAUGAGUAAUAUUAGAAAAAUAGUUUUAAGCAAUUCAUAAAUACAAUUUUCAAUGUUUCUCAUAAUUUCAUCUUGUACUUUUGUAUGUCUUGACUUUAAGAUUAAAAAAAAAUUACUCUAACUGUGAAGCAAAUACCCAUGACUAAUUUACAAUUUUGUCCAGUUAAAAAUGAUAAAAUUUAGGGAAAUUAUCAUUUGUAUACCCUUAGUUUACUCUAUUAUCAAAAAUACUACAACACUUUGAGGGUGUAUCAAUCGUCCACCCUAAGUUGACAAAAUGUAUUAGCCAACCACCAAACCGUUAGUUGCCGUUUAAAUAUGAUAACAUCAUAAGGGUAAUCUGGUCUUUUCAUAUGAUACAAGUGAUAAUUUAAGGGUAUACAAGUGAUAAAAAGAGAGUUUAAGGGGAUACAAGUGAUAAUUUUCAAGGUAAAAUCGUCAAUUUACUGUAAUUCCGUUAACUUUCAAACGGCAAUUAACAGUUUGGUGGUCGGUUGAUACAUUUCAUCAACUUAGGGUGGACGAUUGAUACACCCUUAAAGUGUUGUAGUAUUUUUGAUAAUAAAGCAAAUAUAGGGUAUACGAAUGAUAAUUUCCCUAAAAUUUAUCAUUUGUUUAUAUUGAUUUAUUAACUCUAUUUUAAGUCUUAAGUCUUAAGUCUUGGCAUGUUUGCAGAAUUUGAUUCCUUGAGCAACUUAGAGGAGUUGGACAUGAGCGGCAAUGAAAUAGACAAUUUCAAGGUUCCUCAAGGUACACAAUUAAAAUAUUAUUUAAUUACAUUAAUUUAAUUCGUUUGAUUAGGGAAGACCCAAAAUGUACAAAAACAUAAUUAAAAAAAAAUAAAGAAACAGAGAAUUCAUAUUAUUUCAAAAAACAAAAGGUAAUACUAUUAUUUCAAAAAAAGAAUGUAAUAAAGAUUUGAUUCCGGUUCUUUAAUCUUUAUAGCAAUUGAAAAACAAUGUUGCUCUUUUCCUAAAGCAUAAAAUAUGAAAUGAGUCAUAAUUGAAUUAGUCAUUUAUUUUGUUUAGAUCUAAAUUUAGACAAUAAAUUUUGAUUUUUUUUUCAAUUCUAUCCUUAUUAUUAUUGUUAAACAGGUUACAGAGGUUUGAGGAAGUUGAAAAGCCUCUAUCUAUCGAAUGUUGGAGUUAGAGAUGGAAGCAAGUUGUUACAGUCUAUGGGAUCAUUCCCAUCCCUCAACACUCUUUACCUGAAGGAUAAUAAUUUUACCGAUAUAGCGACAACUACUACUCAAGGUAAGUAAAAGGUACAGAUGUGGCCAAAUUUAUAAAUAAACUGUUAAUUAAUUAAUUUUCUGUAUUAUUAAUAAAGCUAAAUUUUUGCUCAUUCCCUCUAAUUCUAAACAGAGUUGCACAAUUUCACCAACUUGGAAUAUUUGACAUUGCACGGUUCCUCUCUCCAUAUAAGCCUUCUGCAAAGCAUUGCAUCAAUAUUCCCUUCGUUAAAAAAUCUGUCGAUAUCUUAUUGUGAAGUCAAUGGUGUCGUACAUGGUCAAGGUAAAAGAAAAGUGUUGGUUGUGCACUCACUGAGUGUUGUCCUACGUAUUCAAUAUUUUUAUUUAUUUAUUUUAUUGUUUAAUGUUUCUGCUAGGUUUUCCUCAUUUCAAGAGUUUGGAACAUUUGGGCAUGAUGUCCACGCGCAUUGCACUCAACACCAACUUUCUUCAAGUCAUCAGUGAAUCGAUGCCUUCUCUUAAGUACUUAUCACUGUCAUAUUCUACUCUUGGCACUAACAGCAGCAGGAUUCUUGAUCGAGGUUAAUCAGAUGCUCCCACCCUCCAUUCUUAAUCUAUAAUAUUAAUUUUCAGUUAAAUAUUUAAUUACACAAACCAAUCACUUAUUAUAAAAGAACAAUACGCAUUCAUUAAUUUUUAUAUUAUAUUAAUUGAUGAAUUUAAUAAAUUCCAGGCCUCUGUUCGCCGGUGCAUCUGCAAGAGUUAUACAUUGGUUCUAACGAUUUAAGAGGUAGCUUGCCUUGGUGCAUGACAAAUUUGACAUCCCUCCGAAUAUUAGAUGUUUCUUCCAAUCAACUUACUGGAAGCAUCUCCUCGUCUCCCCUCAUUCAUUUGACAUCCAUUGAAAAGCUGUAUCUUUCAAACAAUCACUUCCAGAUCCCAAUUUCACUUGAACCACUUUUCAAUCAUUCAAGACUCAAGACUUUUUAUGCUGACAACAACGAACUAAAUGCAGAAAUAACUCAGUCACAUUCUUUGACCGCCCCAAACUUCCAAUUAUCACGUCUCUCAUUGUCUUCCGGUUAUGAAGAUGGCGUCACAUUCCCCAAAUUCCUUUACCAUCAACAUGAUCUGGAGACUGUUGAGCUCUCACAUAUAAAGAUGAAUGGAGAAUUUCCAACUUGGUUGUUGGAAAACAACACAAAAUUGAGACAACUUUCUCUCGUCAAUGAUUCUCUUGGAGGACCUUUCCGGUUGCCAAUUCAUUCACACAAGCGGUUAGGAAUGUUGGAUAUAUCCAACAACAACUUCCGAGGCCACAUUCCAAUAGAAAUUGGAGAUGUUUUACCAAGUCUAUACCUUUUCAACAAUUCCAUGAAUGCUUUAGACGGUAGCAUUCCCUCUUCAUUUGGUAAUAUGAAAUUCCUCCAAAUUCUGGACUUAUCCAACAAUCACUUGACUGGUGAAAUCCCCGAGCACUUGGCCGUUGGUUGCGUCAACUUGCAGUCUCUUGCAUUAUCAAAUAACAACCUACAAGGUCACAUGUUCUCUAGAAAUUUUAACUUGAUAAACUUGAAAUGGUUACAAUUGGAGGGCAAUCGCUUCAUAGGUGAGAUCCCACAAAGUUUGUCUAAAUGCUCCUCACUAGAAGGAUUGUAUCUUAACAAUAAUAGUCUUUCGGGUAAGAUUCCACGAUGGUUGGGUAAUCUCACAUGGUUACAAUAUAUUAUAAUGCCCAAUAAUCAUCUUGAAGGCCCUAUUCCAGUGGAGUUUUGUCAGCUUGAUUUGCUUCAGAUUUUGGACAUUUCAGACAACAACAUAUCUGGAAGUUUACCAUCUUGUUUCCAUCCUCUCUCUAUCAAACAAGUUCAUCUUUCAAAAAAUAUGUUACAUGGACAGCUAAAAAGAGGUACAUUCUUUAAUUGCUCUUCCCUUGUGACAUUAGAUCUUAGCUAUAAUCGCUUGAAUGGCAGCAUUCCGGAUUGGGUUGAUGGGCUUUCUCAGUUAAGCCACCUUAUCUUAGGUCAUAAUAAUCUUGAAGGUGAAGUGCUAGUUCAAUUGUGCGAAUUGAACCAACUACAAUUGUUAGAUCUUUCUAAUAAUAAUCUUCACGGUCCUAUUCCUCCUUGCUUUGAUAACACCACACUUUAUGAAAGUUACAGCAAUAGUUCUAGUCUUGAUGAGCAAUUUGAAAUAUUUUUUUCCAUCGAAAGCCCUCAGGGAAAUGUAGAAAAGCAAAUCCAUGAAAUUUUUGAGUUCACAACAAAGAACAUUGUGUACAUUUACCAAGGAAAAGUGCUUAGCCUCCUAUCAGGACUUGAUCUUUCUUGCAACAAGCUAAUUGGUCCUAUUCCUCCUCAAAUUGGAAAUUUGACAAGGAUUCAAACAUUGAAUCUAUCACACAACGACUUGAUAGGAUUGAUCCCAUCAACAUUUUCAAACUUGAAGCAUGUCGAAAGUUUGGAUCUUUCCAACAACAAAUUGAAUGGGAAAAUCCCUCAUCAACUAGUGGAGUUAAAGACAUUGGAGGUUUUCAGUGUGGCAUACAAUAACUUAUCAGGCGAAAUUCCAGAAUGGACUGCACAAUUUGCAACCUUCAAUGAGAGUAGCUAUGAGGGAAAUACUUUUCUUUGUGGAUUGCCAUUGCCCAUUUGCAGAUCACCAGCAACUAUGUCGGAGGCUUCAAUUGGCAAUGAACGAGAUGAUAAUUUAAUUGACAUGGACAGUUUCUUUAUCACAUUUACAACAUCGUACGUAAUUGUGAUAUUUGCAAUUGUUAUUAUUUUAUAUGUAAAUUCUUAUUGGCGACGUAGAUGGUUUUACUUUGUUGAAAUGUGGAUAACUUCAUCUUACUAUUUUGUUGUAGACAAUCUUAUUCCAACAAGAUUUUAUCAUUGAAAUUAAUUAGUAGUUUAAUUACGAUUCUUUAAGUACUAAUCAAGUUUGUUUAGGAAAUAUUUUUUUAUUAAAAUUGUAGUAGUAUUUAGCAUUAUAUAGCUUCCAACUUCCAAGCACUUCACAUUUGUCUCUACACUUAAAAAACUGAGUGAUCAUGUUUUGCAGAUCUGGAUUUGGAGCAGGAUGGAUCCAAACCCAUAUCUGUCCACCGUAACUUAUAGCUUCCCUAUACUGUGCAGCAUACUUAAAUAAGAGAACCAUCUCCAAUGUUAAAAGCAUUCACUCUAUAACAUUCAUUUAGAAACUAUAUUCAGAAUAAUUUUAUAAUUAAACACAAGAAAUGAAACACACAGAUACACUUGAUCGCCUAUUUUACUCUAAAAAAGAACGAUUAUUGUGCUAUCAUCAUCUUCUUCACUAGCAACAUUAACACCAAAUCGAUGGACCCAUACAUUUCAUCAAGAAAGGUCUAUAUCCAAUAAAGUUGAAGCCUAACAAAAAAUUCAAGAAGAUUCAUGCCUCGCCACAACAAGGGGCACAACAACAUCAAAGUAGAGAUUAAGCAGUAUUCUCAAAGCUAAAACUCUCAAAUCCACCCACCAGAAUUUCAUAUCUCCUCAACAAUUUUAAGAACUAAAGAUAAUUAGGAUUUAACAUUAGUUUUUUAUAUAUUAGUUUCAUAAUUUACAAAUCAAUGAAGAUGAAGAUUAUGCUAAUAAAUUCAAAUUAUACCAUACAUUCUCUAGAUGUUACCAAAAAUUUCUAAGUCAAUCCCACAUAUUUCAUAAUUUUAAGACUAGAAAAUUUCACUAGUUAGAAGUUUCAUUACCUUCAAGUGGAAGAUGAAGAACAUUAUACAAGUGAUUCAGAUUAUAUCAUACAUACUCCAAAUGCAACUAGAAAUUAACAAGUUCAUGCACACAUAUUUCAUAACAUUAUGAUUGAAAAGUUUCACAGAGAAAUUCUAAAUUCAAUCUCUUGCAUGAAGGCAAUUUGAUUGAUUUGAGUUACUUUCUUAUCAAGCUACUAAUAUAACAUUCAAGUCAGGGAGAAAAUAAAUUAAAACUGGGAAGAAAUAACAGUAAAAAUUUGUUGCUCAACAUGAUGUGUAUUUUUUUUCAAGGCAAUUUGGAAACACAAUUGUUACCACAGAUAUUCUUCUCAACUUGGAGAUAAAUACAAAUAUUAAAAUGCAUAUGAUCGCACAUAUUACUUCGAGUUUAGUAAGAUUUCAUUAAAAGAAGCAAUCAAACCACUUAUCAAUUGUCGCAGUCGUUCUAUAAACUAAAAUAGCAAUAUAAUACAAGAAAAAGAACAUAUAGAUACUUGGCAAGAGUUCAUUAAGAAGUCACAUCACAUUCAGGUGAGGAGUUUGCUUCUGAUAUCUUGCUAGCUGGGGCUUUUUCUUGUCUUUCUACGUAUGCCGAGGGAAACCAACCAGCUUGGCCCUUGCAUUCACCUUCCGACCAUCCAAUAGGAGCCACCUUGAGAAGUUAUAACUAAA